AAGUGGAAACUUCGAAAGGAAUAAUUUAAGCUAAAUUCCACCCCUAAAAGGAGCUCAUCAAUCUUUAUCAAUUUUGAGGGAUUAGACUGGAGAAUGACCGCUGUUAUAAUCUGAAUCCCUAUGGUGUUCGACAUUUAUCAGCACGACAAAGGAUGCCAAAGGAGGGGGAAAUCGGAGUAAAAACUUUUGAGACAACGAAGUAUGUUUAGUUGGCUAACUAGAUUUUGAUGAAGAAGUUCAAUGCUCGUCUAAAAUCUAGCAUGCCAAAUCACUAAUACUCAAGAAUUCAGUUGAUAAAACACUUGGAUUACUGAGAUCCGGUAUGGUUAGUUUAAACCAUCACGUGAAGAUAAGAGGUGAGGUUCGAGUGAAAACAUGCUCGACCUUCAUGUAUGAGGGCUUGGAUUAUGGGUAAUGGCACAAAAGCCACUCAAAUCCACUUACAAACAUUUUCAAAGUGCGCCCUUAGACCUUUGAUUUAAUUCAAAGAAGGGUCAUAAAUUAGCUUGGAGGUCCAUAUGUAGAUUUAAACUAAUGCUUGUCAUGUGAAACUCACGCAACCGGCCUGAACAUUCUAACUAUAGGAUUAGCAUCUAUCUAUUUCCCAAGGUCAUGCAUGAUUGUCUUGACACUGCUGCAGUAAGAACCUAUACAGCCUACUCUAAAUUUGCAAAAGGGAAAACAAUCAGAGGAGUUUUCGAGGUCGAAGGAAAGUCCUUUUACCACACUUUGAGCUGAUCGGUCGUUUCUUCUCACGGUCGCGGGGUGUAGAAAGAACUCCUCAUCUGAAUCCGGAACCUUCACUUUGAUUGCCUUGAUGACUUUAUCAUAAGUUACGGCUGUUGACACUGGAAAGGAAGACGGCGCUUUGAAUCAUUCGAAUAUGAAAGACAAAAAAAAGAAAAGACAGGCAAUUUCUGAAGGUCAUUCCUUUAGUUCAAUUGUGGGAGGGGAUAUAAGCCUAAAAUUUUAGCAGCAAAUGACGAACUGGGAAAGUUCUGAUCUUAGGAAUCUAGUUAGAUGCUGGCACUGGAUUCUCAAAACACAGAUAUCUCUCUCAACCUUUAUCAAUAAGUUGUUUUAAUCUAAUAAAUGUAAACUACCUUGUUGACGAAUCUUGGCACACUGUUGCACGAUACACACUCCGAGGUCCUGGAAUGUCUUGGCAACUUCACCUAGAGGAUCUGCCACAACGUCUGGCAUUCCACUAUCUCCAGAGGCUGAUAACUAAUAUCAAUGGAAGAAAUCAUUAUUAUCUGUCAUGCCUCAUCAGGAGUAAGAAUGGACAUUAAGAGAACAAAAGGCACAAUAACGAAAGAUAAGAUCAAAGAACUUGUCAGAGGAUAUACUGUUGGUCUAAUGGGAAGAUCGAAUAAAUGAGGGAUUCCGAACUGCUGGACAACCUGUAAAUAGAUCCAGCACACUGUGAGAACACAGAGAAUAUGUUUCAUCCUUUAACAUCAGAGUGUAACCCUAGGAUUAGCGCUCUGGCCUUCCACAGUAACAAGUAAACCAAACAAUAGGUAACUGGAGAAACAUGCCUGAGAGCCUGAUCCUCUACCAAAUGGGUAAUAGCGCUUUCCAUCAGCAUCAAAGUGGCACAUAUUUUCCACAACAGCGACACAGGGUACCUGUGUGCAUGAACAGUGGAUUGUCAAAAGAUGACUCUUUCAUAGAUAAAUAAAAAAAAAAAAGAUCAACUCCAGGGCACCAAGAGGGAAGGAAACGCCACGUUUAAUCUGUUCCNNNNNNNNNNNNNNNNNNNNNNNNNNNNNNNNNNNNNNNNNNNNNNNNNNNNNNNNNNNNNNNNNNNNNNNNNNNNNNNNNNNNNNNNNNNNNNNNNNNNGUUCACUACUGUCAUGGUGAAUCUUUCAAAUCACAUUUUCAUGUUUCAUCAUAUCCAGAAUUCUUGAUAAAUGAUGCAGAGUAUACUUAAUCAAAGGAUGGUGUUGAAUAGGGAUUGCCUAUAGUACAAAGGCACAAACCUUAAGUUUUGAGAACAUGCGAACUCCCUUUGCUACAUCUAUAAAGGCAAGCUUUUGAGGGGUGGUAACAAUGACAGCAGCUGUCAAGGGUACAACCUGAAAAGUUAAUAUCAUCACUUUAAGAUUGAAAACUGCAGCAACAAACAAAACUUGCAAGGGUAUUAUAUUAUGCAAAAUGCCUGCAACUAGCACCUUCUAGUUGUAAAGAUAUGCUUUGUUCGUAAAAGGAUAGUGGGACAAACAUUAAACUGUUCAUAAUUUUUACUGAUCUAAGAUGAAAAGGCACAAAAUGCAAACCUGGCAUAAUGUAAGCUGAAUGUCACCAGUCCCCGGUGGCAUGUCAAUAACAAGGUAAUCCAACUCACCCCUGUAAGGAAAGUUUAGUAAUGCUUAGCUGCAGAAGCCCGACCCAGAAGCCCCCAAAAGAUGAGAAUGAUGAGAGAAAAUCAUCGUUUUUGAUUCAGUGUAGUGUACUUUGAAUCACGCACUUCUCUUAUAGGAACAAAACACGCUUCGACAACAAUGACAGUGAACAGAAAUUUGAAUAUAAUAACCACAGCAUGCAAGCAUGACCAAUGAUUUUUCAUACCACUCAGUAGUAGUCAAGAGUUGGUCGAUGACACCAGAAACCAUUGGACCUCGCAUAAUUGCACGGCCUUGUCCAGCAAAUCCAAAAGAUACCAGCUUCACUCCUAAGUAUUCUGUGGGAAUUAUGCUUCUUUUCUCUGGGUUCUAGAAAAGGUAGGUGGAAAUAAUAAAUGCAUUCUUUCACUAAAUUAGAAAUUGAUUUCGUUGUAGUGGAAGUGGAACAAUAAGCUUUAUUACCAUUUCCAGAAGUCGGUUAUCAGGGGAAACCAUUGUUGGUAAACUGGGACCAUACACAUCAGCAUCGAAAAUUCCAACUCGAGCUCCCAUUCCAGCCAAAGUAUAUGCAAGAUUUACAGCUACAGUUGAUUUUCCCACGCCUCCCUGAACAGUUCUGACAGACAGCAGUCAUGAUAAAAGAAAUUAAAGAAUAGUACUUUUUAAUAAUAGUAACCAAACAACAUGUCAAACCACAAGUUGGAAAUACUAAAAUAAAAAACUUUUUCCGUUAUAAAAUUUGCUAAUUAGGGAAAUCAUCAUGAUGGAAUGAAACUACAGGUCAUCCUUAUGUCAUAGUCAACCUUCUCAAAGCAACCCCAAAAACGUUUUGUAGCCAAAUGUCAUUCAAUGACAUAGCUACUUUGUCACAACCUGGAAAAUCAAGUGCAACAAAAGGUUAAGUAACCCUACCUUGCAGCUUGAAACUGCUAUAAUGUUUGAGAUUGUCUGUAACCCUGGAGGAAGUUCACCUGUGAAAACAGGUUUUGCUGGUUGUGCUGACAUGGUUACUUUAACAUUCUUGACCCAAUGAAGAUUAGCCACCACCUCAUUUGCCUGCUGCUCAAACUGUCAAGGGAUACUCAUACUGUUAAACUAGUUAAGGUUCAGUAACAUGAUAUGUCAGGCAAACACUCUGAGGAAACCAUUAUGAAGCAGCAAAAAAUGAUAGAUUAGUUCCAAAAGUACUUUGAAAUUGUACAUGCACACAAAGAUUUAUGGAAGGGUGUCAAAAGGAGCAGGUGUCAAUAGUUUCUAAAAGUAAUUAAUACACAAGACAGAACAUCUAGUGCACUGAGCAUGUAUUUGGUAACUGAGCAAGCAACAUAGGUUGCGUUAUUUACCAUGUCCUUGAUUGGACAUGCAGGUGUAGUGAGCUCUAACCGGAACGAAACCUGAGAAUCAAAGCCAAGACAUUGCAGGGUAAGGGUGUCAUUCCUUACAGAUGUACAAUAUAUAAAUCCCAGACUAAUUCUUUAAUAACCUCUCCAAGAGCUUCAUCUAUGAGGAGGUCCUUAACAAAACCACAUGAAACAAUGUCCGUUCCAAAGUCGGGAUCAAUAAUUUGAGACAAGGCUUUCAGCACAUCACCUUCAGCUGUCUGAGCUGAAACUGCAGAAGUACUCUCUACAAUUACAAGAGCAGAAAAGGUACACGGAAUGAUGUCAAGCUUAUGAGAUGAACAAGAAAAAAUCAGCGGUGAACAAUCGGUGAAAACUAAGCAACAAAGUCCAGUCAAUUUUGCUCAGGACACAGGAUAGGCAAUUAUUUUUGCCCUUAAUCCCUUAAGAUUAUAAGCUGUAAUAAUCUUCUGUAUCUACUCAGGGCCAUUCAAAUUUGGUUUUGACAAGGGGUAGCCAAGAGUAGUUGGUUUGGAUGGGUUCUCAAUAGUACAAUGCAUGCUCAUGUGCACAAACACAAGACUGCUUUAAUUGUUUUCUGUUCGUGUAUAGUUUCUUUGCAAUUCCAAGAAAAUAGUUUGACAGAGCUAGCCCCUUUUAUUUGGCCUACCAAAUAAUCCUCCAAAAUUUUCUUCAAGGCAGAACAUGUAAAUAUGUCUUUGCAGAGAGUAUGAUAUGUAUUAGUGGAAGCAGAUUGAUCUGAUGGCACGAGCCAACGGUUUCACCAUAAAACAUACUCAUUUCUAGAAACUCACAACUUUACAAGUAGCAGAUUAUUAGCACGAAAAAAUAAAUUGCAGAAAGUUACCAAGUCGAACAUGGACGCCUCAGUAAAGUUAAUUAGAUUUACUUACUAUGAUACGAUUAAUUAAAUCAGGCUAUAGGCGUACUAGAAACAAUCUUAACUGUAUCACUUGCACUCGCUCCACAAGAUCACUCUGUCAAAUUCUCAACAUUUUCAUGAAAAUAGCUACUGGGUUCUCAUAGCUCAGGUAGAUAAAUACUCGAACAUUAAAAAAAAAAGAAAAAGAAAAGAAGAAUCCCAUUUGGGUAUUUACCAAAUAUUAUAGGCACCCGAUGAUCAACGAAUUCAAAUUAUUCAUAGAAAGAACAAGGAAAAAGAAAAAGAAAGUACCUUCCACUGAAGCAGCCUUAGCUGCAGGGGAAUUCGAAACGGGCGGCUUGCGAGAUACCCAUCUGGAGCUUCGAAGCCAUUGUUGCUGGAUACAAGAGCAGGUUGCCGUUGCUGUGAGGGAAUUCGCCAAGAAACACGGUCCUACAACAGAAAGGACCAGGUAAUGAGACAAGCGGUGGCAGUGUCGGUUCAAUGAUCCUUGCAUGAAUUAGCGCAAGAGUUACCUCUGUUCGGUUGGACUUUUGAGCAGCAUAGGGAGAGAGAUGGAGAAGAAGAUGGGCACUGCAGGAGCUGCAUUUUCGAGGGAGAGAGAGAGAGAGAGCAGAGAGAGAGCAGAGAGCUGAGAGAGCUCUUGCAGAAAAAAUGAGAGGUGGCAAAUGCUUCUGAGCCUCGUGCUCUCUGUUAUUAGUGCAAAAAAGCGCCAGCCUCAUGUUAACAAAAGAGGAGUUCGUUAAUUUUAAAAGAGAAAAAUAGAAGACCUUUUUUCCAUCUAAAGAAAAUGUGUUCCUGUGGACUUAAAUAAGAGGAAAAAAGUAUUUAUAUCUUUUACUUUUCCGUUCAAAAUUAAGAAUAUAAUUAAUUUUAAAAUAUUCUAAAAAAAACUGUAUGUGAAUCUAAGUAUCAAUAGUGAAAAUUUCAAGAAUUUCGAAGUUAAUCAAAGUCCACACGCAUGAGCCCGAGAUUUUGAUCAAAUAAAAAAAUAAUAAUCUUGACGAACCUUAUGGGUAUUGAAUGAUUAUAUCUGUGUAUAUAUAUUUUCUAUAUAAUAAUAGCAAUUGGUGGAAAUAAUUCUUCAAAUAACUUAUUUUACUCGUCACUGUCACUUCAACAUAUGAAUAUACAAAAAAAAGAAAAGAAAAAUCGGUUAAUCUUCUAUAAAAUUGUAUAAAGAAAAAAUUAUAUAUAUGUGUGUAUAUUGAUUCAAUCAACGCGAUUUAUUUCUCAUUAAAUUUAUAUGAAACUUAUUAUUGCCAUACUUUAUACAUCUAUAUCAUCCUAUAGGUAAAUCCUAAACCAAAUUGAAGAUAAGUAAGAUCAAUUUAAAAUUAAGUUAAAUUAAUUACGUUGAAUAGUCAUUCCUAUGGCCCAUUACAAAUUUAUAUAUACGGCUCUUCACGAUGGUCAUCUAUUAUUCUUCUUUUUGGUCAAGAUCAUUAUCUAUCAGUUUAGUUACCUUGAAAUUGUCAUUGUCGAUCACGCCCAUGCUCAGAUUCCUCUAUGUUCUGGACAUACAAACGAGACAUAAUGGUGUGUCGAAGAGGUACGAAUUAACCAACUUGGAUCUCGAGCACCCUCAACAUUGACCCAAAUCCAAGGCCGGAGGUGUGCGAUCACAAGAGCUGUAUGUCCACAGUUGGUGCACUUGGGAGUUCCAUCCGGACCUCGUUGUUAAGGAAACCAUAUCGAACUUGACAACUGAGGCGACUUUUGAGUCCAAGUCAGCAUCGAUGAUUGGGUCAUUGAAGACAAGUACAGGUAACUCAAAUCAUUUUUAUACUUGGAAAGUAGUUCUCUCCAGGUACCUGGAGCUAAACUAAGAUACAACAUAGCAUGGAACAAUUGUUUAUUGCCGAAAUUCACAGCGAUAAAAACUAUCUUGAUGGCCAAGCAAACACAUGGUUGAAGUUGUCAACACUUGAGAAGAAUUUCCGAAAAGAAUGGUCUCAGUCAUUACAUAAGUUCGCUAAACUCAAUCUGCUGAGACCUUUUUAUUCUGUAUCAAGUACUGCAAAACGCUGAGGUGCUUUCUAACUUUUUACAUACAGCCCGGCUCUUCCGUACACUAUUGCCGGGGAGCGCUCCAAGAUUAAAAGCAGAUGACUUCUCCAUUUGAACAUCCACAUACAUUUGCUUUCAAUUGAUGGAAUCUUGUUGCUUUUCUAUUAAAAACAGAUUAUGAUUGUUGUCCUCACUGUACCCCUAUUUUGAUGACGAUGUAGAUAUAUACGCAUAAUUAUCUCAAGUUAUACCCAUAAUCCAAAUUCCUAAGAGUCCUCCACUGAUGUAGUUUUCCUCCUAAAAGUUGGCAACUGAAAAAGAAUUGAGAUGAACGGUAUAAGCAUACCACCUCUCAAUAAAUAGUGCACAUCUAUUCUCAACAAAUCAAGCAUCAGCAAUGCACAUUAUAAACAGUAACAGAAACACAACCAAAUCUAGUAUAUAAUAUAUGUAAAAGUCCAAAUAUGAGUUACAUCAUUUCAACAACAUUUUCAACAUAUUAGAAACACUCAAUCAAUAAUAUUUAAGCAAACAUCCAUGGUUUAGUCCAUUGAUUACUCUAGUACUUCAUAUCAAACUAUAGCCAUGUUUAAUGCCCCAUGAAAAGGCUUAACAAGAUUCCCUCCUAGGCGUAGGUCUCCACUAAUGUCAGCCAGUGGCUCUGGCCAUUCAAGAUGUUCUGAGAAUAUGUAUGCUUACUCACAACCCUUCAAUGAUUUUAGAUCAUAGCGACAAGAGGACAAAUCCAUCAACAUAAUCCUGUAAAAAACAAAACCAUUUCAGAACUCAUUUAAUAAACUAGAGUCACAAAUCCAUACAACCAUUUGCAAUUCCAUCCACAAGAAGAAUACAUUCAUGAAAAAUUUAAAUAAUUAGCUCUCCAACUAUUUAAGGAGAUAUCUUACCAUGCUAUUUUAAAUAACCAAAUGAGGACUAAAUGCAAGAUCCAGCUUUACACAACAAAGAUGUUCUAAACACCAUUUUAGAUAUAUAUAUAUAUAUAUAUAUAUAUAUAUAUAUAUAUAUAUAUAUAUAUAUAUAUAUAUAUAUAUAUAUAUAUAUAUAUAUAUAUAUAUAUAUAUUUGACUUCCUGUGGUUCUAACUCUCUCUUUUGAUGGAUCUCUAUAUAUAUAUAUAUAUAGAGAGAGAGAGAGAGAGAGAGAUAGAGAGAGAGAUAGAGAUAUAUAUGUAUGUAUGUGUGUGUGUGUGUGUGUAUGUGCAUGUGUGUGUGUGUGUGUGUGUGUGUGUGUGUGUGUGUNNNNNNNNNNNNNNNNNNNNNNNNNNNNNNNNNNNNNNNNNNNNNNNNNNNNNNNNNNNNNNNNNNNNNNNNNNNNNNNNNNNNNNNNNNNNNNNNNNNNCUCCUUAGAACCAAAAUUUUGCCGACAACCGAUGAAAUCCAGGACCAAACCCUGCUAGUUGCAGUCACUCUAAAUUAGUUUUCGAGAACUUCGAAGAACCAAUAUCUGUCAAACGGCAAUCCGUAAAAUCUCACGGUUCCAAGACCAACCUAAAGUUUCGAAACAACAUCAUGUCACGGCUCAACAAUCUCAAGAAUCAACUUAGCAACCCUAAAACCCGAACCGAUGCGAAAUUACAACUAAACAAAGAAAAUCUCUUUGAUUUGAAGGUAUCGAAUUCUUACCGAGUGCUUCAAAACGGCAUCGAUCUAGCUUGUCCUGGCAUCAAUCUAGCUUGUCCUGGCCUCCGACCCGAAUCGUGCCAGAAGCCCCUUCUGCUCGUUAUCGGAUUCCACACCCUUUCUUCUGUUCCUCUUUGCUUUGCCGACUCGUUCCCUCCCUCUCUUUUUGCUGCUCUUGACUUUUCAUAUGGACCAACUCCAGAGGGGAACAAGACGAUGGGUUAAGGUCUCUUGGGCCUAAAUUUUCCUCUUUUAGGAGAGCCCCUUGGUGGGCUGAGGCCUCAGCAUAUCCAUCUAACCUCGGGCAGUUCCAGGCAGUCGUACGAGAUGUAUUUGGUGCCUUCCGCAAUGAUGCACAAUCUAAGAGCCCCAACAAACAUAGCUUCUCCAGCUUCAGAGCACCAGGGAGGGGCCUUUCGGUGGAACUACAAUCUCCAGUCGAAGACGGUUCAAGUUCGAUCUCAAUUAAUUGCGGGCACUUUUUUACAAUCAGAUGUUGAUACUCCUUUAAGCUCGAAAGAUUGGAUAUCCUCACAAGUGUCUCGCAGUCGUUCACUUCCAAUUUGAGAUUCUUUAGCUGUCCAAACACAUUAUCGAACUCGAUCUCUUUGAAACAACAGUCGAAGAACACUAAGUUAUACAUAUUGUCCAGGUUGGAGAACAUCGACCAUUCUAUUUGGGUCUUCAAACCUUUUAAGAUCAAUGCAUACAAACUGGACGGAAACCCAGUUAUAACCCGUAGGUCGGCACAAUUUAUUUCUAAAUGCCAGAGAUGAGAAAGGGAUCUCAAGUCAAUUGGAUGCAUGUUGGAAUCGAAAAAAUCCACGCUCAACAACUGCAAUUUAUGAAGCCCUCCGAGAUACCCUAGGUUCGGAUGUAGAAUUCGUCCUCGUUUAAUUAAGGUCGAUCUUUUAAAGUCUUCCUUAGAAGUAUAAAUGCAAUCACCUAUUAUUAGACGAUUUAAAUCAGUGAGGUUCGAGAGGUCGGGUAUUGCCUGCAACGAUAGAGACCUUAUAUGUAGGACUGUUAAACUUGUGGGGAGGUCUGGUAGUAAUUGAAGUCUAUCACAAUUACGUAAAUAAAGUACUCUGAGGUUAAAUAGCCUAUUCAUCGUCAUCGGCAAUCUACUAACCUUUGUGCCGCACAAGUCUAGAAUCUCCAAUUGAGAUUGUCCUGCGAUUUCACUAGGAAUUUCGCCCUCGAGAUUGUCACAAUUAGAGGCUAUUAGCUCCUGAAGAUUCUCCAGAGUCCAUAUACUCUCCGGUAGCUCUCUUAUCUUACUAGAAGACAAAAUCAUGAGCUGCAAUUGUCUGAGGUUGCCAAUAGAGCGGGGUAAUUCUGCAAUAGGUGUAUAAGAUACAUUCAAUUUGAGUAGCGAUUCUAGUCCUCCAAUGGAAUUGGGUAAUGCACUUACACUAGUUGCUUUUAAAUCCAAAUAAAGGAGUGAUGUCAACUUUCCAAUGGAAUCCGGAAGCUCUCCAAGGUUGCGACACUCACUUAGAGAUAGAUGCUCCAAACCCCGUAGCGCUUCUAUUGAGGGUGGAAGUUUUCUAACACCAUCAUGAUUUUCCACCCUCAGCACCAACAAGGAUUUCAGACCAUCAAUGAGGCCUGGUAAUAGAGGAACGGAUGGAGAAAUAUUUUUUUGCGGUAGAUGAUCCUUGCAAUCGAUAUCCAAAUACUUCAAGCGGCCUAACUGAUUAAUAGAGCUAUCGAUUUCUUCCAAUCUUCUACAAUUUUUGAGAACCAGUUUUUUCAAAUUCCGGCACUUGGAGAAGUCAGGUGUCCUCUUUAAAUAAUUGCAGCUUGCCAAAUAUAUGAAUUUUAGGUUAUCAUUUACCUAUAAAACAACCAAUUAUUGAGGAAAAUAAUGACAUAGGCAAAGGUCAACUCAAUGUAACAAAUGCGAACACACAUAAAGGAAAAAGAACAUAUUAUAUGAAAUUGUACCGUGCAUGCUUCCCAUCCAUUCCAGUCUUCAGUAAUAUCGCUCUCCGAAAGCUUGAGAACGGCCAACUUCCGUAGACAUAAACUGAUGGAAUGUAGGUUUGAAGGGCAAUGACACCAACAAAGCCAUGUUAGAUUAGAGAGAAGAUUUUUGAAGUCUCCUACAAAGUUUCCUCCAUUCAAUUCGAGGAACCUUAGACUAGGUAGCCUUGAAAAUUCAACACUUGUGAAAUUGUGCCUAUCGCCAAGUCUUGUGAGUUUGAGUGCUACAAUGUUGUCUGUUCCCUGAUAUUUUCAAAGCAACAAAUUGCAACAUGAGUGAACGAUUUAGAGUAAGUACUAAAUAUCAAAAUAGGAACAUCUAUCUAAAUUCAACUAAUAGUAAAUAUGAGUGUACCAGCUAAGAAAUGGGGCAUAUAGAUAUUAUCUUAUACAAAAAGGAACAAAUUCCAUGAAUCAUUAUCUCUCCCACUUACAUGGGAGUUGUAAUGUAAAAAUUAUUUCUUUUGGAAAGCCGUUCAUUUCUCUCAAAUCAUGCCAAAUCAUUAAUGUUUUGUGUACAAAAUUGAGCGAACAUUUUGGGUGAAAAUGAACUCUAAAUACACACAAGUGCAUGUUUAGUUUUUUCAUGAGCAAUUAACUUGUUUACUGAGACGUACCAGGUUAUUCUUAACCACAUCCAAGGCAAUUGUCGGACACCACAACCUGCUGCGCUUUCCAGGAACUGUAAAGCAUUCUUGCCGAACAAUCUCUCUUCCAAGAUCUCUCAGUUGGUCGUGCAUCCAUAGUCUAUCAUCUUUGAGUUUUACCAAAGAUAAAUGAAUGAGAACACGAAGUCCAGUAUGUGGAAGAAAAUCACAAGCUUUCCACAUGUAAUAUGUGGGGAUUCUUUCUUCACCAAUGCAAUGACAUGCGAUAUCAAGAAAAAUUUGUUGUUGCUCAUACUCCAAUUCUUCAUAACUUAUCAACAACUUUUUCUGGACAUCUUGAUUGGGCACUUCCUUCAACUUCUUUAAUGUUUCUUUCCAUGUUUUCUUGCCUUUUGAAUGGAGUAAAGAACCUAUGACCUUGAGAGCCAAUGGUAAUCCUCCAGUAGUUCCAACAAUUUCACGUGAAAUUUCGAUGUAAUCAUGUGGAGGUGAGUCACUUUCAAAGGAGUGCUUGCUGAAAAGUUGAAGAGCAUGGUAAAACUGCAAUUCCUUCAUUUCAUGAAAACAGAAAUCUCGGUGAUGCAUAGGGACAAUAUUGUCAUCUAGGGUCUCGGUUUCGGGAGCCAAAAAGUAGGUGUUUCUAGUUGUGAUAAUAAUUCUGCUUCCCGAACCAAACCAACUUGACUCACCAGCUAGAUUUAUGAGCUUAUCUCUCUUGUCCAUGUCAUCAAGAACAAUGAAGGCUUUCUUAUCAUUGAGUUUUUGUUUGAUCACGUCCCUCCCCUCAUUUGCAUUGAAAACUUUAGGAUGUUGGCUACCAAGAAUGUCAUGUAAUAAUUUCUUUUGCAGAUUUAAAAUAUCGCUUUCACGGAUAUCUGAAAGAAAGCUGCAACUUUGGAAUUGGGAAGAAAUACGUUUGAAGAUAGCCUUAACAAGACUUGUUUUUCCGAUACCGCCCAUACCGUGAAUCACCACAAAUCGUACAUCAGAAGUGCCUACGGCUAACAACUUCAUAAUGGUUUCAAUCUGAUUGUGAAUUCCCACCAAGCCGUCACACCAGUUUCUCUGCAUAGGCGUCAACUUACCAGAAACUUCUUCCAGAACAAGAGCUAUAAGUUUAUCUUGGCUGCCAUAUACAUAAUGCAACCGUCUUAGUUUUAGAAACCACAAACAUGCGCAGAAGCAUAAAUAUGUAAAACCAUAAAUUUUGAUUGUUAAAACCAAGCAUGGAUUAUUAGUUUAUUUCAUAUUCAGUCCUCCCAAAGCCGAGAAGAUAGAUCUCAGUUACAGAUAACGAUUGUUGGAUAUUGAUGUGGGGGGCGGUUCUGAGGAGCUUUUAGAUGGUCAAAUCAGUGACGUUCUAAAGUGCGAUGUAGCCAUCAAACUAGCUUUAUAGCCAAGCGGGCGAACCAGACCAAUUGUUUUGGUUCGUGCAAUGCAUCGCAGAUUAAAUAGAGAGAGCAUUCUUGAGUGGGGCCAACACUGACGAAGAUGUCAAUACUUUUUAGUGCAGGAGUUUGGGGCAACACAAUCCCACAUCGAAUGGGGCACACCUUUUUGAACUAAUUCAUGGGUAAGGUCCACCCUUAAAUGGUCACUUUAAAAUUCUACUGUAAUAGGAAUUACCACAAGGAAGAAUGUCAUAAGAUGUGAUAGAAACUUUAUGCAAAAGUGCCGUCAAUGGAUCGGUUACGAGUUCUGAAAAAUUAUAUGCCUAAUGAAAUUGACUUGAUAAAAACGAACAUGGUAAUUUUCACAACCAUUUCAACUUCCAUUUGACUUCAGAAUAUUUGUUAAAAGGAGGGGGGAGGGGUUGAUCUAUAAGUUGAGUUGUCGCGAUUAAGAAACUAUGAUCUAAAUUAAGAAAUGAAAGUACAGCAGUUGUCUUUAAUUACCCGUGAUCUUUUAAGUUGUAUCCCUUGAUUCCAGCGACCUCCCUGAGGGCCUCCUCCCAUUGCUUCGCCAUAUCUUCACUAGACUGUCUCUCAUGCUUUCGUAGGGCCUUACCAUAUGAUCCAGUUUUGAGCUUAAGAUUGGAUGCAUCCACCCCAUAGAAGAUGGGCAAGAUCAAUUUCUUGUCUCUCUUCCUACACUCCACCAUGUGUGCGAGCUCACGGAGACACCAUUUGCUGGAAGCAUAGUUUUCAGAGAAGAUCGGUACGUAGAUUUUUGAAUUGGAGAUUGCUCUCAAAAGCUCGCCUCCGAUCUCUUCCCCAACACGGAGCUCUUCAUCAUCUUUGAAGACACAAAUCCCGGCUCGAAUCAUGGCCGCGUAGAGAGAGUCCAUGAUGGUUAACCGAGUGUCGGGCCCUCUAAAGCUCAAGAACACCUCGUAGUCCCUCCUUGAUGAUGAUGAAGAUUCACCACUGAGGGGGAGAGACUUUCCUUCGGGGCAUUCCAUUCCUGUGAUCUUUGGCCACAAAAGCAAUAUCAAAUUAUUGUGCUUGGUCGAAAUUGCAACUUUCCAGUUUCCUUGCGGCCGUUGCCAAUUUAUAAGAAAACGGUAGACUGACUCUUUUCGUCCUAAAACAACUAUUGACUGAUUUAGGCUCACUGUGAGCGACAGAAGAUGCAAAGCAAGAUCACUACUGCACGCUUCCACGAAAUCACCUACCUCGGACAACCGUUCUUCACUUGUAGUUUAAACGCACCUCCUUUUCCUGAGAACCAAGGAGAGCCGUCGUUUUUCGCAGUAUUUUCUCGGAACUUUCCUGAGUUGAUUCGGGGAAGUCUUCGAAUGUAUUAGGACUAGAGCUUAAUUCCCUAAAAAAAGCAUCGAUUUUUAGUGUUGCAUCAAAGCAUGAGAGGCAUUCUUCCAUACGCAAUGAUGGAGCCUAGUAGGAAUUGAAAUGAAAAGCUAAACGUCCAAACCUGAGGGCAUGUAAUAAUGCCCUCUCACUUUUCCUAAAGCCACUUUUUGCCCCUUUAUUAGGUCGUCACGUGAUAGAAUAAAUUGCCUUGGACAAUACUUUUGCCAUGAAAAAAACAUUUUCUGAUGUGAAAUAUGAGGAGGUGGGUCAUCAAGAGUCAGUUCAUGUUGGGAAUGUGACGAUUAUCGGAUUCUUGAUUUUCAUAAACCGCUAAGUCCAGAUUAAUCGAGUUUUCAAUACGAUGAUUGUUAGGGUAAAAGAAAAAAAAAAAGAUCAAGUCUCUCCUAUAAUUUUAAUAAGUGCAUAAAAAUUCAAAAUUCAAUGUUUUAAAGAUGUUUCACCUUGAAACUAAAUUUGGUUGACAUCUUCAAUACUAAAUUGCACAUUGUUUAAGCAUAAUAGUUCCGGUUAAGUGGCAAUCGGAUAUAAAACACACCUUAUUGCGAAAGGGUUCAAUAGCCUUAUCAAGUGAAAGCACUUCUAACUCGGAAAAACCAUACCUACUCAAGUCAAAGCGUUAAAAAGAAGGUACAAGUGUAUUAUAAGUCCUAUAAUUUGUUAUGAAAGUGUAAUGGAGUAUAAAACUUUUAAAAAAUAUAAUUAAAUUCUAAAACUUAUCACAAAGUACAAUCAAAUUUUAAAAUUUUCAAAAAAUGCAAUCAACGAAAUACUUGAUUGGACAAAUUUGAUAAGUUUUAAGAUUUUAUUGUAUUUUUUUUUUGAAAUUUUUAAGACUUAAUUGUAUGUGCUUGACAAGUUUUAACGCUUUCAAUAUACUUAUUCCUUAAAAGUAAAGCUUUUUCACAAUCCUCCAAAAUUAGUGGCGGUGCGUGAUAAAGUGCUGCCAUUCUUGGAGCAAUGUCUAAGACUCAUGCUCUAUAAAUUGCUUCGUUGAUGAAACUAGAGAUUAAUCCUCAGCUUCAAAUUCUCUAUGCGAGAGAGUGUGUGUUUGUGUGUGCAUGCGUGAUGUAAUUGUGUGAAAAAAUAGUUUACUUGGAUCAUAUCCAUGUGUAGCGUGAUGACCAUUCAAUCAAUAACAAAGCUUGUUACCACAUUAUUUAUAGUGAGCUAAAUGCCCAUCGAGCAAUCCCCUGACAAUCCAGGCUUUGCGAGUCACAGUAACUCAAGAAAGACCCAAUCUUUUUUUCAUCAUGGAAACAAAAAACCCAGAAUAGAAAGUGCUCAGAUUAAAAAGGAGAUUAAGUUUCAGAACAGUUAUAUAGUUAAUCCAGAAGGUACAACAGGGGGCUUAGCUUUAUUCUGGGAUGAUCAACUGCAUUUAUCCAUCAACUCCUCCUCAGCUACAGCAAUCUUCACCCAUUGUCAUAUGAAAGACUGUAAUCAGAGAAGGAAUAUUAUUUUUCUCCAUGCUCCAAAUGAUUUCAGAGAGAGAAUACGGCUAUGGGAGCAGAUUUAUUCAGUAAGUGUGCACUAUCGCGUACCAUGGCUUUGCUUGGGUGAUUUUAACGACAUCCUAUAUCACUGGAAGAAAGUGGGUAAAUACAGAGCAGAAACUUACAGGUUAACAGCUUUCAGAGACUUUGUCAAUCAGUGUUUCUUGAUGGACCUGGAAUGUAAGGGGUGCUCUUUCACCUGGUCAAAUAAACGUGAGGGAGAGAAUCUGGUGAAAAAGAGGCUAGACUGAGCUUUCUGUUCGCUUCCAUGGAGAAUUACUUACCCAGAGGCUGAAUGUAUUGCACUCCCGGUGAUAAGCUCGGAUCAUACUCCUCUCCUGAUAUUCCUGGCUCAACCAAAGCGUAGAAAACGAAAGCAAUUUAAGUAUGAAGCAUAUUGGACUAACGAUGCAAAAUGUAAAACCAUAGUUAGAGAUACCUGGAAUGAACCUGCCUUAUAUGAUCUUAAUGUAAUGGAGAAACUGCAGCAAGUACAGCAGCAGUUGAUAUAGUGGAGCAAAAGCAAAUUUGGCCAUGCUAAGAAGAGGAUCACCUGGCUGAAAGGUGAACUCCAGAACCUAAUGAAUAGCACACAAAUCAAUGGAGAAUCAACUCAAGCGAAAAAGUUAACUCAAGAAAUCGAUCAACUAUGGCGACAAGAGGAGAUGUAUUGGGGCAUGUGGUCGAGGAUAAGCUGGAUAAAGUGGGGUGAUAAAAACACUCGAUUUUUUCAUGCGACGACAAUUCAGAGAAGAUGUCGAAACCAGAUUACAAUGGUGAAAAAUGAAAGUGGAGCUUGGGUACGAGGUGAAAAACAACUACAAGGAAUGACAAAACAAUAUUACAAAAAUUUGUACACAUCAGUGGGCUCCCACAACUGGCAACCCAUCUUACAACUCAUCCUUACCUUAGUGGAUGACCAAAUGAAUCUUAUUUUGAUUGCUUCAAUUACAGGGGAAGAAAUUACAAGAGCUAUGCAGCAGCUAGGAGCCUUCAAGGCACCUGGUCCCAAUAGGUUUCAUGGCAUCUUCUAUAAAGAACACUGGUCAGUAAUCUCCAAGGAUAUCCAUCAAGCAAUGCAGCUCUUCUUCACCUCUGGCCAUCUAGAUCCUACACUCAUCAUAUUAAUACCCAAAAUCCCACACCCUGAAAAACUGGAGCAAUAUCGCCCCAUCAUUCUCUAUAGUUUCCUUUACAAAAUAACCUCCAAAGUACUGACAAACAGGCUCAAACCAAUUCUACCACACAUCAUCGCAGAGGAACAUAGUGCUUUUGUGGGAGGCAGGCAAAUUCAGGAUAAUAUAUUGAUAGUUCAGAAGGUGCUACACAGAUUAUGAACCAGCAACAGGAAAAAGAAGUUUCAAGCUGUUUUAAAAUUGGACAUGCAUAAGGCGUAUGACCGCAUUGAAUGGGACUUUCUUAAAGCAUGUCUAAUAAAAUUGGGAUUCUGUGACCUAUGGGUACAAUGGAUCAUGCAGUGUGUGACCACAGCAACAUUCAGCAUAAAUUUUAAUGGGGAGCCCUUACCUUUCUUUAAACCCACCCGUGGCUUACACCAAGGUGAUCCACUCUCACCUUAUCUCUUUAUCAUUGUGGCCAAUGUGUUGUCUAUCUCGAUGAAGAAAGCUGUUCAGGAGGGUUCACUUACAGGAAUCAAAUUGAACAACCACUGCCCUACUUUGUCCCAUCUACUUUUUGCAGAUGAUUCGAUCUUUUUCCUGCAUGGCACAAUUGUAGAAUGUUAAAACUUGGCUGAUAUCUUAAAUCAAUACUGCUUUGCUUCAAGUCAGGCAAUCAAUCUUAACAAAUCAGACAUUUAUUUUAGUAAAGGAUGUCCUACAGCUCUAAAGAGAAACACGGCAACAACUCUCAGAGUUCCAGAAAUCACAAAGAUAAGGAAAUAUUUAGGCAUACCUUCAGAUUGGGGGCAAUCCAAAAAAGACAUGUUCGCAUGGAUCUUAGCUCUGGUCAAUUCCAAACUAGACAGCUGGAAGGAAAAAUUGUUAUCAAAAGCAAGAAAGGAAAUACUCCUGAAAGCAGUAAUACAAGCCAUCCCUCAAUAUGCUAUGUCAAUAUUCAAAAUACCCAUAUCGAUUUGCAAAGCAAUUGAGAGGAAGGUUGCAUCCUUUUGGUGGAAAAGUAAUGAGAAAAGGGCUGGAAUUCAUUGGAAGAAGUGGGAUUUGCUGAAAAACCAGGAAGAGUGAAGGGGGUUUGGGUUUCAAAGAUCUACAAAUCUUCAACACAGCAAUGCUAGCUAAGCAGAUGUGGCGUAUCAUUCAAAAUCUAGACUCUCUGUUAACAAAAAUUCUGAAAGGGCUGUACUACUCACACUGUGACAUCUGGAAUGCUGGCAGAGGUUCACGUCCCUUGUGGGGUUGGCAGAGUAUCAUCAAGGCCAGGGACUCCAUAGCUCCUUAGGCCAUGCACAGGAUUGGAAAUGGAAAGAACACAUCAAUUAGAACAUAUCGAUGGCUAAAAAGUGGCCCCAUAGGAGGCCCAGCAACAAAUCAAGAGCCAACCAAAGUUGCAGAUCUUAUAAACCAAGGUACAGGCACAUGGAAUGAAAAUCUAUUACAUUUUAUGUUUGAUGAAAGUAGAGUUAGAGAAAUUUUAGCCACAUCCAUUGGCUUACCUGAAGAAGAAGAUAAAUUGGUAUGGAUGCAUACAAAAUCAGGAGAUUAUUCAGUAAAGAGUGGCUAUUUUAUAUUCAGGGAAGCCUCAAUCAGAUCACAGGACAUACAAGCAACCUCGUCUUACCAAGUUAACCCCAACCUCUGGAAAUAUAUUUGGCAGUCCACAACCCCGCCCAAAAUUAAACUUUUCCUCUGGAACGCAUGCAAUAACACCCUAGCUACAAUGGAGAAUUUACACCACCAAAAGAUCGUACCUUCUCCUCUAUGCCCCCUCUGUAAGCAAGAAGCAGAAACCCUCGAACAUACACUCCUUCUCUGCCCAUGGAUUGCCAAGGUCUGGAACUCGGCCCCCCUGCAUUUACAGAUCUCCAGAUUCGGCCUCACCCGGUUCAAAGAAUGGAUCUGUAGCAUACAACAAAAUCCAGUUACCUCCGGCAAAUUUGAGCACAUAGCAGUGGUGCUAUGGAGUAUUUGGAAAGAGCGGAAUCAGUUUAUUUUCAAUCAUCAAACCCCACGACCGCAAUCAACAAUUGCUAGAGCAGAGGCGUUAACAGAGAGUUACAGAGCAAUAAACGAUAAAUCUAACAGCAAGAAGGAGACCGAACACUCAUUUGGAACCUGGCUUCCACCCUCUCCAGGUACGCUCCGAAUCAAUAUAGAUGCAUAUUUUGCUCCCGACUCGGCAGAUGACUUAACAUCCACCGAUGUGAGAGAUCCUCCUCGACACAGAGCCGCCAUUGCUUGCGUCUGUCAAGAUCACCGAGGCUUCUUGGUGGACGGUUUCGCUAAGCCAGUCGACGCUGCUUCGGCUUCUCAGGUGGAGGCGAUCGCAAUGAACGAAACCCUAGAUUUCAUCGAGAACCGAAGCUUUCUCUCUCCACAAGUACACUCUGAUUGCCUCUCUCUUGUGCACUCGUUAAAGUCUUCUACUGAACUCGGUUGGGAAGUGCAAUCGGUCGUGAGCUGGGCCCAAGCCAAACUCGCCCGUCUUCCGGGCCUUUCCCUGGCCCACUGCAGCCGAAGCUCAAAUUGCCUUGUGGAUUGGAUAGCUAAGGCCUGUCGAAACAACACUUUACCCCCUAACUGGAUAUCUAACCCCCCUGCUUUAGUUGAUCUUUUAUGCACUAAUGUUCUUGGUGUUAUAUUCCCUCAUAUGAAAUAGUAAAUCAAGUGCUGUUGUUUGCCGUUCAGAAAAAUAAAAAAUGCCCACCGAUUGUUAUUUAAACUUCAUGAAAUACUCAACAAUUGGUAGCAAUGUGAUGCUGAUACCUUGCCUAAUAUGCAUGAUCAUAAUUGUAAUUUAAAUUGAUUUACUCUAAUUUCAAAAACUCUAUUCUUAUAUGCAAUGCAGUCCUACUUUCAAUUGAUUUGAUUCCUACACUUUUCUUUAGUUUGAGUAAUUGAUUCAUCUCCAUUACUUUAGUUUGUUCAAUUAGGUCUCUCAAAAUUAUUUUAGUAUGUUUCAUAUGUCAUACACUGGUUGAUUAUCACAAAGGAAACUGCUAAAAUGGACUACAAUCUACCGAAGCUAUUGGAUUAAAAAAAUUACAGAAAUGGAUAUCGUAUGUGUAAUAUAUAUUCAAAACUAUUGAAAAGUAAUACACAUUUGUUUCUUUCGUGUAAUUCAUUUGAAACAAAUUAUUUGCUCGGUCGCUUUAAGAGGUCAUUCUUAUUCAUCAUCCCAAUAUGUCAGCUAAGUAUGGAUUUUGCUGUUCUUGUCAAAGCACACCAAAUAAUCCCUUCUCCAUUCACACAAUAUCGAUUGAAUCAGGAAGAAAGCACAUUGUUUUGUUAAGUGGGAGGUUUAAUCCUUAUCUGAAACAUUUUCUUGAAUUUAAGAAUGAUACUGAAUUUUUAAAAUAAUCUAGGAACCUCAUUAAUUUAAAGCUGAUGAAAUGGUCAAGAGAGAGAAUGCUCCUUGAGCAAAGUUAAGGACUUAUUAAAUAAAUCAAAAGGUCAAGGACGUCAUAACACGUAAACGAACAAUAAUGAAUUUUUAAGACUCCUAGCUUCCUUCGACUUGGUUAGCAUCUGCAAAGAGUGAGGAGACCAAACCCCCUAUUUUAAGAAACCUCCUAGCUUCCUUGGUCGAAAAGCGACCGGUCCUUUUUCUUUUUUCUUUUUAUCUUCAAAUCCAAAAUAAACUCAGAUGGAGGUUACAAACACUGGAUCCAAUCAGCUAUAUUGAAUAAGGAAAACCAAAUACUAAACCUGAUUUAGGAAUAAAGAACCUCUAUUUCUGCAAGGCGAAUUCAUCAGCGCCUCAAUCGAUUAUCAAUUCUCAAUUCUCAAUUUGGAUUUGUUUUUCAGUAUUCGUGCUUUGUUUUGAUUUAUUUGUCAUGAAGAUAAUGUACUUUUGUAUCCUUUUAAGUAAUAUAAUUUUCUUUCGACAAAAAAAAAAUCAAUUCUCAAUUGAUGCGUAGAUGCAUUUAAAUGAGAUGCCCAUAGGAGCACCCUCUGAGAUAGAGGAUCAACGUACCUGAUUUGCAAUUGAAAAUUAUAUGUUAACAAGCAUUUGGUCCAUAAAGAUUAAAGUCCAUCCUAAAGUUGGCCGAAAAAAAAAAAGCAAGAAAAAAAAGGCCAAUUGAGGCGGGUUUUUGGCGGAAAUAUUUCUUGAUCAGAAUUGCAGUAAAAAAUCCUUCUCGUUGAACUCGUAUCUAUAGUUUUCGCGAAACUACAUAUAAAAAUGUUGUUGGCUUGACAUGUCUCUAGUAUUUUGCCGAUUUUGCAUGAUAGAAGAUUUGUUUAGCAUGUAGUCUUGUUGGCACCUAUCCAUUUUUUUUAUGGGUUAAUAUUCCGAAAAAUCCCAAACUGUUAUAUAUGUGACAAAUUUAUCUCAAAUAAAAUUUUUGAUCCCAAAAAAUUAUAAGCAAAUAUAUAUGUGAUAAAUUUGCCAUAAACUCAUUUUUUGACCACUAAAUAGUUCAAAUUGAUAUGCCUAUCACAAAUUUAUCAUUUAUUAGUUUUCGUUAAAUUUUAUUGUCAAAUUACUAAGUUAGAACAUAUUUAACAGUUAGCAGAUGUAGUAAUAUGAGGUUCUACCUUUUAUUUUUCAUAGAUAUACUGAUUUUGUGGUUUUUCAUGGUAUUAAUAUAAUUUUAAGAAGGGUAUGUUUGUUAUAAAUGUAUUAAUUUGUGAUUUUUAGCAAUAAAAAAUUAAUUUAGGACAAAUUUAUCAUAAGUUUACCUAUUUAAAAUUUUUAGUGAUAAAAAAUUAAUUAAGUAAAAAUUUAUUGUAUGUGUAUUAAUUUAAAAUUUUGGUGAUAUUAAUUUUUUUUUAUUGUGUUCCCGUUCAAGGACAGCAUGCCCACAUCAAAUGGUAAUUUAGAGCAGAUCGAGAAUCUUUUCUCCCGUUCAGGCCAAAUGUACGAGCUGCCCCGGAAUUUUCUCCCGGAACUUCCCCUUCUCCCUCUCUCAUUCAAACUCUCUUGGUUACAGAUCACACCCGAAGGAAAAUGACUGAAUCCUCUUGUCGGCCACUUGCCCCAAUACUUUACUUGCUCCUUCACAGAGCGUGAGAGGCACGCCCACUUUGUCUUGACUCUCGACUGCAAUGUGUAUUCUGGGUGGAAAGAUCUUCCUUCGGCUUCAGUUCCUUCUACGUCUUUCUGGGACCCUGAGAAGUUCCCCAAAGGCAAAUGAAACCCGUGCGACUGCACCGUUUUCGGGGACGCGUGUGCUUCUUUCAUUCGCCCCCUGCUUUGUUAAUCUUUCUUUGACUUCUUGUCAGCAAAACCGAAGAGAUAGAGUUAAAAAAAAGAACAGAGGGAAAGCAGAGGGUCCGGCGGAUAAGAACAGGAUAAGCGGGAAGAGGACGCAAUAAGGGCAAGUGGAAAGGAAAAGAAGAAGGUAACCAAAGGAAAGGAAACAGAGAGACAUGAGUUUGAUGCUUCCGGAACACUCGACGUGUUUGUGGGGCCUUGGAAACGGANNNNNNNNNNNNNNNNNNNNNNNNNNNNNNNNNNNNNNNNNNNNNNNNNNNNNNNNNNNNNNNNNNNNNNNNNNNNNNNNNNNNNNNNNNNNNNNNNNNNNNNNNNNNNNNNNNNNNNNNNNNNNNNNNNNNNNNNNNNNNNNNNNNNNNNNNNNNNNNNNNNNNNNNNNNNNNNNNNNNNNNNNNNNNNNNNNNNNNNNNNNNNNNNNNNNNNNNNNNNNNNNNNNNNNNNNNNNNNNNNNNNNNNNNNNNNNNNNNNNNNNNNNNNNNNNNNNNNNNNNNNNNNNNNNNNNNNNNNNNNNNNNNNNNNNNNNNNNNNNNNNNNNNNNNNNNNNNNNNNNNNNNNNNNNNNNNNNNNNNNNNNNNNNNNNNNNNNNNNNNNNNNNNNNNNNNNNNNNNNNNNNNNNNNNNNNNNNNNNNNNNNNNNNNNNNNNNNNNNNNNNNNNNNNNNNNNNNNNNNNNNNNNNNNNNNNNNNNNNNNNNNNNNNNNNNNNNNNNNNNNNNNNNNNNNNNNNNNNNNNNNNNNNNNNNNNNNNNNNNNNNNNNNNNNNNNNNNNNNNNNNNNNNNNNNNNNNNNNNNNNNNNNNNNNNNNNNNNNNNNNNNNNNNNNNNNNNNNNNNNNNNNNNNNNNNNNNNNNNNNNNNNNNNNNNNNNNNNNNNNNNNNNNNNNNNNNNNNNNNNNNNNNNNNNNNNNNNNNNNNNNNNNNNNNNNNNNNNNNNNNNNNNNNNNNNNNNNNNNNNNNNNNNNNNNNNNNNNNNNNNNNNNNNNNNNNNNNNNNNNNNNNNNNNNNNNNNNNNNNNNNNNNNNNNNNNNNNNNNNNNNNNNNNNNNNNNNNNNNNNNNNNNNNNNNNNNNNNNNNNNNNNNNNNNNNNNNNNNNNNNNNNNNNNNNNNNNNNNNNNNNNNNNNNNNNNNNNNNNNNNNNNNNNNNNNNNNNNNNNNNNNNNNNNNNNNNNNNNNNNNNNNNNNNNNNNNNNNNNNNNNNNNNNNNNNNNNNNNNNNNNNNNNNNNNNNNNNNNNNNNNNNNNNNNNNNNNNNNNNNNNNNNNNNNNNNNNNNNNNNNNNNNNNNNNNNNNNNNNNNNNNNNNNNNNNNNNNNNNNNNNNNNNNNNNNNNNNNNNNNNNNNNNNNNNNNNNNNNNNNNNNNNNNNNNNNNNNNNNNNNNNNNNNNNNNNNNNNNNNNNNNNNNNNNNNNNNNNNNNNNNNNNNNNNNNNNNNNNNNNNNNNNNNNNNNNNNNNNNNNNNNNNNNNNNNNNNNNNNNNNNNNNNNNNNNNNNNNNNNNNNNNNNNNNNNNNNNNNNNNNNNNNNNNNNNNNNNNNNNNNNNNNNNNNNNNNNNNNNNNNNNNNNNNNNNNNNNNNNNNNNNNNNNNNNNNNNNNNNNNNNNNNNNNNNNNNNNNNNNNNNNNNNNNNNNNNNNNNNNNNNNNNNNNNNNNNNNNNNNNNNNNNNNNNNNNNNNNNNNNNNNNNNNNNNNNNNNNNNNNNNNNNNNNNNNNNNNNNNNNNNNNNNNNNNNNNNNNNNNNNNNNNNNNNNNNNNNNNNNNNNNNNNNNNNNNNNNNNNNNNNNNNNNNNNNNNNNNNNNNNNNNNNNNNNNNNNNNNNNNNNNNNNNNNNNNNNNNNNNNNNNNNNNNNNNNNNNNNNNNNNNNNNNNNNNNNNNNNNNNNNNNNNNNNNNNNNNNNNNNNNNNNNNNNNNNNNNNNNNNNNNNNNNNNNNNNNNNNNNNNNNNNNNNNNNNNNNNNNNNNNNNNNNNNNNNNNNNNNNNNNNNNNNNNNNNNNNNNNNNNNNNNNNNNNNNNNNNNNNNNNNNNNNNNNNNNNNNNNNNNNNNNNNNNNNNNNNNNNNNNNNNNNNNNNNNNNNNNNNNNNNNNNNNNNNNNNNNNNNNNNNNNNNNNNNNNNNNNNNNNNNNNNNNNNNNNNNNNNNNNNNNNNNNNNNNNNNNNNNNNNNNNNNNNNNNNNNNNNNNNNNNNNNNNNNNNNNNNNNNNNNNNNNNNNNNNNNNNNNNNNNNNNNNNNNNNNNNNNNNNNNNNNNNNNNNNNNNNNNNNNNNNNNNNNNNNNNNNNNNNNNNNNNNNNNNNNNNNNNNNNNNNNNNNNNNNNNNNNNNNNNNNNNNNNNNNNNNNNNNNNNNNNNNNNNNNNNNNNNNNNNNNNNNNNNNNNNNNNNNNNNNNNNNNNNNNNNNNNNNNNNNNNNNNNNNNNNNNNNNNNNNNNNNNNNNNNNNNNNNNNNNNNNNNNNNNNNNNNNNNNNNNNNNNNNNNNNNNNNNNNNNNNNNNNNNNNNNNNNNNNNNNNNNNNNNNNNNNNNNNNNNNNNNNNNNNNNNNNNNNNNNNNNNNNNNNNNNNNNNNNNNNNNNNNNNNNNNNNNNNNNNNNNNNNNNNNNNNNNNNNNNNNNNNNNNNNNNNNNNNNNNNNNNNNNNNNNNNNNNNNNNNNNNNNNNNNNNNNNNNNNNNNNNNNNNNNNNNNNNNNNNNNNNNNNNNNNNNNNNNNNNNNNNNNNNNNNNNNNNNNNNNNNNNNNNNNNNNNNNNNNNNNNNNNNNNNNNNNNNNNNNNNNNNNNNNNNNNNNNNNNNNNNNNNNNNNNNNNNNNNNNNNNNNNNNNNNNNNNNNNNNNNNNNNNNNNNNNNNNNNNNNNNNNNNNNNNNNNNNNNNNNNNNNNNNNNNNNNNNNNNNNNNNNNNNNNNNNNNNNNNNNNNNNNNNNNNNNNNNNNNNNNNNNNNNNNNNNNNNNNNNNNNNNNNNNNNNNNNNNNNNNNNNNNNNNNNNNNNNNNNNNNNNNNNNNNNNNNNNNNNNNNNNNNNNNNNNNNNNNNNNNNNNNNNNNNNNNNNNNNNNNNNNNNNNNNNNNNNNNNNNNNNNNNNNNNNNNNNNNNNNNNNNNNNNNNNNNNNNNNNNNNNNNNNNNNNNNNNNNNNNNNNNNNNNNNNNNNNNNNNNNNNNNNNNNNNNNNNNNNNNNNNNNNNNNNNNNNNNNNNNNNNNNNNNNNNNNNNNNNNNNNNNNNNNNNNNNNNNNNNNNNNNNNNNNNNNNNNNNNNNNNNNNNNNNNNNNNNNNNNNNNNNNNNNNNNNNNNNNNNNNNNNNNNNNNNNNNNNNNNNNNNNNNNNNNNNNNNNNNNNNNNNNNNNNNNNNNNNNNNNNNNNNNNNNNNNNNNNNNNNNNNNNNNNNNNNNNNNNNNNNNNNNNNNNNNNNNNNNNNNNNNNNNNNNNNNNNNNNNNNNNNNNNNNNNNNNNNNNNNNNNNNNNNNNNNNNNNNNNNNNNNNNNNNNNNNNNNNNNNNNNNNNNNNNNNNNNNNNNNNNNNNNNNNNNNNNNNNNNNNNNNNNNNNNNNNNNNNNNNNNNNNNNNNNNNNNNNNNNNNNNNNNNNNNNNNNNNNNNNNNNNNNNNNNNNNNNNNNNNNNNNNNNNNNNNNNNNNNNNNNNNNNNNNNNNNNNNNNNNNNNNNNNNNNNNNNNNNNNNNNNNNNNNNNNNNNNNNNNNNNNNNNNNNNNNNNNNNNNNNNNNNNNNNNNNNNNNNNNNNNNNNNNNNNNNNNNNNNNNNNNNNNNNNNNNNNNNNNNNNNNNNNNNNNNNNNNNNNNNNNNNNNNNNNNNNNNNNNNNNNNNNNNNNNNNNNNNNNNNNNNNNNNNNNNNNNNNNNNNNNNNNNNNNNNNNNNNNNNNNNNNNNNNNNNNNNNNNNNNNNNNNNNNNNNNNNNNNNNNNNNNNNNNNNNNNNNNNNNNNNNNNNNNNNNNNNNNNNNNNNNNNNNNNNNNNNNNNNNNNNNNNNNNNNNNNNNNNNNNNNNNNNNNNNNNNNNNNNNNNNNNNNNNNNNNNNNNNNNNNNNNNNNNNNNNNNNNNNNNNNNNNNNNNNNNNNNNNNNNNNNNNNNNNNNNNNNNNNNNNNNNNNNNNNNNNNNNNNNNNNNNNNNNNNNNNNNNNNNNNNNNNNNNNNNNNNNNNNNNNNNNNNNNNNNNNNNNNNNNNNNCUCGCGUUAGUAGUGACAUAGUUGAUGCAAGAUUCAAACUAUGCAAUUCAGCUGAAAAAAAUCUCCCAACAAUAGUAAGGUCGGUUAAACUAGGAGCGAAAUCUCAUUCUACGGUUUUAAACUUAACUGGCGCAUUAGAUGAUAGGUUUAUUUUGUAUUUACAUUGAAAUCCUGUGAGCAAUUCAGUGAAGCUGAUGGAAAAGACCAAGCGAUAUUAGUCUAAUACCGUUCCACACGUAAUUGAUCACUGUACCUGGAAAAUGCAGAUAAUGCCAAACAAGGGCUCAAAGAAAAAAGGAAGAAGGACAGACUCCCUAAGUCUUGGUCUUCUCUUUAUUAUUAAGGAAACUUCUGUAAAAUAUGAAAUGAACCUGUUAGGAAUAAUUGAUCCCCGAAAACUGGAUUCGACACUAAAUUGAACCCCUAAAUCGAUGCGGAAGACGAGGUCCGGGAAAAUCACGUAUCACCGAUUGUAAAGCACACCACGGAUUCGAGCGUACCUUGUUAGCCACAGAUUAGAUACCAAUGCCGAAGAUUGAGGAAGAAAUUUUGAUCCAAUGAUGCCAAUUUGCCUUGAAGCGAAGAUAGUGUCGCCGUAAGCGUUUUUCUUCUUUUUCUUGGAGGGAGAGAGGGAGAGGAACGUACGUACGUUCUUAUGUCAAAGGGUGCCUUCUCCCUCUCUCUCCUCCCUUUAUAUACGUUCCUCCAAAAAGGAAUCGUACCCCUUCAUCCAUGGGCCUAAUCUAGUGGGCCGGGCUUUUAGGCCCAACAUGGGCGGACAGGCCAACUCAGGCCCAUCAAUAAAGAAAAAAUCCAUCAUCUCCCACUCGCACAUGGUGGUCCAAAACCAACAUGGGCGGACAUUCCCUACUCAGCCCCAUCAGAGAAAAAUCCAUCAUAGACUCUCACUUAACAUGGUGGGUCGAACAGAAUCCUCUUUUCCUCUCUUCAACAUUCAUACUGGUGAAUAAUUCGUGCGACCAGCAUAUUUUGAGAGCUCGUUGCCAUACAUCUGUUAGGAAUAUAUAGCAGCUCAUAAUGGGCAUCACAUCCUGAGUAGAUUUAGUAUGCAGUACUCUAGAUCGAUCGAUCACAUUUAUAUCUCUCUUGAUCUCUUUUAAACAAUGAUUGAUAUAUAUAUAUAUAUAUAUAUAUAUAUAUAUAUAUAUAUAUAUUGUAUUCACAAUUAUGAUUAUCACAAAGAUAGAGAUAGGUGAACGGGAGAAAACAAAACAACAAUGUGAUUCUCAGAAAGUGAGUUUGCUCUUUUCUUAGAACUCUUAAUUUCAGUUCAGUUGGCUGUGCGGAGAGGGGCGCGUGUGUGCGUGUGUGUGUGUGUGCGUGUGUGUGUGUGUGUGUAUAUCAAAACGAAAAUAUAAAUCUAGAUAAUAAGUAAGAGUCAUGAGGGGACUAAAACUGAGGAACUCUAUUCCUCAAGAGUCUCACACGGCAUAAAAAUUGAGAUCAAACUUUUGCCACUCUUAUGGGUCGUCUCAUGCAUACGUAGUAUGAAAUACGUAUUACGGUAUUAACUCAUUUCCCAUGGAGCAUAUGUCUACACCUUUCAAUACCGUACAGAUGAUAGUUCAGACAUACCUAAUGUCUAACUUGAGUUCACGUACCUACUCUUUUACAAAAUUCAUCAGAACUCACAUCUGGCAUCUUAGACAGAUAAAGUAAAAUAUGUGGGGUAUUUUACUUUCGGACAUCGUAAGUAUUAUGUCCUCAUCUUAACACUCAGUUAAGGCGACAUAUGUUUUUUUAAGCUUGAGCUCUCGAUUAUCACCUAGAUAAUAAGCUUAAAAUCAGUCUCAUCUCUAUUUAUCACACAGUAAACAGAGGCGAUUACCCGUGUGAGUGGGCUAAUCUUAUAUCCGUCCGACAUACUUCUCAACUUAAAGCAAUGCACUAAGCAUUAAGAUGCAUAAAGAUCAAACAAAGAUUCAUAGGCAUUAAUGAUGAAAACACAAAUUCAUCAAAUGUGAACACUUAGGGAAAUUACAAUAUUCAGUACAUUAGCCUCUACGCAAUCUUAGAGAUUUCAUAUGACCACAAAACACAUCUCUAGGUAUUGGCUUUAUCAUAGAAUCUGCUACCAUUCUAUGCGUAGUAUGUACUCUAAGUUCACAUUUUUUCGUGCAACCAUAUCCUUGACAAGAUUAUAUUUGGUAUCUAUAUGUUUGGUCUUGUCAUGAUAUUUUGGAUCUUUGGUGUACGCUUUUGCUGCUUGGCUAUCACAGUUAACCAACAAUUAAUCUGCAGCACUUCCAAUAACACCUAAAUGAUCCAAAAAUCUCUUAAACCAAACACUUUCUUACACUGCUGUUGAUAAUGCCACGAACUCAACUUACAUCGUGGAUAAGGCUAUACACUUUUCUUUCUUAUUGCUCUAACAUAUGGUGCCAUUAUUCGGUAAGAAAACAAAUCCAGAGGUAGUCUCCCCCAAUCAGCAUCAGAAUAGCCUUUGAAUUGUAGAUCAUUUCAUUUAUAACUCAGCGUAUAAUCAGCAGUUCCCUUUAGAUACCUUAGUAUUCUUUUAACGGCUUUCCAUUGUGCUAGACCUGGAUUGGAUUGGUAUCUACUCACCAUUCCAACUGUAAAACAUACGCCAGGUCUUGUACACAUCAUAGCAUAUAUCAAGCUCCCAACAGCACUAGCAUAAGGUACAUAUUUCGUUUGUUCCUUCUCUUGUGGAGUUCUUGGACACAGACUAUGGCUCAAUCUUUCACCUUUUUGCAAUAGGAGUAUCUAUGGGUUUACAAUCUUGCAUAUGAAAUCGUUCAAGAAUCUUAUUUAUAUAUGAUUCUUGCGAAAGAGACAACGAUCUCUUCAAAACGAUCUCUUGAAAUCUUAACUCCAAGAGUGUAUGUAGCCUUACCCAUAUCCUUCAUCUCAAAGUUGGAAGACAACUAACUCUUGACAGUAUUAACAAACUCCAUAUUGCUUCUGGCAAUUAGUAUAUCAUCAACAUAUAAUGAUAUGAUCACAAAUUGAUCAUUGGAUAUUUUGAUAUAUACACAAUGAUCCUCAUCAAUACAUGUAUACCAUUGUCUUGAUGACUGCUUAAGACCAUAUAUCGACCUCAAAAGUCGACAUACUUUUUCUUCUUGGCCUUUUACUAUGAAACCAGCAUGUUGUUCCAUAUAUAUUUCUUCAUCUAAUUCUCCAUUGAGGAAAGCAGUCUUUACAUCCAUCUGAUAUAACUCAAGAUCUAGACUAGCCACUAUUGCCAGAAUAAUGCGAAUCGAGAUAAAUCUUACUACAGGAGAAAACGUAUCUUCAUAAUCAAUUUCUUCCUGUCGAUUAUAUCCCUUUGCUACAAGGCGAGCCUUAUGCCUUUCUAUCGAGCCAUCAGCCUUUCGCUUUAUUUUGAGAACCCACUUGUUCCCAAUAGCUUUGUGUCUUUUUGAAAGAUCAACCAGUUCCCAGACUUGGUUUGAUUUUAUUUACUCCAUUUCCUCUUUCAUUGCAUGAAUCCAUUUUUCCUUAUUAGGGUAAUUCAGAGUCUCAUUAAUAUUUCUUGGCUCAUCCUCAUCUUGUGGAGCAACCAUAAAAGUUUCCCUUUCAAUGUCAAAACAUUGAUGGGGAAUACUUUGGCGACUUGUUCACCGUAUGUGAGAUUGUACACUUAGCACAUCAUUCCCCAUCAUGCUUCCACUUGGAUUAGGUAAUGAUGAUAUCAUCACAUCAGGUGGUUGCAAUUGAGAAUGAGUUGAAUUCAAUUCAUCACAUCUCAUUUUACUCCCACUUGGACGAACUCCACUGACAUCAUUAUCUUGAUCCAAGGUGGNNNNNNNNNNNNNNNNNNNNNNNNNNNNNNNNNNNNNNNNNNNNNNNNNNNNNNNNNNNNNNNNNNNNNNNNNNNNNNNNNNNNNNNNNNNNNNNNNNNNCUUUCUCAAAAGUGUUUCAGAAACAAGAAACACAAAAUUUGUGUUUCUUGUUUUUGUUUCUUUUUUGUUCCUGGGAACAAAAGAACAAAAAAGGAACAGAAACACGUCCAAAUGCGUUUCUGUUCCUUUUUUGUUCCCAGGAACAAAAAAACAGAAAAAGUGUUUAAAAACAAAAAAAAGAAACACAAACAAACGGGGCCUUAACCCCCGAUUUUUAUGUAUAUCUAAUGAACAACUUGUAAGAAAUCUAAAGAUAAAGAAUUUUUAAGAAGAGAUAAUGAGAAUACUCCUUUCUUGCUCUAAUCAUUUCGUUUAUUUACUCGUGUUGGUAGUGACAAUAGUUGAUGCAAGAUUCAAACCAUGCAAUUCAGCUGAAAAAAAAAAUCUCCCAACAAUAGUAAGGUCGGUUAAACUAGGAGCGAAAUCUCAUUCUACGGUUCUAAACUUAACGGGCGCAUCAAAUGAUAGGUUUAUUUUGUAUUUACAUUGAAAUCAUGCGAGCAAUUCAGUGAAGCUGAUAGAAAAGACCAAGCGAUAUUAGUCUGAUACCGUUCCACACGUAAUUGAUCACUGUACCUGGAAAAUGCAGAUAAUGCCAAACAAGGACUCAAAGAAAAAAGGAAGAAGGACAGACUCCCUAAGUCUUGGUCUUUUCUUUAUUAUUAAGGAAACUUCUGUAAAAUAUGAAAUGAACCCAAGUGAUCCGGGUGUUGAAUGAAGUGAGCAUGAAAACGCGGAGAGAAACAGUAGAUUCACCAUUAUUUAAUCUGCUAAACAAUGAUGGUGAUGGGAGUCGCUUAAAGUUAAGUAAAGAACUAAUAUAAAAAGACCAAGACUUCUUUUGAGCCUAAUAUAUAUAUUUUUUUUCCUAAUUUCAGUUGCAUCUUAGUCAGAGGCUUUCCGAGUUCGAAUGUCUCUCUGUUCACACUCGCCAAUCUGCAAUAUUUACUCGAAAGCCAUUGGCAGGGGCGCAGCGAAGUUGAUGUUGAUUACCAAUCUCGAGAAAAUUAUAGUGCUUGCCAAUUCUUUUCACUGAAGCUUUGAUCUACUGUAGUUGAACGACCGUGUAACGACCAUGCAGCAACACCGACCAGCCACUCCAUCGUUAGCAACUGAUUGUAUGUAGCAAUCUGCACUGAGUAUAGAAGUUAAAUAAAAAAUAAAAAAAUUGCAAUGGUUGAUUGAUGAACUAGUCAUCCGAGUAAAUUCCUUCUUUACAAACUUUUCUGAACCAAUUCCAAUUGCUGGUGAACCAUGACAAUGAGGGACGUAAUUCAUUUGAAUGCGACAUGGUAGAAAAGCAUUAAUCCUCUGAUUAAAACAUCAGAGUACAGCAGUUUUUGCUCCCGUCCAACCACCCUGAUGUGCAUAAGUAGAAACGCCAAAAGGAUUUUUCCAGCUGAAUUCGACUACUAAAGGAGCUCAUUUAUCUUCAUCGAUUUUGAGGGAUUAGACGAGAGAACAGCCGCGGAUACACAAUGAAUCCCCAUGCUGUUAGACGUUUACUCAGGGUGUCGACUGACUUUGUUUUGUCCCAAAACAACUGUUUGACUGACUCUGGAUGCUUCCACAAAAUACCUCCCCCGCAGAAACGUUCUUCAUUUGUAGUUCAGUACGCCUCCACCUUCUUUCGCCGUGUUUUCUACGAACCUACCUGAAUUCGAGCCUAAAGCAGGAGAGGUAUUCUUCUCUAUGCAAUGAUGGACCCCAGCAGGAACUGAAUAAAAAGCUGAACGUCAACCUGAGUAAAUGUAAUUCUGCCCUCACUUUUCCUAAAGCCAUUUUUUUUUUUACCCUUAUUGGGUUGUCGUACGACGGAACAGUGUGUUGGACAAUAUUUUGCCAUGAAAAACAGAUUCUCUGACGUGGAAUAUGAGAGAGUGGGUCAUGAAAAGUCGGUUCAUGGUGGGAUUUUGAUGAUGAUCUGAUUCUUGAUUUUCCACAUUUCAUUAAGUCAAUUAACUUCACAAGACAAUCGUUAUUAGGACCAAUCAAUCCUGACAAUAAUUGAAAAAAUUAGGAUCAAAUCUCUCAUAUGUUGUUGAUAAGUGCAUCUUGAGAAAAAAAGGUCAAAUUCAAUCACGCAAAAUGCAUUGUUUUAAUGUAUUUUACCUAGAAAGUCAAUAUGGUUUGGUAUCUUCAGAACUAAAUUGUACAUUACUAAAGCAUAACAGCUCCGAUUAAGUGGCGAUCAAAUAUAAAACAUGCCUUAUAGCAAAAGGAUUCAAUAAUCUUAACAACUUAACAAGUGAAUGCACUUCCCCUAACUCGGAAGAACAGCGGCCACCCAAGUCAAAGCAUUAAAAGAAGUAAUGCCUUUUCACAAUCUUCAGAGGUUUGUGGCGGUACCUGAUUCAAGUGCAACCAUUUUUGGAGCAGUGUCCAAGACUAAUGCUCUAUAAAUAGCUUCGUCGAUUGAAACUGGAGAUUAAGCCUCAGCUGCACCAAUUGAGAGAGAGAGAGAGAGAGAGAGAGAGCGAGAGUCUGUGCGUGUGUAAUAUAAUUGUUUAUUUGAGAGUAAUGAUUCAAUUUGACAGAUAACGGCAUCUGUCAAUGUUCUACAUACAUAAAUUUUAGCAAUUACAUCGUUUCCGCAACUUCACUCGACGUUGAAUUAUAUUUUGGGAGACGUGGCCGCUCAUUCCAUCCUCCAAUACCUCCGAGUUUAUCGAGCUCUGUAGCGGAGAAAUAGUUGCGAUUUUUGUCUUAAUUACCUUCAAAUUCACAGACCAUCUUGCCUUGUGGAUUAAGAUGUCAAGAUAAAUCGGUGGGCAAUCGAUGAAUGAGUCAAAAGGACCCCCUGAUGGGGUUUCCAUGGGCAAUAAUUUCGUGCGAAAAUUCUCGUUUUGACAGGAGUUUCCCUCUUCUAUUAUUCUCUCUUUCAUACUGCUUUUACCCUUGCUUGUACGGCUGCCUCUGCUCGCUCUUUUCGGUUCGCAUCUUAGCACAGGAAUACGUGGGAAAUUUCUGCGAAGCACAAAUCUAUUCUUCUCUCUUUCACACUGCUUUUACCGUUACUUAUACAGCUGCCUAUGCUCGCUCUUUUCGAUUCGCAUCUUAGCGCAGCAAUACCUGGGAAAUUUCUGCGAAGCAGAAUUCUAUUCUUCUCUCUUUCAUGCUGCUUGUACCCUUCUUAGCACAGCAAUCUUUGAGAAAUUUCUGCGAAGCACAAUUCCAUCCUUCUCUCUUUCAUACUGCUUUUGCCCUUACUUGUACGGCUGCCUAUGCCCGCUCUUUUUGACUCGCAUCUUAGCACGGCAAUGCAUGGGAAAUUUCUGGGAAGCCCAAGGAGGACAAUGCUAUCAACUCUAGCCAAAAUUGAAGCAAAUCUAGCUUUUUCUUUUUACUCAUGUCGGAGAUAAAUGAAGAGGUCCGGAAUAUUCAAAUGAAAAAUUCUCAUCUAUGAAAUUGAGGGCGCAUCCGUAUUUUCCGCUAUUUUUCCCCCAACGAGCCGAAAGUAUCUUCAGAAACAUGGAAAAUUCCUUUCAGGAGUCGUAAUGGGAGGUGUCCUCCGUUUUUUUGCGGGUCAUUAUUGGGUGGUUGAAUAUGGAAUUUCGAUCUUAUGACUUGCAAUUAACAUGGCAGCAUGUUGAUCUAAAUGUGUAAUGUGCAUUGCAUUAUGUCCUACACUUUUUGACAUGGCCAUUCAAUAAAUGAUGGAGUUCGUCACCACAUCAUUGACUAGUGCUCUAAAUGCCCGAUAAUUGUAAUUAAAAUUGCAUGAAAUACUCAAUAAUUAAUAGCAAUGUGAUAGUGAUAUCUAAUUUCUUGCUUAGGGUGCAUUAUCAUAAUUGACAUUUAAAUAGAUUUAAUUAGGUCCGACAACUUUGUUAUGACCCGCAAUGCUUUUCUGAAUUUUGAAUUGAUUCAAUUAGAAUGCUAUACUUUUGUUUAUAGUGUGUGUAAUUGAUUCAUCCCUGGAACUUCUGCUUGUUCUUGUGAAAUUAUAUUAGUAUGUUUCAUAUGGCAUACGCCCAUUGAUUAUCCUAAAGGAAAUUUCUAAAAUGGACAACAAUCUACAAAAGCCAAUAAAUUGAAAAAAAAAAUAUACAGUUAGAUUUCCCAUGUGUAACAAUCAUCCGAAAUUAGAAAAUAAAUGAUACGCAUUCAGUUUUUAUGUGUGAUUCAUUUUUAACAAACAAAUUUGCUUAGUCCCUUUAAUCAUUCUCAUUCAUCAUAUCAGCUGGUGAGAAGUACAGAGGAUUUUGCUGUUCUUUUCAAAGCAUAGCAAACAAAUCCAUUCUCCAUUUCACAUGAUUUCCAUUGAAUCACGAAGAAGGCACAAAAGGUUUAUCCUAGUCCCAAACCCUUCUCAAACUUAAGACGAUACUGAAUAUUUGAAAAUGAUUUAGGAACCUCGUUAAUUUAUAACCAAUCGAAAGUUUUGUAGCAACAAUGCUCUCAGCCAAAGCGUAGACCUACUUGAUAAAUUGAAAGGCCGGGCAUAUCAUUAGACGUUAACUGACAUGGUGAAUUUUCAGGACCAAAAUUUGAAAACUAGUGGNNNNNNNNNNNNNNNNNNNNNNNNNNNNNNNNNNNNNNNNNNNNNNNNNNNNNNNNNNNNNNNNNNNNNNNNNNNNNNNNNNNNNNNNNNNNNNNNNNNNNNNNNNNNNNNNNNNNNNNNNNNNNNNNNNNNNNNNNNNNNNNNNNNNNNNNNNNNNNNNNNNNNNNNNNNNNNNNNNNNNNNNNNNNNNNNNNNNNNNNNNNNNNNNNNNNNNUACAUCCCUAUGCAACAGAAGUUUGAAGGAACUAUCAGCUGUCGGCAGACUGAGUAGCUUCAUUCCGGGUGCACGAAAUUUUUUAUUGAAAUCGCGGACAAUCUGUCGAAUACGUCAGCAGACGGAUUUGCAAAUAGAUGAAUCGCACAAAGGGAUAUCACUUGCUUACUUCAAGCCAACUGAAAAAGGGUGAUCACUUUCCUUAAUUGGGUCGUCUAUUAAAAUAUAUCUAGAAUUUAAGCCAUUGAACAAAGGCCGACUAAUGAGAAUGCGUGAACUCGACCAUGUGCAAGUCAAAAAUUGGCAUACGAGAAUUGGCUGGCCGAGAUUGCAAAAAGCGUGAAGAAAAAUCAAUAACACGUGACUCUGUUGCCUUCUCCAAGUCCAAUUUAUCGUGCAUGUUGGAUUCUUUGGCAUGCUGAAUUUGUUGCCCUAGAAGAAGGGGCUCACACACACAUAUAUAUACACGUGAUCAUAUUUUACUUUAAAUUGAUUUACUUAGGUUCAAGAACUUUAUUCUAAUAUGCAAUGCAUUCAUGCUUUCACAUGAUUUGUUUAGAUGUCCUACACUUUUGUUUAGUAUGUGAAAUUGGUCCAUUUCUAGAACUUUAGUUUGUUCAAUUCUGUCUCUUGAAAUUACAGGCACCCGAUGAUUAUCGAAAGGGAAUGGCCACAAUGGACAACAAUCAACUGAAGUCACUGGAUAAAAAAAUUAUACAAAUGGAUUUCGUGUGUGUAAUAUGUUUCCUAAAUGAUAAAAAAAAAAUAUAAUACUCAUUCAUUUCUUAUGUGUAAUUCAUUUGAAACAAAAGAUUUGCUUGGUCACUUUAAAUGGUGAUUCUUAUUCAUUAUCCCAAAACGUCAGCUAAGUAUGUAUUUUACUUUUCUUGUCAAAGCAUCGCCAACAUUCCGCUCUCCUUUAACAUAUUAUGCUUGGAUCGGGGAGAUAGCACAUUGUUUUGUUAAGUGAGAGGUUUUAUCCUUAUCUGGAAACUUUUUUUGAACUUAAGAAUGAUAUUUGAAUAUUUGCAAAUAAAUUAGAAACCUCAUUAAUUAAAAACCGAUAACAAGUUCAAGAGGGACAAUACUCUUUGUGUCACACCCCGAAACCAUCAUAAAUGGGGGGUGACACAGCUGUCCUUCCACUCGAAGGACGCAGCCUUAGAGCUCCUAAAAUCCCAUUCCUAAAAGUUCACUCAUCGAUAUUGCUUUUGUGCUACUUAUCAUAGCUGAGGAAUCUAAAAAAGAUUGGCAAAUAGAGAGGUGAGCAACCACAGCUCAGUGAGUAAUGCAUUCCUUCUAAGCGGAUCAAGCACCCAUUAUACAUAUUUACAAAACCAAACUACAACUCUUUUAACACAAAACAUAUUUACAAAACCAAACUACAACUCUUUUAACACAAAACAUAUUUACAAAACCAAACUACAACUCUUUUAACACAAAUCUAGAAUAUAACAAAUAAAUAAUAAGAGAAUAAGUUACGUACACUUAAGAAUAUCUACAUUCAUUUCACAAUAACAUCAAAACAAAUGUCAGUGGUAUUUUCACAAUAACAUCAAAACAAAUGUCAAUGGUCAAUUCCACUGAUUAAUCUCAUUAAGUCACACACCAAUGGUUCAUUCCAUUGGUUAGUCUCAUGCCACAUAUCAAUGGUCUAUUCCAUCGAUCCAUCUCAGAGGAAACCACAUGUCGAUGGUCCAUUCUAACGACUAAACUCAAAUCACAUGUUAAUGAUCUAUUCCAUUAACCAAUCCGUUGCUCAAUAUCAAACCAUGGUCACGAUACAAUGCUUAGUGACGAGGCGACCAAAAUUUUCCCUUUAACAAAGUCUCCACCUAUUAUUAGCCGUGGCUCGGCCCACAAGGAUACAUUAGACUAGUAUGCGCAUACUUACAAGCUUCUCGCUAGGCUCACAGUGAUAUUAAGUAUCAAUAUCAAUCCAAAACAACACCAUCUAUAAUUCACAAACCAAAUCCAUAAAUCAUUUCAUAUAUCACCAAAAGAUUUCACAACUGUUUUUUAUACCAGGUUAGGCAGACAGUGAUGGAGCGGGGGGACACUGGUUUUGCAAGAACAUCGGAUGGAUACUAAAAAUGAAGCAAGCGCAUCAUGUACUGGAAUUCCUUAUGUUCUGAGAUUCUUACACGAAGUGCCGAAGAGAAAAUGAAACAAGAAGAGAGGAGAGAGCAAGCACAUAUAUAGAGGCUUUCCGGGUUUGAAUAUCUGUUCAAGCUACUCUGCACCCUCCAAUCUGCUGCCUUUAGUUGACUAGCCCAUUGGGGCGGGCAGAGGGAAGACGAUGCCGAUUACAUUCUCGACAGAAUUCUAGCGUUUGCCAAUUCUUCUCACCUAAGCCUCAAUCUACGACUGUAGUUGGAUGAGGGUGUCACGACUGAGCAGGAACACUGACCAGACGUUCAAUCAUUUGCAACUGAUCAUAUGGAGCAAUCUGCACAAAGGAGAGGAGUUAAAACAGAGAAAAAGGAUAACGGUUGAUUGAUGACGGUAUCAUUUGAGUAAAAGUGCUUCACAAACUGUUCGGAACUAACUCCAAUUACUGGUCAACCAUGACGAAGAGUGACAUUAUUCGUUUGAAUGAGACACAGUAGAAAAGCGUUGGUCACCUGAUUAAAUCCGCCUGGCCAAACUAUGGACACGGCCUAGUUUCCCAUUGGCUGAAUCUCUUCUGGUUCGAUGUCUUCCGGAACAUUGGAAUACUGCAGUUUUUGCUCCCCUGUCCACUCAUCCUGAUGUGCAGAUAAGUGGCAUAAGAAAGAAUCUCUUCAGUAGUCCUAGUCACAAUAUCUAAGACAAGCACGGGACGAGUAGAAACUUCGGAAGGAAUAAUUUAAGCUAAAUUCCACCCCUAAUCUUCAUCGAUUUUGAGGGAUUAGACUGGAGAAUAACUGCUGUUAUACUAAUCCCUAUGCCGUUCGGCAUUUAUCAGCAUGCCAAAGGAUGCCAAAGGAGGAAAUCAGAGUAAAAACUUUUGAGGCAAGAAGUAUUUUUAGUCGACUGAAUAGAUUUAAAUGAAGAAGUUCAAUGCUAAAAAAUCUACCAUGCCAAAUCACUAAUACUCAAGAAUUCAGUUGAUAGAACACUCAGAUUACUGAGAUCUGGUAUGGUUAGCUUAAACCAUCAUGUGAAGAUAAGAGGUAAGGUUCGAGUGAAAACAUGCUCGACCUUCAUGUACGGGUGCUUGGAUUAUGGGUAAUGGCAUGAAAGCUGCUCAAAUCCACUUCUCUACAUUUUUAAAAUGCGACCUUAGACCUCUGAUUUAAUUUAAAAGAAGGGUCAUAAAUUAGCUUGGAGGUCCAUUUGUAGAAUUAAACUAAGCUUGUCUGGUGAAAUGCAGCAACUGGCCUGAACAUUCUAACUAUAGGAUUAGCAUCUAUCUAUUUCCCAAGGUUAUGCAUGAUUGUGUUGACACCGCUGCAAUAAAAACCUACAUAAUCUACUUUCCAUUUGCAAAGAUAAAAAAAAUCAGAGGAUUUUUCCAGGUCAAAGGAAAGUCCUUAUACCACACUUUGAGCUGAUUGGUUGUUUCUUCUCACGGUGUGGGGUGUAGAAAGAACUCCUCGUCUGAAUCCGGAACCUUUGCUGUGAUUGCCUUGAUAACUUUAUCAUGAGUUACGGCUGUUGACACUGGAAAGGAAGAUGACACUUUGAAUCAUUUAAUUAUGAAAGCCAAAAAUAAAAAAGAUAAGCAAUUUCUGAAGGUAUUCCUUUAAUCGUCAGAGGGGAGAUGAGCCUAAAAUUUUAGUGGCAAAUGACGAACUGGGAAAGUUCUCAUCUUAGGAAUCUAGUUAGACACUGGCACUGGAUUCUCGAAACACAGAUAUCUCUCUCAACCUUUAUCAAGAAAUUGUUUUAACCUAGUAAAUAUAAACUACCUUGUUUACGAAUCUUGGCACAUGGUUGCACAACACACACUCUGAGGUCCUGGAGUGUCUUGGCAACUUCUCCUAGAGGAUCUGCCACAACUUCUGGCAUUCCACUAUCUCCAGAGGCUGAUAACUAAUAUCAAUGGAAGAAAUCAUUAUUAUCCAUCAUGCUUCACCAGGAGUAAGAAUGGACAUUAAGAGAACAAAGGCACAACAACGAGAGAUAAGAUCAAAGAACUUGUCAGAGGAUAUACCAUUGGUCUAAUGGGAAGAUUGAAUAAAUGAGGAAUUCCGAACUGCUGGACAACCUGUAAAUAAAUCCAGCACACUCUGAGGAAACAGAGAAUCUGCUUCAUCCUUUAACACCAGAGUGUAACCCUAGGAUUAGCGCUCUGGCAUUCCUUUGUAACAAGUAAACCAAACAAUAAGUAAUUGGAGAAACAUGCCUGAGAGCCUGAUCCUCUAUCAAGUGGGUAAUAGCGCUUUCCAUUGGCAUCAAAGUGGCACAUAUUUUCCACAGCAGCAACACAGGGUACCCGUGUGCAUGAACAGUGGAUUGUCAAAAGAUGACUCUUUGAUAGAUAAAAGAAGAUCAACUAUAGGGCACCGAGAGGGGAAGGGAGGGUUGCAAACCCUAUACAAAAAGAGCCCAAAACUAAAGACAUACACAAAACAGCUCACAAAAAUGAAAAAAGGAGCUCAAAUUAAGGAUAAAUUACUGAUGAUAUCAACUAGAACUAUACAUCCAUAUUCAAGUUUCCACUGUACCAAAAAUGUAUAACUUUAAGCCAAUUUUCAAUAACAUUCUGUCCAAUAAUUGUCAUGGUGAAUUUGUAUCUUUUAAAUUACAUUUCCAUGUUUCAUCAUAUUUCCAGAAUUCUUGACAUAUGAUUCAAAGGAUAAUCAAAGGAUAGUGUUGAAUGGGGAUUGUCAAUAGUACAAAGGCACAAACCACAAGUUUUGAGAACAUGCGAAUUCCCUUCGCUACAUCUAUAAAUGCAAGCUUUUGAGGGGUGGUAACAAUGACGGCAGCUGUUAAGGGUACAACCUGAAAAGUUAACAUCAUUACAUUAAGAUUGAAAACUGCAGCAACAAACAAAACUUGCAAGAGUAUUAUCUGAUGCAAAAUGCCUGCAACUAGCAGCUUCUAAUUGUAAAGAUGUGCUUGUUUGUAAAAGGAUAGAGAAAUAAACAUUAAACCGUUCAUAAUUACUGAUCUAAGAUGAAAAGGCACAAAAUGCAAACCUGGCAUAAUGUAAGCUGAAUGUCGCCAGUCCCCGGUGGCAUGUCAAUAACAAGAUAAUCCAACUCACCCCUGCCCGACCCAGAAGCCAAAAAAAGGAGAAUGAUGAGAGAAAAUCAUCGUUUUUGAUUAACUGUAGUUUGCUUUGAAUCAUGCACUUCUCUUAUAGGAAUAAAAUACGCUUUGACAACAAUGACAGUGAACAGAAAUUUGAAUAUAAUAACCACAGCAUGCAAGCAUGAUGAACAUUCCCCUGCAAUCAGCCAACGUCAUAGAGUUCCAACGAUUUUUCAUACCACUUGGUAGUAGUCAAGAGUUGGUUGAUGACACCAGAAACCAUUGGACCUCACAUAAUCGCACGGCCUUGUCCAGCAAAUCCAAAAGAUACCAGCUUCACUCAUAGGUAUUCUGUGGGAAUUAUGCUUCUUUUCUCUGGGUUCUAGAAAAGGUAGGUGGAAAUAUAAAUGCAUUACUUCACUAAACUAGAAAUUAAUUUCGUUGUAGUGGAAGUGGAACUAUAAGCUUUAUUUAUCAGGGGACACCAUUGUUGGUAAACUUGGACCAUACACAUCGGCAUCGAAAAUACCAACUCGAGCUCCCAUUCUAGCCAAAGUAUAUGCAAGAUUUACAGCUACAGUUGAUUUUCCCACGCCUCCCUGAACAGUUCUGACAGACAGCAGUCAUAAUAGAAGAAAUUAAAGAAUAGUACUUUUUAAUAUUAGUAACCUAACAACAUGUCAAACCACAAUUUGGAAAUACUCAAAGAAAAAUCUUUUCCAUUAUAAAAUUCGCUAAUCGGGGAAGUCAUCACGAUGGAAUGAAACUACAGGUCAUCCUUAUGUCACAGUCAACCUCUCAAAGCAACCCCAAAAACGUCUUGUAGCCAAAUGUCAUGCAACGAAAUAGCUACUUUGUCAUAACCUGGAAUAUGAAGUGCAACAAACAGUCAACCUUCUCAAAGCAACCCUACCUUGCAGCUUGAAACUGCUAUAAUGUUUGAGAUCGUCUGUAACCCUGGAGGAAGUUCACCUGUGAAAACAGGUUUUGCUGGUUGUGCUGACAUAAUUACUUUUAACAUUCUUGACCCAAUGAAGAUUAGCCACCACCUCAUUUGCCUGCUGCUCAAACUGUCAAGGAAUACUCAUGCUGUUAAACUAUUUAAGGUUCAGUAACCUGAUAUAUCAGGCAAAGACUCUGAGGAAACCAUUAGGAAGCAGAAAGACAACGAUAGAUUAGUUUCAAAAAUACUUUGAAAUUGUACAUGCACAAAGAGAUUUAUGGAAGGGUGUCAAAAGGAGCAGGUGUCAAUGGUUUCUAAAGUAAUUAAUACACAAGACAGAACAUCUAGUGCAUGAGCAAGUAUUCGGUUACUGAGCAAGCAACAUAGGUUGUGUUAUUUACCAUGUCCUUGAUUGGACAUGCAGGUGUAGUGAGCUUUAACCGGAAUGAAACCUGAGAAUCAAAGCCAAGACAUUGUAGGGUAAGGGUGUCAUUCCUUACAGAUGUAUAAAGAAUAAAUUCCAGACUAAUUCUUUAAUAACCUCUCUAAGAGCUUCAUCUCUGAGGAGGUCCUUAACAAAACCUCAUGAAACAAUGUCCGUUCCAAAGUCAGGAUCAAUAAUUUGAGACAAGGCUUUCAGCACAUCACUUUCAGCUGUAUGAGCUGAAACUGCAGAAGUACUCUCUACAAUUACAAGAGCAGAAAAUGUACACGGAAUGAUGUCAAGCUUAUGAGAUGAACAAGAAAAAAUCAGAGGUGAACAAUCGGUGAAAACUAAGCAACCAAGUCCAGUCAAUUUUGCUCAGGGCAUACAGGAUAGGCAAUUAUUUUUGGCCCUUAAUCCCUUAAGAUUAUAAGCUGUAAUAAUCUUCUGUAUCUACUCAGGGCCAUUCAAAUUUGGUUUUGACAAGGGGUAGCCAAGAGUAAUUGGUUUGGAUGGGUUCUCAAUAGUACAAUGCAUGCUCAUGUGCACAAACACAAGACUGCUUUAAUUGUUUUCUGUUCGUGUAUAGUUUCUUUGCAAUUCCAAGAAAAUAGUUUGACAGAGCUAGCCCCUUUUAUUUGGCCUACCAAAUAAUCCUCCAAAAUUUUCUUCAAGGCAGAACAUGUAAAUAUGUCUUCGCAGAGAGUAUGAUAUGUAUUAGUGGAAGCAGAUUGAUCUGAUGGCACUAGCCAACGGUUUCACCAUAAACAUACUCAUUUCUAGAAACUCACAACUUUAUAAGUAGCAGAUUAUUAGCACCAAAAAAUAAAUUGCAGAAAGUUACCAAGAAUCGAACAUGGACGCCUCAGUAAAGUUAAUUAGGUUUACUUACUAUGAUACGAUUAAUUAAAUCAGGCUAUAGGCGUACUAGAAACAAUCUUAACUGUAUCACUUGCACUCGCUCCACAAGAUCACUCUGUCAAAUUCUCGACAUUUUCAUGAAAAUAGCUACUGGGUUCUCAUAGCUCAGAUAGAUAAAUACUCGAACAUUAAAAAAAAAAAAAAAGAAGAAUCCCAUUUGGGUAUUUACCAAAUAUUACAGGCACCCGAUAAUCAACGAAUUCAAAUUAUUCAUAGAAAGUACCUUCCACUGAAGCAGCCUUAGCUGCAGAGGAAUUCGAGACGGGCGGUUUGCGAGAUACCCAUCUGGAGCUUCGAAGCCAUUGUUGCUUGACAUAAGAGCCGGUUGUCGAUGGUGCGAGAGAAUUCGUCAAGAGACACGGUCCUACAACAGAAAGGCCCAGGCGAUGAGACAGUGGCAGUGACAGUGUCGGUUCGAAGAUCAUUGCAUGAAUUAGCGCAAAAGUUACCUCUGUUCGGUUGGACUUUUGAGCAGCAUAGGAAGAGAGAUGGAGAAGAAGAUGGGCACUGCAGUAGGUGCAUUUUCUUGAGAGAGAGAGAGAGAGAGAGAGAGCAGAGAGCUAAGAGUGCUCUUGCAGGAAAAAUGAGAGGUGGCAAAUGCUUCUGAGCCUCGCGCUCUCUGCUCUUAGUGCAAAAAAGCGCCAGCCCAGCCUCAUGUUAACAGAAGAGGAGUUCGUUAAUUUUAAAAGAAAAAAAUAGAAGACCUUUAUUCCAUCUAAAGAAAAAUGUGUUCCUUUGGACUUAAAUAAGAGCAAAAAAGUAUUUAUAUCUUGUACUUUUCCGUUCAAAAUUAAGAAUAUAAUUUAAAUUUUAAAUAUUCUAAAAAAACUGUAUGUGAAUCCAAGUAUCAAUAGUGAAAAUUUCAAGAAUUUCGAAGUUAAUUAAAGUCCAAACGCAUAAGCCCGAGAUUUAGAUUAAAUAAAAAAUUUUAAAAAAAUCUAGACGAACCUUAUGGGUAUUGAACGAUUAUAUCUAUGUAUAUAUAUUUUCUAUAUAAUAAUAGCAAUUGGCGGAAAUAUUUCUUCAAAUAACUUAUUUUACUCAUCACCGCCACUUCAACAUAUGAAUAUACCAAAAAAAAAAAAAAACUCGCUUAAUCUUCUAUAAAAUUGUAUAAAGAAAAAGUUAUAUAUAUAUAUAUAUAUAUAUAUGUGUGUGUGUGUGUGUGUGUGUGUAUAGAUUCAAUCAACGCUAUUUAUUUCUCAUUAAAUUUACAUGAAACUUAUUGUUGCCAUACUUUCUACAUCUAUAUCAUCAUAUAGGUAAAUCCUAAACCAAAUUAAAGAUAAGUAGGACUCAAUUUGAAAUCAAGUUAAAUUAAUUACGUUAAAUAGUCAUUCCUAUGGCCCAUUACAAAAUUUUAGAUAUACGACUCUUCACUAUCGUCAUCUAUUAUCCUUCUUUUUGGUCAAGAUCAUUAUCUAUCAGUUUAGUUACUUUGAAAUUGUCAUUGUGGAUCAUGCCCAUACUCAGAUUCCUCUAUGCUCUGGGCAUACGAACGAGACAUAAUGGUGUAUCGAAGAGGUACACAUUAACCAACUUGGAUCUCGAGCGCCCUCAUCAUUGACCCAAAUCCAUGGCCGGAGGCGUGCGAUCAUAAGAGCUGUAUGUCCACAGUUGGUGCACUUGGGAGUUCCACCCGGAUCUCGUCAUUAAGGAAACCAUAUCGAACUUGACAACUGAGGCAACUUUUGAGUCCAAGUUAGCAUCGAUGAUUGGGUCAUUGAAGACGAGUACAGGUAACUCAAAUCAUUUUUAUACUUGGAAAGUAGUUCGCUCCAGGUAACUGGAUCUAAACUAAGAUACAACAUGGCAUGGAGCAACUGUUUAUUGCCGAAAUUCACAGCGAUAAGAACUAUCUUGACGGCCAAGCAAACACAUGGUUGAAGUUGUCAACACUUGAGAAGAAUUUCCGAAAAGAAUGGUCUCAUUCAUUACAUAAGUUCGCCAAACUCAAUCUGCUGAGACCUUUCAUUCUCUAUCCAGUACUGCAAAACGCUGAGGUGCUUCUAACUUUUUACAUACAGCCCGGCUCUUCCGUACACUAUUGCCGGGGAGCGCUCCAAGACUAAAAGCAGAUGACUUCUCCAUUUGAACAUCCACAUACAUUUGCCUUCUAUUGAUGGAAUCUUGUUGCUUUUAUAUUGAAAACAGAUUAUGUUUGUUGUCCUCACCGUACCCCUAUGCGACAGAGUUCCAAAGGAACUAUCAGCCUUGGUAAACUGAGUAGCUUUAAGCAGAUUGCACAUGUUUUUCCAUUAAAAUCACACAGACAAUCUGUGGCAUACAUUAAAAGACGAAACUGCAAAUAGAUAGAGGAGAUAUAACUAAAGUGAGUAUAUAUGUAUUGGAUUGUAGUACGAGUUAUCACGGGAAAUGAGUUGGCUGAAGUUACAUAUCAUACUUCUUAGGUGGUGUAGUUUUCCCGUGAUAAAGAAAAAUCACCAUGAAGUUCAUUUUCAUUUUCUGCUCUUUUCUUCCGCAAAUCUACUUUGAUAGCUAAGUAAAUCAUACAUAAGAAUAGAAUAUUUUUGCUUUCUACAAUAAAGAUUAUACCCCAAUUUGAAUUCCCAAAGGACAUUUUGAAUUACGCUCCAUAUCAUUUAUAUUCCCAAAAGUAAGAACAAGAUGAAGCAAAUAGCACUAAGAGAAAGCAAUAUUAUUCUCUCACACAACCUCUUGACUUGCACUGUACAUGGUAUCAUAUUUUGAACAAUGACUACUUGCAUGGCUUGAUGUUUUGAACAAAGCUUAAAAGGACAAAUUGAUAUAACCAUCACACCCCAGCUCUACAAACAUAGGGAAAAUGACACGAUCGUCCUCCUAUCCAAAAGACGCAGUCUCAUAUGCAUAACCAACAUUAACCUAUCAUAAAAAAUAUACCCAUUAAUGUCUCAUAAAAAAAGAAGAAGCUGGUUACAUGACUAGAGUUCUAAAAUUCACCAAUAGAAAUAUAUAUAUCUAGUGACCGACAAACUAAACCGAAAAAGUACAUUAUAAAUUAUACACACAAUUAUCUCAAGUUAUACCCAAAAUCCAAAUUCCUAAGAAUCCUCCACUGAUGUAGCUUUCCUCCUAUAAGUCGGAAGCUGAAAAAGAAUUGAGAUGCCCCGGUAUAAGCAUACCACCUCUCAAUAAAUAGUGCACAUCUCUUCUCAACAAAUCAAGCAUCAGCAAUGCACAUUAUAAACAGUAACAGAAACACAACCAAAUCCAGUAUAUAAUAUAUGUAAAAGUCCAAAUAUGAGUUACAUCAUUUCAACAACAUUUUCAACAUAUUAGAAACACUCACUCAAUCAACAAUAUUUAAACAAACAUCAAUGGUUUAGUCCAUUGAUUACUCUAGUACUUCAUAUCAAACUAUAGCCAUGUUUANNNNNNNNNNNNNNNNNNNNNNNNNNNNNNNNNNNNNNNNNNNNNNNNNNNNNNNNNNNNNNNNNNNNNNNNNNNNNNNNNNNNNNNNNNNNNNNNNNNNNNNNNNNNNNNNNNNNNNNUAUGAUUUCAGAUCAUAGUGACAAGAGGAUAAAUCCAUCAACAUAAUCCCGUCAAAAACAAAACCAUUUCAGAACUCAUUUAAUAAAUUAUAUUCACAAAUCCAUACAACCCUUCGCAAUUCCAUCCACAAGAAGAAUACAUUCACGAAAAAUUUCUCAAACCAUUUUGUAAAUAAUCAGUCCUCCAACUAUUUCAGGAGAUAUCUUACUUUGCUAUUUCAAAUAACCAAAUAAGGAAAUAUACAUACGUGCAUGCGUGCGUGCGUGUGUAACCACAUAAGGAAAUAUGUGUGUGUGUAAUCAGCCCUCCAACUAUUUCAGGAGAUAUCUUACUUUGCUAUUUCAAAUAACCAAAUAAUGUGCGUGCGUGCGUACGGGCGGGCGAGCAAGCGGGCGGGAGUGCGUGCGUGUGUGCGUGCAUGCCGCGUGCGUCGUGCGUGCGUGCGUGCAUCGUGCACGUUGCGUGCGUGCGUGUACACAUAUAUAUCAUAGUGUGCAAUCUCUCAUUCAUAACUUAUAUAGCAUAUCUAAUUCCGGUGAUUUUCAAGCCAUGAGUUAACAUAUCAUAGAAGAGCUAAGCACCAAUCCUCACUUACAUAUCACUAACCUCAACUAAGAUUCUACUAGGUGACGCUAAUUUUUGAAGUCAAAAUGUCCAGUAUAAGUCGACAAAAAGGCCGCACAAGCAUCAUACUUGCAACGGGAAACAGAGCAGCAAUCUCAUCUUACAUUGUGAAUUUUGGCAUGUCAUACAUCUCUACUGAACUCCAUUCUAAGUGAGUUUACAGUCAAAAGAGAGCUUAUUCAAAGUACUAAAAGACCCAACAAAUCCUUAGAACCAAAAUUUGGUCGACAACUGAUGAAAUCAGGGACGAAACCCUGCUGGUUGCAGUCACUCUAAAUUAGUUUUCGAGAACUUCGAAGAACCAAUAUCUCUCAAACGGCAAUCCAUAAAAUCUCAUGAUUCCAAGAUCAACCUAAAGUUUCGAAACGACAUCAUGUCACUGCUCAACAAUCUCAAGAAUCAACUUAGCAACCCUAAAACCCGAACCGAUCCGAAAUUACAACUGAACAGAGCACAUAUCUUUGAUUUGAAGGUAUCGAAUUCUUACUGAGUGCUUCAAAAUGGUAUCGAUCUAGCUUGUCCUGGCCUCCGAACCGAAUCGCGCCAGAAGCCCCUUCCGCUCAUUCACGGAUUCCACACUCUUUCUUCUGUUCCCUCUUUGCUUUGCCGACUCGCUCCCUCCCCCUCUUUUUGCUGCUCUUGACUUUUCAUAUGGACCAGCUCUCGGGCAGUUCCAAGUAGUCGUACAACGUGUAUUUGGUACCUUUUGCAAUGAUGCACAAUCACGGACCUUCAACGAACAUAGCUUCUCCAGCUUCAAAGCAUCAGGGAGGGGCCUUUCUAUGGAACUGCAAUCUCCAGUUGAAGACGGUUCAAGUUCGAUCUCAAUUAAUUGUGGGCACUUCGUCACAAACAAAUUUUGAUGCUCCUUUAAGCUCGAAACAUUGGAUAUCCUCACAAGCCCCUCCCAUUCGAACACUUGCAGUGACUGGAGAUUCUUUAGCUGUCCAAUCACAUUGUCGAACUCGAUCUCUCCAAACCCACAGUCGUAGAGCAGUACGUGACACAAAUUGUCCAGGUUGGAGAACAUUGACCAUUCUAUUGGGAUCUUCACACCUUGUAAGUUCAACAAUUUCAAACUGGACGGAAACCCAGUUAGAAGCCGUAGGUUGGCACAGGUUAUUUCUAACCUCCAGAGUUGAGAAAGGGAUCUCAAGUCAGUUGGAUGCAUGGUGGGAUCGCAAAAAUCCACAUUAAACGACUGCAAUUUAUGAAGCCUUCAGAGAUAACUUAGGUUCGGACGUAGAAUUCGUCCUCGUUCAAAUAUGGAUGAUUGUUUAGUUGUUCUCACACAAGCAUACGUACAAUCACUUAUUAUUAGAUGAUUUAAACUAGUGAGGUUCGAGAGGUCGGGUACUGCCAGCAAUGAUGGAGACUUUAUCUUUAGGUCUGUUAAACUUGUGGGGAGGUCUGGUAGUAAUUGAAGCCUAUCACAAAAACUUAAAUCAAGUUCUUUGAGGUUAAAGAGCCGAUUAAUUGUCAUCGGCAAUCUACUAACCUUCAUGUUGUGCAAGUACAGAAUCUCCGAUUGAGAUAGUCCUGUGAUUUCACUAGGAUUUUUGCCCUCGAGAAUGUCACGAUCGUGGGCUGUUAGCUCCUCAAGAUUCUCCAAAGUCCCUAUACCAGUAGCUCUCUUAUCUUACUUUCCUGCAAAAUCAUGAGCUGCAACUGUCCACCAAUAGAAUGGGGUAAUUCUUCGAUAGGUGUAAAAGAUAAAUCCAAUUCGAGUAGCGAUUCUAGUCCUCCAAUGGAAUCUGGUAAUGCACUUACACUAGUAUAAUCUAAAUUCAAAUAAAGGAGUGAUGGCAACUUUCCAAUGGAAUCUAAAAGCUCUACAAGGUUGCAACACCCACUUAGAGACAGAUGCUUCAAAACUUGUAGCCCUUCUAUUGAGGGUGGAAGUUUUCUAAUGCCAUCCUGAUUUUCCAUCUUCAACAUCGACAAGGAUUUCAGACCAUCAAUUGCGUAUGGUAAUAGAGAAACGGGUGGAAUUCUCAGUAGUGGACAAUCCGUCCCAUCAAAUUCCAAAUACUUCAGGUGGCCUAACUGAUCAAUAGAGCUAUCAAUUUCUUCCAAUCUUGUACAAUUUUUUAGAACCAGUCUUUUCAAAUUCAAGGACUUGGAGAAGUUGGGUGUCCUCUUUAAAUAAUUGUAGCUUGCUAGAUAUAUGACUGUCAGGUUAUCAUUUACCUAUAAAACAACAAAUUAUUAAGGAAAAUAAUGGCAUAGGCAAAGGUCAACUCAAUGUAACAAAUGCAUACACACAUAAAUAAAAAAUUUGCCACCUCGUAAGAUUAUGCCCGUCAUCAAGUCUUGUGAGCUUUGAGUGCUACAAUGUUUUUUUGUUCCCUAAUAUUUUUUAGAGCACACGUUUAGACAUAAACCNNNNNNNNNNNNNNNNNNNNNNNNNNNNNNNNNNNNNNNNNNNNNNNNNNNNNNNNNNNNNNNNNNNNNNNNNNNNNNNNNNNNNNNNNNNNNNNNNNNNNNNNNNNNNNNNNNNNNNNNNNNNNNNNNNNNNNNNNNNNNNNNNNNNNNNNNNNNNNNNNNNNNNNNNNNNNNNNNNNNNNNNNNNNNNNNNNNNNNNNNNNNNNNNNNNNNNNNNNNNNNNNNNNNNNNNNNNNNNNNNNNNNNNNNNNNNNNNNNNNNNNNNNNNNNNNNNNNNNNNNNNNNNNNNNNNNNNNNNNNNNNNNNNNNNNNNNNNNNNNNNNNNNNNNNNNNNNNNNNNNNNNNNNNNNNNNNNNNNNNNNNNNNNNNNAUCAUUAUCUCUCCCUUUAGAUGGGAGUCGUAAUGGUAAAAAUUAGUUCUUUUGGAAUGUUGUUCAUUUCUCUCAAAUUAUGCAAAAUCAUCAAUGUCCCGUGUACAAAAAUGGGCGAACAUUUUGGAUGAAAAUGAACUCUAAAUACACAUAAUUGCAUGUUCAGAUUUUCUAGGCAUACCAGGUUAUUCUGAACCACAUUUGAGGCAGUCUUUGGACACCACACGACUGGCACACGACCCUCGCACGAUCACCGCACGAUCGUCGCACGAUUGCUGCACGACCGCCGACUGCUGCUGCACAACCGCCACACGAUCAUCGCACGACCACUGCACGACCACCGCACGACUGCCACACGAUUGCUGCACAACCACCGCACGAUCGCCACAUGAUCGCUGCCCAAGGAUUGUCGCCCAUAGCGCACCGACCGCGGGAGGGGCGGUGGCUAGUGAGCUGUGGGUGGUGGUCCUACGGUAGCAGUCAGUAGCGAUGGUCGGCGGUUGUGUGGCAACAAGCGGCGGUCGUGCGGCAAUUGGCGACGAUAGGAUGCCAGUGGACGGUGGCAGUCGUCAGUCGGUGGGCUACGGGCGGCAGCCACCAUCAUUGGCGGUCGUGCGGUGAUCUUGGUGAUUAAGUGGGAUGAUAUUGUCAUCUUGGUAGUCAGUUUGGGGAGCUAAGGAAUGAGUGUUCCUAGUUGUAACAAUAAUUUUGCUUCCUGGCCCAAACCGACUAUACUUACCAACAAGCUUCAUGAGUUGAUCCUUCUUGUCCAUAUCAUUAAGAAUAAGGAUGACUUUCUUAUCACGGAGUCUUUCUUCGAUCAUGUCCCUCCCCUCAUACGCAUCAAUAACUUUUGAGUGUUGAAUACCAAGGAUGUCACGCGACAAUUUCUUUCGCAAACUUAAAAUGUCAUUUUCAUGGAUAUCUAAAAAGCUGUAACUUUGGAAUUGGAAAGAGAUACGUUCAAAGAUAGCCUUAGCAAGAGUUGUUUUCCCAAUACCCCAUACCGUGAGUCACCACAAUCAUACAUCAAUCAUGGCCUACGCCUAACAACUUGAUAAUGGCUUCCAUCUAUUGUGGAUUCCUACCAAAUCAUCACACCCNNNNNNNNNNNNNNNNNNNNNNNNNNNNNNNNNNNNNNNNNNNNNNNNNNNNNNNNNNNNNNNNNNNNNNNNNNNNNNNNNNNNNNNNNNNNNNNNNNNNNNNNNNNNNNNNNNNNNNNNNNNNNNNNNNNNNNNNNNNNNNNNNNNNNNNNNNNNNNNNNNNNNNNNNNNNNNNNNNNNNNNNNNNNNNNNNNNNNNNNNNNNNNNNNNNNNNNNNNNNNNNNNNNNNNNNNNNNNNNNNNNNNNNNNNNNNNNNNNNNNNNNNNNNNNNNNNNNNNNNNNNNNNNNNNNNNNNNNNNNNNNNNNNNNNNNNNNNNNNNNNNNNNNNNNNNNNNACAACCAAGUGCAUGAUCCAGACAAUUUUUUUUUUGGCUUGUGCCACCCUUCUAGCAUGACAAAGGGUGAAAACAGACCAAAUGGCACAUUAAGUAGGGUGAAAACAGACCAAAUAACCAUAUUUUUCAUCUAUAUAUUGAGUUUUCAUGAUUAAGAAACAAUGAUCUAAAUUAAGAAAUGAAAGUAUAGAAAUUGUUAAUUACCGGUGAUCUUUUAAGUUCAAUCCCUUAAUUCCAGCGACCUCUUUUAGGGCCUCCUCCCACUGCUUGGCCACAAUUUUGCCAGACUGUUUCUCAUGAUUUUCUAAGGCCUUACCGUGUGAUCCAGUUCUGAGCUUAAGAUCUAAUGCAUCCACCUCAUAGAAGAUGGGCAAGAUCACUUUCUCACCUCUCUUCCUAUGCUCCACCAUGUGUGCGAGCUCACGAAGACACCAUUUGCUAGAAGCAUAAUUUUUAGAGAAGAUAGGUAUGUGGAUUUUUGAAUUAGAGAUUGCCCUUAGAAGCUCACCUCCAAUCUCUUCUCCUACAUGGAGCUCUUCGUUAUCUUUGAAGACACGUAUCCCAGCCCGAAUCAUGGUCUCAUAAGAGAGUCGAUGAUGGUUGAGCGAGAAUCGGGCCCUCUAAAGCUCAAGAACACCUCGUAUUCCCUCCUUGACGACGAUGAUGAUUCACCAUCAAGGGGGAGAGACUUUCCUUCAAGAUGUUCCAUUCCUACGAUCUUUUGCUGCGGAAGUGAUAUCAAACUAUUUUGCUCGUUCGAAAUUGCAGAGACCGAGGUGAGGGCCAUGAGCGAAGGCGAGAGACGGCCAGAGAAGAGCAAAGACCGAUGUGAGGGCCGCCACUUUGUGAUGCUGCAAUGGUCGGUGGUCGUGCGGCGGUCGUGCGGGGGUCGUGCGGUGAUCGUGUGACGAUCAUGCGGUGGUCGUGUGAUGAUCGUGCGGCGAUCAUGCGGCAGCGGUCGGCAGUCGUGGAAGUUGCAUAAGGGUAAGUGAAGAACUAAUAUAAAAAGACCAAGACGAAUUUCUGUUUUAUUUUUAUUUAUUUAUUUAUUAUUUUUUUUUUUUGCGUCUUGGUUUGUCAUUCCAUCAUCUCGAUGACCUGCUCUCACGUAUCUUCAACCCUGCACGAAAUGCUUUAAGAAAGGUUCUCGCUAUUGCUGAAAGAAGAAGAAAAACCCUAUGAGCAUAUGGUCUUGCAGCCAAAAUAAUUGGAAAACACCGUUAGUUGCAUAAAUUGUUCGGUCGGAUCCCCAUAUUCCAUGGCACUAGUUCAUAUUUCUGGUACAUCUAUCAAAUCUUCACAGGAACGAUUCUAUGGUUACUGGAUAUCAUGUAAAAGGAAUGAGGACAAAAGGCGAUUCAUUACAAUGACCUAUUUUGAGUGCAGAUAUCGAAUCCAGAGCGUGUUCAAUGCACUUUACCAAAUGAAAGGACCUCAUAAGAGCUUGCAUAACAGCUAUAAAGCUGUACUUAUAAGAUUAGUGCACCAUCCUAGACAUUAAUCUCAUCUUCAUUAAUUAUAUACAAUGCAUAUUGCUGGUCAGUGACCUGCCUAGACGAAUAGGCAAUUAUAAACCUUGCGUUCAGAAUAAUAACUGAAUAUAAUAUUCUUAGAAGAGACCUUUGAAUAAGAUGGAAAACCCAAGUUGAACUGCUUUUUCUUGAUAGUAUUAUCCUUGUAAAGAAUCAAAAUUAACGGACUCUAUUACAUUUUGGGAAUCCGUCCAUCCAACUGAAGUUCUCUUGAUUUUGUAUGCAAGGCCGGCUUCACGGAUAUAGAAGAGUAAUCCUGUUUCAUACUCAUGCAGGUAUCAUAGCAGUCAGCAUGAAGCAAGAUCCCACAUAACAUGAACAGUUACUGAAAUUGCACAAUCUGUACUAGUUCGAUCAUCAAACACUUAUGUAACAGAAUGUUACAAAGUAGUUCUUUCUGAAGUUAACGAGCACUUGAUUCUCCAACUGAGCCAGACAUGUACAUAAAUUAACAGAAAGUUCCUGCAAGCAAUAUAAUCUAUGAAAAAUAGUAUAUCAGAUUCAAACCACAAACUCAACCUUGUUUUGUUCACUUUUCAUCAAAACGUUCGUCGUCAUCUUCUCCAUCUUCAUCAACUUCUUCACUUUCAUCCCCUUCCUCAUCAUAAUAUCCUUCUUCUACAUCUUCAGCAUAGUUGUUGCUGUCAUCCUCUUAUCAUCAUCUUCAUCUUACGUGUCCACCUGAUUUGCCUACAAAGGUCAAGCACAAAAAGUAAGUCCAUAUCAUCUAAUUUAGUCUUGAGAGAGAUUAACGAAGCUACAAGAUUGCAGAUACAUGAUAAUGGCUAGCACUGACAGACAAAGAGAAGCAGCAAUAGCCAAAUAUGUGCAUCACUAUCACACUUUCAUUGUGGUUCAACAGCUCAACCAGAUAAAACAACGACAAGAAUCUGAGUUUCGAGCAUAACAUACAGAUGGAAUUGAAAAUGAGGGCAUUAAAUAUAUAACGCCUAACUGCUUAUUAGUAAAAUGAAGCAAGUGCAUGUACUGGAACUUCCUCUCUCAAUAUAGAGGCCCUCUGCAUUAGAAUGUCUCUCUGUGUUCACUGUUUGAACUACUCGCACUCUCCAAUCUGCUACCUUGAAAGCCAUUGGCAGGGCAGAGAGAAAAUGAAUGUUGAUAUUAUUAUUGAGAAAAUUUUAAUGCUUGUGAAUUCUUUUCACCAAAGCUAUGAUCUACUCUUGUUGAAUGAAUAUGUCAAGACCAUGCAGGAACACUGACCAGCCGCUCCAUUGUUUGCAACUGAAGAUAUGCAGCGAUCUGCAUCGACUAUAGGAAUUAGAUAGAGAAAAGAUGGUAAUGGUUAAUUGAUGAACGUGUCAUCUGAGUAAAUUCCUCCUUUACAAACUUCUCUGAAACAAUUCCAAUUACUGGUCAACCACAACAAAUAAGUACGUAAUACGUUCUAAUGCGACAUAGUAGAAAAGCAUUAAUCACCUGAUUAAAUCCGUCACAUGGCAUAGUUUCCCAUUGUUUGAAUUUCUUCAGGUUCGAUGUCUUCCGGUACAUCAGAAUACUGCAGUUUUCACUCCUGUCCAACCACCCUGAUGCAGACAAGUAGAAACGUCAAAAGGGUUUUUCUCGCUAAAUUCAACCACUAAAAGGAGUUCAUCUAUCUUCAUUGAUUUUGAGGGAUUUGAUGAGAGAACAACUGCAGUUAUACUCUGAAUCCUUAUGCUGUUAGACAUUUACUAGGUCAAAAGCUUUUGAAAUAACAAAGUUUUUUUAGUUGACCGAAUGGAUUUUGAUGAAGAAAUUCAAUGCUCCACUAGAAUCUACCAUGCCAGAUUACUAAUACUCAUGUUUCAGUUGAUAAGACAUUUGGUCAUUGAGAUCCAGCCGAGUCAAUUUAAACUAUCAUGUGAAGAUAGAAGGUAAGACUGAAGUGAAAAAAUGCUUGAACUUCAUGUGUGAGUACUUGGAUCAUAGAUAAUGGCAUGAAAGCUACUCAAAUCCACUUAACUAUGUUUUCAUAAUGUGCCCUUCAACCUUAGAUUCAAUUUAAAGGGUCAGAAAAGGUAUAGGCUUAGCCUAGUGGUCCAUUGUAGCUUUAAACUUAUGCUUGUCUUGAAGGGAAUACUUAACAAGCUACAUUAAAUGCAGCAAAACCAGCCUGAACAUUAUAAAUACAGGAUUAGCAUCUAUUUAUUUCCCAAGGUUAUGCAUUACUGUAUUGAAGUCGCAGCAAUAAAAACCUACAUAUCCUACUUUCCAUUUGCAAAACGAAAAAUAACGAAGGAAAGUCGUUAUACCGAACUUUGAUUGCCUUGGUGACUUCAUCACAGACGUUCCUUCUCACAGUUGCAGGGUGUAGAAAGAACUCCUUGUCUGAACCCAGAACCUUCACUUUGAUUGCCUUGAUGACUUUAUCAUAAUGACGGCUGUUGACAGUGGAAAGGAAGACGAAACUAUAAAUCAUUGGAAUAUGAUAGCCAAGAAUUGAAAAGAUAUGCAAUUUCUGAAAGUUAUUUCUUUAGUUUGAUCGUGGGAGGGAAGAUAAGCCUAAAAUCUCAGUAGAACAUGAUGAAUUAGGAAAGUUCUGAUCGUAUGAAUCUAAUUAGACACUCACACUGGAGUCUCGAAACACAGAGUACAUGCAGGAUUUACAGCUACAGUUGAUUUUGCCACACGUCCCGGAACAGUGCUGACAGACAGUAGUCCUGAUAAAAAAAAAUUAAAGAAUAGUACUUUCUAAUGAGAUAUAUCCACUCCAUUAAAGAUCCUACACCUAACUGCUUCAGCAAUCAAACAUGUAAAACCAUGAUUUGGAAAUACCCAAAGAAAAAUCUUUUCCAUUAUGAAAUUCAAUAUUCAGGGAAAUCACCACAAUGGAAUGAAACUGCAGGCCAUCCAUAUAUCAUAGUCAAACUUCUCAAAGCAACCCAAAAAUUUGUGGUCAAAUGUCAUGCGCUGAAAUACUGCAUCGUCACAACUGGAAAAUGGAGCACAACAAAAGGUUAUGCAAACCUACCUUGCAACUUAAAACUGCUAUAAUUUCGAGAUCAUCUGUAACCCUGGAGGAAGGCGACCUGUGAAAACAGGUUUUGCUGGCUCUGCUGACAUGGUUACUUUAACAUUCUUGACCCUAGGAAGAUUAACCGCCACCUCACUCACCUGCUGCUCAAACUUUCAAGCAGUACUUAUGUUGUUAAACUACUUUAGAAUCAGAAACCUGAUAUAUCAGGCAAAGACUCUUGUGAAACCAUAAUGAAGCAGAAAAAAUUUGCCUAGAUUAGCUCCUUGGAUACUUGGAAAUUGUACAUGCACAGAGAGAUUCAUGGAAGGAUGUCAAAAUGAGGUGACAAUGGUUUCUAAAAGUAAUUAAUGCACAAGAUAGAACAUUUAGUCCACUGAGCAUGUAUUUGGUGAUUGAUCAAGCAACUAAGGUUGUAUAAUUUACCAUGUCCUUGAUUGGACAUGCAUGUGUAGUGAGCUCUAACCGGAACAAUACUUGAGAAUCAAUGCCUAGACAUUGUAGGGUAAGGGUGUCAUUCCUUGCAGAUGUAUAAAGACUAAGAUCCCAUAUUGAUUCUUUAAUAACCUCUCCAAGAGCUUCAAUUGUCAGGAGGUCCUUAACAAAACCACAUGAAAAAGUCGGAUCAAUAAUUUGAGACAAGGCUUUAUUCCAGCUGUCUGAGCCGAAACAGCAGAAGUAUUGCUACAACUGCAAGAGCAGAUUCACAGAAUGAUGUCAAGCUUAUAGGAUGAACAACUAUUGUAAUAAAAAGAGAAAAAAUCUGAUGAGAAAAAGGGUGAAAACUUAGCAACAACUAACCAUUCAUUGACAGCACAUUAUAUUUGGCUUUUCAUCAAUUAAGAUUUUUAGCACUAAUAUCCUUCCGUAUCUCACUCAGGGCCAUUCAAAUUCUGUGUUGACAAGGGGUAGCCAAGAGUUGUUGGUUUGGGUGGGCUUCUCAAUAGUACAAGGCAUGUGUGCAAAAGCGUGCGCGCACAAACACAAGAUUGCUUUAAUUUUUUUUCUGUUGUAUGGUUUCUUGGCAAUUCCAAGAACCUAGUUUGACAGCAAGUCCCUUUUAUUAGGCCUAUAGGAUAAACCUCCAAAAUUAUCUUCAUGGCAGAACAUGUUGGUCAUCUUCGCAGGGAGUGUGAUAUCUAUUAGUUGAAGCAGAUCGAUAUGAUGGCACGAGCCAACGAUUUUACCAUAAAACCUGACCCAUUUUAUGGAACUCACAACUCAAUAAGUAGCAGAAUGUCAGCCCCAAACAACCAGUUGCAGAGAGAUGCAAAGAAUUGACCAUUGACAGCUCUGUAGAAAAACUUACUACGAUACAUUUAAUUGAAAAAAAUUCGAGAUAUUUGGCUUAAUAGAAAAACACUUGGCUGUAUCACCUGCACUCACUCCGCAAGAUCACUCUGUCAAAUUCUCAACAUUUCGUUGUAGGUUCUUGAAAAUAACUAUGAAUAACUGGGUUCUCAUAGCUCGGACAGAUAAAUAUUCAUAUAUAUAUAUAUAUAUAUAUCCAUUUGGGUAUAUCCCAAAUAAAACGGGCACCUAAUUAUCAAUGGAUUCGAACUAUUCAUGAAAUGGACCUUCUACUGAAGCAGCUUCAGCUGCAGACGAAUCUGAAACGGGCGGUUUGCGAGAUACCCACCGGGAGCCUUGAAGCCAUUGUCGCUGGAUAUAAGAGCUCGUAGUCGAUGCUUACAAAACAGAGUCUUACAACAGAAAGGCCCAGGUGAUGAAACAAGCAGUGGCAGUGUCGAUUAAAUGACCAUUGCAUGAAUAAGCGCUAAUGUUACCUGUGUCUGGUUGGACUUUUGAGCAGUACAAGGACAGAGAUGGAGAAGAUGGGCAGUGCAGGAGUUGCAUUUCCUAGAGAGAGAGAGAGCAAAGAGCCGAGAGAGCUCUUGCGGAAAAAGUGCGAGGUGGCAACUGCUUGUGAGCCUUACCGUUUCUGUUAGGAGAAGAAAAAGCGCGAGGCUUGUAUAAAUAAAAUAAGAAUUUGUUAAUUUUAAAGAGGAAAAUAGGAGACCUUUUUUCCAUCUUAAAAGAAGUAUGUUGCUUUGGACUCACAUCACACCACAGCACAUUUUUUCUUUACUUUUCUGACCGUAUUUUACAAAAUACUCAAUUGAAAACUAUAUAAAAAUCUACGUAUUAACAAUUGAGUAAUGUGAAAAUUAAAGUACAAAAGUCGCGUAAAUUAAAUUGAGUAAGAAAUAUAGUAAAAGUCAAUCCAUACAGAUUUUGUGGGUAUUAAUGGAUAUAAAUUAUGUACAUCUAUAUUUAUUUCUUAUCUAUAUAAUAAUACAUAACGUUUCUAAAAAUAACUUGUUUUAUUUAUGAAAUUCACGUCAAAAUCUAACUAUUAAAAGAAUAACUUAAGUUAUAGAUUCGUAAAUAAAUUAUAUUUGAUUCAACCGACAUCAAAGCUUUUUUCGUGUAUCUACUUCUCAUUAAUUAUCUUAAUUUAUGUAUACCUUGUUAUUUCCGUACUUAAUGCAUCUAUAUUACCAAGUAGGUAAAUACUAAAUUGAAUUGACAAAAAAAUGAGGAAAUCAACAUUAGAGUGCGAAAAAGGUUCGAUUGAAAAGUACGUUAAAUUAAUCACGGAGGAAAGUACCAAAAGAAUCAUAAACUUAUUGUAUUGGUAUCAACUUAGUCAUAAACUAUUCAAUUGGAUUAAUUCAAUUCUAAACUUUUCGCAUUAGUAUCAAUUUAGUCCUAAAUAUUAUAAUUGAACCAAUUUAGUCAUAAACAUUUUUACAAUGAUACCAAUUUAGUCGUGCUAUUUAGACGUAAACCUCGGGAGAAACUAGCACAAGACCCCACCACCAUGACUCUCCGCUUAAGACGUGUUAACAACGCAGAGAUUUGAACUCGUUCCCUCGGUGAUGAAGUAGUAAAGCCCAACCAAAUACGCUGCCCACUGGUGGAUAAAAAUUCUGACUUUUUAUGCACUUAGCAAUGGAUAAAAUUUAUCUGGGUGAAGUUACAAGAGAAAAAGGUAAAUAACAAUGCAUCUUUCAUUGAUAUAAUAAAGAACACUUAGGAUGUAUUUGGUACCCAUUAUGUUUUCGAAAAUAAUUUUUGUUUAGAAAUGAUUUUUUUUUAUUCUGUCCCUUGAAUGAGUUUCUAAGUAUUCGAAGGCGUUCGGUAAAUGCACAAAAUUUAUAUUCUUAAAUAGAAAUGUAUUUAGUAUGACCCUCAAGUUUUUUUUUGUAACUUAGAACUUCUUUUAAUUUUUUAAUAAUUUUAUUGCAUUUUUUCUCUUUUUUCCCUUUUCUUUUUUUUUUUCCUCUAGUCGUCGCUGGCCCCUGGUAAGGCUUGGCCGCACCUUGGCUAAGCGAGGCUCGGGUCGACAAGGCUCCAGCGACUGACUAAGGGAAGAAUAAGGAGAAGAAGAUAAGGAAAAGAAAAAAGAAAAUGCUUGAUUUUAAGACUAUUCUCGAGAAUAAAAAAAGUAACUUUUUUUUAAAUUGUUGAUUCUAUUCCAAAUCUAUUCUUAAGAACAAAAACGUUACCUAAUGGAUUUUUAUUUUUAUUUUAUUUUUUGUUCCAAGAAAUAAAAAAAAUAUAUAAUUAGAACUUUUGAUACAUUAUCAAAUAGAUUCUUAGUAAUUUUUUUGUGACAUUUCAAUUUUUUUUAAUAUAGUUGCUGGGUAUUUAAUCAUCCCCCUUUUCAGCUUUUUGCAGGCUAUUUAUUUUUAAUUAUAAUGCUUUGCCACGUGUAAAAAAUUGUGAGUGGUCUAAUUGGAUAGUUAUGUGCUACGUCCGUGGUUAACAAGACGCUUUGGUAUCACUGACCACUGAACAUUUCCCCGACAUUCUUGGACACCAUCUGCCAAUAUCCUCUUUGUGCACUCAUCUCGUCCUGUCCACUUUCGGCGACAUACCAUGAAAUGAUUGAUUUCGUUGAUGUUGUCCUCAAUUUCUCCCGUGAUUUGUCUGGUUUUCCAACAGAACACAGCAAAAGGUGAACUAAAGUGAAAAAGAAACCAUUAUUUAUGACUCAACAAGGUUCCAUUCUGAUUUACAGGUAUGUACCAUACAACACCGCACCCAAGUAGACCGAUAGCUGCACAUCCGAAUACCGGAAGAUGUCUAAUGACAGACUGAAAUAUCGGCGUCUCCAUUAUUUACCACCCAGUCGAUGCAAGCAACGACGGUGCGGUUUUUCCACGGUCAAACAAAAGUAAAGAGAAGGCUGUCCCCAUCCAUUGCAACAGAAUUCUUGAAACUUGACCACGCGACUACGUGUGAAGCAAAGAAGCUCAAAGUGGAGAAGAUAGGCGACCUUUAAUAAAAGUUCGCCUCGAAUCCAUCGGCAAGGCUUAAGUGCCAUCGGAUGGAGGCAAAGUGGCCGGGCCAUUCACAUUUAACGCCACCAUUGUCCUUGUUCCAUUCAUGCCUGCAGGUCGCAAGUCUUCAUCUUGCAGGACAUCGGGGAAACGAAAAAUUCUCGAUAUUGCGACUCCUAGGCGGAUGAUAUGGAAGGCUAUGCAGUUGAAAUAGCGCAUAUUUACCACGAAAGGAACGUACAUUGCCAUGUACAGAGCACAGAUAUGGUAUAGGGCAAUAGCUCCAAUCAACAGGACAAGAGAGGCGAGCCAGGUGCAUUUGCUUACGAGCACAUAGCCACCAGCCAUAAAUGCUACGGACAUUGUUCCGAGAGCUACCAACAGCCAUUUUAUUGCAAUUAUAUGGGCAGUUAGAGCAACGUAAGAGUCAUUCAAUUGUGCCCAAGACAACAUGAUAACCACACCUAUGGCACUGUACAUUGCGAUGGUGUUGCAAAUGACAAAUGCCUGGAACAUAUGCCUGUUCAGCAGUGUAGCCGUUCCCUGGUUAGGUUGAGAACUCUCAACGAAACCUCCAGGAACCGCAAAACCAGCUGCAAAGGUCACGGUUGCCACUAGCGUGGCGACGAUAGUUUGAGCAUUUGCCUGUCCCCUCAAUAUACCUCCGGUUUGGAGAGCAAGGACUGUAAAUUCCGCCAUAAUUUCUUGAUUUCUUGACUUAUAGAUAGCCAAAUCUUUACUUGUAGGUGCCCCGGCAGAUUUCAAAAUCAUUGAGGGUAAUCUCUAGGAAUGGGCCAAACAAGAAUAAUGCGGGGUUACUGUAAUUGGAAGCUGUCGUACAUACCGCAUGAAGAUAGAAGAGAUUCGCUUGAUUUUGGAGUUCCUAGUGAGUGAGUGCAUACCUUUUGAAGCGUAGUAUCCGUUCUUUUGAUUUGCUCUGUCGCAAUGUCAAGAGCCGUCAAGCAUUCGUUGUUGAGAAGCUUGCAAUCAACUCUUUUGUCCAGCACGAGAUCAAGCAGAACGACGGGGUGCCACGGCAAUGUGGCCAAAUGCAGAGGAGUGUUCCCGUCAUUGUCUCUCUCGUUGAUGAGCUUCUCUAGGUUGGCAUUCCCAAGUAUGUACCUCAAUGCCCGGAUUCUUCCAUGCUUGGCGCAGAUAUGAAGGNNNNNNNNNNNNNNNNNNNNNNNNNNNNNNNNNNNNNNNNNNNNNNNNNNNNNNNNNNNNNNNNNNNNNNNNNNNNNNNNNNNNNNNNNNNNNNNNNNNNCCACUGCCGAAGCAGCUCCUUUCAUUGCUUCAACAUGACCCUCUUUACAAGCAACGUGAAUCGGAAAAUGGCCGUCUCUAUCAUAUUCAACUGCACUCGAGGUGAAUUCUCUAAGUAGGAAUUUGAUGCCAUCACAGUAAUUGAUAUAUGCUGCCAAAUGAAGGGGAGUGCCUCGUCUAUCAUCUUUCAACUCAAACAAUCGUCGAUUUCUCCCACAUAUUUCCUGUAAACAUGCCUAGAUUAAGUGCAAAAUAAAACCAUGUGAAUAUUAAAUCACGCAUUCAUUUAACAAAUUAUUUUUUUAAAUAAUUGAUAGUGAUCCAAUAAAAUUUCACAUGAUUUUAGAGUACGAGAUCCUAAAUUCAAAUUUAUCUAGAUUUCUCAUUUGCCUCCCUAUAUAGUUACACAUUUUAAUCUUAAGCCAAAGUCUAAUCUUGCUUAAAGAAAAGUACUAAAUCAUUUAAAAUAUACCUGAAAAAAAAAACCCUAUACCUUCAGCUAAUAGCUUAAAUAUCUAAAACAAUUGAUAGUAGUCCUACACAAUUUCACAUGAUAUCAGAGCCACAUUCCGCCUUAGUUUGUGUGUGAAGCUCCCUAUUCAUCAAUGCCAUGUCUCGCUCUCAAACCAAUUUGCACGUGGGCCUAGUAUUCAUAUAAUCUCCCUUCACCUAUAAUUUAAAGUUUUAUAUUGAAAGAUUUAACAUUGUAUUAAAGGAGGAGGUGUGAGCUCCAUGUGUUUAUUUUACACUUUAAUCUAAGAUCAAAUUCUAACUUAUGUGUGAAGAAGAGUGUUAAAUCAACUAAAUAUUAAAUCACGUAUUUACUUAAUAGCUUAUAAAAAUUGAUAAUGGUUACAAAAUUUCACAUUAAAUUUUUGAAAAACAAAAAAGGUUAGUAUUAGAUGAGAUAUAUCUCUCCAUGUCUUCCUCUUCUUCCUUGCCCUCUCCCACUCUCGAUCUCACUCAGCAAGAGCCCUCCACUCCCUUUGUCGGUGCCAUUCCACUUGUUGCUGUCAUUGUCUAGGUCCCUCCAUCAUCUUCGCCAUCACUCCACCUUGGUCAUCUCUCUCUCUAGAUGGUCAAUUCAAUAAAUCCGACUAAUUUUAACCAGAAAUCACUUAAAUAGAUGCCAACCAUUUUACGUGACAUGAUCGAUGCUAACGUAUAUAAUUUUUAAUAAUAUUUUACUAGUUUUUUUAAAUUACUUAUUUAUUUAUUCUUUUUUUUUUGGUAAGAGGGACUUAUUUAUUUAUUCUUUUCUUUUUCCUUUUUAUAUUUUCUUCCUCUUUCUUUUUUCUCCUUCUCUUCUUCCUCUAGCUAGUCCCUAGACUGAGGGCUAGAGAGAUUGACCUCGUUGGCCUUGAGUGAAGCUCGCCUCCACCGACCACUGGCAAGGACGAGCCUCGCUCUCUCCUAGCAAGGCUCGACAUCACCGUUGCCUGCCACUAGGGAGUCUUGCCAAGUGAUGGCUCUGAUGAGCCAUGAGAUCUAGCAGGUUUCCUGCCUCUCUUCCUAUAGCCCAACAAGCAGAGCUUUUUUUGUCGAACAACAAGCAGAGAUCAACCCUUGCUUCCUAUUCACUCCAAUCUUCGCACUCUGACGAGCUGUGAGAAACACAUGAACAAUGCAACAACAGAACAUGAACCCCAAAAUUGUCAUCCACAUCCAUUACCUAGCAAGUGAACUUAAAAGGGUGAGUGAAACAAGCCAUCAUUUCAGUGUAUUCAACUUCGAUUUGAUGGCAACGGCUUGUCGUCACUAGGCAACCCUGGGUAGAUUUGGCAAGUUUAAACCUCACCCAAUGUGAGGUCAAGGCUUGUCAAGAGUGGACAAGCUUUGCCUGGCUGGUUGGAGACUAGCUAGAGGGAAAAGGAAUAAAAAAAAGUGACAAAUGGAAAAAGACAAGAAAAAUUGAAAAAAUAUUAAAAUAUUAAAAUAUUAUUAAAAAUUAUCAACGUCAAUGCCCACUACGUCACGUAAGAUGGGCGGUGUCCAUAUAGUGAUUUCUAACUAAAAUUGAUCAGAUUGGAUUAAAUUGANNNNNNNNNNNNNNNNNNNNNNNNNNNNNNNNNNNNNNNNNNNNNNNNNNNNNNNNNNNNNNNNNNNNNNNNNNNNNNNNNNNNNNNNNNNNNNNNNNNNCCUUAAGAUUUUUGGGUAAAUUUUGCCAUGAUCAAAUGUAGAGAGAGAGAGAGAGAGAGAGAGAGAGAGCAAUGAACGCCGGUGGUGGAUGGCAGCCUAUGGAGCAUUGGAGACGGCAACGUACACUGACGGAGCUUUAGACGCGCCGCCAUGCGAAGGUGGAGAAGAGAGGAAGAGAGAGAUAGGUGGGUGGGCAAUAAGGAUUAUUCCUUUUCUCUUAUUAAAUAAACUUAUAUAUGGAUAACCUCAUGUCAUGGUUGGCGUACUAGUUUGAGAAGCUGGGGAAUAUUCAGCUCAUGACUAGAGGCUAUCCAUUCAUAUCCUACCAGCUAUGAAUAAACUAUUUGACCUUAGGACCAUAUACACUGGUAAAAGAUUUAGACUUAACCGAUUUGUGAGGCUUAUAAGGUGUUUCAUUGGCCUCUAGGUAAUCAGACCUCUAUGCUCAUGCCCUAGGUUACAAAAUAAAAAAAUUAUGUAUAGAUGAUAUGCUUAUUUGUAACACGUAAAUUAAAAAGAUGGUAACGGGAAAUUUAAUUUCAUAUGGAACAAAAUAUAACAAUCAAAGAACAAGGCAAGGGAAAAAAGUAAGGCAGGCAAUCCAUGUUGUGUCGUAUUAAUUAUGUCAUAUCAAAAUAGGAGUAUAUCAAGAAUAUGAUUAAUCCAAACAUGACAAGUAUAAUAAACGUAUUGAAUUGCCUCAAUACGAACACGACAAACCUAAUAAAGCAAGUUGUAUGAUACAAUUAACAUAAUUAUCAAACUAUGUCAUUAUGUCAUGUAUUUACACUACAAAUAUACGUUAACCUUUGGUGUUAAUGUGUACAUCAUAAAGCUAAACAUGUUUAUACGUGAUAUGCCAAUUUAACAUGUUUAACACGCUGGUAAAUAAAUAACCGUUGUUCCACUUCACAUUACAUCUAGAGUUUAUUAAUGAGUUACCCUUUGUCAUCUUGUAUAACUUCUGCAUCCCUAAUGUGUUUUCAUCACGCCCUUUAUUCUUUUUAAAAUGGAUCUUACUUUUAUAAUCUUUUAAUAAUAAAAAUGUUAUUGGAGAUGAGUAUAAGGUGUUAAAACUUAGUCUUGUUUAAAAAGCCAACACACUAGCACUUUAAUUUAGAUGUGUGGGCUCGUGUCUGAACGGGUUCAGCAAGUAAUACGAAUUUUAUUGGGUCGUGAACGCGAAAACAUAGACCCAUUUAUGCCAAAUCAUUACUUGUUUGAUUGCGUGAGGUCUCGUAAGCGAAUGAUGCUGAGAAUUGCGAAGAGUAGAAAUUACCUAGUUUGCCGUGUAAGACAGCCGCAUGAACGGGCGACACGCCUUGAAUCCUUGAUGGAUCCAGCGGCACUGCCAACAGAAGCUUGAGAACCUCCAAGUCGCCACUCUCGACGGCCAGAUACAUCGGACAUUUACCUUGCUUGUUCUCCAAAUAUAUGGGUCGCAGGUCCUCACCUAUCAAGAUCCGAGCCACGCCAAGGUGGCCGUUCACAACGGCCUCAUGCAGGGGGGUGUUUCCCCUCUCAUUCUUCACUUGAACGAGAGCCCGCCGCAUCUCGCACCCACCAACGUCCGAUGCUCGGCCAAUGAGCACCCGGGCCGCGGGGGCCCUUCCGGUCCUGGCGGCCAAGUGAAGUGGGGUGUCUCCCCUGCAAUUUUUCCCGGCCACAGCCUGGUCGGGAAAGUGGCUGAUGAUGGCUCUCAGGAUCUCGUCUCUCUCGAGGCCCGCAGCGACAUGGAGCAACGAAUUUCGGGAGGGGCUCAGAAUGGCCCGCAGGCACAGACGUAGAUUGCGCUCGGAACAGCAACGUUCUACGACUCGGACGAAUUCGUCCGCAUCGCCUUGUUUUGCAGCAGUGAAUAGCUCCUGGGUCGUGGUCUCAUCGCACGAGACGGAGUCUUGCGUCAACAUCGCUUCCAAUCUCUGCAGCCCGUGUCUCCAGAAAGCACUCUCUUGCAUACUUAUCUCUACGGCCAUGACUUAUUGGUCUGAGGAAUGCUCUAACUUGGACUCGUAUGCAAUAACGAGCGUGGAGAGAGAAGUGAGCGAGCGCCAGAGCAGGGGCAGCCUUGAUGUGCUUCGUCAGCGACGGCAAGGGUGGUCAUCCUUGCUGACCUGCGCUAGGACCUACUUGAGGUUAGUGUGGAGGGCGUUGGUGGUGGCGUCGUUGGCCCGGGCGAGGUCCCUCCAAAUCUGGCUCUGCAUGAACAGCAACUUCGCCUGCUCCUCCAGCACCGAGUUGAGCUUCCCAAUCUUCUAGAUCUCCUCUUCCUUGGCUGGAGCAGGGGCGGCCAUAAUGUGCUUUGUCGGAGACGGUGGGGGAACAGCCACUUGACAAGUGCCAGAGCAACAACAAGCGUGAAGAGAGAAUUUGGGAUUCAAAAUUUGAAAGCCUUCAUCGAGGAGAAAGAAAUUGUUCGAGCUCUUGGAGGGAAAAUUUAAAGGGUUUGCUUCUCUUUCCUUCCUCCGGGAAGGAAAAAGUAAGAAGGAAAAAGUAAAUGUAUUGCACAAGAGACAGAGAGGAGGGAAGGAGGCUAGGGAGAGGAGAGAGAGGGAAGAAGCCUACUUUGUGCAGAAGAUGUCCAUGCCUCCAUGUGGUGCUUCAUAAAUGACCAAAGACCACUCUGACUUGGCGUUCCGGGACCACCCAAUAUUUUCUCAUUGGAGUUUAGUGGAGCAUCAAAGCAUGAGAGCCAUUAUUUUAUACAAGGGUAUGCAACCGAACUGGUUAUACUGGGAAAUUGGACCGGUCCACCCAGAAAAUAGGGUUGAGAACUAGUUCUCAUUGGAACCGGUCCGGGAACGGGUUCCCAAAAUUUUGAACCGGUUUAAACCGGUCGAAAAUCAGUUCUGAGUGAAUACCCACCCGGGAAUCGAUUUUUUAAGCAAAAGUCCAAAACUCUAUUUUCCCCCAAUUUCUAUUUUUACUCUUAUAGUCGCACGACAUUUUUCCUCUUGGCUCUCUCAGACGCACGCAACACUCCUCCUUCGUCAUUCCUCCUUCUCGCUCGCUUCUCUCCCUCGUCGGCUUACUGGCUCGCUGUUGCCCAUCGCCAGCUCACCGUUGCCCAUCGCCGGCUCCCUCUCGCACCUUCUGUUGCUACCAAAUUCCUAUGAUCCGAUUCAUAUUAUUGCAAAACCAAUAGGGCAAGACCAACCUCACCAAAUACUGUGUCCCCCUUGAGGACUCCGAGAAGCACAAGGUCAAGUAUGAGUUAGCCCCUCGUUUGCUCGAUUUUCCGCUCGUUCCUUGUUUCUCAAGGCUGAAUUGGCAUUUUGCUUGGCUCCAAUCUUUGUCUUCUCUUAUGUGUGUGGUUUGAUGGAUUUCUAGGUUCAUCGAUUGGUGGUCAACAAAGAUCCCAAAUUCACCAAUUUUGUCGAGGUUAGGAAUUUUCGAUAUUUUCUAUCUCAAAUUUGUUGGUCUCUUUUAUGCAGAUGCGCCGUUAGUGCACGUUAUACGGAUUUUUCCCAUUGAUUAUUUUGUCAAUUGGUGAAUUUUCGCUUAGCCACUCUAGAAUUGGGUGUCGACCUCAAUCUUCCCCUGAAAUGCUGCCGUGACGCAGUAACACCAUUCCCAACUUGGGCUAUUCUUGGUCAAUUGGGCAUGUUUUUUUUCCUUUGUCUGGUACGGACAUGCCACAAGAAGGUGGCAAAUUAGGUUCUCUCCCAUCUCUUUAAGCUGGUUACAAAUUAAGGAAUCACCUAUCAAAGUAUAGAGGAAACGAGUGUUGUAGAGAUAGAAGAAGUUCCAUUCUUUACUCAACCAAAUCAGCUGACCGUUGCUCGGGAUUCCUCCCUUUACAUCGAGAGCCAACGCAUGUAGUAUCUCUUCAAGGAUCUCAAGAUCCAAUUGCCGGCAUUAAAGCCCGAUUGAAUGCAAAAGAAUUUCGUACAUGUUAACAGCUUCUUGAUUGAACAAAAGAAGUAGUCACCAUCUAUAAUCAUCCCGAGAGGGAGAUCGAGAGAGUCCCAUGAAAUGUGAGAGUUUCUUACAGUAUUGUGGAAUCAAUGGAAAAUCUAGAUUGAUUUGCUAGAAGGAAUUAGUUAUUCUUUAAGUGCAACCAUUUGUCUCAUGUAUAAUUUUUUUUAGUAGAAUCCUAACAUUGUUGUAUAAUUUGUUUUCAGUGGAUGGAUCAAGACAAAAACAUAUCAACGGAAGUGGAUGGACAUAAUGAAAUGAGUCCGCUCAUGAAAUUGCCAUUCCAUGGAGCUGAUGAAGUGGAAUCUAUGACCGUAAGUGCGAUAAAUAAUGUGAGGGUACCUAACUCUUGUCCUCUUCAGAUAAAAAAACGAGCUAAUCAAUCAAAAGGCUUUGGAUAAUUUUUCAAGAAUCAUAAAUGAGAAAACACAUAAAACAGUUAGGGUGAAGUGCAUUCAUUGUGGGAUUGAGUAUGUAUAUAAUGUUGAUCAUGGAACAUCUACCAUGUGGAAGCACUUAAGAAAGUGGAAAAAGUAUCAUCAUACAGAUAAAUAGCAAAUGUUGUUUACACCAUGUAACAAAGAUGUGGCUAGCGAGGUAGAGGAAAAUACCACUUGUGGUGGUAGCAUCUUAACGAUAUGGAAGUUUGAUCAAGAACGUUGUAGGCACAUGCUUGCUCGGAAAAUUAUUAUUGAUGAACAACCAUUUUCCAUGGUUGAGCGUGUUGGUUUUCGUGAUUCUAUUACUGAAUUACAACCUUUUUUCCAACAUCUUUCAUAAUUUACGGUGGCUAGAGAUUGUAUGAACUUAUAUUUAAGUAAAAGAACUUAUUUAAAAGCUUACUUUGGUAAGCUUAAAUCUAGGAUUUCACUUAUGACGGAUAUGUGGAGUUUCAUUCAAAACUUGAACUAUUUAUGUUUCGUUGCAUAUUUUAUUGAUUUAAAUUGAUAGUUGCAUAAAAUAAUUAUCAAUUUUGUGAUGAUGCAUAAUCACAAUGGUAGGGAGAUUGGGAAAAUGGUGGAGAAAUGCAUUUGUAACUGGGAAAUAGAAGAAAAGGUGUCCACAAUGAUUGUAAAUAAUGCUAGUUCAAAUGAUGUAGCCGUUAGUUAUUUGAAGGAAAACUUUUCAAGAGAAGGGUUUUGAUUUUGAAUGACAAUAUUUUACAUAUGAGGUGCACUACUCAUAAACUUAACUUGAUAGUAAGAGAUGGAUAGAAUGAGGUGCGUGAUUCCAUUGCAUUUAUCCGAAACAUAGUGAGGUAUGUGAGGAGUUCUCUUGUAAGAGCCAAGACAUUCCAAUGUUGUAUUAAAAGUGAGAGGAAUGCAUAUAAUGGUUUGGUCUAUCUUGAUAUUGCCACUAGAUGGAACUCCACUUACAUGAUGUUAGACGCCGUCAUAGAGUUCGGGAAAGCUUUUCAAAGGAUGGAAGAAGAUGAUUUAUCUUUUUUAAGGAAGAUUGACAAUGAUUCUCCUCAAGAUGAAGAUUGAGAAAAUGCCAUCAUUCUUUCUAAAUUUCUAAAAUGGUUUUAUGAUGCAACCAAAAUGAUGCUAGGGAGUUCAUAUAUUACUUCAAAUGAUUAUUUUGAAAGUAUAACUAUGUUGUAUAAAUAUUUGAAUAGUGCGACGAAUUCUUUGGACCCAAAGCUUUAAGCUAUGGGCAUAAAAUUAAAGAAGAAGUUUGACAAGUAUUAUGGGAGUUUAGAUACAGUAAAUAUGAUGGUGUUGAUUGUAGUUGCAUUGGAUACUACAAGGAAGUUGAAUUAUGUAAAGUUCUAUUUUCAACAAAUUUAUGAUGGUAAAGCGAAUAUUGAUGAGAUGUAUGAUAAAGUGAAGGUUGCCUUGGAACGUUUAUACAAAUUUUAUGAGCAAUUUUUUAUUAGUUCUUCUAGUAAAGAAAAUUUUGGUAGUUCAAGUUUGAGUAAUAAUAGUAGUGCUUUCAAUGUUGAUACUAAUGACAAUGAGUGUGAAUUCAUGCUUGGCAUAAAAGCUUUCUCCACUCGACAAAAAGAGUGUUGGAUGAAAAUAAACUCGAGUUGGAUCGAUAUCUUGAAGUUGAAAGUGCAAAUGUCCUUAAUCUCGAUAUUUUGAUGUGGUGGAAGAGUAUUAGGUCAAAGUAUAAAAUUUUAUUUUUGAUGGCUCAUGAUUCUUUGUCUAUUAUUGUGACUAUAGUUGCUACAAAGUCGACUUCUAAUACAUUGAGACAUGUACUUGACAACUUUCAAAGUUCUUUGACUCCUAGAGUGGUGGAAGGUUUGAUGUACUCAAAAUUGGUUGAGAGCUAUUCGCAUGUCGAUUAAUAUUGAAGAGUACAUCAACAAUGUGGAAAAGUUUGAGGUGAGUAAGUUGUAUAUAUAUAUUUUUUCUAUCUUGUAAUUCAUUCGCCUAACUAUCUAUCGAGUGAAUGUUUUAUUUAAUCUCUUUCUUGGUUUUCAGAUUUGAAUUGUCUUACGAGGACAUUAUCAUUGAAAAAUAGACUUCAUUUUGUGGAAACUAUGGAAACUCUACCUUUGUGGUAAGUUAAUAGACUUUAUUAAAACAUAACUUUUGCAUAUUUCACUAUGGUUUCUUGUUGAUUUUUCUUUAUGUAUGAGUUUCAGGUCUUUGUCAGAGAUUUUGUACCACGUGGAUUGUCUCGCCUAAUUUCAUUUUUGAAUGAGGAGUUAUGCUGAUUUCGCUUUUGUAGGAGUUAUGCUUACAAUAAACAUUUGUUAACCGUUUUAGAUAAAUAAACAGCUUUAUGUAGUAGUUGUGGGAAUGAGACUAAUAUUAGACUCAUGUUUGUUGUAAUGUUUAUGCAAUGUUAGGAUUUUUGCUUUGUCUUAUGAUUUUGUUUAUGAUAAUUAGCCUUAUGAAUCCUUACUUUUUCAUUUAGUCAAAAAAAUUCAUGUACUUAUUGAUUACAAGUGCUUAAUAUUUCAAUUCAAAUUAAGAUGAUUACCUUAUUUUCUUGCUUAUUAAUGUAAAAUUCAAAGCCAUAUGGGAUGUUGGGCAGUUGCAAAACAGGUUUUAGUAGAAACAUGAUUGACCUUGGAACCAGAUCGGAAAAAUAUGAUGGUUUGGGUAUAGGAUGGUCCAAUGCAAACAUGGUUGGGUACAAUGUUCGAAAAAGGAGAACCGGUUAUAAUAAAGUCGGGCACAGGGUUCAGGUCUAGAACUUACCCACCCUGGACCGACCACCUCUACUUCUAUACACAAUGAUGGAGCCCACCAAGGCCAAAUGACCACCUCUGUGCAAAGUAAUAAUGUCCUCCUGCUUUUUCUAAAGCUACUUUUCCCCCUUAUUAGGUUAUAAUACAAUAUAAUAAAGUGCAUUGGACUAUAUUUUUGUCAUAGGAAAAUGUUUUUUCUAACGUGGAAUAUCAUAGCGUGGGUCAUCAAAAGUCAUUUCAUAUUAGGAGUGUGAUGAUCAUCUGAUUCUUGCUUUUCAUAUUCCAUUAAGUCCUGACCAAUUGAGUUCACAAGACAAUCAUUACUAGGGUUAAAAAGAAAUUAGGGUCCAGUCUCCCCUAUACUGUUCAUAAGUGCCUCUUGAGAAAAUUGUAGAAGUCAAUCAUUCAAAAUGCAUGAUUUUGAGGCAUUUUACCUUGAAAUUCGAUCUUAUUUGACAUCUUAAAACUAAAUUGUACAUUACUCAAACAUUACACUUCCAAAUCAUAUGUGAUUUGAUAUAAAAUAAUUUAAGAAUCUCAUUAAUUUAACACCAAUGAAAAUAGUUCAGAAGCGGCAAUGUUCCUUGGACAAAGUCAAGGACUUACUUGGACAAAUGGAAAGAUUUGGGACAUCAUAACAUGUAAACAAACGGUGGUGAAUUUUUUAAGAGGGGGCUUGAGAUAAACAACGACCAAUGAAGAUAAAUUUGUACUUCUUGCCAAGGUAGAGAUUUGUUGAUUAUGGCCCAAAGUUGUUCUCGUUUGAAUUGGAAUCAACAUGAGUUUGACUUGAUGUUUCUGGACACUCGACGUGUUUGUGGGGGCCGAUGUCCGAAAUCAUGUGAGCAAUUUGGUGAAGCUGAUAAAAAAAGACCAAGAGAUAUUAGUCUGAUACUUUCCAAUUGUAAUUGAUUACUGUACCUGAAAAAUGCAGAUAAUGCCGAACAAGGACUCGGAGAAAACAGGGAAAAGAGACAAGACUCCCUAAGUCUUCGUCUUCUCCUUAUUUAUCACGGAAACUUCUGUUAAGUGUGAAAUGAACCCAAGUGAUGCAGGUUUUGUUUGAAGUGAGCAUGAGAACGCGGAGACAAAUAGUAGAUUCACCAUUGUUUAAUCUGUUAAAUAAAAGCUCCAAAGAACAUUGAGCCAAUUGGAAGACGACCUGUCAUAUGUUUUUUUUUUUUUUUUUUUGGUCGUAACCUGUGAUAUGUUUGACAAGUUAAACAUCAGCCAAUGCAUUCCAAGUCUUUGCUGGAGUCCAUGUUCUUUGUAAGGUGAGAUGGUGAUGGAAGUCGCUCAAAGUUGUGAAGAACUAAUAUAAAAAGACGAGACUUCUUUUGAGCCUAAUAAUGUUUCUUUUCCUCAAUUUUUUCGCUUCUUAGUUAGAGGCUUUCCGAGUUUGAAUCUCUCUCUGUUCACACUCUCCAAUCUGCUACCUUUACUCGAAAGCCAUUGGCAGGCGCGCAGAGAAAUUGAUGCUGAUCACUAUUCUCGAGAAAAUUAUAGUGCUUGCCAAUUUUUUUUCUUACUGAAGCUGUGAUCUACUGUAGUUGAAUGAACGUGUAAUGGCCGUGCAGGAACACCGACCAGCCGCUCCAUCGUUUGCAACUGAUUGUAUGUGGCAAUCUGCACCGACUAUAAAACUUAAAUAUAGAAAAAAUGGCAAUGGUUGNNNNNNNNNNNNNNNNNNNNNNNNNNNNNNNNNNNNNNNNNNNNNNNNNNNNNNNNNNNNNNNNNNNNNNNNNNNNNNNNNNNNNNNNNNNNNNNNNNNNCAUGCCAUCCGAGUAAAUCCAUCUUUGCAAACUUUUUCUGAACCAAUUCCAAUUACUGGUCAACCAUGACAAUGAGGGACGUAAUUCAUUUGAAUGUGACAAAGUAGAAAAGCAUUAAUCACCUGAUUAAACAUCAGAAUACAAUUGUUUUUGCUCCCCGGUCCAACCACCCUGAUGUGCAUAAGUAGAAUCGUCAAAAGGAGUUUUCCAGCUGAAUUCAAUUACUAAAGGAGCUCAUUUAUCGUCAUCAAUUUUGAGGGAUUAGACGAGAGAACAACCGUGUAUAUACUCUGAAUCCCCAUGCUAUUAGACGUUUACUCAGGUGUCGACUGACUAUGUUUUAUCCCAAAACAACUGUUUGACUGAUUCUGGAUGCUUCCACAAAAAUACCUCCCUCGCACAACCGUUCUUCAUUGUAGUUCAUCGCGCCUCCAUCUUCUUACGCAGUGUUUUCUACGAACCUACCUGAGUUGAUUCGUGGGAAUUCUUCAAAUGCAUGAGAACUCGAGCCUAAAGCAAGAGAGGCAUUCUUCUAUACGCAAUGAUGGAGCCCAGCAGGAAUUGAAAAAAACAGUUGAACGACAACCUGAGGAAAUGUAAUAAUGCCCUCACUUUUCCUAAAAGCCACCUUUUUUUCUACCCUUAUUAGGUUGUUGUAUAAUGAUAUAAAGUGUGUUGGACAAUACUUUCGUCAUGGAAAAACAGAUUCUCUGAUAUGGAAUAUGAGAGAGUGGAUCAUGAAAAGCCGGUUCAUGUUGGGAUUGUGAUGAUCAUCUGAUUCUUGAUUUUCCAAUUCCAUUAAGUCAAUUAACUUCACAAUACAAUCAUUAUUAGGAACAAUCAAUCCUGACAAUAAUUGAAAAAAUUAAGAUCAAAUCUCUCCUAUGCUGUUGAUAAGUGCGUCUUGAGAAAAAAGGCUGAAUUCAAUCACUCAAAAUGCAUUGUUUUAAGGUAUUUUACCUUGAAAGUCAACCUGGUUUGGCAUCUUCAAAAGUAAAUUGUACAUUACUAAAGUAUAACAGCUCCGAUUCAGAGAUGAUCAAAUAUGAAACAUGCCUUGUAGCAAAAGGAUUCAAUAACCUUAUCAAGUGAAUGCACUCCCUUUAACUCGGAAGAACAGCGGCUAUGCAGGUCAAAGCAUUAAAAGAAGUAAUGCUUUUUCACUAUCUUCCAAGGUUUGUGGCAGUACCUGAUUCAAGUGCAGCCAUUUUUGGAGCAGUAUCUAAGACUAAUGCUCUGGAAACUGGAGAUUAAACCUCAGCUUCACCAAUUGUGAGAGAGAGAGAGAGAGAGAGAGAGAGAGAGAGAGAGAGAGAGAGAGAGAGAGAGAGAGAGAGAGAGAGAGAGAGAGAGAGAGUGAGUGUGUCCUUGCGUGUGUAAUAUAAUUGUUUAUUUGAGAGUAACGAUUCAAGUUGACGGAUAAUGGAUAAUGGCACCUGCCAAUGUUCUACAUGUAUUUUAGCUAUUACAUCGUUUCCACAACUUCACUCGAUGUCGAAUGAAAUUUGAGGGAGACGUGACCGCUUGUUCCAUCCUCCAAGACCUCGGAGUUUAUCGAGCUCUUUAAUGUAGAAAUAGUUGCGAUUUUUCUCUUACCUUCAAAUUCACAUACCAUCUUGCUUUGUGGACUAAGAUCUCGAGAUAAAUCGGUGAGCAGUCGAUGAAUGAAUCAAAAGGAACCCCCUGGUGGGGUUUUCUUGGGCAAUAAUCUCGUGCAAAAAUGCUCGUUUUGACAGGGGUUUCUCUCUUCCAUUCUUCUCUCUUUCAUACUGCUUUUACCCUUAGUUGUAUGGCUGCCUAUGCCCGCUCUUUUCGAUUCACAUCAUAGCACAGCAAUACAUGGGAAAUUUCUGCGAAGCGCAAAUCUAUUCUUCUCUCUUUCACACUGCUUUUACCGUUGCUUGUACUGCUGCCUAUGCUCGCUCUUUUCGAUUCGCAUCUUAGCACAGCAAUACAUGGUUUCUGCGAAGCCCAAUUCUAUUCUUCUCUCUUUCAUACUGCUUUUACCCUUCUUAGCACAGCAAUAUAUGGGACAUUUCUGGAAGCACAAUUCUAUCCUUCUCUCUUUCAUAUUGCUUUUACGCUUCUUAGCACAGCAAUAUAUGGGAAAUUUCUGGAAGCACAAUUCUAUCCUUCUCUCUUUCAUAUUGCUUUUAUCCUUCUUAGCACAGCAAUAUAUGGCAAAUUUCUGGAAGCACAAUUCUAUCCUUCUCUCUUUCAUAUUGCUUUUACCAUUGUACGGCUGCAUAUGCCCGCUCUUUUUGACUCGCGUCUUAGCACAGCAAUACAUGGGAAAUUUCUGGGAAGCACAAGGCGGACGAUGCUAUCAACUCUAGCCAAAAUUGAAGCAUUUUUAGCAUUUUCUUUUUGUUCAUGUCGGAGAUAAAUGAAGAGGUCCGGAAUAUUGGAAUGAAAAUUCUCUUCUAGAAAAUUGAGGGCGGAUUCGUAAUUUCCGCCAUUUUUCGCCCCAACACGCCAAAAAUAUAUUCGAAAAUAUGGAAAAUGUCCUUGCGGGAGUCGUAAUUGGACAUGCACUCCGUUUUUAUGCGGAUCAUUAUUGAGUGGUUGAAGAAGGAAUUUCGAUCUCACCACAGGCAAUUGACAUGGGAGCAUCUUAAUCUAAAUGUGUAAUGUGCAUUGCAUUAUCUCCAACACUUUUUGACAUGACCAUUCAAUCAAUGACAGAGUUCGUUACCACAUAUUGACUAGUGCUCUAAAUGCCCAACAAUUGUUAUUAAAACUGCAUGAAAUACUCAAUAAUUAAAGGCAAUGUGAUAGUGAUACCUGAAUUCUUGUUUAAGGUGCAUUAUCAUAAUUGAACUUUAAAUAGAUUUACUUAGGUCUAACAACUUUGUUACAACGUGCAAUGCAUUUCUGAAUUUUCAAUUGAUUCAAUUAGAACGCUAAGCUUUUGUUUAUAGUGUUUGUAAUUGAUUGAUCUUUGGAAAUUCAGCUUGCUCUUGUGAAAUUAUUUUAGUAUGUUUUAUAUGUCAUACGCCCACUGAUUAUCCUCAAGGAAAUUUCUAAAAUGGACAACAAUCUACAACAGCCAGUAAAUUAAAAAUAAAAUAAAAUUAUACAAGUAGAUUUCGCCUGUAUAACAAUUAUCUGAAAUUAUAGAGAAAUGAUACACAUUCGCUUUUUAUGUGUGAUUCAUUUUAAACAAACAAAUUUGCUUAGUCCCUUUGAUCAUUCUCAUUCAUUAUAUCAGCUAGUGAGAAGUGCAGAGGAUUUUGCUGUUCUUUUCAAAGCACAGCAAACAAAUCCAUUCUCCAUUUCACAUGAUCUCCAUUGAAUCAGGAAGAAGGCACAUUGCUCUGUCGAGUGAGAGGUUUAUCCUAAUCCGAAACCCUUUUCAAACUUAAGAUGAUACUGAAUAUUUAAAAAUAAUUUAGGAAUCUCGUUCAUUUAUAACCAAUCAAAAGUUUUGGAGUGACAAUACUCCUCGGGCAAAGUGUAGGACCUACUUGAUAAAUUGAAAGGCCGGGCAUAUCAUUACAUGCUAACUAACAAUGUUGAAUUUUAGGACUGAAAAUUCGAAAACUAGUGGUCUCACUGCCCCUAGAUUUGAUGAUACGUUAUUUGACGAAAUCAAUUGGAUUUGCAAUCUCCAAAGAGACUCGACAAUUAAAUUGAAAUUCCCGUUGGAUGAAAAGGUUAAAAGCAUAGCCACAAGCAUUUGCCUUUUAUUGAUCGAACCUUGUUGCUUCGAUGUUGGAAACAGACUUAAGGUUUUUUCUCCUCGAUAUGUCCCUAUGCAACAGAAGUUUGAAGGAACUAUCAGCUGUCGGCAAACUGAGUAACUUCCUUCGGGGUGCAUGAAACUUUUUAUCGAAAUCGUGGACAAUCUGUUGCAUACAUCAGAAGACGGAUUUGCAUAUAGAUGAAUCGCACAAAGGGAUAUCACUUGCUUACUUCAAGCCAACUGAAAAAAGAGUGGAAAAGUCCUGGCAGCUCUAUAUCAGUUUCCUUAAUAGGGUCAUCUAUUAAAAUAUAUCUCGAAUUUGAACAUGUUGAACAAAGCCCAACUGAUGAGAAUGUGUGAAUUUGACCAUCUGCGAGUCAAAAAUUGGCGUACGAGAAUUGGCUGGCCGAGAUUUCAAAAAGCGUGAAGAAGAAUCAAUUACGCGUGACUUUGUUGCCUUCUCCAAGUCCAAUUUAUCCUGCGUGUUGGAUUCUUUGGCACGCUGAAUUUGUUGCCGCAGAAGAAGGGGUUCACACACACACAGAGAUACGUGAUCAUAAUUGUACUUUAAAUUGAUUUACUUAAGUCCAAGAAUUUUAUUCUAAUACGCAAUGCAUUCAUGCUUUCCCAUGAUUUGUUUAGAUGUCCUACACUUUUGUUUAGUAUGUGAAAUUGGUCCAUCUCUAGAACUUUAGUUUGUUCAAUUAUGACUCUUGAAAUUAUUUUAGAAUGUUCAUAUGUCUGACGCCGUUUAUUACCCAAAGGAAAUGGCUACAAUGGACAACAAUCAACUGAAGCCGCUGGAUAAAAAAAUUAUACAAAUGGAUUUCGUAUGUGUAAUAUAUAUCCCAAAUGAUAAAAAAAUAGUAGACAUUCGUUUCUUAUGUGUAAUUCAUUUGAAACAAAAGUUUUGCUCGGUCACUUUAAAUGGUCAUUCUUAUUCAUUAUCUCAAAAUGUCAGAUUAGUAUGGAUUUUGCUGUUCUUGUUAAAGCAUCGCAGACAUUCCGUUCUCCUUUAACAUAUUAUACGCUAGGAUCAGGGAGAAAGCACAUUGUUUUGUCAAGUGAGAGGUUUUGUCCUUUUCUGAAACCUUUUUUGAACUUACGAAUGAUAGUGAAUAUUUGAAAACAGUUUAGAAACCUCAUUAAUAUAAAACCGAUGAAAAGUUCAAGAGGGACAAUGCUUGGGCAAAGUUAAGGAUUUAAUUAGACAAAUUGAAAGGUUGGGGACAUCAUAACACGUAAAUGAACAAUGGUGAAUUUUUUAAGACUCUUAGUGUCCUUGGACUUGGUUAGCAUUUGCAGUGAAUGAGGAGACCAAGGAGGCUCCAAGAGAUAUGAGAUGAUAAAUUGGGAUUUUCGCCAAAGUGGAGAUUUAUUGAUUAUGACUCGAAAUUAAAUUUGUUUAGUUUGGAAUCGACACUAGCUUCAUUUUCGGACACUCAAAAGUGUUUGUAAGGGCUUGGAAAUGGAGACGGACGACUGGAGGAUGCAAGAAGCCGGCCCCCCUAGCCCUAGCACCUGCACAAACCGGGCAACUAGGCGAGGACUUGGCCAAGAAGUGGCAGGGUUGCCGGACACCCGGCAAACCUCCUAAGCGAGAAGCGUUUUCCAACAUAGUGCCCAAGUGUCCGGGCCUAUUUUGGUCAGAUACCCACCCCCUAUUUUUAUGUAUAUUUCUAAAAGGGAUUUAGGAAGAGUGAGUGAGAAAACUCCUUUCUUACGGUUGAUUCUAGUGGACUCGGGUUUUAUCUAGGACCCUUGUGAGUAAAUGUGAUUAAACGAUUUUAAUCUUCUCUUUACCGAUUAUAGUAGAACCAUUUCAUUGAUAUCUCUAUAGAGCACACCGCCAGACAAUAUAAAACUUUUGUGUUUAGGUUUAAGUUUUACAAUUUAAUUCUCGCUCGAAUCAUUUCAUUUAUGUACCUGCAUCAGUCAUGACAAUAGUUGAUGCAAAAUUCGAACUAUGCAAUUCAGCCUAAAUAAAUCUCCCAAGAAUAGCAAGGUUGGUUAAACUAGGAGUGAAAUCUCAUUCUACCAUUCUGGACAUAGUGAGCGCAUAAGAGGAUGCUGUAUUUUGUUUUUACAUUGAAAUCGCGUGAGCAAUUUGGUGAAAAGGAUAAAAAAAGACCAAGACAUAUUAAUCAGAUACUGUUCCACGCAUAAUUGAUUACCGUACCUGGAAAAUGCAGAUAAUGCCAAACAAGGACUCGCGAUCAUGAUUUUCCUACCUCCAUAGGGAAAAGAAAAUAGGAAGAAGAGACCGACUGCCUAAGUCUUCAUCUUCUCCUUAUUUAUCAAAGAAACUUCUGUAAAAUAUGAAAUAAACCCAAGUGAUGCAGGUUUUGUAAAAGUGAACAUGAGAACAUGGAGUCAAAACAGUAGAUUCACCAUUUUUUAAUCUGAAAACAAAAGCUCUAGAGAGUAUUCAGCCAAUUGGAACAAGACCUGUCAUUUGUUUAACAAAAUUAAACAUCAGCAAAUGGAAUCCAAGUCUUUGCUCUAGUCCACCCUCUUAGUACAGGUGAGAAGAACUAAUAUAAAAAGACCAAGACUUCUUUUGAGUCUAAUUAUGUUUUUUUUUCCUCAUUUUUUUCUUUUUUGCAUCUUAAGGAGUCCUCUCAUCUAUAUUCAACCUUGCACGAAAAAAGAUGAAAAACCCUAUGAGCGGAUGGUCUUGCAGCCAAAAUAAUUGGAAAACACCGGUAGUUGCAUAAGUGGUUCGGUCAGAUCCACAUAUUCCAUGGCAUUAGUUCAAAUUCAUGCGACUUUUAUCAAACCUUCACAUGAACGAUUCUAUAGUCGUUGGAUAUCAUGUAAAAGGAAUCAGGACAAAAGGCAAUUCAUUACAAUGACUUAUUUUGAAUGCGGGUGUCGAAUCUGGAGUGUUCUACUCACUAGACCAAAUAAAAGACCUCAUAAGGGCUGUAUAACAGCUUUAUACCAGAAUUACACAUAGAGAAUGGCCUGGAGACCAAAUUAAAUACUAUAAUUAUAAGAUUGGUAUACCACCCAGGACAUUAAUCUUGUCUUCAUUAAAAUAUACAAUGCAUAUAGCUGUUUAAUGACCUGCUUAUACAAAUUGGCAAUUAUAAACCUCGUGUUCAGAAUGAUAACUAAGAUGGGAAGCCCAAGUUGAAUUGCUUUUUCUCAAUAAAUAUCCUUGUCAAGAAUCGAAAUUCACAGACUCUAUUACAUUUUAAGAAUCUGUCCAACUAAGGUUCUCUUGAUUUUGUAUGCAAGGCUGGCUUCGGGAUAUAGAAGAGUAAUCCUGUUUCAUACUCAUGCAGGUAUUAUAGCAGUCAAUAAAUCACGAUCCCACAUAACUUGAACAAUUACUGAAAUUGCACAAUCUGUACUAGUUCGAUCACCAAACACUUAUGUAACAAAAUGUUACAAAGUAGUUCUUUCUGAAGUAAACAAGCGCUUGGUUCUGCAACUGAGCAAGAACAUGUACAUACAUUAACAGAAAGUUCCUGCAAGCGAUAUGUCUAUGAACAAUAAUAGAACUGAUUCAAACCACAAACUCAACCAUGUUUUGUUCACUUUUCAUCAACACAUACUUCGUUGUCUUCUUCUCCAUCUUCAUCAACUUCUUCACUUUCAUCUCCUUCCUCAUCAUAAUAUGCUUCUUCUUCAACAUAGUUGUUGCUGCCAUCGUCAUCAUUUUCAUCGUUAAGUGUCCACCAGAUUUGCCUGCAAAGGUCAAGCGCAAAAAAGUACAUAUCAAUGCAAAAUAACUUGACACUAACGAAAACUCUUCCCAAGCCAAGACCCCAACUUAAAUUUAUAGCACAUAGCAGAGCAAAUUCUGGACGAAAUCAUCUAAUUUAGUCUUGAGAGAGAGAGACUAACAGAGCUUACAAGAUUGUAGAUAUAUAAUGAAAGCUAGGACUGACAAACGAAGAGAAGCAGCAACAGCCAAAUCUUGUGUAUCACUAUCACACUUUCAUUGUGGUUCAACCAUUCGACCAGACAAAACAAUGACAAGAAUCUGAAUUUCGAAGCAUAACAUACAGACAGAUUUAAACAUGAGGGCAUUAAAGAUACGACACCUACCGCUUAUAAAUAAAAUGAAACAAGUAAAUGUACAGGAAUCUUUUACAUUCUGAGAUUCUUACACAAAGUGCUAAGAGAAAAUGGAAAAAAAGAGAAAAGAGAGCAAGCACAUAUAGAGACUUUUUGAGUUUGAAUUUCUCUCUGUUCACACUCUCCAAUCUGCUACCUUUACUCGAAAGCCAUUAGCAGGCACGCCGAGAAAUUGAGCUAGAUUAUUAUUCUCGAGAAAAUUAUACUGCUUGCCAAUUCUUUUCACCAAAGCUUUGAUCUACUGUUGUUGAAUGAACAUGUAAUGACCGUGAAGGAACACUGACCAGCUGCUCCAUCAUCUGCAACUGAUCAUAUGUAGCAAUCUGCACCGACUAAAGGAGUUAAAUAUAGAAAAAAUGGCAAUGGUUGAUUGAUGAAUGUGUCAUCCGAAUAAAUUCCUUCUUUACAAACUUUUCUGAACCAAUUCCUAUUGCUGGUCAAAUAUGACAACGAGGGACAUAAUUCAUUUGAAUGCGACAUAGUAGAAAAGCGUUAAUCACCUGAUUUAGACGUCAGAAUACAGCAGUUUUUGCUUCCCUAUCCAACCACCCUGAUUUGCAUAAGUAGAAACGUCAAAAGGGUUUUUCCAGCUGAAUUCAACUACUAAAGGAGCUCAUUCAUCUUCAUUGAUUUUGAGGGAUUAGACGAGAGAACAACCGCAGAUAUACUCUGAAUCCCUAUGCUGUUAGAAGUUUAUCAGCACAACAAAGGAUGCUGGAUGAGGGGGAAAUCAGAGUAAAAACUUUUAAAAAACGACGAAUUCUUUUUUUCUGUUGACCAAAUGGAUUUUGAUGAAGAAAUUCAAUGCUCCACUAAAAUCUACCACUAAUACACAAGAUUCAGAUGACAAGACACUUGGAUUAUCAAAAUCCAGUAGAGUCAAUUUAAACCAUCAUGAGAAAAUAUAAGAGGUGAGAUUGGAGUGAAAAAAUACUUGCCAUGCAUUUAUGAGUAUUUAGACAUGCCAUGAAGUGACCUUUCCUGAUAAUCAGGUCACUGAAUAUAACUACCAGGUAACCUGGUCAUUGUUAGAGUGGGAAAGUAGUUCGCUCCAGGCAUUACAGUAAAACUAACGUACUGCAUGAGCUUCCAUUUUUCGCUGAAAUUCGCAGCCAUAAGGAAUACCUUGAUGGUAAAGCAAACACAUCAAUGGAGUUUCCAACACUAGAAAAGAAUUUUGGAAUGGAAGGGUCUUAUUAAUUACUAAAGCUUGCUAAACACAACCUGCUAUUACCUUUUACUCUGUAUCAAGCAUUGCGAAACAUUAAGGUGUUUCUGACCUUUUACAUAGGGUCGACUCUUCUGAACACUUAUGCCAAUUUGUGCCCCAAGAUUAUACAACAGGCAUUUGCCUCGUAUGGAUUGAAUCUCGUUGCUUUUAUAUUUGAAGCAGAUUGUUUUCCUCGCUAUAUCCCUACCCAACAGAGUUUCGAAGGAACUAUCAGCUGUUGCCAAAUUGAGUAGCUUUAAACCAAAUGCAUAAGAUUUCCGAAUAAAAUCUUGGACAAUCUGCUGUAUACAUUAAAAGACGAAGUUGCAAAUAGAUGAAUUGCAUGAAGAGAUAAUGAAGAAAGAGCGCACAAGAGUCCUAGCCGUGCGAUGUCGCUUUCUAAAACAGGGCUGUCGACGAAUUGAUUAGAAGCAAACAAUACUUGUCGAGCAGAGUUAAAUGUGCAAGAGACGUAAUUCAGAUUUCUCAGCGACCAAGGCAUAGCGGUUUAAACUUUAACAACCAGGAGAUUGAUGGAAGCAACCAAUCCCUCAGUUGUUUAAAAAUUUUAUGCUCAGCAUUGGUGUGAAGGGGUAAUAGAAGCGAACCUAUGUGAUUAAAUCUAGCAAUACUUCUCUAUCCUAUUAGAAUGAAUAUGUACGCAGUAAGAUUGUAUAUCAGGCAUUCCUGUCAGGAAGACAGAACUUUCCAAUCAUUAUAAUAGUUGGCGGUCAAAAGAGGUGGCAAGCAAAAUGAAAUUCACAGGAGUGGGUGAAGGUACACGCAAUCAAUAUCUGUCCUGUGCUUAUUAUUGAAGGACAUUGAAACUCUAGAUCUAUCAAUGCCUAAAUUUGAUUGAAGCACAAUAAACCUAAAAAUAAAUGGUUAUACUACUAAAGUGACCGUAUAUAUAUUGAAUUUUAAUGCGGGUUGCUUCUGGAAAUGACACCAUACUCCUGCAGGUGGUGUAGUUUUCCUGUGAGGAAAAAACAAAGAUCACUACAUGGUUCAUUUUCAUUUCCUCCUUUUGUCUUUAGCAGAUCUACUUCAAUAGCUAAGCGAAUCUUACUUAGAAUAGAACACCUUUGCUUUCUACCAUCUAUAUGAAAUUUAUACCCCAAAUUGAAUUCCUAAGGGUAUGUACAUUUCGUGUUAUGCUUCACUUCAUAUAUAUGCUCAAAUACUAGAACACAAAAUUAAGAAACCAUUAAAUGAAAAUGGCUUUCAAAGAAUUUCAUCGUUUAUUUGUUUUGGGUGUUCAAAAUACAGUAACGGAGAAUUGACCGUAAAUAUAGAGCACAAAGGAGAAUAACAAAAGCUGCAGCAAAUUACACCGAGCGAACGCAACAUUAUGCUCUCACGCAACCUUUGACUUGCACUGGACACGGUCUCAUAGUCCGGACCCAGCAUUGGGCUUUCAGCAUUGGGGAUGCUAGCAUUGGGCAAAUGGGCAUUUAAAAACACAUACCAAACACCAAAAAUUUUCCCCGAGGGGCUUUGGGCUCCCAAAGCCCCUUGGGAAUGCCCAACCAAACACCCCCUAUGACUCCUUGAACAACUUGACGUGUCAUAACAAAAGCUCGAAAGGGCAAGCCACUAAAACCCGGGCAUCCUAUAGCAGGAAAAUUUUCCAAAAAAUACCUGAAGUACGGUCGUGUUUGCGAAGGAAAACUCUAGAAUAAUGCUUGCCUCGAAGAAGUCCUGAAGUUGAUGACUUCAUCUCAACUGACCCCGGCUCACCAGUAUCUCAAAUCCUCGCGUUUCCUCGUUCACAGCUACCACGUCUAGCUGCAGCCAUCUCGACCUCCAAUGCAGCAUCACAACCUCUGGUAACCCUCUGCGACCGCUGACAGUCAUCGGAAUCGUCUCCAGCGUGCUUGGCCGAGACACCUCUGUCUACGGCUCCACCAUUUUUUAACAUCCAAGAGCUCUCCUUUUUUUUUUUUUUUUUUUCAGGGGAUCUUUCGAGCAGGUUCGAGCUUGGCUGAUCGGUCUUCCGUGCAUUAAUCUUCUCAGCUCGAAUAUGCGGGCUUGGCAGGCGGGGCUGGACUUGGGCGGAGGAGCUUGGGAAGUAGGCACAUGCAAUAGCUUACCAACGAAAUAAUUUUGACCACUUAGCAGGUUCAGGGAGGGGCUUAGACUUCGCGAAAACGGCGUUUUCGCUCAAAUCUGGUCUUCACAUCGUGAUGGAGCGCAAACCCCAGUCAUCUCGGAGUACGGCCGAAACUUCCUCUCCGGCUUCCUGAAUUGUAAUCCAGAGUCUCGCCUCUUUCGAUUCAACUCAUCCAGGGAUUCGAAUGAUGCGAAUCAAUCAUCGAACGAACUAGGGCUUUCGGUUUUUGGGGCUCACCGUUUCGUUGAUUUUAGCGCCGGCAUUGGGGCUUCCGGUCUUCGACUCUUCUUCCAUGGCGCGGACGAUGGCGGGACACUUGCAUGCCUGGAUUUAGAUUAAAUAAAAGGUAAAAUGUAAAAAUAAAUCUAGACGAACUUUAUGGAUAUUAAACUAUUAUAUCUAUAUUUUCAUCCUAUCUAUUCAAUAAUAGCAAUUAGCGGGAAUAACUCUUUAAAUUACUUAUUUCAUUGAUGACUGUCGUUUCAACACUUAAAGAUGGAAAAAGACUUGAUUAAUUUUUAUAAAGAAGAAAGUUGUAUAUGACUCAACCGGCUCGAUCUAUUUCUCAUUAAAUUUAUAUGAAACUUUUUAUUUGCCAUACUUUGUACAUCUAUAUUAUCAUAUAGGCAAGUCCUAAACCAAAUUAAAGGUAAGUAGGAUUCAAUUUAAAAUUUAGUCAAAUUAAUUACAUAAAAUAGUCAUUCAUAUGGCUCGAAGUUUUUACUCUUUACCAUCAUCAUCUAUCAAUUUAGUUAACUCGAAAUUGCCAUUGAUCUUGAUCAGGCUAAUCCUCUCGGAUUCCUUUAGGUCUAGACAUACUAAUGAGACGAAUAGUGUAUCGAAGAGGCACUAAUUCACCAACUCCGAUCUUGAGCGCACUACAUGUUGGCCCAAAUCCAUGACCGAUGGCGUUUGAUCGCAAGAACCGAUGUCCACAGUUGGUGCAUUUGGGAGCUCCACCCGGACCUUCGAAGCAAGAUCCCCGAGGAAAUUGCAUCGAACUUGACAACCGAGGCGACUUUCGAGCCCGAGUUGACGUCGAUGAUCGGGUCAUUGAAGAGGACUACAAGUGAGCUGGUCAUUUUUAUACUUGGAAAGUAGUUCGGUCUAGGUACAGCGCUAAACUAAGAUACUGCAUUGACACGGAGCUACUAUUUAUCGCCGAAAUUCACAGCCAUAAGAAUUAUCUUGAUAGUAAAGCCAACACAUCGUUGAAGUUCCCAAUGCUUGAAAAGAAUUUCGGAAUAGAAGGGUCUCAGCCAUUACAUAAGCUCCAAUUCGACCGCUAAUUGAACCACACAUAAGAAUAGAACAUUCUUGCAUUUUACCAUGAAGGUUAUGCCCCAAUGUGAAUUCCCAAAGGUAUUGAAAUUUAGACUUGCAUUCCAUAUCAUAUAUAUUCCCAUAUUCCCAAAGCUCAAGAACCAAAAAAGGAAAAAAGGGUUAGAUGAUGCCUUUCAAGUUUUCACUUAUUAGUUUUGGGUGUUCAAAAUACAGUAACAGAAAAUGGAAUAUAAAAAUAGAGCAUAUAAAGUUAGAACAAGAGCUGAAGCAAAUAACACUGAGCAAAAGCAAUAUCAUCCUCUUACACAACCCCUUGACUUGCACUGUAUGGGGUAUCAUAAUCUGAACAAUGACUACUCGCCUGGCUUGAUGUUUCUGAAAAAAACUUAAAAGGACAAAUUGAUAAAACCAUCACACCUCAACUCUACAAACAUAGGAAAAAUGGCACAAUUGUCCUUCAAUCCAAAGGACGCAGUCUCAUACAAGUUACCAAUAUAAACCUGUUAUCAAAAUAUAUAUUCAUUAACAUCUCAUAGGAAUAAUAGGAUAGUUACAUGACUAGAGUUCUAAAAUCCACCAACAUAAUAUAUAUAUCUCCAGGGACUGACAAACUAAACCCAAAAAGUAUCAUCACAAGUUAUACGUACAAUUAUCUCAAGUUAUACCCAAAACCCAAAUUCCUAAGAUUCCUCCAGUGAUGUAGCUUUCCUCCUAUUUUUCGGCAGUUGAAAAAGAAUUGCAAUGAAUGGUAUGAGCAAAGCACCUCUCAAUAAAUAGUACAUUUCUCAACAGAUAGAGCAUAAACUAUUCACAGUAUAAACAGCAACAGAAACACAACCAAAUCCAGUAUAUAAUAUACGUAAAAGUCUAAAUAUGAGUUACAUCACUCUAACAAUGUUUUCAACGUAUUAGAAAAAUGCUCAUUCGAUCAACAAUAUUUAAGUAAACAUCUGAGGUCUAGUCUAUUGAUCACUCUAGUACUUCAUAUUAAACUAUAGCCAUGUCUAACGCCCCAUGACAAGGCUUACCAAGGUAUCCUUCUAGGCAUAGGUCUCCACUAAUCUCAGCUGGUGGCUUUGGCUAUACAAGACAUCCUGAGAACAUGUUUGCUUACUCACAUCCCUUUAAUGAUUUCAGAUCAUAGUGAUAAGAGGAUAAAAUAAUCAAUAUAAUCCUAUCUGCAACAAACCCAUUUCAGAACUCGUUUGAUAAACCGGAGUAAAAAAUCGAUACAACCCUUCACAAUUCCAUCCACAAGAAGAAUACAUACAUGAAGAAUUUCUCAAACAAUUUCAUAAAUAAUAAACUGUCCAACCAUCUCAGGAGAUAUUUUACUAUGCUAUUUCAAAUAACCAAAUGGGUAUGAAAUGCAAGAUCUAGCUUUAUACAACAAAAAUGUUCUAAACACCAUUUAAAAAAAAAAAAAAAUCAUAGCGUGCAAUGUUCUCGUUCAUAACUUAUGGCAUAUGUAAUAUCUAUGAUUUUCAAGCCGUGAGUUUACAAAUCAUAGAAGAAAUAAGUACCACUCCUCGCUAACCAAAAGCUAAAUUAAAAGCUUUACCACCUGAAAAGCUAAAAAAUCCUAUCAAAGAAAGCAUUAACCAAAUGUGAAACUUACAUAUCACUAACCUCAACUAAGAUUCUACAAGGUGACACUAAUUUUUGGAGUCAAAACAUCCAAUAUGAGUCGACAAAAACGCCACACAAGCAUCAAACUUGCUACAGCAAACAGAGCAGCAAUCUCGUCGUACGUUGUGAAUUUUGGCAUGUCAUACAUCUCUACUAGACUCCAUUUUAAGUGAUUUUACCGUCAAACGAGAGCUAAUUCAAAGUACUAAAAGACCAAAAACUCCUUAGAGCCAAAAUUUGGCCGACGACUGAUGAAAUCCAGGACAAAACCCUGCUGGUUGCAGUUACUGUACAUUAGUUUUUGAGAACUUCGAAGAAUCAAUAUCUUUCAAACGGCAAUCCGUAAAAUCUCACAAUUCCAAGACCAACCUAACGUUUCGAAACGACAUCAUUUCAAGGCUCAACAAUCUCAAGAAUCAACCCGGCAACCCUAAAACCUGAACCAAUCCGAAAUUACAACUUAACAGAGCAAAUUUCUUUGAUUUCAUUAGAUUUAUCAAGGUUUGGAAUUUCUUACCGAGUGCUUCAAAACGGUAUGAAUCUAGCUCGUCGUGGCCUCCGAGCCGAAUCGCAGCAAAAGCCCCCUUUCGCUCACUCUCAGAUUCCCCUUUUCUCUGUUUUCUCUUUCUUUUACCGACUCGCUCCACUCUCUCUUUUUUCUGCUCUUUAUUUUUUGUAUGAACCAACUCCAGAAGAGAACGAGAAGAUGGGCUAAGGACUCUUGGGCCUAAUUUUUCUAUUCCAUGAGAGGCCCAUAGUCGAGGAGGCCCGUUUAUGGCUUAGAAUGCCAAGUACCACCAAUCCAUGGGCAAUUGUUAACACGCGUAGUUCGUACGAUUGGUAUCUUUUGCAAUGAUUCACAGUCAAAGACCUUCAACUCCCCUAGCUUCUCUAGAUUCGGAGUAUCAGGGUUGGGCCUUUCCGUGGAACUGUAGUCUCCAAUUGAAGGCCGUUCGGAUGCGAUCUCAAUUAGUUGCGGGCAGUGACUUACCCCUAGCGAUUGGUGCUCCUUUAAGCUCGAUACAUUGGAUAUCCUCACGAGCGACUCGCCCCUGCCCACCUCCACUCGCUCCAAGUUCUCUAGCUGUCCGAGCACGCUGUCAAAUUCGAUCUCUCUUAAUGGACAUACGGAGAGACAUAAUAUAGACAUAUUGCCCAGGUUGGAGAACAAUGACCAUGCUAUUGGGGUCUUCACACCUUUUAAGAACAAUCCUAUUAAACUGGACGGAAGCCCGGUCAAAGAUUGUAAGUUGGCACAAGUUAUUUCAAGAUACUCGAGCUGAGAAAGGGCGCUCAAGUCAAUCGGAUGCAUGUUGGAAUCGGAAAAGAUCACUUCCAACUUAGACAAUCUAUGAAGCCUUCCGAGGCACUCUAAGUUCGGAUAUACAAUUUGUCCUCGUUUAAUUAUGGAUAACCCAGUAUCAAGAUCACUAUCACUUAUUGUUAGAGAAUCUAAAUUAGUGAGGUUCGAGAGGUCGGGUACUGCUUGCAACGAUGAAGACGAUAGAUUUAGCGUCUCUACACUUGUGGGGAGAUUUGGUAGUAACUGAAACUCCGUACAAUGCCAUAGAUAUAGUCCUCUGAGGUUAAAGAGCCGAUUGAUUGUCAUCGGCAGUCUACUAACCUUUGUCCCGGACAAGUCCAAAAUCUCCAAUUGGGAUAGUCCUGCGAUUUCACUAGGAAUUUCCCCCUUGAGAUUGUCACACUUGUCGGCAAUUAGCUCCUCAAGAUUCUCUAGAGUCCCUAUGCUCUUUGGUAGCUUUCUUAUCUUACUAUAAGACAAAAUCAUGAGCUUCAACUGUCUAAGGUUGCCAAUUGAAACUGUAAUAGGUGUCGAAGAUACAUCCAAUUUGUGUAGCGAUUCUAGUCUUCCGAUGGAAUCCGGUAAUGCACUUAUACCGGUUCCUUUUAAAUCCAAAUGGAGGAGCAAUCUCAACUCUCCAAUGGAAUCCAGAAGCUCUCUAAGAUUGUAACACUCUCUUAGAGAUAGAUCCUUCAAACCCACCAGUAGCUCUCCUAUUGAGGGUGGAAGUUUUCUAACACCAUCCUGGUAUACCAAAUUUGGCACCAACAAGGAUUUCAGACCACCAAUUGAGUCUAGUAAUGGAGGGAUGGCUGGAGAAAUAUUUCUCUGCAGCAAAUGAUUGCUCCCAUAGAUUUCCAAAUACUUCGGGCGGCCUAGUUGAUCAAUAGAGCUAUCAAUUUCUUCCAAUCUUAUACAAUUUUGGAGAACCAAUUUUUUCAAAUUCAGGCACUUGGAGAAGUCAGGUGUUCUCUUUAAAUAAUUGCAGCUUGCCAAAUAUAUCACUUUCAGGUUGUCAUUUACCUAUAUAAAAAAAAAAAAAAAGAACCCAAUUAUUGAGGAAAAUAAUGGCAUCGGCAAAGGUUAACUCAACGUAACAAAUGCGUACACACAUAAAGGAAAAAACGAAUGCAUUAUAUGAAAUUGUACCAUGCAUGCUCCCCAGCCAUUCCAGUCUUCACUAAUAUCACUCUCUAAAAGCUUGAGAACGGCCAAGUUCCUUAGACAUAAACUAGUGGCAUCUAGGUUUGAAGGGCAAUGAUGCCAAGAGAGCCAUGUUAAAUUAGAGAGAAGAUUUUUGAAGUCUCCUACAAAGUUUCCCCCAUUCAAUUCGAGGAACCUUAGACUAGGUAGCCUUGAAAAUUCAGCACUCGUGAAGUUAUGCCCAUCGCCAAGUCUUGUGAGUUUGAGUGCUACAAUGCUUUCUGUUCCCUAAUAUUUCCAGAGCAACAAGUUAGCAGCAUGAUUGAACUAUUUAGAGUAAGUACUAAAUAUCAAAAUAGGGAACAUAUAUCUAAAUUCAACUAAUAAUAAAUAUGAGUGUACUAGCUAAAAAAUGGGGCAUAUAGAUAUUAUCUUAUACAAAAAGGGGCAAAUUCAUGAAUCAUUAUCUCUCCCACUUACAUGGGAGUUGUUAUGUAAAAAUUAGUUCUUUUGGAAUGCCAUUCAUUUCUCUCAAAUCAUGCCAAAUCAUCAAUGUCUUUUGUACAAAAUUGAGCGAACAUCUUGGGUGAAAAUGAACUCUAAAUACACACAACUACAUGUUUAGUUUUUUCAUGAGCAAUUAAUUUGUUUACUAAGACAUACCAUGUUAUUCUGAACCACAUCCAAGGCGAUCGUCGGACACCACAACCUGCUGCGCUUUCCAGGAACUAUAAAGCAUUCUUGCCGAACAAUCUCUCUUCCAAGAUCUCUCAGUUGGUCGUGCAUCCACAGUCUAUCAUCUUUGAGUUUUAUCAAAGAUAAAUGAAUGAGAACACGAAGUCCGGUAUGCGGAAAAAAAUCACAAGCUUUCCACAUGUAAUAUGUGGGGAUUCUUUCUUCCCCAAUGCAAUGACAUGCGAUAUCAAGAAAAAUUUGUUUUUGCUCAUACUCCAAUUCUUCAUAACUUAUCAAUAACUUUUUCUGGACAUCUUGAUUGGGCACUUCCUUCAACUUCUUCAAUGUUUCUUUCCAUGUUUUCUUGCCUUUUGAAUGGAGUAAAGAACCUAUGACCUCGAGAGCCAAUGGUAGUCCUCCAGUGGUUCCAACAAUUUCACAUGAAACUUUGAUGUAAUCAUGUGGAGGUGAGUCACUUUCAAAGGAGUGCUUGCUGAAUAGUUGAAGAGCAUGGUAAAACCGCAAUUCCUUCAUUUCAUGAAAAUAGAAAUCUCGGUGAUGCAUAGGGAUGAUAUUGUCAUCUAGGGUCUUGGUUUCGGGAAUCAAAAAGGAGGUGUUUCUAGUUGUGAUAAUAAUUCUGCUUCCCGAACCAAACCAACUUGACUCACCAGCUACAUUUAUGAGCUUGUCUCUCUUGUCCAUGUCAUCAAGAACAAUGAAGGCUUUCUUAUCAUUGAGUUUUUGUUUGAUCACGUCCCUCCCCUCAUUUGCAUCGAAAACUUUAGGAUGUUGGAUACCAAGAAUGUCAUGUAAUAAUUUCUUUUGCAGAUUUAAAAUAUCGCUUUCACGGAUAUUUGAAAGAAAGCUGCAACUUUGGAAUUGAGAAGAAAUACGUUUGAAGAUAGCCUUAACAAGAGUUGUUUUUCCGAUACCGCCCAUACCGUGAAUCACCACAAAUCGUACAUCAGAAGUGCCUACGGCUAACAACUUCAUAAUGGUUUCAAUCUGAUCGUGAAUUCCCACCAAGCCGUCACACCAGUUUCUGUGCAUAGGCAUCAACUUACCAGAAACUUCUUCCAGAACAAGGGCUAUAAGUUUAUCUUGGCUGCCACAUACAUAAUGCAACCGUCUUAGUUUUAGAAACCACAAACAUGUGCAGAAGCAUAAAUAUGUAAAACCAUAAAUUUUGAUAGUUAAAACCAAGCAUGGAUUAUUAGUUUAUUUCAUAUUCAGUCCUCCCCAAGCCGAGAAGAUAGAUCUCAGUUACAGAUAACGAUUGUUGGAUAUUGAUGUGGGGGGCGGUUCUGAGGAGCUUUUAGAUGGUCAAAUCAGUGACGUUCUAAAGUGCGAUGUAGCCAUCAAACUAGCUCUAUAGCCAAGCGGGCAAACCAGACCAAUUGUUUUGGUUCGUGCAAUGCAUCUAGCUUGACAAAGGGUGAAAAUAGACCAAAUCGCACAUUAAAUAGAUAGAGCAUUCUUGAGUGGGGCCGACACUGACGAAGAUGUCAAUACUUUUUAGUGCAGGAGUUUGGGGCAACACAAUCCCACAUCGAAUGGGGCACACCUUUUUGAACUAAUUCAUGGGUAACGUCCACCCUUAAAUGGUCACUUUAAAAUUCUACUGUAAUAGGAAUUACCACAAGGAAGAAUGUCAUAAGAUGUGAUAGAAACUUUAUACCAAAGUGCCGUCAAUGGAUCGGUUACGAGUUCUGAAAAAUUAUAUGCCUAAUGAAAUUGACUUGAUGAAAACGAACAUGGUAAUUUGCACAACCAUUUCAACUUCCAUUGUUAAAAGGAGGGGGGAGGGGUUGAUCUAUAAAUUGAGUUGUUGCGAUUAAGAAACUAUGAUCUAAAUUAAGUAAUGAAAGUACAGCAGUUGUCAUUAAUUACCCGUGAUCUUUUAAGUUGUAUCCCUUGAUUCCAGCGACCUCUCUGAGGGCCUCCUCCCACUGCUUCGCCAUAUCUUCACCAAACUGUCUCUCAUGCUUUCGUAGGGCAUUACCGUAUGAUCCAGUUUUGAGCUUAAGAUAGGAUGCAUCCACCCCAUAGAAGAUGGGCAAGAUCACUUUCUUGUAUCUCUUCCUACACUCCACCAUGUGUGCGAGCUCACGGAGACACCAUUUGCUGGAAGCAUACUUUUUAGAGAAGAUCGGUACGUAAAUUUUUGAAUUGGAGAUUGCUCUCAAAAGCUCGCCUCCGAUCUCUUCCCCAACACGGAGCUCUUCAUCAUCUUUGAAGACACAAAUCCCGGCUCGAAUCAUGGCCGCGUAGAGAGAGUCCGUGAUGGUUAACUGAGUGUCGGGCCCUCUAAAGCUCAAGAACACCUCGUAGUCCCUCCUUGAUGAUGAUGAAGAUUCAUCACUGAGGGGGAGAGACUUUCCUUCGGGGCAUUCCAUUCCUGUGAUCUUUGGCCACAAAAGCAAUAUCAAAUUAUUGUGCUUGGUCGAAAUUGCAACUUUCCAGUUUCCUUGCGGCCGUUGCCAAUUUAUAAGAAAACGGUAGACUGACUCUUUUCGUCCUAAAACAACUAUUGACUGAUUUAGGUUCACUGUGAGCGACAGAAGAUGCAAAGAAAGAUCACUACUGCACGCUUCCACGAAAUCACCUACCUCGGACAACCGUUCUUCACUUGUAGUUUUAACGCACCUCCUUUUCCUGAGAACCAAGGAGAGCCAUCGUUUUUCGCAGUAUUUUCUCGGAACGUUCCUGAGUUGAUUCGGGGAAGUCUUCGAAUGUAUUAGGACUAGAGCUUAAUUCCCUAAAAAAAGCAUCGAUUUUUAGUGUUGCAUCAAAGCAUGAGAGGCAUUCUUCCAUACGCAAUGAUGGAGCCUAGUAGGAAUUGAAAUGAAAAGCUGAACGUCCAAACCUGAGGGCAUGUAAUAAUGCCCUCUCACUUUUCCUAAAGCCACUUUUUGCCCCUUUAUUAGGUCGUCACGUGAUAGAAUAAAUUGCCUUGGACAAUACUUUUGCCAUGAAAAAAACAUUUUCUGGUGUGAAAUAUGAGGAGGUGGGUCAUCAAGAGUCAGUUCAUGCUGGGAAUGUGAUGAUUAUCGGAUUCUUGAUUUUCAUAAACCGCUAAGUCCAGAUUAAUCGAGUUUUCAAUACGAUCAUUGUUAGGGUAAAAGAAAAAAAAAGAUCAAGUCUCUCCUAUAAUUUUAAUAAGUGCAUCGAAAUUCAAAAUGCAAUGUUUUAAAGAUGUUUCACCUUGAAACUAAAUUUGGUUGACAUCUUCAAAACUAAAUUGUACAUUGUUUAAGCAUAGUAGUUCCGGUUAAGUGGCAAUCGGAUAUUAAACACGCCUUAUUGCGAAAGGGUUCAAUAGCCUUAUCAAGUGAAAGCACUUCUAACUCGGAAAAACCAUACCUACUCAAUUCAAAGCGUUAAAAAGAAGGUACAAAUGUAUUAGAAGUCCUAUAACUUGUUAUCAAGGUGUAAUGAAGUAUAAAACUUUUAAGAAAUAUAAUUAAAUUCUAAAACUUAUCACAAAGUACAAUCAAAUUUUAAAAUUUUCAAAAAAUGCAAUCAACGAAAUACUUGAUUGGACAAAUUUGAUAAGUUUUAAAAUUUUAUUGUAUUUUUUAAAAAAAAAAUUAAGACUUAAUUGUACUUGCUUGACAAGUUUUAACGCUUUCAAGAUACUUAUUCCUUAAAAGUAAAGCUUUUUCACAAUCCUCCAAAAUUAGUGACGGUGCGUGAUAAAGUGCAGCCAUUCUUGGAGCAAUGUCUAAGACUCAUGCUCUAUAAAUUGCUUCGUUGAUGAAACUAGAGAUUAAUACUCAGCUUCAAAUUCUCUAUGCGAGAGAGAGUGUGUUUGGGUGUGCAUGCGUGAUAUAAUUGUGUGAAAAAAAUAGUUUAUUUGGAUCAUAUCCACGUGUAGCGUGAUGACCAUUCAAUCUAACAAAGCUUGUUACCACAUUAUUUAUAGUGAGCUAAAUGUCCACCGAUUGUUAUUUAAACUUCAUGAAAUACUCAACAAUUGGUAGCAAUGAGAUGCUGAUACCUUGCCUAAUAUGCAUGAUCAUAAUUGUAAUUUAAAUUGAUUUACUCUAAUUUCAAAAACUCUAUUCUUAUAUGCAAUGCAGUCCUGCUUUCAAUUGAUUUGAUUCCUACACUUUUCUUUAGUUUGAGUAAUUGAUUCAUCUCCAUUACUUUAGUUUGUUCAAUUAGGUCUCUCAAAAUUAUUUUAGUAUGUUUCAUAUGUCAUACACUGGUUGAUUAUCACAAAGGAAACUGCUAAAAUGGACUACAAUCUACUGAAGCUAUUGGAUUAAAAAAAUUACACAAAUGGAUAUCGUAUGCGUAAUAUAUAUUCAAAACUAUUGAAAAGAAAUACACAUUUGUUUCUUUCGUGUAAUUCAUUUGAAACAAAUUAUUUGCUCGGUCACUUUAAGAGGUCAUUCUUAUUCGUCAUCCCAAUAUGUCAGCUAAGUAUGGAUUUUGCUGUUCUUGUCAAAGCACACCAAAUAAUCCUUUCUCCAUUCACACAAUAUCGAUUGAAUGAAGAAGAAAGCACAUUGUUUUGUUAAGUGGGAGGUUUAAUCCUUAUCUGAAACAUUUUCUUGAAUUUAAGAAUGAUACUGAAUUUUUAAAAUAAUCUAGGAACCUCAUUAAUUUAAAGCUGAUGAAAUGGUCAAGAGAGAGAAUGCUCCUUGGGCAAAGUUAAGGGCUUAUUAAAUAAAUCAAAAGGUCAAGGACGUCAUAACACGUAAACGAACAAUAAUGAAUUUUUAAGACUCCUAGGGCGUGCAUGGAAACACUCCAAAAAAGUGUUUCCGGCACACUUCUGUACGGAAAGUGUUCCCGGGAACAAAAAAGGAACAGAAACGCGUUUGGUUGCGUUUCUGUUCUUUUUUUGUUUUUUUGUUUCUGGAACGAAAUAGAAACAGAAAAAAGAAACAAAAAAAAGUUGUUUCUCCUGAAAGAAACACUUCUCGGAAGGAACAAAAGAACAAAAAUCACUCUUCUCUCUCUUCUUCUUCUCUUCUUCUUUUUUUUUUUUUUUCUUCUUUUUCAUUUUGGCCGGUCGCCGGCCUCGGCCAUGGCCGGCGACCGGCCGUCGAGGCUCGGCGUCGCCGGCGCGGGCGAGGCCGAGCGUCGCCGGCCCCCGGCGAGCCCAAGCCUCGCCGGGGGCCGGCGAUGCUCGGCCUCACCGGAUCUAGGCGAGCCCGAGCUCGCCCAGCCAAGGCGAGGCCGAGCCUCACCCAACCACGGCCAGGCUCGGCCUCGCCGUGGGCCGGCGAGCCUCGCCGUGGCUGGGCGAGGCUGCCAGCCCCGUCGGCCGGUCGCCGGAGGCCGGUGACCGGCCGAAGAAAAGAAAAAAUAAAAAGAAAGGAAAAAUAAAAAAAUAAAAAAAAUGUUUAAAAAAUUAAAAGAAACAAAAAAAUAAUAAAAAUUACCAAACGUGUUUCUGUUCAUUUUUUAUUCCCGGACCAAACGUUACCAAACGUGUUCUUUUGUUCAAAAACUGUUCCCCAAAACAGAAACACUUUUUUUUGUUUCUGUUCCCAGGAACAAAAAAAGAACAGAAACAAAUCCAUGCGCACCCCUAGCUUCCUUCGACUUGGUUAGCAUCUGCAAAGAGUGAGGAGACCAAACCCCCUAUUUUAAGAAACCUCCUAGCUUCCUUGGUCAAAAAGCGACCGGCCGUACAUAGUCAAUAGUCGAAAAUUGCAUUCGUCCUUUUUCUUUUUUCUUUUUGUCUUCAAAUCCAAAAUAAACUCAGAUGGAGGUUACAAACACUGGAUCCAAUCAGCUAUAUUGAAUAACGAAAACCAAAUACUAAACCUGAUUUAGGAAUAAAGAACCUCUAUUUCUGCAAGGCGAAUUCAUCNNNNNNNNNNNNNNNNNNNNNNNNNNNNNNNNNNNNNNNNNNNNNNNNNNNNNNNNNNNNNNNNNNNNNNNNNNNNNNNNNNNNNNNNNNNNNNNNNNNNGAUUUGCAAUUGAAAAUUAUAUGUUAACAAGCAUUUGGUCCAUAAAGAUUAAAGUCCAUCCUAAAGUUGGCCAAAAAAAAAAAAAAAGCAAGAAAAAAAAGGCCAAUUGAGGCGGGUUUUUGGCGGAAGUAUUUCUUGAUCAAAACUGCAGUAAAAAAUCCUUCUCGUUGAACUCGUAUCUAUAGUUUUCGUGAAACUACAUAUAAAAAUGUUGCUAGCUUGACAUGUCUCUAGUAUUUUGCCGAUUUUGCAUGAUAGAAGAUUUGUUUAGCAUGUAGUCUUGUCGGCACCUAUUCAUUUUUUUUUUUAUGGGCUAAUAUCCCGAAAAAUCCCAAACUGUUAUAUAUGUGAUAAAUUUACCUCAAAUAAAAUUUUUGAUCACAAAAAAUUAUAAACAAAUAUAUAUGUGAUAAAUUUGCCAUAAACUCAUUUUUUGACCACUAAAUAGUUCAAAUUGAUAUGCCUAUAACAAAUUUAUCAUUUAUUAGUUUCCGUUAAAUUUUAUUGUCAAAUUGCUAAGUUAGAAUACAUGUAACCGUUAGCAAUGUAGUAAUAUGAGGUUCUACCUUUUAUUUGUCAUAGAUAUACUGAUUUUGUGGUUUUUCAUGGUAUUAAUAUAAUUUUAAGAAUGGUAUGUUUGUUAUAAAUGUAUUAAUUUGUGAUUUUUAGCAAUAAAAAUAUUAAUUUGGGACAAAUUUAUCAUAAGUGUACCUAUUUAAAAUUUUUAGUGAUAAAAAAUUAAUUAAGUAAAAAUUUAUCGUAUGUGUAUUAAUUUAAAAUUUUGGUGAUAUUAAUUUUUUUUAUUGUGUUCCCGUUCAAGGACAGCAUGCCCACAUCAAAUGGUAAUUUAGGGCAGAUCGAGAAUCUUUUAUGAUCAGGCCAAAUGUACGAGCUGCCCCGGAAUUUUCUCCCGGAACUUCCCAUCUUCCUCUCUCAUUCAAACUCUCUUGGUUAGGAUCACCCAAAGGAAAAUGAUUGAAUCCUCCUGUCGGCCACUUGCCCCGGUAUUUUCCUUGCUCCUUCACAGAUAGCGUGAGAGGCACGCCCACUUUGUCUUGAUCGCAAUGUGUAUUAUGGGUGAAAAGAUCUUUCUUUGGGCUCAGUUCCUUCUGCGUCUUUCUGAGAUCUGAGAAAUUCCCCAAAAGCAAAUGAAAUCCGUGUGUCUGCACCUUUUUCGGGGACGCGUCUGGUUCGUUCUUUCACCCCCUGCUUCGUUUAUCUUUGAUUUCUUGUCAGCAAAACUGAAGAGAUAAAGUUAAAAAAGAAGAAGAAAAAACAGAGGGAAAGCAGAGGAUUCGGCGGAUAAGAACAAGAUAAGCGGGAAGAGGACACAAUAAGGGCACGUGAAAGGAAAAGAAAAAGGUCACCAAAGGAAAGAAAACAGAGAGGACAUGAGUUUGAUGCUUCCGGACACUCGACGUGUUUGUGGGGCCUUGGAAACGGAUAUAGAUGACUGGAUGAUGCAGGAAGCCGACCCCCCUAGCGCUUGAACAAACCAGGCAACUAGGCAAGCACUUGGCCAAGAGGUGGAUGGGCUGCCGGACACCCGACUGUUGGAAUUUUGUUUGUUAAAACAAAAUGGGUGCCUUUUACUUUGUCCCACAUAGAAAAUGUGGGAGCAAGUGGAUCAGUUUAAAUAUGCGGGAUUUCCUUUUGUAGUUAAAUAAGUGAUUAGGUGGGGGUGGACCCGACCAUACCCGCGUGCGGGUGCGCGAUUUUGGCGCGAUUUUUUAUUUAUUUUAUUUUUAGUUCAAAGGUUGCCUUUUAAUAACAUUGGAGAGCAAUUACUAGAAUUUUUGGUUAUCUUAAGAGAACUAAAAAUUUAGGAUUGUUCUACAAUAAUUAUCCGCCUAUAUUAGAAGGAUACACCGAUGCUAGUUGGAUUACAAGUGUGGGAGAUGAGCGUUCCACUUCUGGAUGGAUCUUCACACUAGCUAGAGGUGCUGUAUCUUGGGCGAGCAAGAAACAGACAUGUAUAACUCACUCAACAAUGGAAUAUGAAUUUAUUGCUUUGGCGGUAGCUGGGAAAGAGGCUGAAUGGAUUAGAAAUUUGUUGUUGGAUAUCAAAUUAUGGCAUAGUCCUAUGCCUCCUAUUUCUAUCCACUGUGAUAGUCAGGCCAUUUUGGCAAGAGCCUAUAGUAGCACCUAUAAUGGUAAGUCUAGACACAUUAGUCUAAGACAUGAAUAUAUGAGACAAUUGAUUAAAGAUGGUACCAUAACAAUUGUCUAUGUGAGGUCAAGUAAAAAUCUUGCCGAUCCUUUGACGAAGGCUUUACCAAGACAUAUGGUAAUAAUGACCUCACAAGAAAUGGGGCUGAAACCCUUUAAUUGAAAUCACCAAUAAUGGUAACCCGACCUUUUUCUAGAAUAUCACUAGUUACAAGGUUUAAUGGGUAAGAACAAGUUAUUGAAUGUGAUUGUUUGAUACUGACAUAGCUUUGAUAUGAGAAGUCAGUAUCGUCUGUUACGUUUUGAAUGCUGAAUUGAAUUCUUAAUGAAGUAUGAUACUAGUUUGUAGUGUGUUGAUAGUAACAGAAACACAUGGUAGAUACUUCACCUAUACGAGCUUAGAAGUAGUGCCGCUUCUUACGAAAGUUAGGGUUGCUUUCUAGAGAGCUCAUGAAACAGGAUCAAGCACAAGGCCAUAAUAGUGCGGAGUAAUAUAGAAAUUCUCGCUGAAACAAGAGAUUAAUGUAUGUGUGGUAUGUCUGGUUCUAUUACAUAAAAGUACAAGUUUAAAGCCGAGCUACUUGUCACUUUGAUAGAGCUUUGAUAUAUUUGCACUAAGUAAAGGUUUAACUCGAAAGAGACCUUUAUGUAUGUAUAUUAAUCUUACUGAAGCUUUGGCUGUAUGGUUUUUAAAAAUUUUAUUUUGAAAUAUUUGUUUUACAAACAAAGUGGGGGAUUGUUGGAAUUUUGUUUGUUAAAACAAAAUGGGUGCGUUUUACUUUGUCCCACAUAGAAAAGGUGGGAGCAAGUAGAUCAGUUUAAAUAUGUGAGAUUUCCUUUUGUAGUUAAAGGAAUGAUUAGGUGGGGGUGGACCCCACCAUACCCGCGUGCGGGUGCGCGAACAAUUGUGCGAUUAUUUAGUGCACUUGGCACGCCUGCGCGCCCCGCGGUUUAAUUAGCAUUAAUCCCUUGCUAUUUAUUUAUUUAUUUAUUUAUUUUAGUUCAAAGGUUGCCUUUUAAUUUGAGAAUUCCGGAAAUGAAAUAUAAAUGAAAAUUCGAAAUUCUAUUUAAAAAUUAUUAUUAUUAUUAAAUAAAAAUAUUUCGAAUUUUGUUUGUGUCUUUUCAAGACAACCUUUGGAAAAUUACCUAUUUGGUUUUUAACUUUCCCGAAGGAUUGCAAUUGUUCGUUUUUCGACUUCUUCUGAAGAGUUGCAUUUGUUUAUCCGAACAAUUUUCUAAAGACGUGUUUGUUCGCAAUUUUCACGAAGAGUUGCAAGACUGUUUCAUAUAUAUACUUGUCAUUUUUCGGAAAGAAAAGUGUGGUCAUUUUCGAGUCUUCUUUAUGAAAAACUACAGCCAAUUGUUCGAUUGUUUCUUAGAGAGACCCUGGAGAAAUACUAGAAUUGCUAUUUAGUAUUUUCAUCCGAGACUUUGUUGUAUCAUGGAGGAUUUUUGCCGGUGACUAUGAGCAACGUUGUGGGGCAAAUAAAUCCUUAAAGAAAGUUAUAUUACGCCUCAAAGUCCGAGUUGUUUUACUCGAUCCAAUUUCAUUGUUCAACCCAUUUCGAAGCCAUAUUUACCAACACCGACAAACCUCCCAAGCCAAAAGUCUUUUCCAACAUAGUGCUCGAGCGACGGGCCUAUUUUUGUCAGACACCUAAGCCUCGAUUUUUAUGUAUAUCUAAUGAACAACUUGUAAGAAAUCUAAAGAUAAAGAAUGUUUAAGAAGAGAUAAUGAGAAUACUCAUUUCUUGCUCGAAUCGUUUCGUUUAUUUACUCGUGUUAGUAGUGACAAUAGUUGAUGCAAGAUUCAAACUAUGCAAUUCAGCUGAAAAAAAUCUCCCAACAAUAGUAAAGGUCGGUUAAACUAGGAGCGAAAUCUCAUUCUACGGUUCUAAACUUAACGGGCGCAUCAGAUGAUAGGUUUAUUUUGUAUUUACAUUGAAAUCAUGUGAGCAAUUCAGUGAAGCUGAUAGAAAAGACCAAGCGAUAUUAGUCUGAUACCGUCCCACACGUAAUUGAUCACUGUACCUGGAAAAUGCAGAUAAUGCCAAAGAAGGACUCAAAGAAAAAAGGAAGAAGGACAGACUCCCCAAGUCUUGGUCUUCUCUUUAUUAUUAAGGAAACUUCUGUAAGAUAUGAAAUGAACCCAAGUGAUCCGGGUGUUGAAUGAAGUGAGCAUGAAAACGCGGAGAGAAACACCAGAUUCACCAUUAUUUAAUCUGCUAAACAAUGAUGGUGAUGGGAGUCGCUUAAAGUUAAGUGAAGAACUAAUAUGAAAAGACCAAGACUUCUUAUGAGCCUAAUAAUUUUUUUUCCCUAAUUUCAGUUGCAUCUUAGUUAGAGGCUUUCCGAGUUCGAAUGUCUCUCUGUUCACACUCGCCAAUCUGCAACAUUUACUCGAAAGCCAUUGGCAGGCGCGCAGCGAAAUUGAUGUUGAUUUCCAUUCUCGAGAAAAUUAUAGUGCUUGCCAAUUCUUUUCGCUGAAGCUUUGAUCUACUGUAGUUGAACGAACGUGUAAUGACCGUGCAGCAACACUGACCAACCGCUCCAUCGUUAGCAACUGAUUGUAUGUGACAAUCUGCACUGAGUAUAGAAGUUAAAAAUAGAAAAAAUGGCAAUGGUUGACUGAUGAACAUGCCAUCCGAGUAAAUUCCUUCUUUACAAACUUUUCUGAACCAAUUCCAAUUACUGGUGAACCAUGACAAUGAGGGACGUAAUUCAUUUGAAUGCGACAUGGUAGAAAAGCAUUAAUCCCCUGAUUAAAACAUCAGAGUACAGCAGUUUUUGCUCCCGUCCAACCAUCCUGAUGUGCAUAAGUAGAAACGUCAAAAGGAUUUUUCCAGCUGAAUUCGACUACUAAAGGAGCUCAUUUAUCUUCAUCGAUUUUGAGGGAUUAGACGAGAGAACAGCCGCGGAUACACACUGAAUCCCAAUGCUGUUAGACGUUUACUCAGGGUGUCGACUGACUUUGUUUUGUCCCAAAACAACUGUUUGACUGACUCUGGAUGCUUCCACAAAAUACCUCCCCCGCAGAAACGUUCUUCAUUUGUAGUUCAGUACGCGUCCAUCUUCUUUCGCAGGGUUUUCUACGAAACUACCUGAAUUCGAGCCUAGAGCAGGAGAGGUAUUCGUCUACAUGCAAUGAUGGACCCCAGCAGGAAUUGAAUAAAAAGCUGAACGGCAACCUGAGUAAAUGUAAUAAUGCCCUCACUUUUCCUAAAGCCAAUUUUUGUUUUUUUGUUUUUUACCCUUAUUGGUUUGUGGUACGACGGAAUAGUGUGUUGGACGAUAUUUUGCCAUGGAAAAACAGAUUCUCUGACGUCGAAUAUGAAAGAGUGGGUCAUGAAAAGUCGGUUCAUGCAGGGAUUGUGAUGAUGAUCUGAUUCUUGAUUUUCCACAUUUCAUUAAGUCAAUUAACUUCACUAGACAAUCGUUAUUAGGACCAAUCAAUCCCGACAAUAAUUGAAAAAAUUAGGAUCAAACCUCUCCUAUGCUGUUGAUAAGUGCAUGUUGAGAAAAAAAGGUGGGAUUCAAUCACGCAAAAUGCAUUGUUUUAAUGUAUUUUACCUUGAAAGUCAAUAUGGUUUGGUAUCUUCAGAACUAAAUUGUACAUUACUAAAGCAUAACAGCUCCGAUUAAGUGGCGAUCAAAUAUAAAACAUGCCCUAUAGCAAAAGGAUUCAAUAAUCUUAACAAGUGAAUGCACUUGCCCAAACUCGGAAGAACAGCGGCCACCCAAGUCAAAGCAAUAAAAGAAGUAAUGCUUUUUCACAAUCUUCCGAGGUUUGUGGCGGUACCUGAUUCAAGUGCAACCAUUUUUGAAGCAGUGUCCAAGACUAAUGCUCCAUAAAUAGCUUCGUCGAUUGAAACUGUAGAUUAAGCCUCAGCUGCACCAAUUGAGAGAGAGAGAGAGUCUUUGCGUGUGUAAUAUAAUUGUUUAUUUGAGAGUAACGAUUCAAUUUGACGGAUAACGGCAUCUGCCAAUGUUCUACAUACAUAAAUUUUAGCAAUUACAUCGUUUCCGCAACUUCACUCGACGUUGAAUUAUAUUUUGGGAGACGUGGCCACUCAUUCCAUCCUCCAAGACCUCCGAGUUUAUCGAGCUCUGUAGCGGAGAAAUAGUUGCGAUUUUUCUCAUAAUUACCUUCAAUUUCACAGACCAUCUUGCCUUGUGGAUUAAGAUGUCAAGAUAUAUCGGCGGGCAAUCGAUGAAUGAGUCAAAAGGACUCCCUGAUGGGGUUUCCAUGGGCACUAAUUUCGUGCAAAAAUGCUCGUUUUGACAGGAGUUUCCCUCUUCUAUUCUUCUCUCUUUCAUACUGCUUUUUACCCUUGCUUGUACGGCUUCCUGUGCCCGGUCUUUUUGAUUCGCAUCUUAGCACAGGAAUACGUGGGAAAUUUCUGCGAAGCACAAAUCUUUUCUUCUCUCUUUCACACUGCUUUUACCGUUACUUGUACAGCUGCCUGUGCUCGCUCUUUUCGAUUCGCAUCUCAGCGCAGCAAUACAUGGGAAAUUUCUGCGAAGCACAAUUCUAUUCUUCUCUCUUUCUUGCUGCUUUUACCCUUCUUAGGACAGCAAUAUAUGAGAAAUUUCUGCGAAGCACAAUUCCAUCCUUCUCUCUUUCAUACUGCUUUUGCCCUUACUUGUACGGCUGCCUAUGCCCGCUCUUUUUGACUCGCAUCUUAGCACGGCAAUGCAUGGGAAAUUUCUGUGAAGCAUAAUAUUAUCGUCUCUCUUUCAUAUUGCUUUUACCCUUACUUGUACGGCUGCCUACGCCCGCUCAUUUUUACUCGCAUCUUAGCACGGCAAUGCAUGGGAAAUUUCUGGGAAGCCCAAGGAGGACAAUGCUAUCAACUCUAGCCAAAAUUGAAGCAAUUCUAGCAUUUUAUUUUUACUCAUGUCGGAGAUAAAUGAGGAGGUCCGGAAUAUUCAAAUGAAAAUUUUCUUCUAUGAAAUUGAGGGCGCAUUCAUAUUUUUCACUAUUUUUGCCCCAACGCACCGAAAAUAUCUUCAGAAACAUGGAAAAUGUCCNNNNNNNNNNNNNNNNNNNNNNNNNNNNNNNNNNNNNNNNNNNNNNNNNNNNNNNNNNNNNNNNNNNNNNNNNNNNNNNNNNNNNNNNNNNNNNNNNNNNNNNNNNNNNNNNNNNNNNNNNNNNNNNNNNNNNNNNNNNNNNNNNNNNNNNNNNNNNNNNNNNNNNNNNNNNNNNNNNNNNNNNNNNNNNNNNNNNNNNNNNNNNNNNNNNNNNNNNNNNNNNNNNNNNNNNNNNNNNNNNNNNNNNNNNNNNNNNNNNNNNNNNNNNNNNNNNNNNNNNNNNNNNNNNNNNNNNNNAGUGGGAAUGCGAAAUUUGAUCAUUGGGUGAGGUGCCUUUCAUUCUCCCUAUAUCCCCGUCGAAACGACUUCUCCAAAUCUGGGAAGGGUCGGUCCUUGCCCGCCCGUGGCGGGGUAAUGCGUCGUUAGAUCUGUGCGACGGCCCGCCUCGGCGUUCGACCAGAGGAAGGAGAAGAAGGCAAAAAAAAAAAAAAAAUUAAAAAAAAUUUUAAAAAUUCGAAAAAAAAUAAAAAAAAAUUAUUUUAAAAAUAAAAAUUACCUCGCCGGCCGGCUGUCCCCUGUCGGCGUCCACGUCAGCGCCGGCCGGCCAAUUUUGGCCGGAUGGACUGAAUUGGCACAAUUAUAAAAGGUUUAGGAUUAAAUUGGACAAAAAAAAGUUUAGGACUGAAUUGGCACAAUUACAAUAGGUUUAUGAUUUUUUUGGUAAUUCUCCCCAUUAUUGAGUGGUUGAAGAAGGAAAUUCGAUCUUAUGACUUGCAAUUAACAUGGCAGCAACUUGAUCUAAAUGUGUAAUGUGCAUUGCAUUUUGUCCUACACUUUUUGACAUGGCCAUUCAAUAAAUGAUGGAGUUCGUCACCACAUCAUUGACUAGUGCUCUAAAUGCCCGUAAUUGUUAGUAAAACUGCUUGAAAUACUCAAUAAUUAAUAGCAAUGUGAUAGUGAUAUCUAAAUUCUUGCUUAAGGUGCAUUAUCGUAAUUGACAUUUAAAUAGAUUUAAUUAGGUCCAACAACUUUGUUACGACCUGCAAUGCUUUUCUGAAUUUUGAAUUGAUUUAGUAGAAUGCUAAACUUUUGUUUANNNNNNNNNNNNNNNNNNNNNNNNNNNNNNNNNNNNNNNNNNNNNNNNNNNNNNNNNNNNNNNNNNNNNNNNNNNNNNNNNNNNNNNNNNNNNNNNNNNNNNNNNNNNNNNNNNNNNNNNNNNNNNNNNNNNNNNNNNNNNNNNNNNNNNNNNNNNNNNNNNNNNNNNNNNNNNNNNNNNNNNNNNNNNNNNNNNNNNNNNNNNNNNNNNNNNNNNNNNNNNNNNNNNNNNNNNNNNNNNNNNNNNNNNNNNNNNNNNNNNNNNNNNNNNNNNNNNNNNNNNNNNGCUAGUGAGAAGUACAGAGGAUUUUGCUGUUCUUUUCAAAGCAUAGCAAACAAAUCCAUUCUCCAUUUCACAUGAUUUCCAUUGAAUCACGAAGAAGGCGCAAAAGGUUUAUCCUAAUCCCAAACCCUUCUCAAACUUAAGACGAUACUAAAUAUUUGAAAAUGAUUUAGGAACCUCAUUAAUUUAUAACCAAUCGAAAGUUUUGUAGCGACAAUGCUCCUCAGCCAAAGCGUAGGACCUACUUGAUAAAUUGGAAGGCCGGGCAUAUCAUUGGACUUUAACUGACAAUGUUGAAUUUUAGGACCAAAAUUCGAAAACUAGUGGUCUCACUGCCCCUCUAUUCGAUGGUACAUUCGUUGAUGAAAUCAAUUGGAUUUGCAAUUUUCAAAGAGACUCAAAAAUUAAAUUGAAAUUCGUACUGGAUGAUAAGAUUAAAAGCAUAUGACCAUUCCGUUUGCACAGCCACAAGCAUUUGCCUUUUAUUGAUCGAACCUUGUUGCUUCGACGUUGGAAACAGGUUUUUUUCUCCUCGUAUAUCCCUAUGCAACAGAAGUUUGAAGGAACUAUCAGCUGUCGGCAAACUGAGUAGCUUCAUUUGGGUGCAUAAAAUUUUUUAUUGAAAUCGCGGACAAACUGUUGAAUACAUCAGAAGACGGAUUUGCAUAUAGAUGAAUAGCACAAAGGGAUAUCACUUGCUUACUUCAGGCCAACUGAAAAAAGGGUGAAAGAGUCCUGGCAGCUCUAUAUCACUUUUCUUAAUAGGGCCGUCUAUAAAAUAUAUCGAGAAUUUAAGCCCAUUGAACAAAGCCCGACUAAUGAAAAUGCGUGAACUCGACCAUGUACAAGUCAAAAAUUGGCAUACCAGAAUUGGCUGGCCAAGAUUUCAAAAAGCGUGAAGAAAAAUCAAUUACAUGUGACUUUGUUGCCUUCUCCAAUUCCAAUAUAUCGUGCAUGUUGGAUUCUUUGGCACGCUGAAUUUGUUGCCCUAGAAGAAGGGGCUCACACACACGCAUACAUAUAUACACCUGAUCAUAUUUUACUUUAAAUUAAUUUACUUAGGUUCAAGAACUUUAUUCUAAUAUGCAAUGCAUUCAUGCUUUCACAUGAUUUGUUUAGAUGUCCUACACUUUUGUUUAGUACGUGAAUUGGUCCAUCUCUAGAACUUUAGUUUGUUCAAUUAUGUCUCUUGAAAUUAUUUUAGUAUGUUCAUGUGUCUUAUGCCCGUUGAUUAUCGAAAGGAAAUGGCCACAAUGGACAACAAUCAACUGAAGUCGCUGGAUAAAAAAAUUAUACAAAUGGAUUUCGUGUGUGUAAUAUGUAUCCCAAAUGAUAAAAAAAAUAAUACUCAUUCAUUUCUUAUGUAUAAUUCAUUUGAAACAAAAGAUUUGCUCGGUCACUUUAAAUGGUGAUUCUUAUUCAUCAUCCGAAAAUGUCAGCUAAGUAUGGAUUUUACUGUUCGUGUCAAAGCAUCGCCAACAUUCCGUUCUCCUUUAACAUAUUACGCUUGGAUCGGGGAGAAAGCACAUUGUUUUGUUAAGUGAGAGGUUUCAUCCUUAUCAGGAAACUUUUUUUGAAAUUAAGAAUGAUAUUUGAAUAUUUGCAAAUAAAUUAGAAACCUCAUUAAUUAAAAACUAAUGACAAGUUCAAGAGGGACAAUGCUCCUUGUGUCACACCCCGAAACCAUCAUAAAUGAGGGUGACACGGCCAUCCUUCCACUCGAAGGACGCAGCCUCAAAGCUCCCAAAAUCCAAUUCCUAAAAGUCCGCUCAUCGAUAUCGCUCUUGUACUACUUAUCGUACUAGUUAUCAUGAGCUGAGGAACCUAAAAAAGAUUGGCAAAUAGGGAGGUGAGCAACCACAGCUCAGUGAGUAGUUCAUCAUUUCUAAACAGAUCGAGCACCCACUAUACAUAUUUACAAAACCAAAGUACAACUCUUUUAACACAAAUCUAGAAUAUAACAAACAAAUAAUACGAGAAUAAGUUAUGUACACUUAAGAAUAGCUACAUUCAUUUCACAAUAACAUCAAAACAAAUAUCAAUGGUCAAAUCCAUUUAUCAAUCUCAUUAAGUCACACGCCAAUGGUUCAUUUCAUUGAUCAGUCUCAUGCCAUAUUUCAAUGGUUUAUUUCAUUGAUCCAUCUCAUAGGAAACCGCAAAUUGAUGAUCCAUUCUAACGACUAAACUCAAAUUACAUGUUAAUGGUCCAUUCUAUUGACCAAUCCAUUGCUCAAUAUCAAACUAUGGUCAUGAUACAAUGCCUAAUGACGGGCAACCAAAAUUUCCCCCUUAAUAAGGUCUCCACCUAUUAUUGGCCGUGACUCAGCCCACAAUGAUACAUUAGACUAGUAUGUACAUACCCACAAGCCUCUCGCUAGACUGGCAGCAAUAUUGAGCAUUAAUAUCAAUCCAAAACAAUACCAUCCAUAAUUCACAAACCAAAUCCAUAAAUCAUUUUUUAUAUCACCAAAAGAUUUCACAACUAUUUUUUAUGCCAGGUUAGGCAGACAAUGANNNNNNNNNNNNNNNNNNNNNNNNNNNNNNNNNNNNNNNNNNNNNNNNNNNNNNNNNNNNNNNNNNNNNNNNNNNNNNNNNNNNNNNNNNNNNNNNNNNNUUAUGUUCUGAGAUUCUUACACAAAGUGCCGAAGAGAAAAUGAAACAAGAAGAGAGGAGAGAGCAAGCUCAUAUAUAGAGGCUUUCCGGGUUCGAAUGUCUCUCUCUGUGUUCAUAUGUUUGAGCUACUUUGCAGCCUCCAAUCUGCUGCCUAUAGUCGACUAGCCCAUCGGGGUGGGUAGAGGGAAGACAAUGCCGAUUACAUUCUUGAGAGAAUUCUAGUGUUUGCCAAUUCUUCUCACCUAAGCCUCAAUCUACGACUGUAGUUGGAUGAAUGUGUCACGACUGAGCAGGAACACUGACCAGACGUCAAUCAUUUGCAACUGAUCAUAUGGAGAAAUCUGGAGUUAAAACAGAGAAAAAGGAUAAUGGUUGAUUGAUGAAGGUAUCAUCUGAGUAAAGUGCUUCACAAACUGUUCGGAGCUAACUCCAAUUACUGGUCAACCAUGACGAAGAGUGACAUUAUUCGUUCGAAUGAGACACAGUAGAAAAGCGUUGGUCACCUGAUUAAAUCCGUCUGGCCAAACUAUGGACACGGCCUAGUUUCCCAUUGGCUGAAUCUCUUCUGGUUCGAUGUCUUCCGGAACAUUGGAAUACUGCAGUUUUUGCUCCCCUGUCCACUCAUCCUGAUGUGCAGAUAAGUGGCAUAAGAAAGAAUCUCUUCACUAGUCCAAGUCACAAUAUCUAAGACAAGCACAGGACAAGUAGAAACUUCGGAAGGAAUAACUUAAGCUAAAUUCCACCACUAAUCUUCAUUGAUUUUGAGGGAUUAGACUGGAGAAUAACCGCUGUUAUACUCUGAAUCCCUAUGCUGUUCGGCAUUUAUCAGCAUGACAAAGGAUGCCAAAGGAGGGGAAAUCAGAGUAAAAACUUUUGAGGCAAGAAGUAUUUUUAGUCGACUGAAUAGAUUUAAAUGAAGAAGUUCAAUACUCUAAAAUCUACCAUGCCAAAUCACUAAUACUCAAGAAUUCAGUUGAUAGAACACUCGGAUUACUGAGAUCUGGUAUGGUUAGUUUAAACCAUCACGUGAAGAUAAGAGGUAAGGUUUGAGUGAAAACAUGCUCGACCUUCAUGUACAGGUGCUUGGAUUAUGGGUAAUGGCGUGAAAGCUGCUCAAAUCCACUUAUCUACAUUUUCAAAAUGCAACUGUAGACCUCUGAUUNNNNNNNNNNNNNNNNNNNNNNNNNNNNNNNNNNNNNNNNNNNNNNNNNNNNNNNNNNNNNNNNNNNNNNNNNNNNNNNNNNNNNNNNNNNNNNNNNNNNNNNNNNNNNNNNNNNNNNNNNNNNNNNNGGUUAUGCGUGAUUGUGUUGACACCGCUGCAAUAAAAACCUACAUAUCAGAGGAUUUUUCCAGGUCAAAGGAAAGUCCUUAUACCACAAUUUGAGCUGAUCGGUUGUUUCUUCUCAUGGUCGUGGGGUGUAGAAAGAACUCCUCGUCUGAAUCUGGAACCUUCGCUUUGAUUGCCUUGAUAACUUUAUCAUGAGUUACGGCUGUUGACACUGGAAAGGAAGAUGACACUUUGAAUCAUUUGAUUAUGAAAGCCAAAAAUAAAAAAGAUAUGCAAUUUCUGAAGGUAUUCCUUUAGUUCAAUCGUCGGAGGGGAGAUGAGCCUAAAAUUUUAGUGGCAAAUGACGAACUGGGAAAGUUCUCAUCUUAGGAAUCUAGUUAGACACUGGCACUGGAUUCUCGAAACACAGAUAUCUCUCUCAACCUUUAUCAAGAAAUUGUCUUAACCUAAUAAAUAUAAACUACCUUGUUGACGAAUCUUGGCACACUGUUGCACAACACACACUCCAAGGUCCUGGAAUGUCUUGGCAACUUCUCCUAGAGGAUCUGCCACAACUUCUGGCAUUCCACUAUCUCCAAAAGCUGAUAACUAAUAUCAAUGGAAGAAAUCAUUAUUAUUCAUCAUGCUUCAACAGGAGUAAGAAUGGACAUUAAGAGAACAAAGGCACAACAAUGAGAGAUAAGAUCAAAGAACUUGUCAGAGGAUAUACCGUUGGUCUAAUGGGAAGAUUGAAUAAAUGAGGAAUUCCGAACUGCUGGAAAACCUGUAAAUAAAUCCAGCACAAUCUGAGGAAACAGAGAAUAUGCUUCAUCCUUUAACACCAGUGUAACCCUAGGAUUAGCGCUCUGGCAUUCCAUUGUAACAAGUAAACCAAACAAUAGGUAAUCCGAGAAACAUACCUGAGAGCCUGAUCCUCUACCAAGUGGGUAAUAGUGCUUUCCAUCGGCAUCAAAGUGGCACAUAUUUUCCACAACAGCAUCAUGGUACCUGUGUGCAUGAACAGUGGAUUGUCAAAAGAUGACUCUUUGAUAGAUAAAAAGAGAUCAACUAUAGGGCACCGAGAGGGGAAGGGAGGGUUGCAAACCCUAUACAAAAAGAGCCCAAAACUAAAGACAUACACAAAACAGCUCACAAAAACGAAAAAAGGAGCUCAAAUUAAGGAUAAAUCACUGAUGAUAUCAACUAGAACUAUACAUCCAUAUACAAGUUUCCACUGUACCAAAAAUGUAUAACUUUAAGCCAAUUUUCAAUAACAUUCUGUCCAAUAAUUGUCACGGUGAAUUUGUAUCUUUUAAAUUACAUUUCCAUGUUUCAUCAUAUUUUCAGAAUUCUUGACAAAUGAUUCAAAGGAUAAUCAAAGGAUAGUGUUGAAUGGGGAUUGUCAAUAGUACAAAGGCACAAACCUGAAGUUUUGAGAACAUGCGAAUUCCCUUUGCUACAUUUAUAAAUGCAAGCUUUUGAGGGGUGGUAACAAUGACGGCAGCUGUUAAGGGUACAACCUGAAAAGUUAAUAUCAUUACAUUAAGAUUGAAAACUGCAGCAACAAACAAAACUUGCAAGAGUAUUAUCUGAUGCAAAAUGCCUGCAACUAGCAGCUUCUAAUUGUAAAGAUGUGCUUUGUUCGUAAAAGGAUAGAGGGAUAAACAUUAAACCGUUCAUAAUUACUGAUCUAAGAUGAAAAGGCACAAAAUGCGAACCUGGCAUAAUGUAAGCUGAAUGUCGCCAGUCCCCGGUGGCAUGUCAAUAACAAGGUAAUCCAACUCACCCCUGCAAGGGGAGUUUAGUAAUGCUUAGCUGCAGAAGCCCGACCCAGAAGCCAAAAAAAGGAGAAUGAUGAGAGAAAAUCAUUGUUUUUGAUUAACUGUAGUUUACUUUGAAUCAUGCACUUCUCUUAUAGGAAUAUAAUACGCUUUGACAACAAUGACAGUGAACAGAAAUUUGAAUAUAAUAACCACAGCAUGCAAGCAUGACGGACAUUCCCCUGCAAUCAGCCAACGUCAUAGAGUUCCAAUGAUUUUUCAUACCACUCGGUAGUAGUCAAGAGUUGGUUGAUGACACCAGAAACCAUUGGACCUCACAUAAUCGCACGGCCUUGUCCAGCAAAUCCAAAAGAUACCAGCUUCACUCAUAGGUAUUCUGUGGGAAUUCUGCUUCUUUUCUCUGGGUUCUAGAAAAGGUAGGUGGAAAUAAUAAAUGCAUUACUUCACUAAACUAGAAAUUAAUUUCAUUGUAGUGGAAGUGGAACUAUAAGCUUUAUUACCAUUUCCAGAAGUCGGUUAUCAGGGGAAACCAUUGUUGGUAAACUUGGACCAUACACAUCGGCAUCGAAAAUACCAACUCGAGCUCCCAUUCCAGCCAAAGUAUAUGCAAGAUUUACAGCUACAGUUGAUUUUCCCACACCUCCCUAAACAGUUCUGACAGACAGCAGUCAUGAUAGAAGAAAUUAAAGAAUAGUACUUUUUAAUAUUAGUAACCUAACAACAUGUCAAACCACAAUUUGGACCAUCCCACGGGCCUUCCCUUCCUUGCGCACGUCCGGGGACCAAGGCACGGACGCACCGCCAUCCCUCCUCCCCGCGUGGCCCCACACACGAUCGGGAGUCGGCUCUGAUACCAUUUGUAACGACUCGGGCCCCAUUUUGAAUAUUGUCCGCUUUGGACACUGAGUUAAAACGCGUUAAAGCAAAGGCAGAGGACCAUCCCGCAGGCCUUCCCUCUCCCAAGCCAUAAUAUUGUCCUCUUUGGGUCCCACAUUAGCGCGGAUGCACCGCCGACCCAAUCAAGCCACCCUCAAGGCUUUGUUCUCAGCAUAGCGGAAGCAUGUGUGAAAUGCAUUACGCAAAUUAAAAGGGCUCAAACCUUUAUAAACAAGCUCAGGACUCCCUUCUAAGCGAUGUGGGACUAAAGAGGGACCCCUUCCCCUUUAUUGCGCACGUUCGGGGACCGAGGUAUGGACGCACCGCCAUCCCUUCUCCUUCUGCACCAUCGCUUGGGCUGUCACAUUGGUUGUCCCAAAAUCAAGCCAAAAAAUGACACGGGCACAAAGCUGCUGGACGCGUGGAAAUUCAAAAUUUUGUUUCGGACAAACCAUAAGCUCAAAUCACGAUCCGUUUUGCUGGACGCGUGGAAAUUCAAAAUUUUGUUUUGGACAAACCAUAAGCUCAAAUCACGAUCCGUAAAAUCCUAUGGCUCCACAACACCCUAAACUAUCAUUUCUAUAAAAAUAUACGGCUCAACAACUCCAAAAUCGGACCCCACCGCUCAAUUUUCCCAAAAUUCCGAAUUUCAAGCCCUAAUUCCGAAACUACUCCAAUUGGAAGGAUGAAGGCUGCGAUCACUUACCAGGUGUUGUAAAUAAGCUCAGUGAGUUGCCCGUAGCGUGAACACACAAAGCCUCUCUCUUCUUUCUUCUUCUUCUUCUUCUUUCCUCUUUUAUUCUGCCUAACCUUCUGCCUGAACGUGGGCUUUCUUUUCCUUUUUAUCUCUUCCCCUUUUUGUUUUCUUUUUCUUUCUUUAUUUAAAGUGGGUCCCACCACCUUUUCUUUGACCUAAUAAAAAAUCUCGAAUAUUACACAAACUGAGUAGCCUUAAGCGGAGUGCAUAAGAUUUUCAAUUAAAAUCAAUGACAAUCUGUUGUAUGCUUUAGAAGACGAAAUUGCAAACGGAUGAACUGCAAUAAGAGAUAUCACGUGCUUCAAGUCGAUUGAAAAAACCAAGUGCUUAAGAGUCCUUGCAGCAGAAUAUUGCUUUCGUGAAAUAGGGCCUUUGGCGAAUUGAUUACAAGCAGAUCAUACUUGUCGAACGGAGUUAAAUGCGCAGGAAUAGUAGUUCAGAUUUGUCAACAAACAAGGCGUAGUGUUUAAACUUUAAUGACUAGGAUACAGAUCAAACAACCAAUACCUCAGUGUUUCACAAUUUAUGCACAGCCUGGGCGUGAAGGGAGCAAUGGAGCAAACGGAUGCAUUAAACCUAGAGUACUCCCAAACUUUUUAANNNNNNNNNNNNNNNNNNNNNNNNNNNNNNNNNNNNNNNNNNNNNNNNNNNNNNNNNNNNNNNNNNNNNNNNNNNNNNNNNNNNNNNNNNNNNNNNNNNNNNNNNNNNNNNNNNNNNNNNNNNNNNNNNNNNNNNNNNNNNNNNNNNNNNNNNNNNNNNNNNNNNNNNNNNNNNNNNNNNNNNNNNNNNNNNNNNNNNNNNNNNNNNNNNNNNNNNNNNNNNNNNNNNNNNNNNNNNNNNNNNNNNNNNNNNNNNNNNNNNNNNNNNNNNNNNNNNNNNNNNNNNNNNNNNNNNNNNNNNNNNNNNNNNNNNNNNNNNNNNNNNNNNNNNNNNNNNNNNNNNNNNNNNNNNNNNNNNNNNNNNNNNNNNNNNNNNNNNNNNNNNNNNNNNNNNNNNNNNNNNNNNNNNNNNNNNNNNNNNNNNNNNNNNNNNNNNNNNNNNNNNNNNNNNNNNNNNNNNNNNNNNNNNNNNNNNNNNNNNNNNNNNNNNNNNNNNNNNNNNNNNNNNNNNNNNNNNNNNNNNNNNNNNNNNNNNNNNNNNNNNNNNNNNNNNNNNNNNNNNNNNNNNNNNNNNNNNNNNNNNNNNNNNNNNNNNNNNNNNNNNNNNNNNNNNNNNNNNNNNNNNNNNNNNNNNNNNNNNNNNNNNNNNNNNNNNNNNNNNNNNNNNNNNNNNNNNNNNNNNNNNNNNNNNNNNNNNNNNNNNNNNNNNNNNNNNNNNNNNNNNNNNNNNNNNNNNNNNNNNNNNNNNNNNNNNNNNNNNNNNNNNNNNNNNNNNNNNNNNNNNNNNNNNNNNNNNNNNNNNNNNNNNNNNNNNNNNNNNNNNNNNNNNNNNNNNNNNNNNNNNNNNNNNNNNNNNNNNNNNNNNNNNNNNNNNNNNNNNNNNNNNNNNNNNNNNNNNNNNNNNNNNNNNNNNNNNNNNNNNNNNNNNNNNNNNNNNNNNNNNNNNNNNNNNNNNNNNNNNNNNNNNNNNNNNNNNNNNNNNNNNNNNNNNNNNNNNNNNNNNNNNNNNNNNNNNNNNNNNNNNNNNNNNNNNNNNNNNNNNNNNNNNNNNNNNNNNNNNNNNNNNNNNNNNNNNNNNNNNNNNNNNNNNNNNNNNNNNNNNNNNNNNNNNNNNNNNNNNNNNNNNNNNNNNNNNNNNNNNNNNNNNNNNNNNNNNNNNNNNNNNNNNNNNNNNNNNNNNNNNNNNNNNNNNNNNNNNNNNNNNNNNNNNNNNNNNNNNNNNNNNNNNNNNNNNNNNNNNNNNNNNNNNNNNNNNNNNNNNNNNNNNNNNNNNNNNNNNNNNNNNNNNNNNNNNNNNNNNNNNNNNNNNNNNNNNNNNNNNNNNNNNNNNNNNNNNNNNNNNNNNNNNNNNNNNNNNNNNNNNNNNNNNNNNNNNNNNNNNNNNNNNNNNNNNNNNNNNNNNNNNNNNNNNNNNNNNNNNNNNNNNNNNNNNNNNNNNNNNNNNNNNNNNNNNNNNNNNNNNNNNNNNNNNNNNNNNNNNNNNNNNNNNNNNNNNNNNNNNNNNNNNNNNNNNNNNNNNNNNNNNNNNNNNNNNNNNNNNNNNNNNNNNNNNNNNNNNNNNNNNNNNNNNNNNNNNNNNNNNNNNNNNNNNNNNNNNNNNNNNNNNNNNNNNNNNNNNNNNNNNNNNNNNNNNNNNNNNNNNNNNNNNNNNNNNNNNNNNNNNNNNNNNNNNNNNNNNNNNNNNNNNNNNNNNNNNNNNNNNNNNNNNNNNNNNNNNNNNNNNNNNNNNNNNNNNNNNNNNNNNNNNNNNNNNNNNNNNNNNNNNNNNNNNNNNNNNNNNNNNNNNNNNNNNNNNNNNNNNNNNNNNNNNNNNNNNNNNNNNNNNNNNNNNNNNNNNNNNNNNNNNNNNNNNNNNNNNNNNNNNNNNNNNNNNNNNNNNNNNNNNNNNNNNNNNNNNNNNNNNNNNNNNNNNNNNNNNNNNNNNNNNNNNNNNNNNNNNNNNNNNNNNNNNNNNNNNNNNNNNNNNNNNNNNNNNNNNNNNNNNNNNNNNNNNNNNNNNNNNNNNNNNNNNNNNNNNNNNNNNNNNNNNNNNNNNNNNNNNNNNNNNNNNNNNNNNNNNNNNNNNNNNNNNNNNNNNNNNNNNNNNNNNNNNNNNNNNNNNNNNNNNNNNNNNNNNNNNNNNNNNNNNNNNNNNNNNNNNNNNNNNNNNNNNNNNNNNNNNNNNNNNNNNNNNNNNNNNNNNNNNNNNNNNNNNNNNNNNNNNNNNNNNNNNNNNNNNNNNNNNNNNNNNNNNNNNNNNNNNNNNNNNNNNNNNNNNNNNNNNNNNNNNNNNNNNNNNNNNNNNNNNNNNNNNNNNNNNNNNNNNNNNNNNNNNNNNNNNNNNNNNNNNNNNNNNNNNNNNNNNNNNNNNNNNNNNNNNNNNNNNNNNNNNNNNNNNNNNNNNNNNNNNNNNNNNNNNNNNNNNNNNNNNNNNNNNNNNNNNNNNNNNNNNNNNNNNNNNNNNNNNNNNNNNNNNNNNNNNNNNNNNNNNNNNNNNNNNNNNNNNNNNNNNNNNNNNNNNNNNNNNNNNNNNNNNNNNNNNNNNNNNNNNNNNNNNNNNNNNNNNNNNNNNNNNNNNNNNNNNNNNNNNNNNNNNNNNNNNNNNNNNNNCAUAUCUCGAGUGACUAACAAACUAAACCCAAAAAGUAUCAUUACAAAUUACACAUAUAAUUAUCUCAAGUUAUACCCAAAAUUAAAUUUCUAAGAUUCUUCCAUUGAUGCAGCAUUCCUCCUAUUUGCCGACAGCUGAAAAAAAAUUGAGAUGAAUGGUAUAAGCAAACCACCUCUCAAUAAAUAGUGCAUGUCUCUUCUCAAUAAAUUGAGCAUUAGCUAUGCACAUUAUAAACAGUCACAGAAACACAACCAACUCCAAUAUAUAAUAUAUGUAAAAGUCUAAAUAUGAGUUACAUCACUUCAACAAUGUUUUCAACAUAUUAGAAAUGCUCAUUCAAUCAACAAUAUUUAAAAAAACAUCUAUGGUCUAGUCUAUUGAUCACUCUACUACUUCAAAUCAAACUAUAGCCACGUUUAACGCACCAUGACAAGGCUUACCAAGAUUCCCUCCUAGGCAUAGGUCUCCACUAAUGUCAGCCGGUGGCUUUGGCCAUUCAAGACAUCCUGAGAACAUGUAUGCUUACUCACAACUCUUCAAUGAUUUCAAAUCAUAAAGACGAGGAUAAAACCAUCAACGUAAUCCUAUCAACAACAAACUCAUUUCAGAAUUCAUUUAAUUAACCAGAGUCACAAAUCGAUGCAACCUUUCGCAAUUCCAUCCACAAGAACAAUGCAUUCAUGAAAAAAUUUCUUAAACCAAUUCAUAAAUAAUCAGCUCUUCAACUAUUUCAGGAUAUAUUUUACUGUGCUCUUUCGAAAAACCAAAUAGAUAGUAAAUGCAAGAUCCAGCUUUAUACAACAAAGACGCUCUAAACACCAUUUUUUAAAAAUAAAUAUUGUCCCAUGCAAUGUCUCAUUCAUAACUUAUAGAUACAAAUCAUAGAAAAGAUAAGCACCGCUCCUCGCUAACCAAGAGCCAAAUUAAAAGCUUUACUGCUCGAAAAGCUCAAAAAUCCUAUCAAGUAAAGCACCAACCAAAUGCCAAACUUACAUAUUACUAACCUCAACUAAGAUUCUAUUAGGUGACUCUAAUUUUUGGAUUCAAAAUGUCCACUAUGAGUCGACAAAAAGGCCCACAAGCAUCAAACUUGGUAUAGCAAAUAAAGCAGCAACCUUUUAUGCUGCGAAUUCUCUACCAAACUCUGCUUCAAUUGAGUUUACAAUCAAAAGAGAGCUCAUUCAAAAUAUUAAAAGACCCAAAACUCCUUAGAACCAAAAUUUGGCCGAUAACUGAUGAAAUCCGAGGACGAAACCCUACCGGUUGCAGUCACUGUACAUUAGUUUUUGAGAACUUCAAAGAAUCAGUAUCUCUCAAACGGCAAUCCGUAAAAUCUCACGAUUCUAAGACAACUUAACGUUUCGAAACAACACCAUUUUAGGGCUCAGCAAUCUCAAGAAUCAAGUUAACAACCCUAAAACCCGAACCAAUCCGAAAUUGUAACUUAACACAGCAAAUCUCUUUGAUUCAUUAGAUGUAUCAAGGUCUCAAAUUCUUACCGAGUGCUCCAAAAUGGUAUCAACCUAGCUCAUCGUGGCCUUCGAACCGAGUCGCGCCAAAAGCCCCCUUCCGCUCACUCUCUUUUUCCACUCUCUUUUCUUCUGUUUUCUCCUUCUUUUACCGCUUCGAUCCUUUCUCUCUUUCUGCUCUUGAUUUUUCCUAUGAAACAGCUCGAGAAGGGAAACAGAAGAUGGGCUAAGUGCCUAGCACCGAAAUCAUCUCUUUCAGAAGAGGCCCUUUGUGGGCUGAGGCCUUCUUUUUAAGGUGAGGCCCAUAGUUUGUCAAGAAGGCCCGAAAGAUCUACUGGGCCCAUCCUUUCUCUAUCAUAAACGACGCUUUGGUCGUCGAAACCAUCUAACAACGGGCAUCCCAAAACAUCCUUAUGACAUGCAUUUGGUAUAUUUUGCAAUGAUUUACAAGAUACGACUCUCAACCGACAUAGCUUCUCUAGCUUGAGAGCAUCAGGGAUGGGCCUUUCCGUGGAACUGCAAUCUCCAGUUGAUGAUGGUUCGGAUUUGAUCUCAAUUAGUUGUGGGCAGUUGUUCACGCUAAGCACUUGGUGCUCCUUCAAGCUCGAUAGAUUGGAUAGCCUCACAAGCAUCUUGCACUCGCUCACUUCUACAUGUUGGAGAAUCUCUAGCUGUCCGAGCACAUUGUCAAACUCGAUCUCUCUUAACCGACAGCGAAAGAACUUUAAUCUAGACAAAUUGCCCAGGUUGGAGAACAUUGACCAUUCUAUUGGGAUCUUCACAUCUCUUAAGGUCAAGUCUACUAAUCUAGAUGGAAGCCCAGUCAGAGCCCGUGGGUUGGUACAAGCUAUUUCAAGAUCCUCGAGCUGAGAAAGAGAGCUCAAGUCAAUCGGAUGCAUGUUGGAAUUGGAAAGAACCACAAUCAACGUCUGCAAUUUAUGAAGCCUUUCGAGCCACUCUAAGUUCAAAUGUAGAAUUUGUCCUUGUUCAAUUAUGGACAACUCACAUCUAUAAUCGUAAUCACUUAUUGCCAGAUAAUCUAAAUUAGUGAGGUUUGAGAGGUUUGGUGCUGCCUGCAACGAUGAAGACACUAACCUUAGUUUUGUUAAACCUGUGGGGAGAUUUGGUAGUAAUUGAAGCCCCAUACAAAACCAUAAAUCAAGUUUUCUAAGGUUAAAGAGUCGAUUCAUUAUCACUGGCAGUCUAUGAACCUUUGUCCAGGAUAGGUCCAAAAUCUUCAAUUGGGAUAGUCCUGAGAUUUCACUUGGAAUUUCACCCUUGAGAUUUUUACAGUUGUUGGCAUAUAGCUUCUCAAGAUUCUUUAGAAUCCAUAUGCUCUUCGGUAACUCUCUUAUCUUAGUACAAGACAAAUUCAUGAUCUGCAACUGUUUAAGGUUGCCAAUAGAAUAGGGUAAUUUUACAAUCUUUGUAAGAGAGAGAGCCAAUUCGAGGAGCAAUUCUAGUCUUCCGAUGGAAUCUGGUAAUGCAUUUAUACCAGUGCAAGAUAAAUCCAAAUGGAGGAGCGAUCUCAAGUCUCCAAUGGAAUCUGGAAGCUCUCUAAGGUUGUGACACUUAUGUAGAGAUAGAUGCUUCAAACCAAAUAGCUCUCCUAUUGAGUGCGGAAGUUUUAUAACACCAUCAUGCUUUUCCACCUUCAGCACUAACAAGGACUUCAAACCACCAAUCGUUUUUGGUAUUAGACGAAUGACUGGAAUAGAAUCUCUAUUUGGCAUAUGUACCUCCCCACUAAUUUCCAAACACUUUAGGUGGCCCAGCUGAUUAAUAGUGCUGUCGAUUUCUUCCAAUCUUGUACAAUAUUUGAGAACCAGUUUUUUUAAAUUCAUGCACUUGGAGAAGUUAGGUGUCCUCUUUAAAAGAUUGCAGCUUGUGAGAUAUAUGACUUUUAGGUUGUCAUUCACCUAUAAAACAACCAAUUAUUGGGGAAAUUAAUGGCAUAGGCAAAGGUCAACUCAAUGCAAAUGCUUACACACAUAAAGGAAAAAGAAUGCAUUAUAUGAAAGUAUACCAUGCAUGCUCCCCAUCCAUUCCAGUCUUCAGUAAUAUUGCUCUUUGAAAGCUUGAGAAAAGCCAACUUCCUUAGACAUAAACCAAUGGCACGUAGGUUUGAAGGGCAAUGAUGCCAUGAGAGCCAUGUUAGAUUAGAGAGAAGAUUUUUAAAGUCUCCUACAAAGUUUCCCCCAUUCAAUUCGAGGAACCUUAAACUUGGUAGCCUUGAAAAUUCGCCACUUGUAAAAUUAUGUCCGUCAACAAAUCUUGUCAGUUUGAGUGCUAUAAUGUUGUCUGUUCCCUGAUAUCACCAUAGCAACAAGUUAGCAACAUGAUUGAACCAUUCAGAGUAAGUACUAAAUAUCAAAAUAGGAAGCACAUAUCUAGAUUCAACUAAUAGUAAACAUGAGUGAACCAACAAAAAAACAGGGCACAUAGAUAUUAUCUUAUACAAAAAGGGGCAAACUCCAUGAAUCAUCAUCUCUUCCAUUUACAUGGGAGUCAUAAUGGUAAAAAUUAGUUCUUUUGGAAUUUUGUUCAUUUCUCUCAAAUUAUGCAAAAUCAUGAGUGUCCUAUGUGCAAAAAUGAGCGAACAUUUUGAGUGAAAAUGAAGUCUAAAAUGCACACAACUGCAUGUUCAGUUUUUUCAAAAGCAAUUUACUUCUUUACUAAGACAUACCAUGUUAUUCUGAACCACUUCUAAGGCGAUCGUUGGACACCACAACCUACUGCGCUUUCCAGGAACUGUAAAGCAUUCUUGCUGAACAAUCUCUCUUCCAAGAUCUCUGAGUUGGUUGUGCAUCCAUAGUCUAUCAUCUUUGGAAACUUUUAUCAAAGAUAAAUGAAUAAGAAUAUGGAGUCCAGUAAUUGGAAAAAAUUCACAAGCUUUCCACAUGUAAUAUGCAGGGAUUCUUUCUUCACCAAUGCAAUGACAUGCGAUGUCAAGAAAAAUUUGUUGCUGCUCAUAUUCUAACUCUUUGUAACUUAUCAACAACUUUUUCUGGACAUCCUCAUGGGGCACUUCCCGCAACUUCUGCAAUGUAUUUUUCCAUGUUUUCUUGCCUUUUGAAUGGAGUAAAGAACCUAUGACCUCGAGAGCCAAUGGUAGUCUUCCGGUAGUUUCGACAAUUUCAUGUGAAAUUUUGAUGUAAUCUUGUGGAGGCGAGUCACUUGCAAAGGAGUGCUUGCUGAAUAGUUGAAGAGCAUGGUAAAAUUGCAAUUGCUUCAUUUCAUGAAAAGAGAAAUCUCGGAGAUGCAUAGGGACGAUAUUGUCAUCUAGUGUGUCGAUUUCAGGAGCCAAAAAGUAGGUGUUUCUAGUUGUGAUAAUAAUUCUACUUCCCGAACCAAACCAACUUGACUCACCAGCUAGAUUCAUGAGUUUGUCUCUCUUGUCCAUGUCAUCAAGAACAAUGAAGGCUUUCUUAUCACCGAGUUUUUGUUUGAUCACAUCCCUCCCCUCAUUGGCAUCCAUAACUUUAGGAUGUUGGAUACCAAGAAUGUCAUGUAAUAAUUUCUUUUGCAAAUUUAAAAUAUCACUUUCACGGAUAUCUGAAAGAAAGCUGCAACUUUGGAACUGGGAAGAGAUACGUUUGAAGAUAGCCUUAACAAGAGUUGUUUUUCCGAUACCGCCCAUACCGUGAAUCACCACAAAUCGUACAUCAAAAGUGUCUACGGCUAACAACUUCAUAACGGUUUCCAUCUGAUCGUGAAUUCCCACCAAACCAUCACACCAGUUUCUCUGCAUAGGCAUCAGCUUACCAAAAACUUCUUCCAGAACAAAGGCUAUAAGUUUAUCUUGGCUGCCAUAUACAUAAUGCAACCGUCUUAGUUUUAGAAACCACAAACAUGCGCAGAAGCAUAAAUAUGUAAAACCAUAAAUUUUGAUUGUUAAAACUAAGCAUGGAUUAUCAGUUUAUUUCAUAUUCAGUCCUCCCCAAGCCGAGAAGAUUGAUCUCAGUUACAGAUAAUGAUGGUUGGAUAUUGAUGUGGGGGGCGGUUCUGAAGAGCUUUUAGAUGGUCAAAUCAGUGACGUUCUAACCUGCGAUGUAUUCAUCAAAACUUGCUCCAUAGCCAAGCGGGCGAACCAGACCAAUUGUUUUGGUUCGUGCAAUGCAUCUAGCUUGACAAAGGGUGAAAAUAGAUCAAAUCGCACAUUAAAUAGAGAGAGCAUUCUUGAGUGGGACCAACACUGACGAAGGUGUCAAUACUUUUUAGUGCAGGAGUUUGGGGCACCACAAUCCCAUAUCGAAUGGGGCACACCUUUUUUAACUAAUUCAUGGGUAAGGUCCACCCUUAAAUGGCCACUCUAAAAUUCUACUGUAAUAGGAAUUAUCACAAGGAAGAAUGGCAUAAGAUGUGAUAGAAACUUUACGCAAAAGUGCUGUCAAUGGAUCGGUUACGAGUUCUGAAAAAUUAUAUGCCUGAUGAAAUGGACUUUAUAAAACGAACAUGGUAAUUUGCACACCAUUUCAACUUCCAUUUGACUUCAGAAUAUUGUUAGAAGGAGCGGGGAGGGGUUGAUCUAUAAAUUGAGUUGUCGUGAUUAAGAAACAAUGAUCUAAAUUUAGAAAUGAAAGUACAACAUUUGUCAUUAAUUACCUGUGAUCUUUUAAGUUAUAUCCCUUGAUUCCAGCGACCUCUAUGAGGGCCUCCUCCCAAUGCUUCGCCAUAUCUUCACCAAACCGUCUCUCAUGCUUUCGUAGGGCCUUACCGUAUGAUCCAGUUCUGAGCUUAAGAUUGGAUGCAUCCACCCCAUAGAAGAUGGGCAAGAUCAAUUUCUUGUCUCUCUUCCUACACUCCACCAUGUGUGCGAGCUCACGGAGACACCAUUUGCUGGAAGCAUAGUUUUCAGAGAAGAUCGGUACGUAGAUUUUUGAAUUGGAGAUUGCUCUCAAAAGCUCGCCUCUGAUCUCUUCCCCAACACGGAGCUCUUCAUCAUCUUUGAAGACACAAAUCCCGGCUCGAAUCAUGGCCGCGUAGAGAGAGUCCGUGAUGGUUAACCGAGUGUCGGGCCCUCUAAAGCUCAAGAACACCUCGUAGUCCCUCCUUGAUGAUGAUGAAGAUUCACCACUGAGGGGGAGAGACUUUCCUUCAGGGCAUUCCAUUCCUGUGAUCUUUGGCCACAAAAGCAAUAUCAAAUUAUUGUGCUUGGUCGAAAUUGCAACUUUCCAGUUUCCUUGCGGCCGUUGCCAAUUUAUAAGAAAACGGUAGACUGACUCUUUUCGUCUUAAAACAACUAUUGACUGAUUUAGGCUCACUGUGAGCGACAGAAGAUGCAAAGAAAGAUCACUACUGCACGCUUCCACGAAAUAACCUACCUCGGACAAUCGUUCUUCACUUGUAGUUUUAUUGCACCUCCUUUUUGUCACACCCCGAACCUCGAGCAUGCGCACAUCCCUCAGCAAUCAAAUGAAAAUGCGACGUCCCAAGACACGUCACCGACCCAUUCUUUUUAUCUUUCAAUUAAGCACAUGCGGAAGCGAAUUAAAUAAACCUCCGGUCAAUAAACAAACCAUCGGGAUAAUAAAGCACAACAAAAAUUGCCAAAAACAACUUAUUUAUUUUUCAACUAUUAACCCUAGGAAGUUUAAUACUUACAAGCCUUUCUACGACCACUUCCUAUCGACCCUUUGCAAAAACCUUCAGGGACUAGGGUUAAUCUAAAGUCCACUAACAGUAGGGCCAGCCAAAAGGUGUCGCAUCUUGCGCCCACCAAACAUUCGUAUGGAUCCCGAUUAUCAAGUAAAACCGUUAUGGCACGUCCCAUACCAUGCCUUACAAUUUUUUCCCAUAAUCAAGCGCAAAGCAGUACAAUCAUACACACGUGUUUUGAUUAUACGACCCCUCGGGCCAUGGCUAACACAAGAGUCGGCGGUCUUUUGGCAUAACCGGGCAUCUUCCCGCCCCAUCGGGCACGGCAUCAUCCUAUGUAUUCAUACGCCUCAGGAUGGCAUUCCAUUAAGGAACUUCGUUCCGAAAUCCAUCUGUGAACGACAUCCCGUUGACUUGGGGGCAUCCGAACUUAAUCAGGCAUCGUCUCGCGUAAACGCAUUAGGACGGAUUCACUACCCCGCAUAAACGCAUCAAGGUCUUUAGGUGAUCACACAAGCAUACCAUCACUCAAGUCCAUUAUUUUCUUUCUCAUUAGCCAAGAACACAAAAAUCCUUUUUGCAAAUAAUAAACUUGGCAACUCUUUUUUUUUCUCUUUAAAACUCUUUGAAAUAAAUUCAUAUGUGGUCACGUACUCAAAAUCAAUCCAUUAAACUUUGCACGCUUCUACUAUAAAAUCUCCUCGUUUUAUUGAGCACAUAAAAUUUGGCGUCCAAACCCGACACCUCAUUUUUUUUCUAUUUUCUUUUCCAACCACCCCUUUUUGGAACUAAACUUGUGUAAUCUCCUUUUUCUUCUUUAAAACUUUUGGAACGUUCGUAGGCGCUCUCGUACUCAAAAUAAAUCUGUCAAACUUUGCACGCACCUAGUUUAAAACCUCAUUGUUUUAUUGAGUAAAUAAGUUUUGGUAUGCAAACAUGACACCUAAAUUUUCUUUCUAUUUAAAUGCCCAUAAAACCAUCUUUUGCAAUAAAAAUAGAUAAUUAUCAUAAAACAAUCAAUCACAUAAUAUUGUACGUGCAGCAUUCAAAAUCACGCAUAAGUUCUCAGCAUGCCAAAAAUCAACCAAAUCACAAAAUAUACAUUUUCGAGCAAGCAAGAUACCAAAAACAACCACAAGACUACAACCAGCCCUCAUUGGCAGAAACCGAGUCCACUCGCACGUCUCCAAGAUUAAUUCUAGAAAUAUAACCAAACGAAUUCAGAAAAUUCUCAAAUUUAAAUAUGUUAUAAAGAACACUUAAACAAACACUUUUUAUGAAGACACCUUAACUCAGAUUUUUCUGGAAUAUGAGAAGUAAAUCGCUCAAAUUAUUAUCAAAACUGUGUCCGUGUCCAGAAAUUACGUUUUCCAAAAUCAGCUUGGUUCGAGGUCCAAAACUUAUCCGUUUGCUCUGAAAUUUGACUAUGUUAAACUUAAAGAUGUGAUGAAAAACUUUUGUGAAGAAACUCUGUCAAAAAUCGAACCCUGAGAGUUGAUAAAAAUUCUUUAAACACCAAAAGGUCACGGGUUCUAGCACAAAACGAGAUUCUGCCUUGCAUAUAACGAAGUUGAAAUCUUGUUAUUUUAAAUUCAGAAAAUCUUGAGUAAAAUAUAUGUCAUAAAUGAAUAUGUUUAGAACAUUUUUCAAGGAAGAAGCAACCUCAAAGUCGUAGCACAUCUACGAAAAUAGCAAACAGCGAGUGUCCAAUAAACAGAUUUGAAGAGAAAUCCAGACUCAGCUCCUUUGAACACAUCUUUUGCAAGCUUAGUAGCCAUAAACCUUCAAGGAACUCACAUGCAAGACUUUCCACACAUCACAUUGUAGAUGCAAGCUAAAAUCCUACAUAGAUCUAGCUCCUAUAACUCGAAAAUCCAUUAGAUUGGGCUAAACCACCCUCAUUAGUACUAAUCUAACUACUCCUAGGAGCAAUUAAUGGCAUAAUUAAAGAUUAGGAAGUUAACUUACUGUUUUCGACGGCGACGGGCUCACGGCGACAGCAACGCGACGACGAUGAAAACACAAGACAACCGUGACUCGAACGGAGGCUCGACAGUGGCGAUGUCGGCCCUACAAGCUCUUGGCCAAGGGGGGCUUGGAUCGGCUUGGGGCUGUUCUCGAUGGCUGCUGGCGGUGCUGGAUGCUGGGGGCUGCUGGGCUAGAACAGACGCUAGACGGCUGGACGUUGGUGGGGUUGCAGGCGUGAAGAUGGAGAUGGCGUGUGGGGGUAGCUGGCGGUGAUGAUGCAGCAAGAUGAUGAAGGUGGCAGCGUGCGGUAGCAGAAGGAAGGGGAUGAGACUGGCGGUGGAGGAUGAAGAUGGGAUGAUGAGGGUGCAACAAGAAGAUGGGAAGGUGGGCUGGUGCAAGGUGGCGGCUUGGUGGAUGUGGCAGAAAAAGGAAGGAAAAGGGAGAAGCAGGUCAAGGUGGAGAGGAAAUGAAAUGGAGGGAAGAAGUGGGCGUGAGGAAGAAAAGAAGAAGGGAGUGGGCAGAAGGGGGGCUGAACGUGCGUGCGUGAGAGAGAGAGAAAACAAAGGCAGCGAAUCAACUCUUAGGAAGAAAUAUCUAAUUUAAUCAUCACAAAGCCACAAAAGUCCUAUGCCUCAAAAGUCCUAAGCUCAUCUUCACUCCACCAAUCACCAAUUAGCUCUAAUUUCCCUAAUUUAAAGCCUUUUUGGGCAGCAAAUUCCCCUUUUUCCUCUUAAUCUGAAUUUCAUUUCAUUUUUCUCUUUUUGUACAAAAAUCAUUUUUCCGCAAAAUUUCGGACUCGUCGAAAAUUCGCCAAAAGAUGAGAUGGCGUCCAAUAAAUAAAUCGUGAUAUGCUCGAACAUUCGAUUCCUGAAACUAAAUUUAGUUUCGUGGUUAAAACCAACCGAACGCGACUUUAGUACGACCUAAUCUACCAUGUAGCUUUUAGGAGUUUUAGCGCAUUUGACCUGUGGUCGAUAAUUUUCGAUCCACGUUUGUGCAUCUUUGAAUCGUAGAUGACUCUCGGUUGUCAUAUAAUUGCGAAGGUUCAAUUAUGUGUUCCGAAUAUAAUAUUGACAGAAAAUCGGUUUACUGUCGUUCGACGCGAAUAUCGUAAUCGUGCGGAACUACCCGCAAUUUAACUACAUAAUUCAAUCGAAUCGACUUAUAUCCGUUCGCAAAUCGAUUUAUAAUGAUAUCGUAUUGACUUUUGCCGAUUUUUAUGGUUGAGCAGUCGAUUUCUAAUUGAAUUAUCUAAUCUGUUGUGUUUAUAUCUCUUAACGGUCUCGCCUAAUAGAUUAGUUAACUCGAGAGUGGCAAGCUUCAAGUAAAAUAACCAUAAGCGUGUUGAUGAAAUAACCAUUUCAUAUAUUCGAAACCGGGCCAAAUUUCGGGAUGUCACACUUUUCUUGAGAACCAAGGAGAGCACUCGUUUUUCGCAGUAUUUUCUCAGAACGUACCUGAGUUGAUUCGGGGAAGUCUUCGAAUGUAUUAAGACUAGAGCUUAAUUCCCUAAAAGAAGCAUCGAUUUUAGUGUUGCGUCAAAGCAUGAGAGGCAUUCUUCCAUACACAAUGAUGGAGCCUAGUAGGAAUCGAAAUAAAAAGCUGACCGACCAAACCUGAGGGCCUCUCACUUUUCCUAAAGUCACUUUUUGCCCCUUUAUUAGCUCGUCACGUGAUAGAAUAAAGUGCCUUUAUUGGGAAUGUGAUGAUUAUUGGAUUCUUGAUUUUCAUAAACCACUAAGUCCAGAUUAAUCGAGUUUUCAAUAAGAUCAUUGUUAGGGUAAAAGAAAAAAAAAAGAUCAAGUCUCUCCUAUAAUUUUAAUAAGUGCAUCAGAAACUCAAAAUGCAAUGUUUUAAAGAUGUUUCACCUUGAAGCCAAAUCUGGUUGACAUUUUCAAAACUAAAUUGUACAUUGUUUAAGCAUAAUAGUUCCAGUUCAAUGGCAAUCAGAUAUAAAACAUGCCUUGUUGCGAAAGGGUUCGAUAGCCUUAUCAAGUGAAAAAACUUCUAACUCAGAAAAACAACACCUACCCAAGUCCAAGCGUUAAAAGAAGGAACAAGUGCACUAGAAGUCCUAUAAAUUGUUAUGAAAGUGUAAUUAAGUAUAAUUUUUUUAAAAAAAUAUAAUUAAAUCUUAAAACUUAUCACGAAAGUACAAUCGAAUUUUAAAACUUUCAAAAAGUGCAAUCAAUAAAACACUUGAUUGGACAAAUUUAAUAAGUUUUAAGACUUGAUUGUAUUUUUUUUUUUAAUUUUUAAGAUUUAAUUGUACUUUCUUGACAAGUUUUAAGGCUUUUAAUAUACUUAUUUCUUAAAAGUAAAGCUUUUUCACAAUCCUCCAAAAUUGGUGGCAGUGCCUGAUAAAGUGCAGCCAUUCUUGGAGCAAUGUCUAAGACUCAUGCUCUAUAAAUUGCUUCGUUGAUGAAACUAGAGAUUAAUCCUCAGCUUCAAAUUCUCUACGAGAGAGAGAGAGAGAGAGAGUGCGCGUUUAUGCGCGCGCGCGAUAUAAUUAUGUGAAAAAAUAGUUUAUUUGGAUCAUAUCCAUGUGUAGCGUGAUGUCCAUUCAAUCAAUAACAAAGCUUGUUACCGCAUUAUUGUAUAGUGCGCUAAAUGCCCACCGAUUGUUAUUUAAACGGCAUGAUAUACUCAACAAUUGGUAGCAAUGUGAUGCUGAUACCUUGCCUAAUAUGCAUGAUCAUAAUUGUAAUUUAAAUUGAUUUACUCUAAUUUCAAAAACUCUAUUCUAAUAGGCAAUGCAUUCCUGCUUUCAAUUGAUUUGAUUCCUACACUUUUCUUUAGUUUGAGUAAUUGAUUCAUCUUUAUUACUUUAGUUUGAUCAAUUAGGUCUCUCAAAAUUAUUUCAGUAUGUUUCAUGUGUCAUACACUGGUUGAUUAUCAUAAAGGGAACUGCUAAAAUGGACUACCAUCUACUGAAGCUAUUGGAUUAAAAAAAUUAUACAAAUGGAUAUCGUAUGCGUAAUAUAUAUUCAAAACUAUUGAAAAGUAAUACACAUUUGUUUCUUUUGUGUAAUUCAUUCGAAACAAAUUAUUUUCUCGGUCACUUUAAGAGGUCAUUCUUAUUCGUCAUCCCAAUAUGUCAGCUAAGUAAGGAUUUUGCUGUUCUUGUCAAAGCACAUCAAACAAUCAUUUCUCCAUUCACACAAUAUCGAUUGAAUCAGGAAGAAAGCACAUUGUUUUGUUAAGUGGGAGGUUUAAUCCUAAACCUUUUAUUGAAUUUAAGAAUGAUACUGAAUUUUUAAAAUAAUCUAGGAACCUCAUUAAUUUAAAGCCGAUAAAAUGGUCAAGAGAGACAAUGCUCCUUGGGCAAAGUUAAGGACUUAUUAUAUAAAUCAAAAGGUCAAGGACGUCAUAACACGUAAACGAUCAAUAAUGAAUUUUUAAGACUCCUAGCUUCCUUCGACUUGGUUAGCAUAUGCAAAGACUGAGAAGACCAAGCUUGUCACGCCCCAAACCUUGCGUGUGCGCACAUCCCUUGGUGAUCGACUAAAUUGUGACGUCCCUAGGAUGUGUCGCCAACCCAAACGAAUCAUGCACAUGCGGAAGCGAAAUAAUAACCCUCAGACAACAAAUAACAUGAGAUAGAAAAGCAGGACAACCAAACAUACAAAACAUACUUCAUCUACAGCCAGGUCAACCUACAGUUUAUACACCGAAGGUCUACCUCCAAAAAGAACUACUAAGGGUGCGUUUGGUUGUGUUUCUGUUUAAAAAUUGUUCCAGGGAAUAGAAAUAAAAAAAAGUGUUUAUGUUCCUGGGAACAAUUUCUGAACAAAAAAACGCUUUUGGUAAACUUGUUCCAAGAACAAAAAAUAAAUAGAAACACGUUUGGUAAAUUUGUAUAAUUUUUUUAUUUCUUUUAUUUUUUUAAUAUUUUUAUUUUAUUUUUCUAUUUUCUUUCUUAUUUAUUUUUUCUUUUUUUUCUUUUUUCUUCUUUGGCCGGUCGCCGGCCUCGGCCAUGGCCGGCAACCGGCCGGCGAGGGGCCGGCGGCCUCGCCCCACCUACGGCGAGGCUCGCCGGCCCCNNNNNNNNNNNNNNNNNNNNNNNNNNNNNNNNNNNNNNNNNNNNNNNNNNNNNNNNNNNNNNNNNNNNNNNNNNNNNNNNNNNNNNNNNNNNNNNNNNNNAUCACCUAAAAAAAUGAGCCGAACCCAACCAUCCUAAACAAAGUCUAGGAUCACUAGGCCUCAUCAAAGAAGCAUUCUCCUCAAGUAGAAUAAGCAGGUGGAAACCUUAUUCUUUAUUUUUUAAAAGGCUCGGCCUCGCCUUGGCUGGGCGAGCUCGAGCUCGCCCAGCCAAGGCAAGUCGGCCGGUCGCCGGCCAUGGCCAAGGCCGGCAACCGGCCAAAGAAAAAAGAAAGAAAAAAGAAGAAGAAAAGAAAAAAAAGAAAAAAGAGAAGUAUUUCUAGAUUUUGUUCCAGAAACAAGAAACAAUUUUUUUGUGUUUCUUGUUUCUGUUUCUUUUUUGUUCCUGGGAACAAAAGAACAAAAAAGGAACAGAAACGCGUACGCGUUUCUGUUCCUGGGAACAGAAAUAGGGUGCAGCCAAACGCACCCUAAGCCACCUAUACUCCUGACCCUUCCGCUUCAAACUCCGGGUUCUUCACACUAGGGACCUGAAAAUGGUAACCCACGACAUGAUGAGAUAUAAAUUUCAGUGAGUUCACAUCCUAAACCCCGAUUAGGAAGGAAAUAUGCUUAGAUGCAGUCUAACCACACAUCAUAGAAGACUCACCUCACCUCAACACCUUCCUGUACGUCAGUACAAUUCAUAUAAUAGACACGUGCAGUAAUAAUACUCGAUCAAUUGGAAUGCCUCAGUUCACAUCUCAAUCAAUCACAGUGGUCCCGAUUAUAAGGCUAAAUCGUUAUGACAUAUCCUAUAUUGUGCCACACAAUUUUGUCCUAUAAUCCGGCACAUCAAUUUCAACCAUUCAUGCGUCCCAAUUAAUUACGACCCAACGGCCACGACUGACUCAAUAGUCAACGGUCUUCCGGUAACCGGGCGUCAUCUCGCACUACCGAGCACAGCAAUGUACAUCUAGAUGACAUUCCAUAUAGGAGUAUUGGUCCAGUCUUCACUGCAACCAACAUCCGUUGACUUGGGGCAUUCCCGAAGGAGUAUCAUCCGGCUCAAAAGCAUCAUGACGGGUUUCUCAUAGCAAUUCCAUACAUAUCCAAUCCCGGCCAAGGACAUCGUACUUUGCACUCAAAUGUCUCAAUUAAAAUAACGUACUUGGUCUAUUUUCUUCGUAUUAAAAACAUACGGUAAAAUAAUUGUCUGUAGGUACACGGUUAGAUCGAACCUUAAAAAGUGAUAUCAUUCAUUUUAAAAAUCCCACUAUUUAAUAUAGUACUUAAAUUUUUUUUUUUUGCGUCAAAACCCAACACUUAGUAUUUUCUGAUUAAAUACCAAAAUCCAGAAUUUUAAAAUAAUAACUCAAAAAUCACAAAUCAUCACUCAAUUGCACAAAUUAGUACUCAAUUGCAUAAACUAAUUACACCACGACAAUUAGAACGAAAUUCUGACGAUCGGCUAUUUCGGUAUAAUUUUCGGAAAAUAUUAAAUAAUUAAAUAAAUUACAAAAUUAAUUAAAUAAAUACAAAUUAAUUAGAUAAAAUGCCUACUUAAGCUAAGAAAUGCUAAUCUAACCACCUAAUGGACUAAUUAAAAUACUCUAAUCUUAACUUAAUCUAACUAACUACAAGCACUAACCACCUAAUUAACUAAUUUAACUAAUCUAAUUUAACUAAAUAAGCUACUAUACACUAAUCUAAUCUUAACUUAAUCUAAUCAUCCCUUAAGUAUCAUUAACCUCAAAAGCAAGGUUUAGUGAGUAAACUCAUUGGUUUUGCGGGUCGAUGAGUUCACGGCGAUGACAACGCCAAGGCGGGUGAGACUCAAGCUUGGAAUGAUGCCAAAGGAGGCCCGAAAAGGUUCACGAAGCUCACAGCUUGGGCUAUGAGUUUGGCUCUAUCUAAGGGCUGAAUCGAAGAGGACCGAGGUUGGAACAAUUGGAACGGAGAGGAGACAAGUGGUGGAUAAUAGUGGUGAACCAGGCGGAGGGCGACGAUGGCUUGGACGACUUUCGGACGGUGAUGAUGGCUUGGUCGACGGUGAACAGGUGCGAGACAACGGCCUGGACGCACAGGCUCAGGUGAGUGGGACAGCACGCAGCUUUGGCGGCGCUCGGACGGGCAUGCGGCAACGAUGGGUGUGUAGGCGAGCUCGGGCAGUUGUUGCUGGCUUUCUCUGGUUUUGCUAGCUAGUUCUUGAGCUCUAAACAAUAACAAUGGAGAAAGGAGAGGCAAGAAGGAAGAAGAAGGUGGCUUGCUGGUUGAAGGGAGACAACAAGCCCUUAAAGUCUUCACAAAAUAUCCAAUACACUCAUCACUUGGCCCCCACCCGCUGCUGCCUCAUCCUCAGCCAUUUUCCCAUACCAAUCUUCCCGUAGAAGCCACCCAAGGUGGUCCAAAUGUUGCACCCCUCCUUGGCUACGAAUUUUGCAACAUUUCCCUUCCAAUUCAAUCCAAUUCCACUUCAAAUUAAUCCAAGUUGGUGCCCAUAAAUUCCAACUAAGGCAUCCACAUCCAUUCCAUGAUUUUUCUUGCCAAGUGAUCCAUCUUGAACGCCAAAGACAUGCCCAAUUUGGCUUAUCCGAGUUUCCUGAUCCAAUUUCACUAAAUUUUGAUUUUUCGCUGAAAAUCCGGACUCGUCAAAAAUUCUUUGGAGAAUGAGUCGACAUUCUUAAAAUAAAUCAUGACAUGAUAGAACUAGAAAUCGGGUUCAAGUUCGUAGUUAAUUCAACCGGAUGCGAUUUUAAUGUGACUUAAUCUAUCAGUUAGCUUUUAGGAAUUUUUAGCGCAUUUGACCCAUGGUCAAUUAAUUUCGAGCCACAUUGUGCAUCUUCGACUCAUUGGUGACUCUUGGUUGUCGUGAAAAUCUCGAGAUUUCAAAUACGGACAUAGGGUACAAAAACGACAGAAAAAUCGGUCUAGUGCCAUUCGACGAGAAUUUUGCAAUUAGGUGGAAUCACCCACACUUUAAUUAUAUACCUCGGUUGAAACGACCUAUCUCUAGUCUUUGAUCGAUUUUGACAGUGCCGUAUUGACUCUUACAGAUUAGCACAGUUCAGCAGUCGAUUUCUGGUCGAAUUCUCAAGUCAGUCACGUUUAAGUUCCUUAACGGCUUCAUCUGAUAGACUAGUUAUCUCGUGAGUGGCUAACUUAGAGAAAAAGGCAUAGGCGCAUCGAUGAAAAGCCCAACUCAUUCAAUCGAAAACAGAAUAAAAAAUCACGCUGUCACAAAGCCCCCUAUUUUAAGAAACCUCAUAACUUCCUUGGACUUGUGUUAGAAUAUUUAAAUAACAAAUAAUGUAUUUAUCUAACAGCUUAAACUUUUAGAAUUGUUGGUAGUGAUUCUCAUGAAAUCUCACAUGUUUUCAAAGCAUAAGGUUAUGAGUUCAAAUUUUCUAGGCCCUUAGUUGCCUCCACAAUUACAUAUUUUCACGCCUAAGCUUUGGCUAAAGACCACUCUAUACAUAAAGAGGAGUGUUAAAAUAUUUAAAUAACAAAUCAUGUGUUCAUCGAACAGCUUAAGUUUUUAGAAUUAUUGGCAAUGGUCCUCACAAAAUCUCACAACUUGUGAGAAAUCUAAAGAAUUGAAAUUCCAACACUCUUUAUCUUCCUUGCAACCUUUAAUUUUCAUACCUACCUUUCAAUUUCUUUACUUUUAUAGUCAAUUACACUCUUGUCCAAAAUCCCCCCCUCCCAAAAAAAAAAAAAAAAAAAAAGCCCCAUGUUUCCCUUUAAAUUCAUCAAUUUCAUUCCUUUCUCGAGACUUUCACUUUUUGAUGAGUGGAUCUAAGUGCUCUCAUUUUUUAAAUAGGAUUCGACCACUCAUUCUAUUUAAAGAAAAAUUACUUUACAAAUUGAUUGUAUGAUUGAAGCAAGUUCAUUUGAUGGGCCGCACAUUGCCAUGACUAUAAUUGCAAAAACUAAGUUAGAAUUCCUUUUUCCAAGGAUGGCAAAACAAAGCUUCCUUUCAAGUGCAAAAGCGACCAGUCAUACAUAGUCAAUAGUCAAAAAUUGCAUUCGUCUUUUUUCUUUUUAUCUUCAAAUCCAAAAUAAACUCAGAUGGAGGUUACAAACACUGGAUCCAAUCAGCUAUAUUGAAUAAGGAAAACCAAAUGCUAAGCUUGAUUUAGGAAUAAAAAACCUCUAUUUUUGCAAGGCAAAUUCAUUGAUGCCUCAAUCAAUUCUCAAUUCUCAAUUCUCAAUUUGGCUUUGUUUUUCAGUAUUCAUGCUCUAUUUUGAUUUAUUUGUCAUGAAGAUUAUGUACUUUUGUAUCUUUUUAAGUAAUUAAUAUAAUUUUCUUUCGAUAGAAAAAAAAAAUCAAUUCUCAAUUGAUGUGUAGAUGCAUUUCAAUGAGAUGCCCAUAGGAGCACCCUCUAAGGUAGAGGAUCAACGUACCUGAUUUGCAAUUGAAAAUUAUAUGUUAACAAUCAUUUGGUCCAUAAAGAUUAAAGUCCAUCGUAAAGUCGACCAAAAAAAAGCAAGGAAAAAAAAAGGCCAAUUGAGGCGGGCUUUUGGCGGAAGUAUUUCUUGAUCAGAACUGCAGUAAAAAAUCCUUCUCGUCGAACUUGUAUCUAUAGUUUCAUGAAACUACAUAUAAAAAUGUUGUUGGCUUGACAUGUCUCUAGUAUUUUGCCGAUUUUGCAUGAUAGAAGUUUCGUUUAGCAUGUAGUCUUGCUAGCACCUAUCCAUUUUUUUUAUGGGUUAAUAUCACGAAAAAUCCCAAACUGCUACACAUAUGACAAAUUUAUCUUAAAUAAAUUUUUUGAUCACAAAAAAUCUUAUAUGGAUAUAUAUGUGACAAAUUUACAAUAAAUUAAUUUUUUGACUACUAAAUAUUCCAAAUUGAUACGCUUAUGACAAAUUUACCAUUUGUUAGUUUCCGUUAAAUUUUAUUGUUAAAUUGUUAAGUUAGAAAACACGUAACAAUUGACGGAUAUACCAAUUUGAAGUUCUACCUUUUAUUUGUCAUAGAUAUACUGAUUUUGUGAUUUUUUGUGGUAUUAAUAUAAUUGUAAAAAGGGUUUUUACCAUAUAUAUAUAUAUAAUUGUAAAAAUGGUAUGUUUGUUAUAAAUGUAUUAAUUUGGGAUUUUUAGCAAUAAAAAAAAUUAAUUUGAGACAAAUUUAUCAUAAGUGUAAUAGUUUAUAAUUUUUGAUAAUAAAAAUUAAUUAAGUAAAAAUUUAUUGUAUGUGUAUCAAUUUAAAUUUUUGAUGAUAUUAAUUUUUUUUUUUAUUGCGUUCCCGUUCAAGGACAGCACGCCCACAUCAAAUAGUAAUUUAGGGGAGAUCGAGAAUCUUUUAUGAUCAGGCAAAAUGUACGAGCUGCCCCGGAACUUCCCCUUCUUCCUCUCUCAUUCAUAAUCUCUUGGUUACAGAUCACCCAAAGGAAAAUGAUUGAAUCCUCCUGUCGGCCACUUGCCCCGGUAUUUUCCUUGCUCCUUCACAGAUAGCGUGAGAGGCACGCCCACUUUGUCUUGAUCGCAAUGGGUAUUCUGGGUGAAAAGAUCUUUCUAUGGGUUCAGUUCCUUCUGCAUCUUUCUGAGAUCUGAGAAAUUCCCCAAAAGCAAAUGAAAUCCGUGUGUCUGCACCUUUUUCGGGGACGCGUGUGAUUCGUUCUUUCACCCCCUGCUUCGUUUAUCCUUCUUUGAUUUCUUGUCAGCAAAACCGAAGAGAUAAGGUUCAAAAAAAGAAGAAGAAAAAACAGAGGGAAAGCAGAGGAUUCGGCGGAUAAGAACAAGAUAAGCGGGAAGAGGACGCAAUAAGGGCACGUGGAAAGGAAAAGAAAAAGGUCACCAAAGGAAAGAAAACAGAGAGGACAUGAGUUUGAUGCUUCCGGACACUCGACGUGUUUGUGGGGCCUUGGAAACGGAUAUAGAUGACUGGAGGAUGCAAGAAGCCGACCCCCCUAGCGCUUGGACAAACCAGGCAACUAGGCAAGCACUUGGCCAAGAGGUGGAUGGGCUGCCGGACACCCGACAAACCUCCCAAGCCAAAAGUCUUUUCCAACAUAGUGCUCGAGCGACGGGCCUAUUUUUGUCAGACACCUAACCCCUGAUUUUUAUGUAUAUCUAAUGAACAACUUGUAAGAAAUUUAAAGAUAAAGAAUUUUUAAGAAAAGAUAAUGAGAAUACUCAUUUCUUGCUCGAAUCGUUUCGUUUAUUUACUCGCGUUAGUAGUGACAAUAGUUGAUGCAAGAUUCAAACUAUGCAAUUCAGCUGAAAAAAAUCUCCCAACAAUAGUAUGGUCAGUUAAACUAGGAGCGAAAUCUCAUUCUACGGUUCUGAACUUAAUGGGCGCAUUAGAUGAUAGGUUUAUUUUGUAUUUACAUUGAAAUCAUGCGAGCAAUUCAGUGAAGCUGAUGGAAAAGACCAAGCGAUAUUAGUCUGAUACCGUUCCACACGUAAUUGAUCACUGUACCUGGAAAAUGCAGAUAAUGCCAAACAAGGACUCAAAGAGAAAAGGAAGAAGGACAGACUCCGUAAGUCUUGGUCUUCUCUUUAUUAUUAAGGAAACUUCUGUAAAAUAUGAAAUGAACCCAAGUGAUGCGGGUAUUGAAUGAAGUGAGCAUGAAAACGCGGAGAGAAACAGUAGAUUCACCAUUAUUUAAUCUCUUAAACUAUGAUGGUGAUGGGAGUCGCUUAAAGUUAAGUGAAGAACUAAUAUAAAAAGACCAAGACUUCUUUUGAGCCUAAUAAUUUUUUUUUAUUGCAUUUCCGUUUGAGGACGGCAUGCUCACAGCUAUAACUAAGGUAAGAUCGAGACUCUUUAAAGAUCCGGCCAAAUGGGCGAGCUGCCUCGAAACUUCCCCUUCUCCCUCUCUCAUUCAAACUCUCUUAGUUUCAGGUCAAACCAAAGGAAAAUGACUGAGAGGCACUUGCCCAUCACAUAGCAUGAGAGGCACCCUUACAAUGUCUUUAUUGCUAUUUGUAUUAUGGCUAAAAAGACCUUUCUUUGGCUUCAAUUCCUUCUCCGUUUGUCUUAGAUCUAAGAAAUUUCCCAAAAGCAAAUAAAAUCACGCGUUUGCACUUUCCCACAUGUGAUUCUUUCUAUUAAAACAUUUAAAUAAUAAAUUACACUUUUAUUUAAUAAUUUAAUUUUUUAAAAUAGUUGAUAAUAAUCCUAUAAAAUUUCACAAUGUCAUAGCAAAAGGCCCUAGUCUCUAUUUGUCAGUAUAUUUUCACUUUUUAGGUUAAAGUCAAAGUCUCACGGUUUCUUUCGCCCCUGUUUUGUCUAUUUUUCUUUGACUUAUUGUCAACAACCAAAGAGAUAAAAGAAACAAAACCGAGUGAGAGCAGAGGUCUAUCCCUGGUUCGGGGAGUCUGCGAGAAAACAGAGAGCUAAAAGUAGAGGGUGGUAGAGACAGUAACCGGUGGGCUUUCAUUGCCGUGGGCGUUGCUAGUCAGAGGUUGCUCGACAAAGCCGGCCGCUCUUUGAUCAAUUCAUUUGCAUGAGCCGUUUGUUGUGAUUUGGUCCAAGAACUAACCGCAAAAUACAUUUUUAACCUAAAUCAAGGACAUGGAAUGACUUGUUGCGCGAUUUAAUCCAAAUUAAAAUUAUCAGGUUUUGGUUUCGAUUCAUCAUUCCUUGUCAGUAUGUUUUGGAUGUUCUAAUAACUUGUCCCUGUUGAAAGAUAUUGAUUUGAUUGCAACAUUUGCCUGUCGAUAAAUGAUGGGAAACUUCAAUCAGGACCUGGUGCAAGUCGCAUCUCGUUUGCUAUCCUGUUUGUGCCACUGUCCAAACCAAUUCUCGGCUUGGACAGUAGGCAAACAGCCUUUAGUUCACUGCAAUCUGAUUUGAGUCAAUUGUUGAAAAUUCCCUUAUUAGUGUCUAAUCAACAGUUUUGUUUGUGAGGAGGGUCUAUGUUACUGUUAUCAGAAUUUGGAGAAUGUGGUGUUUGGUGGAGUAAUUAGUUUAUGGCCUCAAUAAGUUAAUAAUCUAUGAUGGUUUGAUCUGUAUGCNNNNNNNNNNNNNNNNNNNNNNNNNNNNNNNNNNNNNNNNNNNNNNNNNNNNNNNNNNNNNNNNNNNNNNNNNNNNNNNNNNNNNNNNNNNNNNNNNNNNNNNNNNNNNNNNNNNNNNNNNNNNNNNNNNNNNNNNNNNNNNNNNNNNNNNNNNNNNNNNNNNNNNNNNNNNNNNNNNNNNNNNNNNNNNNNNNNNNNNNNNNNNNNNNNNNNNNNNNNNNNNNNNNNNNNNNNNNNNNNNNNNNNNNNNNNNNNNNNNNNNNNNNNNNNNNNNNNNNNNNNNNNNNNNNNNNNNNNNNNNNNNNNNNNNNNNNNNNNNNNNNCUAACCUCUGUUUUGUAGGACAUACAAAGAAGUACCAUCAAAUAAACUAAUAUGCUACAUGACACGGAGCUAUCAUUUUUCCCUAAAAUUCACAGCAGUAAGCACUGUCUUGAUGGUAAAGCAGACACAUAAUUGAAGUUCCCAGCACUUGAAAAGACUAUCGAAACAGAAGGGUCUCAAUAAAUUACAGAACUUCGCCAGACUCAAUCUGCUUAAACCCUUUUUCUCUGUAUCAAGUACUGCGAAACGCCAAGGUGUUUCUGACUUUUUUAAAUACGGUCGACUCUUCUGCACACUUAUGCCGUUCUGUACCCCAAAAUUAAAAGCACAUGGCCUAUCCAUUUGAACAGCCGAGAGCAUUUUCCAUUUAUUGACUGAAUCUCGUUGCUUAUACAUUGGGAAAUUUUUUUUAAGUAUGUUUCCCUCGCUAUAUCAGUAUGCAAGAAGACUUUCGAAGGAACUACCAGCCGUUGGCAAAUUGAGUAGCUAUAAGCAGUGAUAAGAUUUUCAAUUAAAUUCGUGGACAAUCUGUCGAUUACAUUAACAUAAAAUAUUCCAACUAGAUGAAUUGCGAGAAGAUAUGUCACUUGCUUACUUCAAGUCAAUGAAAAAAAAGCACAUAAGAGUCAUAGAAUCACUUUCCUGAAAAUGGGCCACCGAUGAAUUGAUUAGAAGCAAAUGACAAUCGUCCAGCAGAGUUAAAUGUGCAAGAACAGUAGUUCAAAUUUCUCAACAAACAAGGCAGUGUUUAAACUUUAACAACUAGGAUACGAAUAGUAGCAACCACUACCUCAGUUGUUUUACAAAUUAUGUGCAGCGUGAGCAUGACGAGGCAAUGGAAGUGAACCUAUGUAAUUAAACCUAGCGGUACUCCCUGAUCUUUUUAGAAUGAAUACACACGACAUAAUAUUGUAUAUCAGAAAUUCAUGACAGGAAUCCAAAGAAGUAGUAAGCAAAAUGAAAUGCAUAGAGAGUGGGUUCAGGUACACGUAAUCAAUAUCUGUUCUGUGCUUAUUAUUGAAGCACAUCGAACCUAUAGAGCUGUCAAUGCCUAAAUUUGACCGAAGCACAAUAAACCUGAUACACAAUGGUUACACUAAAGUGAACAUAUAUGUAUUGGAUUGCAUUGCGGGUUACUCCUGGAAAUGAAUUGGCUGAAAUUACGUAUCACUAUCACACUUUCAUUGUGGUUCAACAGCUUGACCAGAUAAAACAAUGACAAGAAUCUGAGUUUCGAGCAUAACAUACAGACAGAAUUGAAAAUGAGGGCAUUACAUAUAUAACGCCUAACUGCUUUUUCAUAAAAUGAAGCAACUGCGUGUACUGGAACUUCUUAUAUUCUGAGAUUCUUAGAAAUUGAAAAGAAGAGAGGAGAGAGGAAGCAUGUCUCUCUGUGUUCACUGUUUGAACUACUCGCGCUCUCCAAUCUGCUACCUUGAAAGCCAUUGGCAGGGCAGAGAGAAAUGGAUGUUGAUACUAUUAUUGAGAAAAUUUUAAUGCUUGCGAAUUCUUUUCACCGAAGCUAUGAUCUACUCUCAUUGAAUGAAUAUGUCAAGACAAUGCAGGAACACUGACCAGCCGCUCCAUUGUUUGCAACUGAAUUUACACAGCGAUCUGCAACUAUAGGAAUUAAAUAGAGAAAAGAUGGUAAUGGUUAAUUGAUGAACGUGUCAUCUGAGUAAAUUCCUCCUUUACAAAGUUCUCUGAACCAAUUCCAAUUACUGGUCAACCACAACAAAUAAGUACGUAAUUCAUUCUAAUGCAACAUAGUAGAAAAGCAUUAAUCACCUGAUUAAAUCUGUCACAUGGCAUAGUUUCCCAUUGUUUGAAUUUCUUCGGGUUCGAUGUCUUCCGGUACAUCAGAAUACUGCAGUUUUCACUCCCGUCUAACCACCCCGAUGCACACAAGUAGAAACGUCAAAAGGGUUUUUCUCACUAAAUUCAACCACUAAAAGGAGUUCAUUUAUCUUCAUUGAUUUUGAGGGAUUUGAUGAGAGAACAACCGCGGUUAUACUCUGAAUCCCUAUGCUGUUAGACAUUUAUCAGGUUAAAAGCUUUUGAAAUAACAAAGUUUUUUUAGUUGAUCGAAUGGAUUUUGAUGAAGAAAUUCAAUGCUCCACUAGAAUCUACCAUGCCAGAUUACUAGAAUCUACCAUGCCAGAUUACUAAUACUCAUGUUUCAGUUGAUAAGACAUUUGGUCAUUGAGAUCCAGUCAAGUCAAUUUAAACUAUCAUGUGAAGAUAGAAGGAAAGACCGAAGUGAAAAAAUGCUUGAACUUCAUGAAUGAGCACUUGGAUCAUGGAUACCGGCAUGAAAGCUACUCAUCCACUUAUCUAUGUUUUCAUAAUGUCCCCUUCAACCUUAGAUUCAAUUUAAAGGGUCAGAAAAGAUAAAGGCUUAGCCUAGUGGUCCAUUGUAGCUUUAAGCUUAUGCUUGUCUUGAAGGGAUACUUAACAAGCUACAUUAAACACAGCAAAACCAGCCUGAACAUUUUAAAUACAGGAUUAGCAUCUAUUUAUUUCCCAAGGUUAUGCUUUAUUGUAUUGAAGUCGCAGCAAUAAAAACCUACAUAUCCUACUUUCCAUUUGCAAAACAAAAAAUAACGAAGGAAAGUCGUUAUACCUCACUUCGAUUGCCUUGGUGACUUCAUCACGGACGUUCCUUCUCACAGUCGCAGGGUGUAGAAAGAACUCCUCGUCUGAACCCAGAACCUUCACUUUGAUUGCCUUGAUGACUUUAUCAUAAUGACGGCUUUUGACAGUGGAAGGAAGACGAAACUUUAUAUCAUUGGAAUAUGAAAGCCAAGAAUUGAAAAGAUAUGCAAUUUCUGAAAGUUAUUCCUUUAGUUUGAUCGUGGGAGGGAAGAUAAGCCUAAAAUUUCAGUAGCACAUGAUAAAUUAGGAAAGUUCUGAUCUUAUGAAUCUAAUUAGACACUCACACUGGAGUCUCGAAACACAGAGUGCAUGCAGGAUUUACAAUUACAGUUGAUUUUGCCAGGCAUCCCGGAACAGUGCUGACAGACAGUACUCCUGAUAAAAAAAUUUAAAGAAUAGUACUUUCUAAUAAGAUAUAUCCACUCCAACAAAGAUCCUACACCUAACUGCUUCAGCAACCAAACAUGAAAAACGAUGAUAUGGAAAUACCCAAAGAAAAAUCUUUUCCAUUAUGAAAUUCACUAUUCAGGGAAAUCACCACUAUGGAAUGAAACUGCAGGCCAUCCGUAUAUCAUAGUCAAACUUCUCAAAGCAACUCAAAAAGUUUUGUAGUCAAAUGUCAUGUGCUGAAAUACCUGCAUAGUCACAACCUGGAAAAUGGAGCACAACAAAAGGUUAUGCAAACCUACCUUGCAACUUAAAACUGGACUAAAAAUUCCUGAUAUAUACCCGGUAGGUUAGAUACCGCUAAAAUCGCGCCAUAUUGAAAUUAAUGUGAAUUUAAACCCGAUUUCAGAAAUUAAAAGUUCUGUUGUGUCACAAUUUAUUUUAGGAACAUCGACUCAUCCUCCGGAGAUUUUUCUAUGAACCGAGAUUUUCGGCGAAAAAUCAAAGUAAAGGUUAUUUUGGAUCGGGAAAUUUGUAGGUCCGUUUCUUUUUUCGCAUUUUUUGUCGUCAACUGGGAUCUUUGGACAAGGAAAAAUAUGGAAUUAAGUGUGGAUACCUUGGUUGGAUUUAUGGACUUCAAUUUGGGUUGUUUUGAAGAGGAAUUGAAUGAAUUCAAGGCCAAAUGUCACAAAAGUCGUAGCCUUGGAGGGGUGCAACAUUUCAACCAUGUUGGGAAGCUUCCUAAGGAAGAUUAAGGAGAGAGAAGUGGCUGUGGAUGGUUGAUGGCUGGUGGGGGCAAGUGCUUGAGUGUUUUGGACAAGUGUUGAAGGCUUAAGAGGCCUUUGGGGACCCCCUCUCUUCAGCAACCCUUCUUCCUCCUUGAAGCCCUCAUUUUCCAUUGUUGAGGUUUUGGAAAAGCUCAAGAGAACUAGAAAACUGAGCCAGUAGCCUCCCUCCAUCGUCGACUAGCUGUACUCGCCUGUUCGCCCGCACGCUAGCCCGCGCCUUCUGCUCAUUCACGCAUCUGUGGCCGUUGUCCAAAGCUCCUAUCCAGCGUCGUCCAGUCGCCGUGCAUCCCCGUCCAGCUAUCGGAAGCUCCGCCUGGUCCGCCAUAGCCCCGCCUGGACUGCCGCUGCCCGUUCCUUGCUGUUUCGGCCCCAACUAGCCACCGGUCAGUCCCUCGACCAGCAGAAUAGAAGCUGUCAUGCCCCGAUCCUCGGUCACGUGCCCAUCCUUCAUCUUUGGUCGAUUUUAAAAUGCGAUACCCUAUGACUACGUAUCGCCGACCCUUUCAUUUAAUAUGCAUAUGCAGAAGCAUAUAAUAAAAUUCCUAUACAAUAAAGCAAUGGGAUAGAAAAGCAGGGCCAAAAUUUUCAUAUUGAAAUUCACAACCACAUUUUUUUACAAGCACCUCAUAGUAUAUAAAGCAAUACUAUUCAUAGGGGUCUGAGCUAACACUUAUCCACAUAUAAUCAAGGUCUGACAAAACAAGAUGGGAUCUCAGUUCUCAUCCGGGUCGUACUUAGGAUCCUCCUCGUGUUCAUCUUCUUCUAAAAAUUCUUCCUUCUCAUCUGGUUCCACAUCAAGGUUCUCCUCUUCAGAUUCCUUCUCCUCAAGCUCCUCAUCAGGGUCCUGAAAUGGUUAUUCAAUAACUAUUGAGACCACGUCUCAGCAAGUUCUACCCCCUAAGACUCAAUUAGUAAACCAAUACGCUAACCGGGCUGCCUAUGCACGCACGGGUUAGAGGACUUACCUUGGCCUCAAUUCCACCUGCAUAUUAGCACAGUUCAAUAGGCACCAAAGUAAUCACAUCACUAAUCGAAGCAUUGAUCAAAUAGACCUAGUCGAUUACAUGUCAAUCAGACCAUCUCAUGGUCAUUUCCAAUCAAUCAGUCAAUUCACAACAUCAUAUCAAUGCAAUGAUCAAUCGACCUAGUCGAUUAUAUGUCAUCUCGACCAUUUCUUGGUCGGAUCAUCUCAUACUAUCUAUAAGUCCGUUCAUAAUCAGGACUGCUCGCUCUAAGCUGAUAAAUAGAUAAUAUAGCUCGCACUAAGCUGAUAGAGUUAAGGUAUACUGCUUUCACUAAGCUGACAUAUCGCCCGUAGGCUGAUAUAAUAUACCGAUAUACUGCUCUCGCUAAGCUGACAUAACGCCUGUAGGCUGAUAUAGUAUGCCGCCAAUGCUCACUCUAAAUUGAUAAAGUGUACUGCUCGCGCUAAGCUGACAUAUCACCCGUAGGCUGAUAUAGUACACCGGUAUACUGCUCUCGCUAAGUUGACAUAUUAGAGCCCAUAGGAUGAUAUAGUAUACUAUCCAACCAUUCAAUCCAUUCCAUCUUUUAUCCUUCUUGAUAAAAUAGCCGUGAGUGAGGACACAGUCGGCCUUAGCUAAAAUAUAAUAUUUUCCUUUCCAUAACUCCCACAUUUUCUGUAGUCCACUCAAAUAUUUUUGGCAUUAUCAACCAAUGCCCGGUUAUUUUUCAAUUAAUAACCAAUGAUUAUCCAAUUAAAGAAUAAUUCCUUCUUUCACAAAUAAUUCAAUUCAACAUGAAAUAGAGCUCAAUUAAAUAAACGGACUGCACCACAACAAUCAGCAUAAAAUUCCAGUCGUCGAUUAUCCCUACCUAAUUUUCGGAAAAUAAAUAGAUAAAUAAUUAAAUUAAUUUCGAAAAUUAAUAAUUAAAUACUAAAAAUCUAAUUUAGGCCCGUAAUGCCUAAUUGGACGCCAGAACGGAUCGGGAAAAAUCCCGAGAUGCAUUCAAUAAUUAUUAGAAGCUCUUUACUUGCUAAUGAUUAGGUCUAACCACCUAAUAUGCAUCAUUGAGUCACUAAUUUAAUUGUUCUAAACUAAUCUAACCACCUAAGUGCACUUAAUUAAAUCUAACCAACCCUUAAGUGUCAUUAGCAAACUAAGAAAGCAUUAGUGAGGACAACUCACUUGGUAAAGCGAAGAUCGGAACACCGCGACGACGGCACGACGGUGGCCGAAAUCGGGCUUUCGACGAACUUGGACUGGGCCAAGAAACCUUGCAAGCCCACAGAAAAUUUUGGGCUUGGGCCUACCGAAAUUCUUGGGCUGAGCUUGAUUUGGGCUUCAAUAAUUUCGCUGGGCUUUGCUGAAUUCAACUGGGCUUGAAACAAGACUGAAAUUAAUGGGCUGAAGUUAAACCUCACUUGGGCUGAAUUGAGAGCUUUGCUAGGCUGAGUCCACUGAUUCGGUGGGCCUGGUUGUUGUAUUGGGCUGAAAUCAAGUGGGCUGCUGCUGGUGUAAUUUCAACUGGACUGGGCUGGGCUUCGGCUUCAAAUGGGCUGAGUAAAGAAGCAUCGAGGGCGACGCUGGACUUCGAGCGAGGAUGGGCUGCUCGGUUGAAGGAAAGAGAAGGCACGGCUGCUUUGGUCUUCAAUGAAGCAAAAGAGAAGCAGCUGCUGGCAUGCGGUCGGUGCUGGACGAGGCAACGGCAGGAGGUGUCGCACGUGAAGUUGCUGGGGUUGACUUCGGGCGGUGAUUUCCGCUCGUGAAUGCAAACGAUAGCUGCAGGGAUUCCGCUUCGCUGACUUCGCUCGUUGGACUGAAGACGUGCGGCAGCUGACACACGAACGUGGGAGAAAAAGAUGGGGUUGGUGGAGCUGCUUCACUAACUCAACGUGGCAGCUUCGGAUGCUGGAUCUGCGCGUGCGAAGGGGAGAGGACACGGAGUAGCGUCGUCCUUGGCCGCGUGGCUGAAGAUGGCUGCAUCUGGUGGAGCUCCGCUCGGUAGUCUUCAACGCUGUUUUGUUGACCAGACCAAGUGCAGACGCAGCCAAGUGGCAGCGUGGAGGAGAGAUCGAAGUUGACGUUGGGGGAUGGGUUGCGAGCGAAAAAUGAAGGCAGGCUAGUGGCAAUUCGGCAAAGGCUGAGGUUGAAGUUCGGUGGAGAGGGUUUUGUCGCCCCUCAGCUUCGAGGAAACAAACUGAAAAUAAAAGAUCAGCGGGACAGCUGGAGUUCGAGGGAAAGGGACGUGCGGAGGUCUGCGACCAAGAUGGAGGGCAGCUGUUCGGCGUGCUGGGGAAGCCAAGGAGGAAGAAAAAUCAGCCACUUAUCCAUUCCAUUAAUGCAUGUCCCCUUAAUACUAAUCCAUAAAUUCACCAAAUUGAUGCCAAAAUGCAGCCCUAUGCCCAAUCCGAAUUUUACUCAAUUUUGUUGGUCUUCAAUUUCUUUAAUAAUUUUCCAAAUUCGACGUCAUAUCUUGAUGUAGAGAAAGGCCACAAAAUUUCUACAAGUCCCCAUUCACCAUAUAGCUCGGUUUGCAAGUUGAAAAUUUAUUCAAUUCGGUCAAUCCGAAUUUCCGUUAAUUUUCCGCAACGUCCGAAUCAAUUUUCCGUAAAAAUCUCGGAAUCUCCGAAAAAUCUUCUGAGACUGAGUCGACGCUCCUAGAAUUUAUUGUGGCAUGACAAAAUUUUCAAUUUCUGAAGUCGGACUUGAAUUGGCGGUUAAUUUUCAUUCUAUGUGUUUUUAGCGUGAUCUAGGCUACCGGGUAACUUUCAUAAAUUUUUAAGUGCAAAUGACUCGUGGUCGAUUUUCUUCGAGCCACUAUGAACCCACUCAACUCAUUAGCGACUCUUGAUUGUCAUGAAAAUCUCGAGGAUCCAAAUACGGACACAAGGUCCCAAAACAAUAAGAAAAUCAGUCUGUACCGGUCGACGAGAAUUUUCCAAUUUGGUGAUGUCACCCAUGAUUAGCCACACAUCUUAGUCGAACCGGCCUAUCUUUGAUUUUGAAUCGAUUUUAUAUUGUGCCGUAUUGAUCUCUAAAGAUGAGCACGGUCGAGAAGCCGAUUCCUGAUCAAAUUCUCAAGUCUAUUUGCCUUAAAAUCCUUAAUGGUUUCCCCAGGUAGUCUAGUUAUCUCGAGAGUGCUUAGCUCUGAGAACAGCCCUAUAGGCGCAUCAAUGAAAUGUCCGAUUUAUUUAGUAGAAGACAGGGUUGAAAAUCUGGAAUGUCACAACUCUUCCCCUCUUAUAAAAAUUUUGUCAUCGAAAUUUAAACCUUUACAAAUCCUUAAACAAAAAUGUGGAGUGUUGUCGUCUCAUCAAGUCUUACUUUUCCACGCCGAUUCUUCGGUCUUGUGGCGUUGUCAGACCACCUGGACCAAGGAGAUCAUCUUGGUACACAAAAUAUGCUCUUUUUGAACGGCCUACUGAACGAAGCUUUCCACGUACGACACUUUGUCCUUCACUUCUAAUUCUUCAUGAUUCAGCACGUGCGUCAGGCCAGGUUCAUAUGUCCUCAACCUAAACACGUGAAAGACGUCAUGCACUUGCGCUAACCUCGGCGGCAAUGCAAGACUAUACGAUAGGAUCCCGAUUCUUUUCAGAAUCUCAAAGGGACCUACGUACUUUGGUUUCAGUUUUCCCUCCUUGCUGAAACACAAGGUAUCCCAUUGGUGACACCUUCAGAAAGGUGUACUCACCAAUUUAGAACUUUUGGGGCCUUCAAUGCUUCAACAACAUAACCUUUCUGACUGCUCUGAGCGGUCCAUAAUAUGAUUCUGAUCACGACCAUUGCAAUCACUAACUGCUAAACUGACUCUAGGCCUGUGAUCUUUCUUUCUCUGACCUCAUCUCAACAAACUGAAGUUCUGUACACUCUGUUAUGCCAGCUUUAAUAGGAACCAUCUGAUCUGGAUAUGACAUAGAUUCGUCACUAACACUCCAUGUAGACGAACUAUCUGGCGCACAUACAACCUUGCAGGUCUAUCUAAGCCCAGAUCUUUUCGUACUACCAAGAAGUGAGCCGACUCUGCCAAUUUGUCGACCACAAUCCUCAAAUGGAAUUAUUAUUCAUCUGACUCCUUGGUAAGUCUGUCACAAUGUUCCAUUGUGAAAUACUUCUAUUCCCACUCGGACUCUCGAAUGUUUGUCAAAGUCCUCCCGGUUUGCAUUAUUGAACUCCCACUUAUUGACACAGCUAACACUUGUAACCUGUCUAGUGAUCUCUGUCUUUAUAUCGAUCCACCAAUCGAGUUGACGCUAAUUCUGACCUACUUUGUAUUGUCUGGUCGAGAAUUAUAACCACUACGAUGAAUUUCCUGACAAGGUCUCUUACUUGAGUGCUACAUCACCGGGACACCCAAUCACUCUCGGGACUUGAGUGUUUCAUCCCCAUAAUCUGAAAGUCGGUCUCUUCCUUAUCAGUAUCCUCUUGCAGGAUCUUCUGAUCUUCCCGAUCUGCCAACUGAAGUGUUUGAUUCUAACCUGAAUAUCCGGUUCAAUUUUGAGGGUGGCUAUAAAAUUUAAAAGGUAGCCUAUCUCAAAUUUGAAAAUCGAAUUUCGAACUUUCUUAAGUAGGGUCCAUACUUUAACCAGCAUAUGCACAAAUGAAGACUCUCGACUCAAUGCAUCAAUGAUUUCUUUUGUUCCUCCCGGGUGAUACCAGAUGGCACCAUUCUAGUCCUACCAAGGUUCUGAUUCACGACACCAUCUUAUAUUCCACUUCUUCUGGAAGAAUAAACACUUGAGGCUUUAAUAGUUGAUGAAGAUUUAGAAUCUUUCUUCAUACCAAUGAUGUCUCUAAAUCUUUAAAGUGAAAAUUAAUGCCGCGAGUCUCCAGUCAUGCCCCAGGUAACUCAACUCAUGAGGUAUCAAUUGAUGGGACGCGUAUGUAACACUCUACUACAUUACAUCAACACGCAACCCAAUUCUUUAAAUGACACAUCUCUAUAGAUCUCGUCUCCUCCACAACCAUAAGGAAUGAUUGGCACAAGUGCAGUAGCUAGUUCUUGCUUAAGCUUUGGAACUAUCCUUGCACUUGUCUAAUCAUAUGAAUUUCUCUUCUUUCUUAAGAGGUCGAAUCCACGAUGAUGCUGAUGCUGAAAAUUCUUCCACGAACCUUUCGUAGUACCCUGUCCAACCCAUACAGCUUCUGAUUUUUGAUACUGCUGUCUAUCUUGGUCACCGAUAACUACUUCAAUCUUGGUUGGGUCCACGGAAAUUCCUUCACCUGAAAUCCCGUGACCAUUCUCUGUUGUCUCUCGUGCUCUAUAGCAUUCCUCGAGCACACCAGAAGAUCAUUGAAAGAAGUGAUCACCUUGAUCUAAAUAUUCUUCGAACACUUGAUUUGCCAAAUCCAUGAUAGUAAUUGGAGCGUUUGUCAGGCCUAAUGGUAUUACAUUGCACUCACAAAGGCCAUAUCGAGUACGAAAUAUUAUCUUCAAUAUAACCUCAUUCUUGGUUCUCAACUGAUGAUAUCCUGUCCUUAAGUCGGUUCUUGAAAACAUUAACACUCUCUUUGCAACUAGUCCCACCGUUCAUUGAUCUUCGGCAAUGAACACUUGUCCUUGAUCUUCACCUAAUUGAGUCGACGAUGGUUGAUGCAUGAUUGCAAUGAACCAUCUUUCUUUCUCUCUCCACAAAACUGAUGUUCCCUAAAGUGAUCCACUGACAUGCAUGAAUUCCUUAUUCAUCAAUUCUCAUAUCUGCAUCUUCGGGUCUAUCAGUCCAGAUAAUAACAACAGGUAAGAAGUCUUCGAGAGUGGCUCUGUCCUGGUACUAGCUCGAUCACAAUUUCUAUCCCUUUCUCUGACGACGGUUUGAUAGUUCUUAUGACAACACAUCUAGAAAUUCUUAGACUACUGAAAUGUCCCCUAUCUCCAAUUCUCCAAUCCGUCUUAUCUAUAACAAUCACCAAGUAAUCUUGGCAAUCACCAUCUAGCAAGUGGGUUGUCUUCAAUCGACGAAAUUAAAGAAAUCAAAGAUUCAUUUCGACUCCAAAUAAACUCGACACUUUCAUGAGCUAUUAGACUAAGUUGAAUUGCUCCAUGACCAUAAUUCAUUACUACAAGAUGCUCCAUGAGCCCACUCUACUCAUGUGACGUUAAAGUUACACCUCAACAACUAGUCAAGCAUGACCAUUACUAGUGAUUCCCCUUUCGUUCACUUAUUACAAUAAACUGAAGUUCCCCAAACUUCACCAAAACCCUGCUAUGCUACUCUAAUAACAUUUUCCCAAGAAUAUUCUUCCUCUGAUUGGUGUCGGGUUGGUUCCAUUUCUAUUCUUCUCGCCAUCCUCGUGGCGUCCUAACUGAGGUAGCAGUGUCAGUGUUCCAUUGGUGACCACCGUUUGGGUCGAAAAGGGUUUACCUCAGAGGGUACCUCAUCGAUUCAGAGUGUGGUUUCGCUUUGGACCCAAUGAAUUUCGUGUGGGUCCCAUCCGGGGUUUUGAAGUUCCCACUGUGGUGGUUGAUGCCAUUCUAGAUGAGAGUGCAGCUGACCCUUCUGAUGGUUGGUGGAGGACCUAACACCCCCGGAGCUUGUGGAGACAGAAGGAUCGGUGAACGUGUCCGACUAGUGGUCAUAGGACAGUUCCCUUUUGAAAGCCAACCUUUUUGUAGACCCUUGUUUAUAAACUCAAUUUGUUUAUAAAGGUGUUUGGUUUGUUGUGAUUGUCUUGCUUUCCUAUUCCAUGCUGUUGGUUUUCAUGGGUGUUUAUUUCGCUUUUGCAUGUGCAAUAAUAUGAAUGGGUCGGCGACGCAUCCUGGGACGUCGUAAUUUUAUCGACCACUGAGGAAUGGGCACACACUCGAGAAUUGGGGCGUGACACCUAAACCUUGGUUAGGAUGCAAAUUCACCUCGAAGGCGGUCCUAAACUCACACCACACAGAACUCACCUCGCCUUUGUGCGUCCCUGCAUGUUAGUACAUCACAUAUACUAUUAUCAAUGCAGCAAGCGUAACUUAACAAUUGGAACACAUCAAUUCAUUCACAUGGGUCCUAAUUAUAAGGCCAAACCGUUAUGACACGUCACAUACUGUGCUACACAAUUUUGUCCCAUAAUUAGGCGCAACUAUCAAAACCAUUCAAGUGUGUGAUGAUUAUUAUGACCCAUCGGCCACGGCCAACUAGAAAGUCAGCGGUCAUUUGGCGCAACCGAGCAUCGUCCCACCCCGUCGGGCAUGGCAUCACCUAGCAUCCUCCGCCUAGACAGCAUUCCACACAGGAGCUUCGUUUUGAAAUACAUCCUCGAACGGCAACGUCUAGCAUCCUCCGCCUAGACGGUAUUCCACACAAGAGCAUCGUCCCACAUAUUCAUACGCAUUAACACGGGUUCCACUUAGUGACCAUGCAAGCACGCCAUCAAUCAAACCAUUUCUUAUCUUUCAUCAAUUAGCCCAAAAUACCAAAAUUCCUUUUAAAACAAUAAACCUUACAAUUUCCCUUUUUUUUUUCAAAGCUUUCCGAAAUAAAUUCGUAUGGGGUCACGUAUUUGAAAUUAACCUGCCAAACUUUGCACGCAUCUAGUAUAAAACAUACUCAUUUGAUUAAGCACAUAAAAUCUGGCGUCCAAACCCGACACCUCAUUUAUUUUCUAUUUUCUUUUCUAACCACCCAUUUUUGGAAUUAAACUUUAGUAACCCCCUUUUUUUGGCUCAAAACUUUUAGAAAUAAAUUCGUAGGUGCUCACAUACUCAAAAUUAAUCUGUCAAAAUUUGCAUGCACUUAGUUUAAAACCUAAUUGCUUUAUCGAGCAAAUAAUUUUUGGUGUCCAGACCCGAUACCUCGUUUAUUUUCUAUUUAUAGUCCAUAAGGUCACCUUUUGCAAUAAUAAUAAACAACUAACAUAGAGCAAUCAACCUCAUGAUAUCACACAUAAAUUCUAAGCAUGCCAAAAGUCAACCACAUCACCAAAUAUAUAUCCAGCAAGCAUGACACCAAGCACAACCACAAAACCAUAAUCGGCCCUAACUGGCAGAAAUCGGUCUAGUCGCGCGUCUACAGAAUUAAUUCUAGAAACCUAAUUAAACGAGUUCAGAAAAUUCUCAAAUUUGAAUAUGUUAUAAAGGACACUUAAAAGAACACUUUUUUAUUUUUAUUUUUAUGAAGACACCUUGACCCAAAUCUUUCAAGAAUGAGAGCAGUAAUUCGCUCAAACCGUUACCACAACUGUGUUCAUGUCCAGAAAUUAUAUUUUCCAAAACCAGUUUAGUUUGAGAUCCAAAACUUGUCCGUUUGUUCUGAAAUUUUACUAUGUUAAACUAAAAGAUAUGAUGAACAACUUUUGUGAAAAAAAUCUUUUGAAAAUCGAACCCUAAAAGUUGAUAAAAAUCCUUUAAACACCAAAAGGUCAUUGGUUCCAAUACAAACUGAGAUUCUGUUUUGCAUGAAAUGAAUCUGAAAUAUUGUUCUAUGAAAUCCAUAAAAUCUUGAGUAAAAUAUAUGUCAUAGCUGAAGAUGUCUAUAACAUUUUUCAAGAAAGAAGAAAUCUCAAAAUCGUGACACAUUUUAGCCCACAAAAAUCGCAACCAGCAAGGGUCUAGUAAACUGAUCUAUAGAGAAAUCCACUAAACUGAGUUAAACCAACUUAAUUAACACCAAUCCUCCUUAGCACUAAUCUAACCAUGAUUAUUAAUAAUCUAAGCAAGUUAAUUAACACUAAUCUAACCCCCUAAGCACAAUUAACAACCUAAUAAAGGAUUAUGGAGUUAACUAACCGGAUUAGGAUGGCGGCGGGUUCACGGCGACAGCGGCGCGAAGGCGGUGAAAAUUCGAGACAACUGGGUCUCUAGCGAAGGCCUAACGGCUGAGGAAGACAGCCCUACAAGUCUUAGCCAAAGGCUAAGAUUCGACUCUGCUCGGUUUUGGUUGCUGGAUCGCAAGGUUGCUGGUGGACGGCUGAGUAGUUGACUGAUGACUGGACGGCAAGCUAGAUGCAGGGCUAGUGAGCUGGACGGAGCUGGGUUGUUUGCUGGCGGCGGCUGCUGGCUGGACCGAACUGUGAAUGCCGAUGAGCUAGCGUGAGAUGGAAGGGUUGGAGUUGGUGGCAUAAGGGUGAGGCGGCAUGGGUAAGCCAGCGAGCUAGUGGCAGCGACAGCUAAGGCGGACAGUGAAGGGAUAGGUGGCUAAGGCGGCGAAGCUGGAACGGAGGUUGGUUGGACACGGGUGGAGAGGACGCUGGAUGGUGGGAGGUUCGUUGGGCUGAGGGGUUGCGGUUGAGGGGAAACAACCGGUGGUGUGCGGGCGUGAGGUGGUAAUGUGCUGGUGAUGUGGGUUGGCUGAGGAGAGGCGGUUGCUGGCUAUGGCUGGCGGUGAGGCCGUGUACCAGUGUGAAGCUGUAGAUGAAGGGUGGCUGAAAGGGUGGAAACGUGCAGCAACAGAAGGGAAAUGAAGGGGAAUUGGAAAGGAAAGUGAUCAACUGAAGCAAGGAAGACGAGGGACUCAUGCAUAGGGGAAAAGGAGAGGAGAGAGGGAGAGAAAGGAAGUCAACGCCAACGCUAAUAGGAAGCCAUGCAAAAAUAUCAAGUACUCAAGUGCUUAGCCCCAAAAGUCUUCAUGCCAAUUUGUCAAGGGGCCAACCAAUGGCCAAUUUCCCUUCUUUUUUUUUUUCACAAAAUAAAGCGUUUUUGGUGGCCAAAUAAGCCCUUAAAGUAGCCCAUCCAAAUUUCACUCUCGUUUUCUUUUUGCCAGAAUUGAUUUUUCCACAAAAUUCCGAGCUCAACGAAAAUUCUCCGAAAGGUGAGAUGACGUCCUAAAAAUAAAUCAUGACAUGCUCGAACGUCCAAUUCCUGAAAAUGAAUUCAAUUUCGUGGUUAAAAUUGAUCGAACGUGAUUUUAGUACAACCUAACCUAUCGGGUAGCUUUUAGAGAUUUUAGCGCGUUUGACCUGUGGUCGAUAAUUUUCAAUUCAUAUUUAUGCAUUUCUGACUCGUAGACAACUUUCGGUUGUUAUAAAAAUCGCAAAGUUUCUAUUACGUAUAUCGAGUAUAAUUUCAAUAGAAAACCGGGUUAGUGCCGUUCGACGCGAAUUUCGCAAUUAUGCGGAAUCACCUGCAAUUUAAUUAAAUUAUUCCGUCAAAUCGACCUAUAUUCGAUCACAAUUUAAUUAUAACAAUGUCGUAUUGACCCUUGCCGAUUAUUAUGGUCGAGCAGUCGAUUUCCGAUCAAAUUCUCUAGUUUGCUGCAUUUAUAGCUCUUAACGGCUUCACCUAAUAGAUUAAUUAACUCAUGAGGGGCCCUGCUCAGAGUAAAUUGACCAUAGGCGUGUCGACGAAAUGCCCCUUUCAUAUUAUCGAGACAUGGUCGAAUUUUAGGAUGUCAUAAUUUUUAUCUCAACUUUUUAUGCCAUGUGAGAUUCUUAAGAAAAAAAAUUCAUCAAUUAAGUGCCCUCAUGACUCUCACUUAUUCUUAAGAUUUUUAUUUAAUGUUUGUUAUCUUAGAAUGUUGCCAAUGAUCAUGAAUUGAUUUAAUCUAAAGUGACAUUUGAUCUGAUGAGACAAAUCUAGAAAAGCAAGUUGAACGAAAAUUAAGAGUUUCAAGGAAAAAGUAAGAUUGAGUUUGGGAAAUCACAUUCUAAUCUUGUAUUCACUGAUCGAUCAAUUAUGAUUGUUUUGGGAUAAUCAUAAUCGUGAAUAUAAUAUAUUAUAAUUAAAAAGAAAUCAGGAAAGAUGUAAAUUCGAUUGAUCAAUUUAGAGAACUGCAUACUACAUUUACUUGAAAACGUAAUACCCAUUUUGAACUGUUAUAUAUUUCUAACAGAUGUAUAAGAACGAAUUCUCAAUGUAUGCUAGUGGCACAGGUUAUUUACUAGUAUGAACGUUGUAGAGAAGAGAAGAAAGAGUUAUGUUUGACCCACCAUGUGAUAGUGGGAGAUGAUGGAUUUUUAUAAAAUUUGUUGGGCCAAGCCAAGCACAUUCGCCCAUGUUGGGCCAAACUUAGCCCGUAAAAUAAGGGCCCACAAGAGAGAAAGCAAUUAUUUUUGUAAGUAAAAAUAACCGCUACAGAAAAAGAAAAAGGGGCACUUUGAAACAUAAUGAAACAGUAUUUACAUUCUUCUUUCUCCUUUAACAACGGUGAAUUCUCUCUCAAAGAAUAGAACGCCAAUACUUCGAUCAAUCCCUUUGAGACUAUAACAAGUACUUAAUCUGCAGCAACUAAGAUACGUCCAUUUUCGUGAUGACCCUUCCGAUUGGUGUUACAUAUUUUUUUGGUUUCAUUUUCGCGUUUGUUUUUAGUAUGCGAUACUUUGUGUAUAUGUUCACUUUUAGGAAUCGAUUUCGGUCACUUAAUUUGAAAUCAAUUUUCGUCAACUUCCACGACUGCACAACGCUCUAAUAUAUCAUUCCAUUAAAUUCUUCAGCUUAACAACUCGAAAGUCGGGUCUUGCAGUUUAAAUUUCACAUAAAUUCAAAUUUGUGUUUUAACUUACUUACUAACCGGUACCAAACGAAGUUGAAUUAACUCGUGAAGAUGCUCCGAGUGCGUGCUCUUUCUUUUCUCUUUCUUCCUUUCUUUUCGUUUCUCUCGAUCUCUUCUUCCUUUUCGUUUCUGUUCCUUUUCUUUUUGUCUUUCUCACGAGCACCCUCGCUCCUUCCUUCUCUUCUUCCUCUGUCAUUUUAAAAUUGAUGUCCCCUCCUUUAUUGACCAAGACUUAAAAAGUCCUCCUCUCUUUUCUACCCAUCCUUCUUUCCCCGCCUCGGAGAUCAAUUUUUACAGAUCAACUACACUUUCGGGAACAGCAAAAGUCAGUCUACGUGAAGCAAUUACAAAAUCAGAGGUUGAGGAAACAGAGACACCCUGUAUUUUUUCAUGUCUCCAAUAAUGAGGGAUGAAGGGGCCGACUCAGGAACAGCCAGUAGUAGUAGAAGUGAUUGUCCAAAAGGCUUCAACUACGACGUGUUCUUGAGUUUUCGAGGUCCCGACACUCGGGAUGGAUUUGCAGAUCACCUCUAUGAGUCCCUGACCAAUUCAGGGUUCCGGGUUUUUUUAGACGAUGAAGAAAUCCGACAGGGCGAGGAGAUUGGUGGAAAGAUUCUGCAAGCAAUAGAGGAAUCCAAAAUCUACAUACCCAUCUUCUCCACCGGAUAUGCUUCGAGUAGAUGGUGCCUCCGUGAAAUCACACACAUGGUGGAGUGUAUAUAUCCAGAUUCUUCGGGAGGACAAAGAGGGCAUGAGAUACUUCCGAUAUUCUACGACGUGGCGCCCUCGGAUCUUAAGCUCGAAACAAAACUGUACGGAGACGCUUUGAGGAAGCAUGAGAGGGAGAGAGGCCGUCGUGUGGUGAAGCCCUGGAAGGAGGCUUUAAAAAAGGUUGCUAAAAUCAAUGGAAGGGAGAUUAAAGGCCAACGGUAAUGUUGAUUUAGUUUACUUAUUGAAAAAUCUUCUUCUUCAUAGAAAGAUUUAUCUUUCAAUACAAUCCUUAUAUAAGGCACAUUAUUUUUUAUUUUAUUUUUUUGGCAAUGGGUUAACACUAAAGGUAUGCCAAUUAUAAGUCAUGCUUCUGAUGGAUAUUCUAUUUAUAUAAUUAUUCUAAGCAUUUUAAGCGUUAAAUUCAUGAAUAUGGCAGCCACGGCAAAGUAAUUAGAGAUAUCAUUCAAGAGAUUUCUCAUAGGAUGACAACAAGAGAGAGAAAUGUUCCUGAUGAUUUGGUUGGAAUAACGGACAGAGUAGAAGACAUCAAGAAGUUGUUAGAUCCCAGUUGUGCUGAUAUCCGAAUCAUCGUAAUUUACGGUAUGGGAGGUAUUGGAAAGACAACUCUUGCCAAGCUAAUUUGUAAUCAACUCUCUCCUCUAUUUCAAGGUUGGAGCUUUCUUCGUGAUAUUAGAGAAUCAUUGUCACGAUCCGAUGGCAUUGUAAAAUUGCAAAAGAAACUACUGUGGGACCUUUUCAACCUCACAUUUCCAGAGACCUUCGACAUAGACGAAGGAUUAAAUAUGAUGAAAAAUAGACUGACCAACAAAAGAGUCUUGGUUGUUCUCGAUGAUGUGGAUGAUGGUGAUCAACUCAUGCAACUAGCAGCAAAACCCAAUUGGUUUGUUCCAGGAAGUAGGAUCAUUAUCACAACUAGAGACACUCGUGUAAUACCUACAACCAAGGUGGAAGGGUUAGAAGAAAAUGUCUUAACGCAGCCCGUAAAGAUUUACCUUUAUGAAAUGCAGGAGUUACAUUCUGAUCAUGCUCUAGAACUUUUUAGCAAGCGCGCCUUUAGCACAUGUUCACCUCCACAUGAUUAUGACAAUCUUUCAAGAGAAUUUGUAGCUACAACCGGAGGACUCCCUUUGGCUCUUGAGGUGAUAGGCUCUUCUCUCCGUACCAAAAGCAAAGCGGCAUGGAAUGAUUCAUUGAAGAAGUUGAAGGAAGUGCCUCACGAGAAAGUACUAAAGAAGUUAAUUAUAAGUUAUGAUGCACUGGAGUAUGGGGCAAAACAAAUUUUUCUGGAUAUCGCAUGCUUCUUUGUGAUGAAGAGAAAAAUUGAUGCAUUUUAUAUGUGGGAAUCUUGCAAUUUUUUUUCCAGGAGCUGAAUUUGAGGUUCUUAUCAAUAAGUCAUUGAUCAAGAUUGUUGAUGGUGAUAGAAUAUGGAUGCAUGAUCAAGUAAGAUAUCUUGGAAGAGAAAUGUUCGUCAGCGAGAAAUGUUCGUCAGAGAUAUAGAAUUCCGAAGGUUGGAGCCAAUUGUGGUUACAUGAAAUAGCCUAUAAAAUAGUACUGGCAGGAAAGGUAAGAACCAAUGCAAAAUGAGCUUUUUUACUAUAUGACAAAGUUGAAGGGAAUUCGUAAACCUCAUUUUAAGGGUUCAGCAUCUGUAUUGAUGCCUGUGCUCACUAAUUUCUGGUUUAUUCUCGCAGAGAACAGAAAAUGUAGAAGCGCUAGCACCAUCGUCAUCCCGAGACAAUUUCACACGUGAAGAUUUUGUAGAUCUUUCAAAAACAAGGUUCCUUGUAUUGGAAGGCGGAAAUGUCACUGGAGAUUUUGAGAAUAUAUUACCAGAGUUAAGAUGGCUUUGUUGGCACUGCUGUCCUUCAGAACUACAGGCACAAAAUUUUGUGCUAAAGAACCUGGUUGUUCUCAAGCUUUCAGGCAAUAUUAUCAUAAAUGAAUGGAGCGGAUGGGUCCAAGUCAUGGUAUGAUCUCAGUCCAUGCAUUUAUUCAGUCCCAUUAUAUGUGAUAACAUACUAUAAUUCCUCGAUUCAAUGUUUCUGAUGAUACUAAUUUGACCGUUUACAGAUGGGAAGUAAACUGAAGGUUUUAAAUCUCAAGGGUAGUAAAUUUCUUACUAGAACACCGGACUUCUUUGGAUGCCUGAAUUUAGAGAGAUUGAUCAUGAGAGAUUGCGAGAACUUGGAUGAAAUUGAUCGCUCAAUUGGAAAACUAGAGCAACUGAAGUGCUUGAAGUUCAAACGGUGUCCUCGUCUAAAAGAUCUGCCAGAGGAAAUUGGUAGUCUAUCUUCCCUGAGAGAGUUUAUUUUAAUACAGUGCGAAUAUGUUCAUACUUUGCCAUCUUGGAUUGGUAAUCUUAAAGGUCUGUCAAGGCUGGUGAUGGAUGAUCUAGGACUUGAUAAACUUCCUCUGGAAAUCUCAGAGCUAGUGGAUCUUAAGUACUUGUCUCUAAUGAAUUCUACAAGGCUAAAAGAGCUUCCAUUCACGAUAGGGCAGUUGAAAUCGUUGGUAGAGUUGGAUUUGUGCGGCUCAUUGAUUAGAGAACUACCUCUAUCGAUUGAAAACCUGGAAAAUGUAGUGAUAAAGAUUAACAGCUGUGGCAUAAGAUUGCAACAGGGAGACAACAUUGGAAGAUUCACCAGUUAUUUGAGUUCUCAAAGAUAUGCCAAGCUUAUGCGUAGAGGUGAGCUGGGAUCCUCCUUGAGAGUCUCCGAAUAUCCUAUUGACUUGCUUCUAGAGUGGGGGAUAAUUCAAACAGAGUACAAUGUCUAUCUCCAAUGUUUGCCUAAUUACAUCAAGCAGAUUUCUGUCUCGACAGUAUUUAAUGCUCCAAAGGCAAGAUAUCUGGCGUCCAAGAUUGUUCAGUUUCAAAACUCAAUUGGAGAAGUUGAAAAUCUGAUUUCCAGCCUUGUUUCCGUACUGAGGAGAAUGAGGGCAAUGGAAUUAUGUUUUGUAUGCCACUUACGAGUUGGUUGCAUGCCCCUAGAAAAUCCACAGUUUAGGGUCCUAAUUAACUGUGAUGAUAAGCCAAAUGAACCAUUCUAUCCAAGAUACUGUGACCGUUGUCUGCAGAUGUUGAGGAGCUUGUUGUCAUUGAGUCCACAGCAUUUGCAAGUUUGCAAGGAGCUUCAACUGCUGCCGCAGCUUUCUCUAAAGCUUGGCAUGAUGUUGGAUGGUUCAAAGGUUCUAUCUUGUAAAAUGGAAAUAGAAGCAACAUUACCAUAUCCAUCUUGCUUAGAGAGCAUCAAACGUCAUUGCUCAAUCGAAGAACUUGAAACAUGGGUUAGAAUGUAUAGCUCUUGGGAUCAAGGGGCGAUUCCGGAAGAGAAUUCCACAUCUGAACGAAAAAUCCAUGGCUGCGUGGGAAUAAAACGCUGCCAGAGUCUUGACCAUGCGUUGAGCCAGGAUGUGCACCGGAAAAGAAAACGAGACUAGCAAGGAUACAGCUAUCUCUGGGAUAAGAGAGUUUCCUAUACAUGGACAGCAAACCUUCCGGAAAUGAUCAUUAAAAAUUACUCUGUUAUAUCGUAUGAACUAUAAGAAAAAUACGUACAAUAGUUGCUUCAGAUUCUGUAUUCAGUGUGUAUUGAGCAAGAUUCCAUCGUCUGUGCAGAGCUUGCUUCACGUCAUUUGGCGUCUUCUUUCACCCAUUGUUGUUGCUUUUCUUCACUUGUUGUACUGAAUAAAUCUACUUGCAGCUGCAAAUUUUGUGAGGGCGUCAUCAUCAGUCCAACCAGCAAGAUGUCCGAAACGUGAUUCUAUGACUUCUCCAAGAUUCGGCAGAAGCUCUUCUCACCCGAUUUAGGUGUAGCUAUAAAUUUGGGAGCUUUUCUCUCUCCAUCUAAAUCUAAAUCUAAGAGUUUCUUAGUAGCGUUCAAUCUGUGAUGAUUCAACAUAUUAUUAUUGUUAUUGUUUUUCAUAUGACAAUGGUGUUGAGGACACCUAAUCUAGGCGCACACUGUAAGCUAUAAUUUCUAGAGGGAAAGUUCUUGGCGUGUGCCCAUAACUACGAUUGGCCGCUGAUUUUUUUAUAUUUUUUAUGCUGUAACUGUUGAUUUCGAAAGAACAGAGAAGGAGUUGACAACAAAAACCGUAUAUAUUAUUCAGAAAAUUGAAAAAAAUGCUUAAAUACAUACUAAAACUUGACCAUAAACCCACAUUGCCCACUAACAGCUUGCUUGGUCCACAAAACCAGCAACAAACUAACAGAAUAGAUAAAAAGCGUGCAGCUAACUGCUCCUACAAGAUAGGAUUGACCAAAUAAAACAACAAUUAACUAACUCCUAGAAAACAGGACAUCAACAAACUGACUUAACAAAACAAAAAACAAAAAAAAACAGAUGGUGCGGUCUUGAUACAUCUACAGUAACAAAUUUGGUCUUUUGGGAUGAGAGCAUGUUUAGAGUUGCAAGCCCAACUCUUUUGUUUUUUGGAUUUUGUUUUGUUUUGCAGUCUUUUUGGGAUUUGUUUUACUUGAAAAUUUUCUAUGUUCCUCUUAUAUUUCAUCAUGACCAAUGAGUGAAAUUUUCUGUUGACCAAAAAAAAAGUCAUGUAUCCUCAUGUACAAGUUAAAUUUAAGGAUGUUUUCCCUUCUCAGUAGUCAUGAAGGCUCCUAUAAUUUGUUACUUUUGUUGCCAGAUUAGAAAUCCCAAAGGAAUCAGAUCUCCACGAUAAUUUCGUACAGCUUCUUAUUCCACCGUAACUGCUGGGUAGUUAUCCUUGCCAUUUUGAAAGAGGCGAAAACUUGAAGAGGAAAACGAAUAUUUUGAGCUUAUAUAAACUACUCAAUCUGCUUAUUGAAAUAUAAUUUUGUCAAAGCCCCAAAUUGUAUAUAUAGGAUGUAAUGAAUAGCUAGUCAUCCUUUAUAAAAUAAAGAACAAACCACAAUAAGUCUCUUCACCGAAAUAUAUCGACUGAAUAGAACCUUUCAUUGAAUGAAUUAACCAAAACUAGAGAUUUACAAAACCCAAUCCAGUCAACUUUAUUCAAUAUUCUGAAGUAGAGUCUCCUGCCACCUCCAAAUCCUCUCCACAUGCUUUCGACUAAUUUUCCUCGUUUUCAGACCCUGGAAUGGUAAUAAAGGGGUGAGCAAAAUCACAGCUUUGUGUCUGACAAUCACCACUUCUAUGAAAUCAUGCUAGGACUUAUGCAGAUUUUAUUCGAUUAUGCAGCACAUCAGACUAGUACAAAUAUUUACUUUUAAAUCACGUAAUACAACAUCGCAUAUCUCGACGUAUAGAUAUCUAAUCCAUUGCUUGUGUCUGAACACUAUGAUCACACUUCACCAUGCAAGAAGGCUAAAAAACUACAUCGACUAUAGUUAAACCCCAGAAAUUACAUUGGCUGUGGUUAAGUCAUAUAACAUAAUUAGUCAAUAAACGUACAUCAUAUUCCAAUGUGUAGGUCAACCAUGAGUAUUGAUCCAGUAUCCAUAUAUUAUAAUCAACAUACGAACAUAUCAUUUGACUAAUUACCUACAUACAUUUUCAGUGCAUAUCCAAUACGACAACAAACUUGACAAUCCAUCAAGUGCCUAAUCCAGCUUUAUGAAGUAGCAUGUCUCAAGAUAAUCUAUUUUUAUCCAUGCUCUUAAUAUGGGUUGUGACAUGAUAUAGUACUUUGUGUUGGAGAGAACUCCUUUGAUGUCUUGAAGUUGACAAAACUUGUUCAAAGUCUAUUCUGAAGAAUUCCAAACUGGUAUGUCAACGUCUGAAGACUCCCAGACUUUCUGUCAAAAUCUGAAGACUCCCAGACUUUCUGUCAAAGUCUGCACACUCUGUCAAAUUCCAGAUUGAAUGAAAGUGAAGGAUGAAGACUUUUUUAGAUCAGGGAUUAUCUUUUCUUCAAGAGAUUGGUUCGUAUGGAUUAUAUAUGGUCUUUUGGUUGGAGAUAUCACCUACAAGAUUGAAUAUCUUUACUGAAAUUAAUUUGGAUAUAUCAAAUCUUUUUGGAAGGCAAGUAAUUUUGGAAAGAAUCUACUUAUGGAAACCAAAAUCCUAAUUGUAUGAACAAAUUGACGGGCUUUCAUCACAAUCUUCAAACGGCUCGAGAUCUCCUUGAUUGAUUCUAUCCAACGGGUUGAUUGGAAUAAUUCCUUUGGAAAGUGCCAAUAGUUGAGAAGGCAUGAAGGAGUAUUUAAGGAGGACUCUCUAGUUGUUCAAUAGUGUACGUGAAAGAAAAAUUUCAAAGUCUAAAACUUCCCAAUUUCUUGUUAUUUCAUAUACCGUGCUACAAAUUGUACUCAAAAGAGAGAGACGUAUAGUGUGACUUCGUGAGAGAGCAAUAGAGACUCUUCACUGAGAAGUCAAGAUCGCAAGAUUGUAACAUCUCUUUUGAUUCAUAGUGGAAUCCAGCCAGUAAACUGUCAGCGUCAGAGAGUGGACGUAGGCUUGAUCUAAGCGAACCACUAUAAACUUUGUGUUCAUAUUCUCUUCCCUGAACUUAUUUAUUUUGUUCGUAGUUCUAUUUAACUGCUAAAGUCUGAACUUGCUUAAAGUCUAUUGUUAUUCAGACUCAGUUUCAAAAGCAAAAUAUUUUCAUUGUUCUUUACGAAAAAUUAUUUUCACACCUAUUCAUCCCAUCUAGGUGUUCAUAUUAGCACUUACAAUUGGUAUCGGAGCUUGUAUACUUAAUUUUGAAGUGUUUUACUUCUAAGCUAAAGAUCCUCUAUAGCUAGUAUUUUGGCUCCAAGUUUGGUUGAAGGUUAGAGCAACACCAAACCUCCUUACUUCGAUGGAAAGGAAUACAAUGUAUGGAAGAACAAGAUGAAGGCAUUUCUCAUAUCCAGAGACCCUAUAGAAUGGGAUGUCAUAGAAAAAUGGAUCAAUCCUAAAGCUACAUCAACUUCAGAUCGAGGAAAAGAAGUCAUAGAUGCUGACGAAGCAACACGAGCUGAAUUUACCAAGAGACAAGAUCUUGACGCAAAAGCAAUCUACUAUUUAUAUUGUAUCUUAUCUCCUACUGAGUAUAACCGAAUUUCUUCUUGUGAAACAGCAAAAAAAGUUUGGGACAGAUUACAUGUUACCUAUGAAGGAACUGACCGUGUGAAGGAAACCAAAAUAAACAUUUUGCUCGGAUAGUAUGAAGCCUGGAGAAUCUAUUACUGAUAUGUUCAGUCGAUUUACAAAGAUUGUAAAUGGCCUGGCUUAUCAAGGUCAAUCAAUCUCAGGACCAAUGAAAGUGAACAAGCUACUGCGUGGGCUUUCGAAAGACUGGAAUCAUGUGAAGACCUUAAUUAGAGAAACCCAGAAGAUCAUGCCUCUAUCAGUUGACGAACUAAUAGGAAUGCUUCAGUCAUACGAAGUGGAACAAAUAAAUGAUGAAAAAGAUCCUAAAGGUAAGAAGUCAAUUGCUUUAAAGUCUAACAUUGAUCCUGAUGAUACAGAUUCAGAUGAUGAUAUGGACGAUGAAGAGCUGGCGCUUAUGAUUAAGAAAUUCAAAAAGUUGAAUAGAAAGGGAAGAAGAUUCAACUGAAAAAAACAGACCACGCGAAAUUUCCAGAAGAAACCAACUAAGGACAAUGAAACCAGCAAAGAUGUGAUAUGCUUUGAAUGCAAGAAAAAAGGGGCAUAUCAGACCUAACUGCCCUCUGUUAAAAAAAAAAGAAAGGAAAAGCUGAGAAGUACAAAAAGGCACUCAAAGUUGAAACUUAGAGUGACACCGAGUGUGAGGAAAGCGAAGAAGAAUAUGCCAACAUAUGUUUGAUGGCUCAUUCCGACCCAGACUCAGAAUCAGAAAUAGACUCUGAUUUAGACUCAGACAGAGAAAUUGAGGUUAGUGAUUUAAAAAUUCCCGUCAAAGUCUCUAAAUACAUAGAUGAACUUUGUCUCAGUCUCGAAUCCUCUUUUAAAAGGAUUUCUGAACUAAAAAGGGAGAAUUCUAAGCUCAUGCAAUAGGAAGCUUCUUGGAAAGAAAAUUUUGAAAAUCUGAAAACAAGUUUUGAUAAUUUGAAAGAAAAUUCUAAUUCUCUUUCAAAGGAAAACACUUUUUUUGAAAAGUGAUAUCUCAAAUAUAACAAAAAGAUUUUCAAAUGGAUCCGAGAAACUGGAGAAAAUUCUUUCGGCUCAAAUACCCUACUUCAACAAAUUUGGUUUGGAUAUGACUCUAGAAACUGUUCCAUUAAUCGAUUUUCCUAAAGUAAAGGAGAGAAUCAAACAAAGACCUGCAAAGGCAUUUUACAAAACUCAUUUUCAAAUUUUUUUUGUAAAACCUGUUGGCCGAAGUGCACUUAGAUGUUCAAAAUGUAAUAUCUUAGAACAUUUUGAGAAAGAAUGUCCCAAGGUUUGGAAAUCAGUUAAGAAGGACUGGGCUAAGUUUGUUUUUAAUAUUAACCCUCCAGGACCCAAGAAAAUCUGGAUACCUAAGAAAGUUUGAAUUUUUCUUAUGAUCACAGGUCACUAUCAAAAGAAAGAUCAAAUGGUUUUUGGAUAGUGGCUGUUCGAGGCAUAUGACAAGAGACUCAAGCUGCUUUAUAAAGCUUGUUAGAUUGAAUGGAGGAAAAGUAUCUUUUGGAGGAAAUAGCAAAGGAAAGAUCGUAAGAUGUGGAACUCUGAAGAUUUGAAGCCUAACCAUCAACAACGUUUCUUUGGUGGAAGGAUUGAACUAUAAUCUACUGAGCAUAAGUCAGCUUUGUGAUACUAGUUUCAGAAUAAACUUCCAAGAAGGCAUUUGUUAUGGAGCGAGUCAAGACUUCUCUCAAUCUUUCAUUGGGCGAAAGCAUGGCAACAUUUACCUUGUGGAUAUAAACCCAGAAAGUUCUCAGUGCCUUAUUUCCAUUCAAGAUGAAGCAAGUUUCUAGCAUCGGAAGCUUGGUCAUGUGUUCUGGGAAAACAAGUCAGAAGUUCCUUCAAACCUGUGAAUCAAAUUUCUACCAAUCGAGCUCUGCAGCUUCUUCACAUGGACCUUUUUGGUCCAACCAAAACUCAAAGUAUUGGUGAAAAGAAAUAUUGUCUAGUAAUUGUGGAUGAUUACUCUCGCUUCACUUGGUUCUACUUUCUAGCUAGUAAGACUGAAACCUUCUCUUAUUUCUCAAAUUUUGCCAAGAAGGUUCAGAAUGAAAAAUGGUAUGCUAUCUCAAGUAUACGAACUAACCAUUGAGGUGAGUUUGAGAAUCAGGACUUUGCUAAGUUCUGUGAUGAAUCCAGUUUUUAGCAUAUUUUCUCUUCUCCAUACACUCUAGAACAAAAUGAGGUUAUGAAAAGAAAGAACAGAUCCUUACCGGAAAUGGCCAGAAAUCUCUUGAUAGAGAGUAAAAUAUCUUCUCGAUUUUGGGCAGAAGCAGUUUCAACUACNNNNNNNNNNNNNNNNNNNNNNNNNNNNNNNNNNNNNNNNNNNNNNNNNNNNNNNNNNNNNNNNNNNNNNNNNNNNNNNNNNNNNNNNNNNNNNNNNNNNNNNNNNNNNNNNNNNNNNNNNNNNNNNNNNNNNNNNNNNNNNNNNNNNNNNNNNNNNNNNNNNNNNNNNNNNNNNNNNNNNNNNNNNNNNNNNNNNNNNNNNNNNNNNNNNNNNNNNNNNNNNNNNNNNNNNNNNNNNNNNNNNNNNNNNNNNNNNNNNNNNNNNNNNNNNNNNNNNNNNNNNNNNNNNNNNNNNNNNNNNNNNNNNNNNNNNNNNNNNNNNNNNNNNNNNNNNNNNNNNNNNNNNNNNNNNNNNNNNNNNNNNNNNNNNNNNNNNNNNNNNNNNNNNNNNNNNNNNNNNNNNNNNNNNNNNNNNNNNNNNNNNNNNNNNNNNNNNNNNNNNNNNNNNNNNNNNNNNNNNNNNNNNNNNNNNNNNNNNNNNNNNNNNNNNNNNNNNNNNNNNNNNNNNNNNNNNNNNNNNNNNNNNNNNNNNNNNNNNNNNNNNNNNNNNNNNNNNNNNNNNNNNNNNNNNNNNNNNNNNNNNNNNNNNNNNNNNNNNNNNNNNNNNNNNNNNNNNNNNNNNNNNNNNNNNNNNNNNNNNNNNNNNNNNNNNNNNNNNNNNNNNNNNNNNNNNNNNNNNNNNNNNNNNNNNNNNNNNNNNNNNNNNNNNNNNNNNNNNNNNNNNNNNNNNNNNNNNNNNNNNNNNNNNNNNNNNNNNNNNNNNNNNNNNNNNNNNNNNNNNNNNNNNNNNNNNNNNNNNNNNNNNNNNNNNNNNNNNNNNNNNNNNNNNNNNNNNNNNNNNNNNNNNNNNNNNNNNNNNNNNNNNNNNNNNNNNNNNNNNNNNNNNNNNNNNNNNNNNNNNNNNNNNNNNNNNNNNNNNNNNNNNNNNNNNNNNNNNNNNNNNNNNNNNNNNNNNNNNUCUGUGGAGGAAUCCCAUGAAUGCAAAGUUUCAAGAUAUAUGGAGAAUCUACCAGACCAGACUUAACUUGAAGAGUCUGAACCCGUUCCAGACUUUACAAAGUCUAUUUCCCCCGAAGACGUUCAUACUUCCGGAGAUCAUGGGUUUUGGGAAUCGGACAUUCAAACAUGUCAUGAUUUAUUUUUAGGACGUUGUCUCGUCUUUCAGAGAAUUUUCGUCGAGCCCAGAAUUUUGCGGAAAAAUCAAUUUCGGACAAAAGGAAAAGGAAUGUCAAUUCGGAUGCGCUGCUUUAUUAGGAUUUUUGGCUGCCCAAAUUACUUUGUUUGUAAAGAAAUGAAGGGAAAUUGGCCAUUGGAUGGCCCCUUGACAAUUUGGCAUGAAGACUUUGGGGCAUAUACACUUGAGUACUUGGAUUUUUAGCAAGACUUCUUAAUGGCUGCCACUUUGACUAAUUGGUUUCCCUCUCUCUCUUUAAAAUUUCUCCCCCCAUUCUUGCGUGUAGAACCCCCUAGCCAAACCCUUUUGCCUCCUCCUUCUUCUUCUUCUUUUUCACGUGUCUUCCUCUUUCUCCCUUCUUAGUUCUGCUUCUUUCAUUUCCUUGGUGACGCAAGUCACCAGCUCAUGCCAACCGCAGCUAGCAACUGCCUGACCUUACGUCCGUUGCCGUUCGCAGCUCCACAGCCCGCACCACCCCACGCCUCUAGCCAAUCUGUCCAACUGCCCAACCUAGUUCAUCUAGCCAGCCCGCGGCCAGCAACCGUAGCCAGCUUGCCCGUCCGUCCAGAUGCUGCCAACUAUUGCUGUCCCAACCCCUCGGCAUCGUCUCAGCCCCCUCAAAUAGAGCCAAAUCUCAACUUUGGUUAAGACUUGUGGGCUGUUUUCUUAGCCAUUAGGCGUCCGUUGGAGACACGGUUGUCUCAGGUCCUCACCGCUUUCGUGUCGCCGUCACUGUGAACCCACCGCCGUCCUAAUCCAGUGAGUUAACUCCCUAAUCCUUGAUUAGGUAGUUAAUUGUGCUUAAGGGUUAGAUUAGUGUUAAGUGGAUUAGUGCUAAUUAGUUUAGUAAGAUGAACUAGUCUAGUUAGGUUAGUUUGGUUAGGUUAGCUAGUUAGUUAGGUUGGUUAGUUUAGUUAGGUUAGCCUACCCUAGGUUAGGUUAGUUAACUUGGGUUAAUUAGUUAACCAUCAUUAGGAUAGUUAGCCGUGGUUAGUUUAAUUAACCAUGGUUAGGUUAAUUAAUCAUAAUUUAGUUAAUUAAUCGUAAUUAGCAUAAAAUUGUGAUAGAUUAUCUAUUUUUCAUAAUUUUACGCUGAUUCUCGUGGUUGAAUUUAUAUGUGAAUUUGAUUGCUUAUAUGUGCAAUUGAGUGCUUUGUGGUGAUUAUUAAUUAUUAUUGCAAAAUUUGAUUUAUGAGUAUUUAAUUAGAAAAAAUACCGGGUGUUGGUUUUUGAAGCCAAAAUUUUAUGUAUUAUAUAAAAUCGUGAAAUUUUGAAAUGGGAGUAUACCAUGUUUAAAGGUUCGAUUUAAAUAUGUGACCACACACAAUUAUUUUACUGGGAAUUUUUAAUACGAAGAAAAUGGGCCAAGUUCAUUAUUUAAAUACAAGGUAUUUGAGUGCAAAACACGGUGUUCUUAGCCAAGUAUGGGUGCACGUGUGGUCACUAUCGGAACCCGUCACCCAAUUAGAGUCGGGGAGGCGAUGCCUAAUUAAGUUCAGAUGCCCCAUGUCAACGGAUGCUGGUUACGAUGGAGGCCGAACCGAUGCUCCUUUAUGGAAUGCCAUCUAGGUGUAGAUGUUGACGUGCUCGACGGAGUGGGACAACGCUUGGUUAUGCUGGAUGACCGCCGACUGUUGAGUUGGCUGUGGCUGAUGAAUCGUAAUAACUGGAACACGCCUGAGUGGUUGUGAUAGCUGCGCUUGAUUAUGAGGCAAAAUAGUGUGGUAUGGUAUGAGACGUGUCAUAAUGGUUUUACCUUAUAAUCGAGACCCGUGUGAUGUUUGAUGGAUCAAAAUGAGGUGUUCCGGUUAUUAAGUAUGCUUGUGAUGUUUAUAAGUGCAUAUGUGAUGAGCUAAUAUGCAGGUACACACCAAGGCGAUGUGAGUUCUAUAUGGUGCAUGUUUAAGACCACCUUCGAGGCGAAUUUGUGUCAUAAUUGAGGUUUAGGGUUUUGACUCACUGAGAUUUAUCUCACCAUGUCGUGGUUAACCCUUUUUUAGGUCCUUAGCAUGGAGAUAUGUCAUGUCUAUUUUGGGAUACCAUGGCACAUGGAUUCUGAGUCUACUUUCUUCCCUAUUCUCGGGAUCACCUGGAUCCGUGAGUUAGUGGUGACCAUGAUUUGGGUCGAUGAGGGUCUUCUUCACUUAGUGCCUCAUCGCUUCAAAGUAGGGGUGAGUGUGGUUCCUAGGUAGAACCGAGAACUGAAGAACCGGUCCAAAGGGUCCGGUUCGGUUCCCGAUUCCAAAGGGACGGAUUCCGGUUCCCAAUUCCCUUUUUCUAGGAACCGGCGGUUCUCGGUUCCAAUUCCGAUUCCGGCUAUGGGAACUAGAAUCGGAGCCCCAAAUCAAACCCUUAGUUCACUUCACACUUUCAGUUCUUUGGGUCUCUCCCGUUCUCUGCUUCUGUCGAUCGUAGCGUUGCUCGCCCUCGACACUGUCGCCGAACGUUGCUCGCCCGCAACGCCACUACCGAACGCUGCUAACCCUUAACGCUGCCGUCGGACGUCGUUGGACACCAGUCGCCCUCGCUCGCCUUGCCCUUGCCUCCCUCGACGCCGUCACCCCUCGCUCAUCCCGCCACUCAGCCGCCGCCGGACGUUGGUUGUCCCGCCGCUGGACGCCAGUCGGCCCGUGCUCGCCUUGCCCUUGAUUUCAUAUGCGAAUGCAACAUAAAUAGAGAGAGAGAGAGAGAGAGAGAGAGAGAGAGAGAGAGAGAGAGAGAGCUACAAAACUAUCAUGAGAAAAAAACAUGGUGGUGGAAGAGACGGUGAAAUCUGCAGUGGCGGCGACAGUGGCUGCGACCACCGAUGACCAGAAGAACCCCGCCACCGCGAACCCUAACCCUAAUUCGAAGGGCGUUGCAGGCAGUGGCGACCCGGAGCUGGACGAGGGAGAGAUUGCAAGUGAAGAGGACUUAGUCGAGCAGUUGGCGAAGGAGGAGCCCAAGGCGGACCAGCCGCAUCCGCUUGAGCACUCGUGGACUUUCUGGUUCGAUAACCCUGCUGCGAAAUCGAAGCAGAUGGCUUGGGGUGCCCCCAUGUGCCUAAUCUACACUUUCUCUACCAUCAAAGAAUUCUGGAGGUGAAAAAAUUUUGCGUUUCUCUCUCAAAUUUUGGGAACCUAGUUCUAGAGUCGAUUGAGUUGUGGUUGGGUUGUUCUCUUUUCUGGGUGAUUCUUGUUAUCAUCGUGUUAUGGCUAAUCGGUUUGAUGGUGUUCCAAUUUUGUUCUCACUGAAUGCAAAGUUUUACGGUUAGGGAGAAUUAGUUGCUCUACCAUUAUGGUUUUGAGGAGUGUCUGUAGAGAAGGACUGUCGCUAAUUCUGAAUGCACCGACCUCUGAUAGAGAGUCCACGUUUCAUUGUACAAUAUAUUUGUUCAUGUGUCCAUUGAUGUCUUGUCUUCUUCGUGAUCAACAUGAACAAUGGAAGCGACCUACAGUAAAUGCAUCUCGAAGGUACUUUUAAUUGUCUUAAUUCAGCAAGUCAUGUUUCAAUUUAUUAUUUGUGCACUUGUCUUAAUUUAAUUUGUCUCAUUCUUUUGGUCCUCUGGUGGUGUUCAAGUGUGAAAGUUUUUCGUUGCCAAUUGCCUCGUGACUAUUCCUUCUACUUAAGUGAACCCCCACGACAUGAUGGGAGUGACAAACCUUUAGGGAGUGGAGGUAGCUUUUUAUGUCUUUUCCUAGUCAGUUAUGUUCUGAUUUUUGUCUUUGGAAGUGGAUGGAAUACUUUAUGACAGUGCACAUACAUUGAGCAAAUGAAUAUGAUAUCCUCUUUUUUUUUAAUCAGUUUAUACUUUAUGACAGUGCAUAUACAUUUGAGCAGAUGAAUAUGCUAUCCUCUAUUUUUUUUUUUUAUCGGUUUAUACUUUAUGACAGUGCACAUACAAUGACUUGGUUAUGUUGUUGUCUCCAAGGGCCUAAUUUCAAAGACUAAACUCAUGGAUAGGCUUUUGACUACUUGUUUUGUUGUCUUAGUCUCUCAGUAAUUAUGGUAUUAAUCCUUCUCUUUUUGGCCAAAACGUGUUGUUGUUAAGCAGCUCCACUUUGUAACUGGUGUGGAACAUGGAAAGGAGAUAAAAUUUGUGGUAGCUGCAGAGAAGCAUGAUACUGCUCUAAAAAAAUCAGGUUCUAGGUUAUUCAACUCCUUAUACACAUUCCCCGUUAGUCUGGUCUUUUCCGUGACACUUUUUGUUUUUCACCUGCAGGCCAUGCAUUGGCACUCAGGUCAUAAAGUUAUGUGCCAAAAUAGUAGUAGAAAUGCAGGAAACUCAUCAGUAGAAGACCACAAAUGUGAGCAACUAUUUUAGACUUCUUUGGAUAAAUUAUACUAGUAUUGCAGGGGAGGCACUGGUAUAUGUGCCUCUUAGGUCUCAUGAAUUUUCCUUUUUCACAUGCACAGCUAUGUUCUUUCUGUCACGUUGGCAUAGUAGAGGUCCUACAAGAGUAUUUUGACCAUGCCUUAGUAAGUACACUGCCGGAGAUAUAUGUAGUCAUUUAGCUGUGAUGAUUUCAGUUUGUGGUCUUAUGCUUGAAGUUGCAGCUGUGUCCUUUUUGUCAUGUUGGUAUACUAGAGGUCUUUUCAGAGUAAUUUAAACAUGCCGUAGUACGUAGACUGUUAGAGAUAUAUGUAGUCAUUUAGCUCUUACGAUUUCGGUCUGUAGUCUUAUUCUUGAAGUUGAAAUUGAACUUGGCAUCAUGUUUUAACUUUCGGUAUUUGUUUUCUGUACUUUUAAAAUGUUAACUUCUCUAUGGUGUAAUUCUGCAAACAGGUGCAAGCAGGAGUUUAUGACCUAAACACAAGAUCGUCAAUGAGGAUGAGGCUGAAUAUGAUGUCGAUUUGUCUGCUGGUUUGGAUAAUACCAAUUGUGUGGUAUCCAGAAACUAGAUGGAUGACUCAAUAAAUUCACUUAUUGAGAGUUUCUAGGCCUUGAUUGCAAUCAUUGCUAACUUGGAAAUCAUCUGCCGUGGGAUUUGGAAUCUUUUAGGUAUGAUGUGUUCUUUUUCCCUACUCUAACCUUUGUACCAUGAAAGCAGAAGAAUCCAAUGACAUACCUGAUGGAACAUUGCUGAUUGUUUACAGGCAGAAAGGGUUCCUGAUGGAUUCGUGCUCAAUGUUGUGCGAAGGGAGGACCUAGCAUCGCCAAAUAGAAGCGGGGAUUGCAGCUGUGAAGUCCCCAAAUGCUUGCAAUUGGAUUCAUCGGAGAAGGAGAUGGAUGUUUGACAUCCGGAUUUUUUUAGGUAUGCUAUUGGUACCUUUUUUUUUUUUUUUAAUCUAAUAUAGUAAAACUAAGUUUGCUUGUAAACUUAAGAGUGGUUUGGAAUAUUACAAUGCUAGCUUAUAACAUCUUUUCCUUAAGAUCUUACCUAAUGGCAGGACUGAGUAAUUGUUACAUACUUUACCUUGAAAACGAAACAAAAAAAAUGAGAUAAAAAAAAAAAAAGAACCUGUAGGAACUUAGAACCGACCCCAAAACCUGUGACAGGGUAGGUUCCAGGUUCUUGGUUCUGAAGGAUAGGUUCCAGGUUCCAAAAAAUGAGGAACCUGUACCCAAGGGUAGGUUCUAGGUUCCAGACGGAAUCGAACCGGAACCGGGAACCGCUCACCCUUACUUCAAAGCGUGGUUCCUUAACAAGCCUAAUGGGGUUUGGGAGGGUCCUUUGCAGGGUUUUGACGGGCGUACUAUCGAAACCGAGGAUGAGGAGGUAGCUCACUCCAUGGAAAUCGACAUUUCAAAUGGUGUUUUGGAGGACCUAGUGCUGGAGUCAGAGGGAUCCAGGGUAUAAGUCGAUUAGGACUUCUUUUUGGAGAUCGACUUUUAUAUAUAGACCUAUAGGGCUAACUUUUUUUUUUUUUUUGGUAAAAGGUAAUAGAUAUAUUAACUUUAAACUAAGGGGCUAUACAACUAUACAGCAAAGAACUCGGCACCAAAAACUUGCACUCAUGAAGACAGACAAGUCAAAGCGAGUGGAAGGGUGCCGAGAAAAGGGGAGCGACAACCUGCACAGGAGCAGAAACAAGCCAAAACAGCAACACAAGGUGUUGCAACCUCUUUUUCAGCGAGCACUUGGGGUGGGCGCCUUGCAAAGGCUAAUGGUUCGGCUAUGUCUAUUUUAGCCCGGACUCUCCCAAGUCCACCAAUUCAGGACUUUAAUAGUCUAAGCUUUUAACCUAUAAGUCAAUUUUAAAACAGAGUCGCCACUAAUCGGUUUAUGGUGGGUUGAUUAGAAACCCAAGUGAAGUAUCGGGAGAAAUACUUGCUCCUGCACAACUAGAGAGAAAUUAGGAUUAGGGACUUGAUUACACUAGUUAAUCACUAAUGCCCUUUCGGUACCUAAUCUUCUUUAAACCCUAAGACUUUUUGGAUGCUUGAGAGAUUUUUCCAUGUAUUUUGUGAAGGAAAAACAAUUUUUUGGGCAUUUUCUCAUUUUUUGGACAUAAAAAGCAUUUUUUGAUUUUUUGGUCUUUUUUCCGAAAAUAUAAAUUAUUUUUUUGGCUUUUUCUAACAUUUUUGGCUUUUUUAGGAAAAUAUAGGAUAUUUUAACCUUUUUUGAUUUUCUGGAAAAUAAAUUCUUUUUCAAAAAAAUUAAAAUAUUAUAUUUAUUAUUAUAAUAAUAUAACGAACCAGGUCAGGUUCCCGAGACCGACCUGGGAUUUUUCCUUUUAAACCUAAAAGCCCAAAACCCAUUUUUCGCCCGAUUUCAUAAAAAAAUCCAGCCCAAAGGCUACCCGGCCCACGCUCACAACCCGGCCCACUUUGAAGCCAGACCCUACCCGAUUUAGACCCACACCCGACCCGGUUUCGCGAGAACCCUAAAGCUUGACAAUUCGCGGCCUAGAGGGGGGAAGCUGGGGCGGCGGCUUGCAUCGACAACAGCGACGACGAGCCUGACAGCGACGAAGACUAGGGCGACGACGGGCGGCUGUUGGAUUCUCGAGGGGGGAAGCGACGGCGAAGCUACGGUGACAGGUAAGGGCGGCGACCAAAGUUUCGGGCGAAAAUGGCGACAGUCGAUGGUUGAUACCUGUCUGCAAAGGAGGCGCUGGGCGGCGGUGAAUGGUGGCAGCAACGAUGGACCAGCACGAUCGGGGAAACUUUGCUACGACGACUUCGAUUUCGCACUGGUUCUUCGAGCUUUGGAGGAGAAACGGCUCGUGGGAGACAAUAGCAGCAACUGGCGUCGGGAUCUCGUGGUUUGCGGCUGGUGCUCGGUCACAAUGACGGCGAGUCUUCUCCCCCACAGAUCUGGCCUUCCGCCCUCCGAUUUCCCAAAUCUGGCACCGAAAAAACCUUCUCAGGCCUUCUCGCUCAGACCCGACCCUCUCCCUCUCCGGCCGCGAGCUCUCAGAUCUCGGCCUGCUCGUCCUCGGCCCCUCUUCUGAAGUCUCUUAGUGGGAGGUUUCGAAGAUCUGCAGCCCUCGAUCCUUCGCCACUUCUCUCUCUUUUCGUCGAUGGAGGUGCUCCUCUAUUUAUAGGCAAGAAGGAGGCCGGUUGACGGAGGUUCGACCGUUGGCCCUCGCACGCCGACCGGCCUUGGGUGGGGCCGAACCGUCGUCAAAUCUUCCCCAUUCCACCGAGGCAUGCUCGCUUUCAAUGCUGCGGUCCUCUCAGCCAUCGGCCUACAUUCCUCUCUUUGCUGUAGGUUGUUGUUGAGUGCGUCUUUGUCGCCGCGCGUGACUUGUAGAGGCGGAAGGAGGAAAGAAGAAGGAGACGAGAGGAAGAAGGAGAAAGAGGGGGCGGGGCCGGGUCACGUGGGCCGGGCUGUGGGGGGCUUACCCGAGAAAAAGGAGGGGCUGGGCUUGAAGGCCCAGCCCGACGGGCCGCAUUUGUUUUUUCUUGUUUUUAUCGAUGAUUUUUUUGUUGUUUUUGUUAUUUAUUAUUUAUUAUCUGAAAAAAGGAAAAAUAAAAGAAAUUAUGGCCUAAUUAAUAACAUAAUCAAAAUUUAGGUGUCAACAGCUGCCCUUCUUUGAAGGUGAGCUCGUAGAGGUUGCAUUCAAAGACAAACUGAUACCUAAAUUUUGUCUAUGCAGUAGGUUAUAUCUUAUUUAGGACCAAUUGUCCUAUGCAGAAAAGAGCAAUAUAAUAUUAUAUGUAGUAAGACAGAUAAGAAGAUACCUGUAAUUACUUACCGGGCACAAGCAAGAUAAGGGUGCGCAUCUCGAGCUUGGCAAGUAUCAAGGCAUGCUCUUACCUGGUAACGUGAGGAGGUUGCUCCUCCAAGACCCAAACCUUUCUUCGGUCGCCUGUUAGAGCAAUAAGUUGUUUACCCGACCUUUCUUGGGGAUGCGCCGACCUUUCUCAAAGCAUCGAUUUAUGGGGUGUCUAAUUUCUGUCAAGGACACCAGUCAGUACUCGACCUUUCUUAGGGUAUCGAUUUGUUGGGGGUGCCUGACCUCAAUUGAGGACACCGGUUGAUACCCGACCUUUCUCGGGAGACGCACCGACCUUUCUCAGGGCAUUGAUUUUUUGGGGGUGCCUGAUCUCAGUCGAGGACACCUGUUGAUACCUGACCUUCUUGGGAGAUGCGCCGACCUUUCUUAGGGCAUCUUGUUUUUUGGUGUUUGAUCUUCGUCAAGGACACCAGAUGGCUCCCAACCUUUCUUGAGGGAUGCGCCGACCUUUCUCAGGGCAUAUGUUUGUUGGGUGCCUGGACAUUUACAGGCAUUUUGAAAGAGUACCUAGAUAUUCACAAGUACUAACCUGGAGGAUAUUUGGGCCUUUGCAGGCGUCGAAAGGGUAUUUGGAUGAUCACAAGUACAAACUCUUGGAGGAUACUUGGAUGUUCACACGUAUCGAAAGAGUACCUGGAUAAUCAUAACUACCAAACUCUGGAGAAUACUUGGUCGUUUUUUACAGUCUCCUGGUAGAUAGAAUAUCGAUGACGUACAUGGGAUAUUCGUAAAGGUUUCUCACCUUCUGGUAAUGGGAAUAUCGAGGACAUACCUGGGAUAUUCAUGGAGGUCUCCUACCUCCUGGCAGUUAGGGAAAAUCGAGGACGUACCUUGGAUAUUCAUGAAGGUUUCUCACCUCCUGGUAGUUGGGAAUAUCGAGGGCGUACCUGAGAUAUUCAUGAAGGUUUCUCACCUCCUGAUAAUGGGAAUAUCGAGGACGUACCUUGGAUGUUCAUAAAGGUCUCUCACCUCCUGAUAAUUGAGAAUAUCGAGGGCGUACCUAAGAUAUUCAUGAAGGUCUCUCACCUCUUAGUAAUAGGAAUAUCGAGGACGUACCUUGGCUAUUCAUGAAGGUGUCUCACCUCCUGAUAAUUAGGAAUAUCGAGGGUGUACCUGAGAUAUUCGUGAAGGUCUCUCACCUCCUAGUAAUGAGAAUAUCGAGGAUGUACCUUGGAUAUUCGUGAAGGUCUCUCACCUCUUGGUAAUUGGGAAUAUCGAGGGCGUGCCCCGGAUAUUCAUGAAGGUCUCUCACCUCCUAACAACAUAAACUUGAAUGUAGCACAAGGCUUACUUGGAAGGUCGCAGGCACUCAAAAGGGCCGGAACACCUAGGUAGCCGCAGGUGUACAAAGUACUGGGUAAUCGCAGGUGUAUAAUGUGGUGGAAUACUUGAGCGACUGCUAGUAUUCAAUGACACAAUUUUGAGGAUAACUCGGACAAGUCGAGUGUCACAGAAAGGGAGUAUCCGAAUGGUGGCUGGUAUUCAAAGACAAGAGGAUACUUGGUCAGUCACGAGCAUCCAAACUUUAAAGACAACUCGAACAGAUCGAGUGUCAAUAGAGAGAGUACCCGAGUAAUGGUAGGCACUCAAAAAUAGGGGGAUACCUGGAUAGUUGCAAAUACCAAUACUCUAGGGACAACUCAAACAAGUCGAGUGUCAAUAAGAGGGAGUACUUGGCAAGUGGUGGGUACUCCAAGACAAGGGGAUACUUAGACAGUAGCAAGCACCCAAACUCAAGGGACAACUCAAAUAGGUCGAGUGUCAAGAAGAGAGUACCUAGAUAAUGGUGGGUACUCAAAGACAAAGGAAUCGGGGUAUGCUUACCUAGUGAUAUCUCUGAUCUCUGAGCGUAUGUUUGCUAUUUGCAUAGUAUGCACACAUGAUUGUAUGUGUUGUCAAUUCAUGAGUUCAAAUGAGAUUCAUGCAUGAUAAUUUUGUCAGUUUUGCAUCAUCUGAUUUCCAUUGAAGAAGAUUUCGAAAGACAACCUUCAUUUAGAAUAUAGAUGUCUUGAGCAUGCCAGAUGAGGGACUUUUAGUUUGAAAGGACUUUCCGCUCACUCUCAUGGAAAAGGUUAUCUUGACCAUUGAUGUAGGAUUUAUAAGGACCACACUAUCUCAUUGUCAUCAUGUCAGCAGGGGUCCGAGUAUUCUCGCAAACAGUACGACUUUACCGAUGUGAGAGGUCUUUAUUGAAACUGUGAUGAAGUCUUGGUCAGUGGCUCAUCAAAGGGGACCAUCAAGGUCGAAGUUGAUGGACGAAAUGUUGCACGAUCAUCUCCGGGUUUACAAGUCAAGAACCCUGCGAAAAGAGAUAGAGUAAUCUUGCUCGUACUUCUUCGAGCGAUGCUUAUGUACACAUGAAAUCCUAAGUUAAUUGAAGUGCCCUAGUCUAAAGAGACUUUUACAAUAGGAAUGUAACGUAGACUUGGCUCACAUGUAAGAGGGUGAGAGUUUGUGACUGUCUUGGCAUUUGUCACUAGUCUUUCUUGUCAAAUGGAGGUUCUAUGGACCACAACAACAACUUUUUCUUGGCUGUAUUUUUGACUAGGGGGCAUUGGCCUUGCUUUUAUUAGGCACACUGCUUUUUCAUGCCCCUAUUUUUUAUUUCAGUUCUUCAUUUAUGGGCAUUGACCUUGCUUUUACCAAGUACACUGCUUUUUUAUGCCCUUGUUUUUUCAUUCUUGUCGUUAGAGGAACUGGCCUAGGCAAGUUCAAUUGAAGCACCGUUAUUAGACUCUUGAGUCUUCAUCUUCAGCCGACACUCUAGGCUAUGCUGCUUAAAUGGCAAUAACUUACGUUUUUCCUCCAUGUGAGGGUGAAAUUACAGACUCAAUUGGUUUGUACAAUGAAUACAAGUGCGUAGAGAAAGAAUUGCUCUUUGUCAUACUAGGGCACUUAAAUUAACGCGAGUGUUCAUAUGCAAUAAAGACACCCGAAGAUUGAUGCAUGUGCGAGCAUGAAAAUUUCUAUCCCCUUUCUCACCUUGUGACGCUGCUUCACCUCCGAUCUGCCCCAGUGUGGGGUGGUUCUUGACGAGGGGUAAGACAGAAACUUCACUAGUGUAAGGAGCUCAAAGGGGUGAGCAAUGAAAUGCAUCUCACUAUUUUGGUUAUCGUACUAUUCGCGAGAGAACUCUUUACCCUACAAUCAUGGAAUCUUAUGCACUCAUCUCACAAGUGUAUAGAUGGGAGACUGUGUAUAGGAUAUGGCUUGCCUUUCAUCAUUCUGAUGCGCCUCAUCCAGCAUGCUCAAUUAAUCUUGUAUUCUUCACUUAGCUGUCUAUUCUAAUAAUCCUUGUAGAAUUAGUAAUUUAGACAGACAAAAUCAUAAUGUAAAAUCCAUUUGGAAAAUAUGUGCAGCAUUUUAAAUAUGAGGGAGCUUGUACUUUUAAAACAAAUGAAUGGUUUUUACUAAAAAAAAAAAGACCCUAUUGACAGCUUUAGGGGUUAACAGAAUAGUGUUUCUAAAUAUGUUAAAUUUUGAACAUCAAAAGGGUUAUUCACAAAUGAGUGUCGAUGGGUUGUCCCUAUUAAGUAGGGAAAUGAACAAGAAGGAUCAGCCGGGGUCGGGAAUCUGAUCAUCGAUUUGAUGAGUGCUUCCGCUUUUGCCCCUGCAAAAGAGAAGCUGAAAAUGGAUCAAUCAAUAGGGCCAAAAUUAAAGGUGAAUUGAGGCCUGAAGGAUCUCUCUCAUUUGCUUUGGCGAUACUUGAGACACCAUUUUGCUUGGGAGAGUUUGUCAUGUCUCUCAUUAAUUUGUUAUCUUUGUUUUUGACAGUCAGGUGAUUCUACAAAAGAUAUGAAAGAACGUGUCAGUCACGAAUUCUCUCAGGAGUUGAACAACUGGGAACGAUACAACAUUACCCUCCAUUGGUUUGCAAUUGAUUGGAUAGACCUAAGGCAUCAGGAGGUUAAUGAAGUCCUACACUUUUCACUCCAUUAGGUCACCACUAGGCUAAAGCACCAGUGGUGUCCGUAGGGCGCCUCUUUUUUUCAUUUAACCGAACCGGCUUCUGGACAACACAUCCUUUUACAUGAAGUCAGGUGAAUUCGAUACGAGUCACUUGAUUGGCCUAAAUUAGCCAUUAAGCUUGGUUCUUAAAUCCCAAUACUUCUUAUCAAUAGGGGGAAUACGUCAAAAGCGGGUUCACGUAGUGGGAGUAUUGGAAACAAUACCAAAUUACUCUUCCCUAGAGUUUGUAUUUGUUGAUUCCUAAGGAUCUCUAUAUGUUGAUAACAACCUCUUCGUCUUGACACAGUUUGAUAUUUUUUUCGAUUGGCCUUCCUCAUUUGUGGCCAUGUAUGCAUGAUUGAUGUUCGUUGAUUCAUCUCCAACGCCUUCCUUCUGUGGAAUUUUCUUCUGUCUUUGACUAUAUGACCAAUAGCAGCUUUGGGCAAAGUCAUGUACUUCAAGCUUCUAUGGAAUUUGAGAUGGACAAUCAAAACUUCCAAUUCUCUGAUGACAAUCACUUCUUGGGAGAGCAGGCGUCUGGAGCAUGAAGUGAGGUUUCUAGGUCCUCAUUUUGAAUAGGGGGCUAGAGACCGCUUCAACUGUCUAGAUUUCUUCCCCGUUGAUAGUACCCAAUUCAAAGAAAAAGAAAAGAUCCCUUCCUUGUCCUUCUGGGCUUGUCGAAGGUGGAAGUCCCGUUGAUGAAACCACAGCAUCUAGUUGCUUAAGCACGUUGUGGGGAAAAGAUAUUGCUCCAGCUUGUGAAGGAGUUUGGGCAGGAGCGAGGUGGAGUGCACAGAACUCCUAGGGAUGGCUUGAUUUCAACCGUUUGCCUGUACCUAUUACGUCCCAUUUUUCGUUUCCUGUAAAUAGGAGAGAGAGGACAUCAUUUCCAAAAUUAAAACUUACAUGUUUUAAAUGGGAUGAUUCUUUAUAUUUUCCCCUGUUUUCUUGGCAGGGUGUCUUCGAAUUAAGGAGUUCACAUUAUGCGGUAGCUUCAAAUGCCCCAUAUCACACUAAGUCAAAUGGGAUGAUAUUUUGAGACACGAAGUGAAUGAGUCAAAAAGACAAACAUAAUUAAAUUUAACAUCUUGUUUUGACGAAAGCUUUUGGUAAUGAAAUAUUUUUUGUUUUCAAAAGUAUAUAUCCUUGGGGGGAAGAAAGCAUGAGGAAGCCCAGCCCUUAGUAUUCUCCUUGGAUGAUAUUUUCUUUUCAUGGUUGGAUAGCAUCACCGGGCUGGUUUAGGAUUCCGCCUCAUGCUUUCAAAACAAAAUAUUAGAACUGUAUAUUAGAUUACUGGAAUGGAAAAUGCAACAGUAGCACACUAGGACAUGAUAAGAAACAUGAAAUUAUAAAAACAAGUAACACCCGUGAAAACUCCUAUAGAAAAGGAGCUCUUUGAUAGUGUUGGUUCUGAAAUCAAGCGCCUGAGAGUUCCUCGCCUCCAGUAGACUCGAAGUAUUCGCAUGAGAGGACCACUUCAUUGAAGCUAUGGAAGUGCAAAUCAUGUAACCAACAACGAUGCUUGCGAGGUAAAGCUCCUAUGAAGAGCUUCAUCAUUUCUUCUUUGGCCAGUUGAGGGUAGGUUUGCAUCAUAAAAGCCUUCCACCUCCUUGCAUAUGCUCGGAAAUCCUUCAUUGGUCUUCUUCUAAAGUGAACCAAGUUCUCGCAAGGCAGUUCAGUUCCAAUAUGGCUUUGAUACCAAAGCAGAAAUGCAUAAGACAGCUCAUUCCAAUCUCUCAUGAGGUAGAUAUCUGCUGUGAUGAACCAUUGCAAUGUAGGCCCUGUAAAACUUUCUUGGAAGGCCCGAGUUGCGAAUGACAUCAGGCUAUAGUACCGACUCAUUUCGGCGUGGAGAUAUUGCAAAUGAGCCAUGGGGCAAGUCGUGUCAUUAUACUUGUAGAGAUUAGGUAUCCACAUUUCUCUGGGGGGUCAUGAUCCUAUGAGGGCAAGAAGGGCCUGGUGUGUCUUAGUUAGGCCACUGGUUUUCCCAUUACAUAUUCAUCAUAGUGGUGAAUUUUUCUGUUUCAGGGAAACUGGACUCUACCGAGAUUAUCCUAUUGUUUUCUUCCGAGUCAAAAUCACCAAAUGAGGAUGAGGCAUUUAAGCUAUCUUCAUGGUCAGGUGACAAGCUUAGUAGUUCAUUGGGAUCAUAGCGGAUAAGGACGAAUGUUCCCUCUUCUGACAGGCUUUCGACCCUGUGUGUGGGUAGGAAGUUAUACGAUGAAUGGCCGAUUUCAUCUGUAUAACACUAGUAGUCCCCAGGAUUGUAUCCUAGGGACUGGUAGUCUUCAGGGUUGUACUCUAGGGGAUGCUCGAAGCUUUGGCGCGGUGGCUCAUUGGCUAUCAGAUUUUGCCUAUACUCAGUGGCAGAUGUUGAAUUGAAUUGUUUAGGCUUUCUUUUCUUGGCUCUUGGUCCAGACCUUUUGAGUAAGGCCAUUCAUUUCGCCAGUUGGACUUUGUCAAGGGGAGUGAGAGAUAGUGGAGCUUCACUCUCUACUUCACUCUCUAGGUUGAUAAGGGUCAGUAUUCUUUGGACCCUAGCUCUUGUAAUAAGCUUGGGGAGCUGUCAUGUUGUGCCCCGGUCUUGAACAGGCUCUAUGCCUUUGACCUCAUACAUAGGCUCCUUGCUUUUCCGAGUGGGAAACUUUUCAGCAAUAAGAUGUUGCUCAGUCACCCAUUUAUCAUGCAAGGCUUCAUUGACAUCUUCUUCUCCUAUCUCAACGACUAACAGCUCCUCGUGCUCCGCGACCAUCUGUUCUUCAUAAGGCAAUGCGAUGUCAGGGCUGAUGUCAAUAUCAUAUUCUUGGUGGUAAAUAUGAAUUAGUUCCCCCCAGGUCUUAAGGGGACUAAUCUUCCUGACAAUGUACCAUCGCAAGGUGAGGCCAGUCAAGCUCGAUUGGUACAAUUGAAUCAUCCUUUGGACCAGGUAGGCCUGCAAGUAGGUCUCUGGAUGGGAGGUAUCAGCAUACCUUUUGCAUUCAGGUACUUUGAGCUCUUCAGGGAUCUCAAUGCCGACGUAAUUGGACAAGUCCAUGGGAUCCUGCCCUUGCAACUGGCUUAACUUUUUCAUGAUUUUUUCAAACUGUCUAUGGUGUUGGUUAUUCUUUGGCAAAUUCGCGGGUGUCGUGACGGUGCUUAAAGCAGCUAUGGAGUUAGGCUCGGCUUGAGUGGAUUCCAUUUGCCUCGAGAGUUGUCGAAGGACAAUGGACAUCUAUCCUACGCCUUCUUCAAUGUUGGUGAGGCGAUUUUGUACAUCAUUCUGAUCGGGCCCUAUCACGUGGGACCAUUCGCAGGUGGAUGAUAGCUGGCGAUUCAUAAUUACCUGUCGUUGUGAAAACAAUGAAUGAGCAUAAGAGUAGACAAAGAUUGACCUGUGGCAACGGUCUAUCUAUUUUUUAUUUAUCAAAAGAGGAUUUUAUAAACCACAGACUUUUGACACCCAGAAAAUGAUAGAACGAAAUACUCGGUAUUAAACAGAAGUCCCUAAACAAUGGGACAAAACUUUCACAAAAUAAACACUAAGGGGCACAUGACUGCUAUUUUAUAUGCGACGGGGAGCCUUAUUCUUGCAAAGGUGCUUGCUUUCUUGGACUGGCUUAGAGACGAGUAUCCAGCCUAUUCUCAUAUCCUUUGCAUAAGCUCUGCUUGCUCGUGCUGGUUGCUCUCACUGAUUAAGUGAGGGACCGAUGGCUUCCAUUUUGUCGGGAUACGAUGGUUGUGGAUGCAGGACGUAGAGGCGUUGUGGGCCUUUUCUUCUCCCUCAAGCCCUUCAGGUACUACGAUCCUUUUGCGAUGGCACUUGUCCCAGGUUUUCUCAAUGAUAGAAAUUUCGAUUGAGUAGUCACGGCUUGUGUUGAAAAGGACUGGAGGGAUCUUCCUCUUGAAAGGCGGUCGGAUCUCCUAAAGGGAUCCAUAUUGUCGUGCCACUCGAUAUGGGUAAUAGGAAACGGCACUGAUGAGGCCGAGCAACGGAAUUGGGCGGCAGCGUUUGUAAGUGAAUCGAGCUCUUUUUUCAUGGAACCAAACAACACACCAUUUGAAUGCCUCAGGAGCUGGGUCUCUUAGGAAGUUUAUCCAAUUUAAAUAGCUUUGAUUGGGAAUGUAUGGUCUUAAAACCAUAAAUUUUUGUGAUGGAUUUUCGAAAUCAUUCGUUUCAAACGAUUGAAUGAAGCCCCAAAAUUCGCUUAGGUGAGAAAAGAACCAGACUUGUAAAAUUUCCGGAGAGACCCGCAUGAUUUUUUCCGUGUUUUCUUUAAAACAAUUAAAGGACAAGAAUGUUUCAGUUAAAAUCAUGUUGACAUAAUUUUGCCCCCUUGAGAUUUGAUCAACUAUCCAUGCCAUCUUAGGACUUAUGACAUUUCUUUGAUGGGGGAAAAUGAUGGACUCGAAAAAGGCAAGAGGAAAAUCUCACUUUUUUGGGUCAUAACCUGAUUUUGAAAAUAGGCAUUCAUAAAAUCUAGUGGGCAGCUAUUAUGGUUGUUUUCAAGAAUUUGCCUCAUAACAUCAACUUCAGUUCUUAAAAGUCGCACUAACCCACGCAACAAGAUGAUGCCUAUUGAUGGCCUGACAAGCUUAUUCUUGAGAGGCAUUCUAGUGAUGAUUUUGUAUUCUUCCAGAGUUGUGGUUAGCUCAAACCUACCACACAUAAAAGUAGUUGUCUUCGGGCACCAGAAAUGCGUCAUGGCUUGUAUGACUUCGGGAUGAACAGUAUUUGAAUCAAUGAUAGGAGAUGACCAACUUUGACUUUCUCGCGCACUUGGGCAAACUGGUCCAAUUGACCCCACCAUCUGAAGAGCUCUGCUUUGGGAGUGGGAAUGAACUGGAUCUCAUCUUCUCCCAUCGCAUAUAAAUUGGGACUCGAAAAACUUACCAUAAAUUGCCAUGGGCCAACAAAAAGACUGAGUAAAAGUAAAGAAAUUGCUUUGCUUUUAAAAAAAAUGGCAAACACAAGGACAUGCGCAUGGGAUGUGCGGCUCGAUUUCUAACUGAGAAGGUUUGUUGAAAUUAAAAGGGUAUUCGCCUGUCGCAGUGUCACGCUAGCGGCAUACCCUCUUAACCUCAGCUAAAGAAAUUCGGGGAAAAGAAAGGCAACCUCUACUUCGCAGUCUCGCGUUCAAGGCCGUAUCUUUCUUAACACCAUCCUAAAUAUCCUAUGGCGGCCGGGUUGUGUGUGCCAUGUGUAGUGUUAAAACAAUAAAGCAUGCACAAUAGUUUAUGAUCACAAAACAUUAUGAAUAAUAAUCCUCUAAGUCUUUACCAAAAAAACCUCCAAGCUACUGACCUGCAUAAAAAACAAAAACAAGUCAGGAAAGUGUUUAAAGAAGAUAAAAUGGCCAAAGUCUUCAAAAAUCCCCAGCGGAGUCGCCAAGCUGUUGCGACCUCUUUUUUGGGCACUCGAUCAGGGUAGGCGCCUUGCGGAGGCUAAUGGUUUGGCUAUGUCUAUUUUAGCCCGAACUCUCCCAAGUCCAUCAAUUCACAACUUUAAUAGUCCAAGCUUUUAACCUAUAAGUCAAUUUUAAAACAGAGUCGCCACUAAUCGGUUUAUGGUGGGUCGAUUAGAAACCCAAGUGAUGUAUCGGGAGAAAUACUUGCUCCUGCACAACUAGAGAGAAAUUAGGAUCAGGGACUUGAUUACACUAGUUAAUCACUAAUGCCCUUUUGGUACCUAAUCUUGUUUAAACCCUAAGACUUUUUGGAUGUUUGAGGGAUUUUUCCAUGUAUUUUGUGAAGGAAAAACAUUUUUUGGGCAUUUUCUCAUUUUUUGUACAUAAAAAGCAUUUUUUGUUUUUUUGGUCUUUUUUCUGAAAAUAUAAAUCAUUUUUUUUGGCUUUUUCUGACAUUUUUGGCUUUUUUUAGGAAAAUAUAGGAUAUUUUUUACCUUUUUUGAUUUUCUGGAAAAUAAAUUUUAAAAAAAUUAAAAUAUUAUAUUUAUUAUUAUAAUAAUAUAACGAACCGGGUCAAGUUCCCGGGUUGGGACCGACCCGGUUCGCAACUUCAGGCCUAGCCGGGGAUAUUUCUUUUUAAACCUAAAAUCCCAAAACCCAUUUUUGGCCCGAUUUCAUAAAAAAAAUCCAACCCAAAGGCUACCCGGCCCAUGCACACAACUCGGCCCGCUUUGAAGCCAAACCCUACUCGGUUCAGACCCAUGCCCGACCCGGUUUUGUGGGAACCCUAGAGCUCGACAAUUCGCGGCCAAGAGGGGGUAUGCUGGGGCAGCGGCUUGUGUUGACGACAGCGAUGAUGACUAGGGAGAUGACGGGCGGCUGCUGGAUUCUCGAGGGGGGAAGCGAUGACGAAGCUAUGGUGACAGGCAAGGGUGGCUACCAGGGUUUCGAGCGGAAACGGCGACGGGUGGUGGUUGAUACCUGUCUACAAAGGAGGCGCCACGCGGCGGUGAACGGUGGCGGCGACGAUGGACUAGCAUGACCGGGGAAACUUCACUACGACUGCUUCGAUUUCACGUUGGUUCUUCGAGCUUCAGAGGAGAAAUGGGUCGUGGGGGAGACAGCAGCAGCAACUAGCGUCGGGAUCUCGUGGUUCGCAGCCGGUGCUCAGUCACAGCGACGACGAGUCUUCUCCCCCACGGAUCUGGCCUUCCGCCCUCCGAUUUCCCAUAUCUGGCAUUAGAAAGACCUUCUCUGGCCUUCUCGCUCAGACCCAACCCUCUCCCUCUCCAGCCACGAGCUCUUAGAUCUCGACCUGCUCAUCCUCGGCCCCCUUUCUGAAGUCUCUUAGUGGGAGGUUUUGAAGAUCUGCAACCCUUGAUCCUUCGCCGCUUCUCUCUUUUUUCGUCGACGGAGGUGCUCCUCUAUCUAUAGGCGAGGAGGAGGCCGGUCGACGGAGGUUCGGCUGUCGGCCCUCGCACGCCGACUGGCCCUAGGUGCGGCCGAACCAGCGUCAAAUCUUCCCCCUUCCACGGAGGCAUGCUCGCCUUCAAUAAUGCGUCCUCUCAGCCACCGGCCUACAUUCCUCUCUUUGCUGUAGGUUGUCGUCGAGCGUGUCUUCAUCGCCGCGCGUGACUUGCAGAGACGGAAGAAGGAGGAAGGAAGAAGGAGACAAGAGGAAGAAGGAGAAAGAGGGGGUCGGGCCGGGUCACGUGGGUCGGGCCGUGGGGGGCUUGCACUAGAAAAAGGAGGGGCUAGGCUUGAAGGCCCAGCCUGGUGGGCUAUUUGUUUUUUUCUUUUUUUUAUUGAUGAUUUUUUUGUUGUUUUUGUUAUUUAUUAUUUAUUAUCUGAAAAAAGGAAAAAUAAAAGAAAUUAAGGCCUAAUUAAUAACCUAAUCAAAAUUUAGGUGUCAACAUAAAGCAACCAACAAAACGAAAGAAGGGGGAAGACCAGCGAGCACGAAGGCAACCCUUAAAACAAUACAAAACAGGGCAACCGUGAAAAGGAUGCCGUUGAAAAGGAGGAAGGGGACAAGUUCAUACAUGCCAAGUUAGCCCCCUAUAGGGCUAACUUGGCAUGUAUAUAAAUAAUAGUUUGUGAAAUUAACUGGCUUGUCUUUCUACUAUCUCUGUGUUUGAUGGUUAUCCGGGUGUUUAUUUAAUUUGCUUCCGCAUGUGCUUAAUUGAAAGAUAAAAAGAAAUGGUCGGUGACGUGUCUUGGGAUGUCGCAAUUUUAGUCGACCGUCGAGGGAUGUGCUUGUGCCCGGGGUUUGAGGCGUGACAUUGAUAGUUCAUAUUUCUUGCUUUUGUAUAUAUAGGUUUUGUCUGCUGGAGUGUGUAAUACUGAACGAGUUUGUGCGAACACCUUUUCAUUUUACAGACUUAGCAUCAUCUUCUAGAAAGUUUCAAGGUUAAUGUUGCAUCUUUCUACGGAGACAGUAGUAAUGAACUUCAUACUCAGCUAAACAAAUGCUCUUUGCACCGCAAUCAGCUAAAAACUUUUACACCGCAAAACCCUUUGGCAUGGCAAUCUCUCGUAUGGUACAAACAAAUGCAUUCCUAUGCGAGUAUAUCUACAAGGGCAAAACCAUUCUCUAGUUUCUAAUUUUCCCUUUUUUUCCUCUGCAGAUAGACUUUGCCCCACAAAUGGAUCAAGUUCCAGACUCUGGUCGCGGUUGGUUUUCUGGUUGAGUUGAGCCUCAGAGGAUAGCUCCCUGUGCUAGUUGCGACGUGGAACUCGUGUCGCAUGGACAGCAACUGAAUUGGACCGACACUAGCAAAAGAAUUCCAAGACAUCCCAAACUUCUCAUGGAAUUCCACCAAAUUCUCUGCAUUUCCACAGCAUUGGAGCCACAGGCAUCCACACUGCGUUAAGAUUGAACUGAUUGCAUUAGAACUCUGACUUUAACACAGUCUUUACUUGGGAUGAAGUAACUUGAAAAGAGGGAUCAGAGGUUCGAUGAGCAGUCUAGAUUUAUCUUUGUUUCUUUGGGUACUUACAGUAAACACCAACCGCUAGCCAUUCAUUCACAACCCUGACCCAAGUGCUUGUCCAACCCACAACAAUAGUCUACCUGCAAAAGGGCAUUAGGAGCAUGAGAUCACUGCCUCUUAAGUUAGGGAUUUCUUUCUUGUCAAGGGUACUCGGGCUUUUCCCUUGAAACAUAUGAGCCAGUGAAGAAGCUACAGUAACUAUACACUAAAGUGCUAAAGAAGCAAAUGUAGGAAAGCAUAUUAACUUGCUAAAAGCUCUACCAAAACAGAUGUUGAUGACGACGAUGAACUGGUUUUUCCUAUAAUAGCCACAUCCAAUGUUGGAAAUGUGGCAUUAUGACGGGAAAAAAAAACCAUUAUACUAAGAAACAGAAAUACAAACAGUCGAUGCAAGCUAAACAUCUGCAAGAGGGAAAGCAUACUUUUUAUGGGAUGAGUAUUCCAACCAAUCACCAGCAUAGCAAAGUACAUGGCUCCCAUGGCAAAAACGAAAUGGAAGAAGCCAUAGCGAUAUGGAACGUCAUCUUUGCUCUUCGAGUCAUUUUACUUAAACUCCAUUUUAAAAAAAAAUCAAUUUUCUUGAAGUUCAAUCAAGUUGGUGAAGGGAUGAUUUGCCAAUUGAGGAACGUACCUGAAAACAUCGAGAAUCAAUGCCUGCUGAAAAGGAUGAAAUCACCAUCGCAAGUAGGGCAAUGACGAAGCUCCGAUGAGUUGACGAAUUGUUCUUUCUAAUCGAUUAUUUGCAAUGUAGAAUUUGAGCACAAAAUUUUAGAAUUUCAUUCCACUAAAUCUUUACUUCAAAUCAAUUUUCACCAAACUCAACUUCAACUUAAUAACUCCAAAAUCGGACAUCGCAAAUCAAAUUUCACAUGACUUCGAAUUUGUAUUCUAACUCAAAAAAUUAUUUUGAUUAGAUAAAUAAAGGAAUUGAAUAUUUACUAAGCGGUACCUGUUGGAGAAAACUUCCUUAUCUGUUUUAAAGUUGACAAAACGUUUCCCUUCAUCAAAGUCUGAAGACCACCAGACUUAAGAUUUAAAGUCUGCCCUCAUUGACAGUUUCUAGACCGACGAUGAAGUCUUAAUGCAAGUAUAUCCUUAAGGAUUUGAUUCGAUUGGUCGAAGAUUAUCUCACAGCUGGAGAUAGCACCAUGAAGAUCUAUUAUUCGCAUUACAAAAAUUUGAGUAAUAUAGAUCCGUUGAUUGAUGAAGUAUACUUGGAAGGUUCUACUUAUGGAAACCUAGAUUUUGAUUGUAUGGGUGAGCAGGAUUGGUGGGCUAUCUUCAUUUUCCUUAAGUGACUCGAGAUCUUCCUAAUUGAUUCUGUCCAACGGGUAGAUUGGAAGAACUCCUUUGGAAGGUGCCAACGGUUAUGAAGGCAUUAAGGAGUAUAUAAGGAAGAUGCUCUAGUUAUUUGAGUGAGUGUGAGAUAGAAGAAUUCCAAAGUUUGAAGCUCCAUGUUCUUUGCUAGUUCAUUUGUUGAGCGUAAACUUACAUUCAAAAGAGUGUCUAGAUACUUGUGAGACCUUGAGGAAGUGUAGCAGAGUCUCUACACUGUGGAAUCAAGGACGUGCGACUAUAACAUUUCUUUUAAUUCUUAAGUGAAAUCCAGCCGGUGGGCUGUCAGUGCGGGAGAGUGGACGUAGGCUUGGUUUAAGCCGAACUACUAUAAACUCCGUGUUCCAAUUCUCUUUUCCUUAUCUCUUUACUUAAUUCGCAGUCUUAUAUAUUAUUGCAAGUCUUCCAUAUCUUAAGUCUUCGGUUUUCAUUAAAAUUGAAUUACGUUGCUAAGUCUCAUAAAUUUUGUUUUUACACCUAUUCACCCCCCCUAUAGGUGUUCAUACUAGCACUAUCAGUACCAAACUAAGUUGAUUUAACUCGUCGAGAUGCUCAGAGCGCAUGCUCACCCUUUUCUCUCCCUUUUGUUUCUCUCGAUCUCUUAUCCCUUUUCAUUAUCGUUCCUUUUCUUUUCGUCUUUCUCACGAGCACCCCCGCUCCUUCCUCGUCUUCUUCUUCUGUGAUUUAAGGUUGCUCUCCCCUCCAUCAUUGACCAAGACUUAAAUGUCUUCCACUCUAUUCUACCCUUUACAGAUCAACUACACUUUCGGGAACAACAAAAGCCAGUCCAUCCUCCGUAAACGUAAAGCAAUUACAAAACCAGAGGUUGAAGAAACAGAGACACUCUAUAUCUCUUCAUGUCUCCAAUGAUGAAUGAUGAAGGGGCCGACUCAGGAACAGCCAAUUGUAGCAGAAGUGAUUGUACAAAAGGCUUCAAUUACGACGUGUUCUUGAAUUUUCGAGAUCCUGAUACUCAGGAUGGAUGAUUGCCGCUAUGAGUCCCUGACCAAUUUGGGGUUUCGGGUUUUUAUGGAGGACGAAGAAAUCCGACAGGGCGAGGAGAUUGAUGGAAAGAUUCUGUGAGCAAAUCCAAAAUCUACAUAUCCAUCUUCUCCACCGGAUAUGCUUCGAGUAGAUGGUGCCUCCGAAGUUUGCACACAUGGUGGAGUGUGCAUAUCCAGAUUCUUCGGGAGGACCAACAGGGCAUGAGAUACUUCUGAUAUUCUAUGACGUGGAACCCUUGGAUCUCAAGCUCGAAACGGAACUGUACGGAGACGCUUUAAGGAAGCAUGAGAAGGGGCAAGGCCGUCAUGUAGUGAAGCCUUGGAAGGAGGCUUCAAGAAAGGUUGCUAAAAUCAAGGGACAGAAGGUUAAAGGCCAACAGUAAUGCUAAUUUACUUUACUUAUUGUACCAUUCUAUGCUCUGUUUAGGCACAUUAUUAUUAUUAUUAUUAUUAUUAUUAUUAUUAUUAUUAUUAUUAUUAUUAUUAUUAUUAUUAUUAUUAUUAUUAUUAUUAUUAUUAUUAUUAUUAUUAUUAUUAUUAUUAUUAUUAUUAUUAUUAUUAUUAUUAUUAUUAUUAUUAUUAUUAUUAUUAUUAUUAUUAUUAUUUUGGCGAUGGGUUAACCCUAAAUGUAUGCCAUUUAUAAGUCAUGCUUCUGAUGGAUAUUCUAUUUAUAUAAAUAUUCUAAUCAUCUUAAGCGUUAAAUUCACGAAUAUGGCAGCCACGGCAAAGUCAUUCAAGAUAUCAAGCAAGAGGUUUCUGGUAGGAUGAUAACAUGAGUAGCUUUAAGCGGAGCGCACAAGAUUUCCGUCAUAAUCAUAGACAAAUUGUCGCAUACAUUGAAAGAUGAAACUUCAAAUUGAUGUAUUGCAAGAAGGUAUUUAUUGGAAUAAUUAAAUAUUAAACCACACAUUUAACUGACAGCUUAAGCUUUUAGGAUAGUUGGCAGUGAUCUCACCAAAUCUAAUAUGAUAUCAGAGCUGGACGUCCUAAGUUCAAAUUUUUUGAGACCCCAUUUGCCUUUCCAAUUAAAUAUUUUCAUGCCUUAGUACUAGGCAAAAAGACCAGACUAAGCAUGAAGGGGAGUGUUGGAAUAAUUCAAUAUUAAAAACAUGCAUUCAUCUAACAUGUUAAGCUUUUGGAAUAAUUGACAGUGGUCUCACAAAAUCUCAUAAUAUGAGUCCUUGCCGAAUUGAUUGAUCUUUAUUUAACAGUUUAAGCUUUUAGAACAGUUGGUAGUGAUCCCACAAAAUUUCAUAAUAUGAGUCCUUGCUGAAUUGAUUGAUCUUUAUCUAAUAGCUUGAACUUUUAUAAUAGAUGGCAUUGAUUGCACAAUAUGAGUCUUUGCACGCAAUAUCAAUUUCCUGAAAUAGGACCAUUGACAAAUUGAUUGAUGGUAGAGUUCAAUGUGCAAGAAUAGUAGUUCAAAUUUUUCAAUAACCAAAGCAUAGUGGUCUAAACUUUAACAACCAAGAGAUUGAUGGAAGCAACCAAUCCCGCAGUGGUUUCAAAAUAGAUGUGCAGCGUCGAUUGUGAAGGGGUGAUCGGAGUGAACUCCAUAAAUCUAACAUUACUACUCUAUCAUUUCAGAAUGAAUACGCACAAUAUAAGAUCGUCUAUCAAAUAUUCAUUGCGGGAAGACAAAGAUUCCAAGCGUUAUAAGAAUUCGGGGCCAAAAGAAUAGGCAAGCAAAAUGAAAAGCACGGAUAUGGUUAAGCUACACACAUUCAAUAUUUGUUCCGUGCUUAUAAUUAAGGCCCAUUAAACCUAUAGAGUUGUCAAUGCCUAAAUUUUGAUUAAAUCACAAUAAACAUAAGACAAUAUGGUUAUACUAUGAAGUUCAUUUUCUUUUCCUCCUCUUUUGUCUAGCAAAUCUAUUUCGACAGCCAAAGUGAAACGGUCGACUGACUUUUUUGUUCCUAACCAAGAACUGUUGACUGAUUCAGCCAGCUCCCAUCUGUCGGAUGAGUCCUCAUUCGAUCCCCAGCAGGGGUCUCUAGUUCUUUUUCCUUUUGUUCCCCAAUGCCGGUUCUCGACAGGAGAUGCAAAGAAAGACCCACUUCUGCACGCGUCCAUGAAAUUUCCCACCUCGGACGGCCGUAUUUCAUUUGUAGAUCGUCGCGCCUGCAUUUCCAGAUCUGGUCGACCAUUCUUCCCCUGACUCGGAAAAACAAAACCUACCCACGUCAAUCAAGUUUUGAUUAAUUCUCAUUCAAAUUUAAAAUUAACAAGUCUAUAGUUUCAAUAUCUAUAAACUACUUCCGUGUACCCUGUUUUGUUGCUUGAAAGUGGCGUAUUGGGUCUUAUAGAUAACACCUAUAAUAGCAGGAAACCUGCAAGGUUUGGAAUUGCACCUAACCACGUUGACGAAAACCGUUUUGGAAUUGUUGACCAUCGGGGUUAAUCCUGAUAAUCUUGACUUGAAAUAAUCCAUUAGGAAGGUUGAAUGGUCGGGGAUCGUCUGAUCAGUUACUUUUGAGGACAAUAUAAAUAUGAAAAACACAUAAGAAUUAGCAUUUCAUACGCAAUGAAUAAUACAAAGAAAUUUAUAGUGGGCUUUCUCCUUGUAAUUAGAAUUGAAUUCACUCCUUCAGAGGCCUAACCUAAUUAAUUCAAUUUAAAUAUUUCGACUUACAAAGGAUAAGUAUGAAAAAGAUUAUGAUACCACUUAAAUGCUCGAGAACCUUGCAUGCGAAUUUCCUCUUCCUCUUCGGUUGUGAAAUCUGACUCAAUGUUGAACGUAGCUCGGAGCUCCUCCGGCGACUUGCCCCUCGACCAAAUCGGCUAUUCUCUGGAAAAGCCAGUUCAACGGCCCCAGCACGUCCAAGCAAUUGGCAGCCAGUAUGAGAUCACACAAGAUUAUACCACAGGCAUUUGCCUUUUAUGGAUUGAAUAUUGUUGCUUUUAUAUUCAAAACAGAUUGCCUCCCUAUAUCCCUACCAAACAGAGUUUCGAAGGAACUAUCAGCAGUUGCCAAACUGAGGAGCUUUUAGCCGAGUGCAUAAGAUUUUUGAAUAAAAUCGUGGAGAAUCUGCAGGCUGCAGCAUACUUUAAAAGACGAAAUUGCAAAUAGAUGAAAUGCAUGAAGAGAUAAUGAAGAAAAAGUGCACAAGAGUCCUAGCCAUGCAAUGUCGCUUUCUAAAAUGGGGCUGUCGACGGAUUGAUUAGAAGCAGACAAUACUUGUCGAGCAGAGUUAAAUGUGCAAGAGAUGUAGUUCAGAUUUCUCAACAACCAAGGCAUAGCGGUUCAAACUUUAAUAACCAGGAGAUUGAUGGAAGCAACCGAUCCCUCAGUUGUUUCAAAAUUUAUGCUCAGCGUUGGUGUGAAGUGGUAAAAGAAGCGAACCGAUGUGAUUAAAUCUAGCAAUACUUCUCUAUCUUUUUAGAAUGAAUAUGUACACAAUAAGAUUGUACAUCAGGCAUUUCCGACAGGAAGACAGAACUUUCCAAUUAUCAUAAUAGUCGGGGGUCAAAAGAGGUGGCAAGCAAAUUGAAAUUCACAGGAGUGGGUGAAGGUACACGCAAUCGAUAUCUGUCCUGUGCUUAUUAUUGAAGCACAUUGAAACUCUAGAUCUGUCAAUGCUUAAAUUUGAUUAAAGCACAAUAAACCUAAAACUAAAUGGUUAUACUACUGAAGUGACCAUAUAUAUAUUGAAUUUUAAUGCGGGUUGCUUCUGGAAAUGACACCAUACUCCUGCAGGUGUAGUUUUCCUGUGAGGAAAAAACAAAGAUCACCACGAGGUUCAUUUUCAUUUCCUCCUUUUGUCUUUAGCAGAUCUACUUCAAUAGCUAAGCGAAUCUUACUUAGAAUAUAACACCUUUGCUUUCUACCACCCAUAUGAAAUUUACACCCCAAUUUGAAUUUCUAAGGGUAUGUACAUUUCGAGCUACGCUCCACAUCAGAAAUAUGCUCAAAAACUAGAACAAAAAAAUAAAAACCAUUAAAUGAAAAUGGCUUUCAAAAAAGUUUCAUCGUUUAUUUGUUUUGGGUGCUCAAAAUACAGUAACGGAGAAUCGACCGUAAAUAUAGAGCACAUAGGAGAAGAACAAAAGCUGCAGCAAAUUACGCCGAGCGAACGCACCACUAUGCUCUCACGCAACCUUUGACUUGCACUGGAGACGGAGUCCGGACUAUGACUCCUUGUACAACUUGACGUGUCAUAACAAAAGCUUGAAAGGGCAAGUCACUAAAACUCGGGCAUCCGACAGCAGGAAAAUUUUCCAAAAAAUGCCUACUCUAGAACAAUGCUUGUGUCGAAGAAGUCCUGAAGUUGGUGAUUUCAUCUCAAUUGACCCCGGCUCACCAGUGUCCUCGUUCACAGCUACCACGUCUAGCUGCCGCCAUCUUGGCCUCCAAUGCAGCAUCACAACCUCUGGUGACCCCUCUGCGACCGCUGACUAGGGGUGUCAACGGUUCGAUUCGGUUCGGUUUUUUUUUAAAACCGAACCGAACCGAACCAUUAGAAAAAUCUUUUGAACAGAACCGAAUACAAAACCAAACAAAAAUUUCGGUUCGGUUCGGUUUUUCGGUUUUUCGAUUUUUGGUUUUUAACCUUUGGUUUUCGGUUUUCGUUUUUUUUUUUUUUUGUUAAACUCAGAUUUCUCCACUUUUAUUUCCCCAAUUUUAUUUGUUGGUUCAGUUCGGUUCGGUUAACCGAUAAAAAGCCGAACCGAACCGAAAAAUUUCAGUUUUUAAUGAAAACUGAACUGAAAAAACCAAAUUUUUCGGUUCGGUUCAGUUCGGUUUUCGGUUCGGUUACUGACACCCUAUGCGCUGACAGUCAUCGGAGUCGUCUCCAGCGUGCUUGGCCGAGACGCCUCUGUCUACGGCUCCACCAUUUUUACAAUCCAAGAGCUCAUUUCUUUUUUAUGGGGGGGAGGGGAGGUUGGUUUGGUCUUUUGAGCAGGUUCAAGCCUGGCUGAUUGGUCUUUCGUGAAUUAAUCUUCUCAGCUCGAAUAUGCGGGUUCGGCAGCCAGGGCUGGACUUCGGGCGGAGGAGCUCAGGAAGUAGGUGCCGAAGGAGCGGCCGAAUGCCACCCUCUGGAAGGAGCUCUUGGCCAUGCUCGGCUACAGCGAUGGCAGCUUCGGUGGCGGCGGCGGAGUCUCAGGCUUUGGCAAUCUCCGGAUGCCCUCCUCGAACGCCUCUGACUACAACACCAUGCGAGUAAUCACCAAUCAAUAACUGUACCAAUUUGAACGCAAAACCAGUAUCGACACAAGCAGACUCGUUAAAGAAAUGAUUUUGACCACUUGGCAGGUUCAGGGAGGGGCUUGUACUUUGCGGUAACAGCGUUUCCACUCGAAUCUGCUCCACAUUGUGAUCGAGCACAAACUCCAGUCAUCUCGGAGUACGGCCGGAACUUCCCUCCGGCUUCCUAAAUUGCAACCACAACUCAAUCCCGAGUCUCGCCUCUUUCCAUUCAAUUCAUCCAGGGAUUCGAAUGAUGCGAAUCAAUCAUCGAAUGAACUAGGGUUUUCGAUUUCGGGGGCUCACCGUUUCAAUGAGCUCUUCGACUCUUCUUUUUCCUUCUCGUCAAUGAGCUCUUUUUGGGAAAUCUGGGGUUCAUAAGACAGUCUCCGACAAAAGUGCCCCCUUUUCCAUGGCGAGGACGAUGGCGUGACACUUGCAUGCCGGUCGGCCGGCGAAGAAUUGGACCGUCGGCGAGCUGGCAGUAUAAUCGAGACAAAGUUGCCAACUUCGCGAGUCCGUCGAGAUAAUCGUCUCUCGGGUUAUGUUACGAAAAUGGGCCCGCUACCAGACCUUUCCUCAAACUUCCCUGGGAUAAAAUUCAACUUCACACGCUUUUGGUAUAUCAGGCAACUUUUGCACCGAUUCACAGUAGUAUACUCUCAACGACUGUACUUACUUGGGGAACCAAUUUGAACGCAAAACCAGUGUUAACACAAGCAAACUUACCAACGAAAUAAUUUUGACCACUUAGCAGGUUCAGGGAGGGGCUUAGACUCUGCGGUAACGGCAUUUUCAUUCAAAUCUGGUCUUCACAUCGUGAUCGAGAGCAAACCCCAGUCAUCUCGGAGUACGGCCGAAACUUCCUCUCCGGCUUCCUAAAUUGUAAUCCUGAGUCUCGCCUCUUUCGAUUCAAUUCAUCCAGGGAUUCGAAUGAUGCGAAUCAAUCAUCGAACGAACUAGGGCUUUCGAUUUUUGGGACUCACCGUUUCGUUGAUUUUAGCGCCGGCGUUGGGGCUUCCGGUCUUCGACUCUUCUUCUAUGGCACGGACGAUGGCGGGACACUUGCAUGCGUGGAUCCCGAGAUUUAGAUUAAAUAAAAAGUAAAAAGUAAAAAUAAAUCUAGACAAACUUUAUGGAUAUUAAACUAUUAUAUCUAUAUUUUCAUCCUACCUAUUCGAUAAUAGAAAUUAACGGGAAUAACUCUUCAAAUUACUUGUUUCAAUGAUGACUGUCGUUUCAACAUUUAAAGAUGGAAAAAGACUUGAUUAAUUUUUAUAAAGAAGAAAGUUGUAUGUGACUCAACAGGCUCUAUCUAUUUCUCAUUAAAUUUAUAUGAAACUUUUUAUUUGCCAUACUUUGUACAUCUAUAUUAUUAUAUAGGCAAGUACUAAACCAAAUUGAAGGUAAGUAGGAUUCAAUUUAAAAUUAAGUCUAAUUAAUUACGUAAAAUAGUCAUUCAUAUGGCCCAUUUCGAAGUUUUUACUCUUCACCAUCAUCAUCUAUUAAUUUUCUUUUUGGUCAAGAUCUUCAUCUAUCAAUUUAGUUGACUUGAAAUUGCCAUUGAUCUCGAUCAAGCUAAUCCUCUCGGAUUCCUUUAGGUCUAGACAUACUAAUGAGACGAUAGUGUAUCGAAGAUGUACUAAUUUACCAACUCGGAUCUCGAGCGCACUACAUGUUGGCCCAAAUCCUUGGCCGAUGGUGUUUGAUCACAAGAGCCGUAUGUCCACAGUUGGUGCAUUUGGGAGCUCCACCCGAACCUUCAAAGCAAGAUCCCCAAGCAAAUUGCAUCGGACUUGACAACUGAGGCGACUUUCGAGCCCGAGUUGACAUCGAUGAUCAGGUCAUUGAAGAGGACUACAAGUGACCUGGUCAUUUUUAUACUUGGAAAGUAGUUCGAGUAGUUCAGUCCAGGUACAGCGCUAAACUAAGACACUGUAUGACACGGAGCUACCAUUUGUCGCCGAAAUUCACAGCCAUAAGAACUAUCUUGAUAGUAAAGCAAACACAUCGUUGAAGUUCCCGAUGCUCGAAAAGAAUUUCGGAAUAGAAGGGUCUCAGCCAUUACAUAUGUAAUAUAUGAGUUUUAAAACAAGAAAAGAAAAUAAAAUAACAGAAAAAUAAAGGGUUGAAAAGUCAAAAAGGGAGGCUGAAGGAAAGUGGAAAAAGCUUCGGCUGAGUUUAAAAAGAGAGAAAGAGGGAGAGAAAGAGAAGAACAGCGGGCAGAAACAGGGGAAGACGCGAAACAGGGGAGGAGAGAAAGAAGAGAAAGGAAAAAAAGAAAAAGGAAAAAAAUUUGGCACGCUUGUGGUUUGGACGCCUCAUCAAGCUGACUCAAGGGUGUUUUGCAAGGCCGGUAAGAAAUUGAAGCCUUUAAUCACUUACUUGAAGUAAUCGCCGUAAUUAGGGCUUGAAAUUUGGAUUGCUUGGGUAUUUGUGUGGCGAAGCCCGAUUUUUGAGUCGUUAAGCUGUAUAUUUUUUAGAAAUGGUACUUUGGGAUGUUGUGAAGUUAUAGCAUUUUACAAAUUGUGAUUUGAGCUUGCGGUUUGUUCGGAACGGAAUUUUGAAGUUUGGGGCGCAAUCUGGUACUGUAGCGAACAGUGGCUUCGAGUCUCCUUUUUUGUUGUUUUCGGUACUUUUUUGGGGUGGCUGAGUUAGGGUUGUUGUUGUACGUUAAGAGAGCUUUUUAAAGACUAUAAGACGGCUUGAAACUGAAUUUUGUGGAGGAAGUUAUGGCAUGAUGAAGUUGGCGCAUGGGCCGCGCCUAGCUGAAAAUGAUGGGUUUAUGCUAAAUUGUGAGCUUUUGGGGCGUGUAGGUGUUGUUUUAUCGACUAAUAGGCCUAGUAUAGGCGAGUCGUUAUAAGAAUAUCAUUUUUACUUGGCCUUUUAAUAUUAUUUUUCCGUUAAUUGUUAGGAAUCCGAAUGUGUUGGUUCAUAUGAGAGUCGUAAUUGAUUUUUGGCUUUUCCCAGGUGAGUGACACUAUUUCUUCUUCGUAUUUUAAACUCAUGUUUUGAGAAACGAGGUAGAUUAUAUAUUUCAUGAGUUGAUAAAAAAGCAUAUUUUGUUGCAUAAAACAGGAUCGAGCUAUUACUGUCAUUUUUGUUGUUCGAAGGGAAUUAUAUUCCGACUUCGAUUUGAAUGGUUGUUUGAAAAAUGAUUUGUGAAGUUCUUUGUGAAAGAAUCUUGAAAUGUUUUGGAGAAUGCUUUGAUAUUUAUAUAUCAAAUUUUGAGUUGUGAUAUGACUUCCUUUCUGAUGUUGGAUUACUGGAUAUUGUGAUUGGUGGUUGGUGCUCAAUGUCUUUGUGGCCCCUGAGUGGUGUGUGGGUAUGCGCAUACUAUUCUAGAAUAUCCUUGUGGGCCGAGCCACCGAUUAAUAAUAGGUGGAGACCUUGCCAAGGGGGAAUCUUGGUCGUUUUGUCAUAGGCGUUACACGUGACCAUGGUUAGACAUUUGAGCAUGAAUUGGUCAAUGGAGUGGACCAUUGACGUGUGAUUUGAGUUUGGUCGAUGGAGUGGACCAUUGAUAUGAUUUGAUGAGAUUAAUCAAUGGAAUAAACCAUUGAUGCAUGUUUUACGAGAUUGACUAAUGGACUCGACCAUUGGUAUUUUCGGUAUUCGAGUUAUGAUUUGAUAUUAUGAUAAAGUGAGUUAUGUUUGUGUUUUAAAAUGUGAAUAGUGAUUUCUCGAUCCACUUAGAAGAAAUGUGUUACUCACUGAGCCGUGGUAGCUCACUCCUCUCAUCUACUUGUUUUUCAGGUUCUUCAGCGAGUCGCGAAUAGGCGUGAGCGUUCAUUCGGGGAGGACUUUUGUUGUGGAAAUAUUUAGGUAUGGCUUAUACAUAGUUAAUAGGUUUAAACUAGUCUUUGUAGAAGGUUUAUGUUUUGACUUUUGUGAUUAUAGAUAUACUCUGAUAUUGUAACCAAGUGCCCCUUUUUUGUCAAAUAUAUAUGUGGAUGUAUAUAUGUUGAUAUUGGGUUGAAUUUUGGUUAUGUUGAGGCUACGUCCUUUGGUAAAAAGGACGGCCGUGUCAUAUCCUUCUUCUUGUGAAUCGGGGUGUGACAACAUAAGCUCCAAUUCGAUAGCUAAGUGAACUACACGUAAGAAUAGAACAUUCUUGCAUUUUACCAUGAAGGUUAUGCCCCAAUUUGAAUUCCCAAGGGUAUGGACAUUUAGACUCGCACUCCAUAUCAUAUAUAUUCCCAUAUUCCCAAAAAGCUCAAGAACCAAAAAAGGAAAAAAAGGGUUAGAUGAUGCCUUUCAAGUUUUCACUUAUUAGUUUUGGGUGUUCAAAAUACAUUAACAGAAAAUGGAAUGCAAAAAUAGAGCAUAUAAAGUUAGAACAAGAGCUUAAGCAAAUAACACCAAGCAAAAGCAAUAUCAUCCUCUUACACAACCUCUUGACUUGCACUGUAUGGGGAAUCAUAAUCUGAAUAAUGACUACUCGCCUGGCUUGAUGUUUCGGAAAAAAAAAAAACUUAAAAAGAACAAAUUGAUAAAACCAUCACACCCCAACUCUACAAACAUAGGGAAAAUGGCACAAUUGUCCUUUGAUCCAAAGGACGCAUUCUCAUACGAGGUACCAAUAUAAACCUAUUAUCAAAAUAUAUAUUCAUAAAUAUCUCAUAGGAAUAAUAAGCUAGUUACAUGACUAGAGUUCUAAAAUCCACCAACAUAAUAUAUAUAUCUGCAGGGACUGACAAACUAAACCCAAAAAGUACCAUCACAAUUUAUACGUGCAAUUAUCUCAAGUUAUACCCAAAACCCAAAUUCCUAAGAUUCCUCCACUGAUGUAGCUUUCCUCCUAUUUGUAGGUAGUUGAAAAAGAAUUGCAAUGAAUGGUAUAAGCAAACCACCUCUUGAUAAAUAGUACAUUUCUCAACAAAUAGAGCAUAAACUAUUCACGGUAUAAACAGCAACAGAAACACAACCAAAUCUAGUAAAUAAUAUAUGUAAAGGUCUAAAUAUAAAUUACAUCACUCCAACAACGUUUUCAACAUAUUAGAAAAAUGCUCAUUCGAUCAACAAUAUUUAUGCAAACAUCUAUGGUCUAGUCUAUUGAUCACUCUAGUACUUCAUAUUAAACUAUAGCCAUGUCUAACGCCCCGACAAGGCUUACCAAGAUAUCCUCUUCGGCAUAGGUCUCCACUAAUCUCAGCCAGUGGCUUUGGCCAUACAAGACAUCCUAAGAACAUGUAUGCUUACUCACAUCCCUUCAAUGAUUUCAGAUCAUAGCGACAAGAGGAUAAAGUAAUCAACAUAAUCUUAUCUGCAACAAACCCAUUUCAGAACUCAUUUAAUAAACCGGAGUAAAAAAUUGAUACAACCCUUUGCAAUUUCAUCCACAAGAAGAAUACAUUCAUGAAGAAUUUCUCAAACAAUUUCAUAAAUAAUAAACUCUCCAACCAUCUCAGGAGAUAUCAAGUAACCAAAUGGGUAUUACAUGCAAGAUCUAGCUUUAUACAACAAAAAUGUUCUAAACACCAUUUUUUUUUUUAAAAAAAAAAAAAUCAUAGCGUGCACUGUUCUCAUUCAUAACUUAUGGCAUAUGUAAUAUCUAUGAUUUUCAAGCCAUGAGUUUACAAAUCAGAGAAGAGAUAAGUACCACUCCUUGCUAACCAAAAGCUAAAUUAAAAGCUUUACCACUUGAAAAGCUAAAAAAAUCCUAUCAAAUUAAGUAUUAACCAUAUGUGAAACUUACUUUAACACCUCUGCUUUCUACCAUCUACAUGAAAUUUAUACCCCAAUUUGAAAUCCUAAGGGUGUGUACAUUUCGUGUUACACUCCACAUCUCAUUUAUGGUCAAAAACUAGAACACAAAAAUAAAAACCAUUAAAUGAAAAUGACUUUCGAAAAAUUUCAUCGUUUAUUUGUUUUGGGUGUUCAAAAUACAGUAACGGAUAUUCGACUGCAAAUAUGGAGGAUAUAGGAGAAGAAAAAAAGCGGCAGCAAAUUACACCGAGCGAACGCAACAUUAUGCUCUCAACCAACCUUUGACUUGCACUGGACACUGUCUCAUAGUCCGGACUAUGACUCCUUGAACAAUUUGACGUGUCAUAACAAAAGCUUGAAAGGGUAAGUCACUAAAGGCGCGUUUGGUAACAUUUCUGUUUAAAAAUUGUUCCAAGGAAUAGAAAUAGAAAAAAAUAUUUCUGUUCCAAGGAACAAUUUUUGAAUAAAAAAAUGUGUUUAGUAAACUUGUUCUGGGAAUAAAAAAUAAACAGAAACACGUUUGGUAAAUUUGUUUUUUUUUCUUUUAAUCUUUUAAUAUUUUUAUUUUAUUUUUUCUUCUUUUGGCCGGUCACCGGCCUCGGCCAUGGCCAACGAGGGCCGGCGGCCUCGCUAGUCGAGCCUCGUCGUGGCUGGGCGAGGCUCGGCCUCGCCUUGGCUAAGCAAGCUCGGGCUCGCCCAGAUCCAGCAAGCUCGAGCUCGCCCAACCACCGGGGAGGCUCGGCCUCGCCGGGCCACCGCCAGGCUGGCAAGCCUCGCCGGUGGCUGAGCGAGCUCGGGCUCGCCGGAUCUAGGCGAGCUCGCCCAGCCAAGGUGAGGCCGAAUAUGUGGGUUCGGCAGGCGGGGCUGGACUUGGGCGGAGGAGCUUGGGAAGUAGGCACAAGCAAUAACUGUACCAAUUUGAACGCAAAACCAAUGUUAACACAAGCAAACUCGCCAACGAAAUAAUUUUGACCACUUAGCAGGUUCAGGGAGGGGCUUAGACUUUGCGGUAACGGCGUUUUCACUCAAAUCUGGUCUUCACAUCGUGAUGGAGCGCAAACCCCAGUCAUCUCGGAGUACGGCCGAAUCUUCCUCUCCGGCUUCCUAAAUUGUAAUCCCGAGUCUCGCCUCUUACGAUUCAUUUCAUCCAGGGAUUCGAAUGAUGCGAAUCAAUCAUCGGACGAACUAGGGCUUUCGAUUUUUGGGGCUCACCGUUCCGUUGAUUUUAGCGCUGGCGCUGGGGCUUCCGGUCUUCGACUCUUCUUCUAUGCGCGGACGAUGGUGGGAAACUUGCAUGCGUGGAUCCCGAGAUUUAGAUUAAAUAAAAAGUAAAAAGUGAAAAUAAAUCUAGAUGAACUUUAUGGAUAUUAAACUAUUAUAUCUAUAUUUUCAUCCUAUCUAUUCAUUGAUGACUGUCGUUUCAACAUUUAAAGAUGGAAAAAGACUUGCUUAAUUUUUAUAAAGAAGAAAGUUGUAUAUGACUCAACCUGCUCUAUCUAUUUCUCAUUAAAGUUACAUGAAACUUUUUAUUGCCAUACUUUGUACAUCUAUAUUAUCAUAUAGGCAAGUCCUAAACCAAAUUGAAGGUAAGUAGGAUUCAAUUUAAAAUUAAGUCAGAUUAAUUACGUAAAACAGUCAUUCAUAUGGCUCGUUUCGAAGUUUUUACUCUCUACCAUCAUCAUUUAUCAAUUUAGUUAACUUGAAAUUGCCAUUGAUCUCGAUUAGGCUAAUCCUCUUGGAUUCCUUUAGGUCUAGACAUACUAAUGAGACAAAUAGUGUAUCGAGAGGCACUAAUUCACCAACUCCGAUCUCGAGCGCACUACAUGUUGGCCCAAAUCCAUGGCCGAUGGUGUUUGAUUGCAAGAGCCGUAUGUCCACGGUGCAUUUGGGAGCUCCACCCGAACCUUCGAAGCGAGAUCCCCAAGGAAAUUGCAUCGAACUUGACAACCGAGGCGACUUUCGAGCCCGAGUUGACGUCGAUGAUCAGGUCAUUGAAGAGGACUACAAGUGACCUGGUCAUUUUUAUACUUGGAAAGUAGUUCGGUCCAGGUACAGCGCUAAACUAAGAUACUGCAUGACACGGAGCUACUAUUUAUCGUUGAAAUUUACAGCCAUAAGAACUAUCUUGAUAGUAAAGCAAACACAUCGUUGAAGUUCCCAAUGCUCGAAAAGAAUUUCGGAAUAGAAGGGUCUCAGCCAUUACAUAAGCUCCAAUUCGACAGCUAAGUGAACCACACGUAAGAAUAGAACAUUAUUGCAUUUUACCAUGAAGGUUAUGCCCCAAUUUGAAUUCCCAAAGGUAUUGACAUAUAGACUCGCACUUCAUAUCAUAUAUAUUCCCAUAUUCCCAAAAAGCUCAAGAACCAAAAAAGGAAAAAAGGGUUAGAUGAUGCCUUUCAAGUUUUCACCUAUUAGUUUUGGGUGUUCAAAAUACAGUAACAGAAAAUGGAAUAUAAAAAUAGAGCAUAUAAAGUUAGAACAAGAGUUGAAGCAAAUAACACCGAGCAAAAGCAAUAUCAUCCUCUUACAUAACCUCUUGACUUGCACAGUAUGGGGUAUCAUAAUCUGAACAAUGACUACUCGCCUGGCUUGAUGUUUCUGAAAAAAACUUAUAAGGACAAAUUGAUAAAACCAUCACACCCCAACUCUACAAACAUAGGAAAAAUGGCACGAUUCUCCUUCGAUCCAAAGGACACAGUCUCAUACGAGUUACCAAUAUAAACCUGUUAUCAAAAUAUAUAUUCAUAAAUAUCUCAUAGGAAUAAUAGGCUAGUUACAUGACUAGAGUUCUAAAAUCCAUAUAUAUAUAUAUAUAUAUAUAUAUAUAUAUAUAUAUCUCCAGGGACUGACAAACUAAACCUAAAAAGUAUCAUCACAAGUUAUACGUACAAUUAUCUCAAGUUAUACCCAAAACCCAUCCUAAGAUUCCUCCGUUGAUGUAGCUUUCCUCCUAUCUGUCGGUAGCUUAAAAAGAAUUGCAAUGAAUGGUAUAAGCAAACCACCUCUCGAUAAAUAGUACAUUUCUCAACAAAUGGAGUAUAAACUAUUCACAGUAUAAAUAGCAACAGAAACACAACCAAAUCCAGUAUAUAAUUAUGUAAAAGUCUAAAUAUGAGUUACAUCACUCCAACAACAUUUUCAACAUAUUAGAAAAAUGCUCAUUCGAUCAACAAUAUUUAAGUAAACAUCUGUGGUCUAGUCUAUUGAUCACUCUAGUACUUCAUAUUAAACUAUAACCAUGUCUAACGCCCCAUGACAAGGCUUACCAAGAUAUCAUUCUAGGCAUAGGUCUCCACUAAUCUCAGCCGGUGGCUUUGGCCAUACAAGACAUCCUGAGAACAUGUUUGCUUACUCACAUCCCUUCAAUGAUUUCAGAUCAUAGCGACAAGAGGAUAAAAUAAUCAACAUAAUCCUAUCUGCAGCAAACUCAUUUCAGAACCCGUUUAAUAAACUAGAGUAAAAAAUCGAUACAACCCUUCGCAAUUCUAUCCACAAGAAGAAUACAUUCAUGAAAAAUUUCUCAAACAAUUUCAUAAAUAAUAAACUCUCCAACCAUCUCAAGAGAUAUUUUACUAUGCUAUUUCAAAUAACCAAAUGGGUAUUAAUUGCAAGAUCUAGCUUUAUACAACAAAAAUGUUCUAAACACCAUUUAGAGAAAAAAAAAAUCAUCGCGUGCAAUGUUCUCGUUCAUAACUUAUGGCAUAUGUAAUAUCUAUGAUUUUCAAGCUGUGAGUUUACAAAUCGGAGAAGAAAUAAGUAUCACUCCUCGUUAACCAAAAGCUAAAUUAAAAGCUUUACCACCUGAAAAGCUAAAAAAAUCCUAUCAAAGUAAGCAUUAACCAAAUGUGAAACUUACAUAUCACUAACCUCAACUAAGAUUCUACAAGGCAACACUAAUUUUUGGAGUCAAAACGUCCAGUAUGAGUCGACAAAAACGCCAUACAAGCAUCAAACUUGCUACAGCAAACAGAGCAGCAAUCUCGUCGCAUGUUGUGAAUUUUGGCAUGUCAUACAUCUCUACUAGACUCCAUUUUAAGAGAGUUUAUAGUCAAACGAGAGCUACUCCAAAGUACUAAAAGACCCAAAACUCCUUAGAGCCAAAAUUUGGCCGACGACUGAUGAAAUCUAGGACAAAACCCUGCUGGUUGCAGUUACUGUACAUUAGUUUUUGAGAACUUCGAAGAAUCAAUAUCUCUCAAACGGCAAUCCGUAAAAUCUCACAAUAGACCAACCUAACGUUUCGAAACGACAUCAUUUCAAGGCUCAACAAUCUCAAGAAUCAACCCGGCAACCCUAAAACCCGAACCGAUCCGAAAUUAUAAGUUAACAGAGCAAAUUUCUUUGAUUUCAUUAGAUUUAUCAAGGUUUGGAUUUUCUUACCGAGUGCUUCAAAAUGGUAUGAAUCUAGCUUCAAAAUGGUAUGAAUCUAGCUCAUCGUGGCCUCCGAACCGAAUUGCAGCAAAAGCCCCCUUCCGCUCACUCUCUGAUUCCCCACUUCUCUGAUUUCUCUUUCUUUUGCCGACUCGCUCCUCUCUUUUUUCUGCUCUUGAUUUUUCAUACGAACCAGCUCCAGAAGAGAACGCGAAGAUGGGCUGAGGACUCUUGGGCCUAAAUUUUCUAUUCCAUGAGAGGCCCAUAGUCGAGGAGGCCCAUUUAUAGCUUUGAAAACCAAGUACCACCUAACGACGGGCAGUUCCGAACACUCGUACUUUGUAUCUUUUGCAAUGAUUCACAACUAUGGACCUUCAACACCCGUAGCUUCUCUAGCUUCGCAGUAUUAGGGUUGGGCCUUUCCGUGGAACUGCAGUCUCCAAUUGAGGGCCGCUCGGAUGCGAUCUCAAUUAGUUGCGGGCAGUCCUUUACCCACAGCGAUUGGUGCUACUUUAAGCUCGAUACAUUAGAUAUCCUCACGAGCGACUCACCCUUGAGCACGUCCACUAGCUUGAAGUUCUUUAGCUGUCCGAGUACGUUGUCAAACUCGAUUUCUCUUAAUGGACAUUCGAUGAGCCUUAGUACGGACAUAUUGCCCAGGUUGGAGAACAAUGACCAUGCGAUUGGGGUCUUCACACCUCUUAAGUCCAAUAUUUCUAAACUAGACGGAAGCCCGGUCAGAGAUUGUAGGUCGGCACAAGUUAUGUCAAGAACCUUGAGCUGAGAAAGGGCGCUCAAGUCAAUCGGAUGCAUGUCAGAAUCGGAAAAUAUCACGUGCAACGAAGACAAUUCAUGAAGCCUUCCAAGCCACUCUAAGUUCGGAUAUACAAUUUGUCCUUGUUUAAUUAUGGAAACUCAUGACUAAGAUCACAAUCACUUAUUAACAGAGAACCUAAAUUAGUGAGGUUUGAGAGGUCAGGUACUGCCUGCAACGAUGAAGACGUUAGAUCUAGCCUCGUUACACUUGUGGGGAGAUUUGGUAGUAAUUGAAACUCCAUACAAUUCUGUAGAUAAAGUUGUUUGAGGUUAAAGAGCUGAUUGAUUGUCAUUGGCAGUCUAUUAACCUUUGUCCCGAACAAGCUCAAAAUCUCCAAUUGGGAUAAUCCUGCGAUUUCACUAGGAAUUUCCCCCUUGAGAUUGACACAAUUGUUGGCUCUUAGCUCUUCAAGAUUCUCCAGAGUCCCUCUGCUCUUUGGUAGCUCGCUUAUCUUACUAGAAGACAAAAUCAUGAGCUUCAACCGUCUAAGGUCGCCAAUUGAAUGGGGUAAUUUUAUAAUAGGUGUCGAAGAUAUAUCCAAUUUGUGUAGCGAUUAUAGUCUUCUGAUGGAAUUCGGUAAUGCACUUACACUAGUGCCUCCUAAAUUCAAAUGGAGGAGCAAUCUCAACUCUCCAGUGGAAUCCGGUAAUGCACUUACACCAGUGUAUUGUAAAUCCAAAUGGAGGAGCAAUUUCAACUCUCCAAUGGAAUCCGGUAAUGCACUUACACUAGUGUAUUGUAAAUCCAAAUGGAGGAGCGAUUUCAACUCUCCAAUGGAAUCCAGAAGCUCUCUAAGGUUGCAACACUUACUUAGAGAUAGAUGCUUCAAACCAAGUAGCUCACCUAUUGAGGGUGGAAGUUUUCUAACACCAUCCUGAUUUUUUAUAUUCAGCACCAACAAGGAUUUCAAACCACCAAUUGAGUCUAGUAAUGGAGGGAUGGUUGGAGAAUUAUUUCUCUGCAGUAGAUGAUCGCUCCCGUAGAUUUCCAAAUACUUUAGGCGGCCUAGCUGAUUAAUAGAGCUAUCGAUUUCUUCCAAUCUUGUACAAUUUUUUAGAACCAAUUUUUUCAAAUUUAGGCACUUGGAGAAGUCAGGUGUUCUCUUUAAAUAAUUGCAGCUUGCCAGAUAUAUAACUUUUAGGUUAUCAUUUACCUAUAAAAAAAAAAACCAAUUAUUGAGGAAAUAAUGGCAUCGGCAAAGGCCAACUCAAUGUAACAAAUGCAUACACACAUAAAGGAAAAAACGAAUGCAUUAUAUGAAACUUUACCAUGCAUGCUCCCCAGCCAUUCCAGUCUUCAAUAAUAUCACUCUCUAAAAGCUUGAGAACAGCCAAGUUCCUUAGAUAAACCAAUGGCAUCUAGGUUUGAAGGGCAAUGAUGCCAAGAGAGCCAUGUUAAAGUAGAGAGAAGAUUUUUGAAGUCUCCUACAAAGUUUCCCCCAUUCAAUUCGAGGAACCUUAGACUAGGUAGCCUUGAAAAUUCACCACUCGUGAAGUUAUGCUUGUCGCCAAGUCUUGUGAGUUUGAGUGCUACAAUGUUUUCUGUUCCCUGAUAUUUCCAGAGCAACAAGUUAGCAACAUGAUUGAACUAUUCAUAGUAAGUACUAAAUAUCAAAAUAGGGAAUAUAUAUAUAUAUCUAAAUUCAACUAAUAAUAAACAUGAGUGUACCAACAAAAAAAUGGGCACAUAAAUAUUAUCUUAUACAAAAAGGGGCAAAUUCCAUGAAUCAUUAUCUCUCCCACUUACAUGGGAGUUGUAAUGUAAAAUUAGUUCUUUUGGAAUGCCAUUCAUUUCUCUCAAAUCGUGCAAAAUCAUCAAUGUCCUGUGUACAAAAAUGAGCGAACGUUUUGGUCGAAAAUGAAGUCUAAAUACACAUAAUUGCAUGCUCAGUUUUUUCAUAAGCAAUUAACUUCUUUACUAAGACAUACCAUGUUAUUCUGAACCACAUCCAAGGCGAUCGUCGGACACCACAACCUGUUGCGCUUUCCGGGAACUGUAAAGCAUUCUCGCUGGACAAUCUCUCUUCCAAGAUCUCUCAGUUGGUCGUGCAUCCACAGUCUAUCAUCUUUGAGUUUUAUCAAAGAUAAAUGAAUAAGAACACAAAGUCCAGUAUGUGGAAAAAAAUCACAAGCUUUCCACAUGUAAUAUGUGGGGAUCUUUCUUCACCAAUGCAAUGACAUGCGAUAUUAAGAAAAUUUUGUUGCUGCUCAUACUCUAAUUCUUCGUAACUUAUCAACAACUUUUUCUGGACAUCCUGAUUGGGCACUUCCUUCAACUUCUUCAAUGUUUCUUUCCAUGUUUUCUUGCCUUUUGAAUGGAGUAAAGAACCUAUGACCUCGAGAGCCAAUGGCAGUCCUCCAGUGGUUCAGACAAUUUCUCGUGAAAUUUCAAUGUAGUCAUAUGGAGGUGAAUCACUUUCAAAAGAGUGCUUGCAAAGUAGUUGAAGAGCAUGGUGAAAUUGCAAUUCCUUCAUUUCAUAAAAAGAGAAAUCUCUGUGGAUGAUAUUAUCAUCUAGGGUGUCGGUUUUGAGAGCCAAAAAGUUGGCGUUUCUAGUUGUGAUAAUAAUUCUGCUUCCUGAACCAAACCAACUUGACUUACCAGCUAGCUACAUGAGAUUGUCUCUCUUGUCCAUGUCAUCAAGAACAAUGAUGGCUUUCUUAUCACCGAGUUUUUGUUUGAUCACAUCCCUCCCCUCAUCAGCAUCGAUAACUUUAGGAUGUUGAAUACCAAGAAUGUCACGUGAUAAUUUCUUUUGCAGACUUAAACUAUCGCUUUUACGGAUAUUUGAAAGAAAGCUACAACUUUGGAACUGGGAGGAGAUACGUUUGAAAAUAGCCUUAGCAAGAGUUGUUUUUCCGAUACCACCCAUACCGUGAAUCAUCACAAAUCGUACAUUAGAAGUGCCUAGGCCUAACAACUUCAUAACCGCUUCCAUAUGAUGGUGAAUUCCCACCAAGCUAUCACACCAAUUUCUCUGCGUAGGCGUCAGCUUACCAAAAACUUCUUCCAGAACAAGGGCUAUAAGUUUCUCCUGGCUGCCAUAUGCAUAAUGCAACCGUCUCAGUUCGAGAAACCACAAACGCGCAGAAGCAUAAAUGUGCAAAACCAGAAAUUUCAAUUGUUAAAACCAAGGAUGGAUUAUCAAUUUAUUUCAUAUUCAGUCCUCCCCGAGCCAAGAAGAUUGAUCUCAGUUACAGAUAACAAUGGUUGGAAUUUGAUGUGGGGGCGGUUCUGAAGAGUUUUUAGAUGGUCAAAUCCGCGAAGUUUUAAUGUGCGAUGUGGCCAUCAAAACUAGCUCCAUAGCCAAGUGGGCGAACCAAACCAAUUGUUUUGGUUCAUGCCGCGCAUCUAGUAUGACAAAGGGUGAAAAAGGACCAAAUUGCGCAUUAAGUAGGGAGAGCAUUCUUGAGUGGAACCAACACUAUGGAGGACGUCAAUACUUUUAAGUGUGGAGUUUAUGGCACCACGGCUCCACAUCGAAUGGGACACACUCUUUUGAACUCUUCGUGGGUAAGGUUCACCGUGAAAUGAUUACUCUAAAAUUCAAUUGUAAUAGGAAUUACUACAAGGAAGAAAGGCAUAAGAGAUUAAAAAAAAAACUGCAUGCAAAAGUGCAGUCAAUGGAUCGGUUAAGAGUUCUGAAAAAUUAUGUGCCUGAUGAAAUUGACUCCAUAAAAACGAACAUGACAAUUUGCACUACCAUUUCAACUUCCAUGUCAUUUCAGAAUAUUUGUUUUUGGGGUUUGGGGAGGGGGGUGGGUUCGGGUUGAUCUAUAUAUUGAGUUUUCAUGAUUAAGAAACAAUGAUCUAAAUUUAGAAAUGAAACUACUAAAGUUACCAUUAAUUACCCGUGAUCUUUUAAGUUAUAUCCGUUGAUUUUGGCAACCUCUCUAAGGGCCUCCUCCCACUGCUUCACCGUAUCUUCACCACACUGUCUCUCAUGCUUUCGUAGGGCCUUAACAUAUGAUCCAGUUCUGAGCUUAAGAUCGGAUGCAUCCACCCCAUAGAAAAUGGGCAAGAUCACUUUCUUGUCUCUCUUCUUGCACUCCACCAUGUAUGCCAGCUCGCGAAGACAGCAUUUACUGGAAGCAUAGUUUUUAGAGAAGAUUGGGAUGUAGAUUUUCGAAUUGGAGAUUGCUCUUAAAAGCUCGCCUCUAAUCUCUUCCCCAACGUGGAGCAUUUCGUCAUCUUUGAACACGCAAAUCCCAGCUCGAAUCAUGGCCGCGUAGAGAGAGUCUGUGAUGGUUAAGUGAGUGUCGGGCCCUCUGAAGCUCAAGAACACCUUGUAGUCCCUCCUUGGCGACAAUGAAGAUUCACCACCGAGGGGGAGAGACUUUCCUCCAGGACAUUCCAUUCCUAUGAUCUUUGGCUGCAUAAGUGAUAUCAAACUAUUCUGCUUGCUCGAAAUUGCAACUUCCAGUUACCUCGUGCCCGUUGGCAAUUUAUAAGAGAAACGGUCGACUGACUCUUUUUGUCCUAAAACAACCAUUGACUGAUUCAGGCUCACCGUGAGCAACAGAAGAUGCAAAGAAAGAUCACUAUUGCAUGCUUCCACAAAAUCACCUACCUCGGACAACCGUUCUUCAUUUGUAAUUUUAACACGCCUCCUUUUCCAUAGAACCAAGGCGAGCCAUCGUUUUUCAUAGAAGGUACCUGAGUUGACUUGGGGAAGUCCUCGAAUGCAUUAGGACUCGAGCCUAAUUCCUAGAAAAAGCAUCGUUUUUUAGUGGAGCAUCAAAGAAUGAGAGGCAAUCUUCUAUAGGCAAAUGAUGGAGCCCAGCACGAAUUGAAAUAAAAAGCUGAACAAACCUCUCAAUGCAAGGAAUAAUGCCCUCACUUUUUACAAAGCCACUUUUUUUUUCUUUGUUGGAAGAUACGCAAUAUCUUCUAGAUAUUAUUCAGAACCAAUUAAUAUCAAAUCUGAUUCAUAGAUUAUUUAGUUGCCUUUUUCUUGUACAUGUCUUGUACUAUAAUAUCAUCCUUAUACAUUGAGACAAAUAUACAUGAAAUACACAAAAUUCCCAACGUUGUUCUCUGCGUUUUCUCCUUGCCUCCGACUUCUUUCAUCCUUUAUUAGGCUGUCCUACCAUGGAAUAAUGUGCACUGGACAAUACUUUUGCCAUGGAAAAACAGAUUUUUCUUAUGUCGAAUAUCGGAGCGUGGACCAUCAGGAGUGGAUUCGUGUUGAAAAUGUGAUGAUGAUGAUGUGUUUCUUAAUUAUCAUAUUCCACUAAGUUAGGAACGAUUGACUUCACAAGACGAUCGUUAUUAGGACCAAUCAAUCCAUCUUGACAGUAAUUGAAAAAAAUUAGGAUCAAAUUUUUUCUACACUGUUCAUAAAUGCGUCCUGAGAAAAAAAGGUCAAAGUCAAUAAUUCAAGAUACAUUGUUCUUCGUUGAUGAAACUGGAUAUUAAGUCUCAGCUUCACCAAUUGAGAGAGAGCGUGUGUGUGAUAUAAUCGUGCGAGAUACUAGUUUAUUUGAAUCAUAUUCUCAUGUAGUAUCUUGACAUAAACAUGUGAUGUGCAUUGCAUUAUUAACUACACUUUCUGACAUGACCAUUCAAUCAACUGCAGAGCUCAUUAACACUUCAUCGAUUGGCACACUAAUGUCCAAACGACAUGAAAGACUCAAUAAUUGAUUGCAAAGUGAUACUGAUAUCUAAAUUUUUUCCUAAUAUGCACGAUUGUAAUUGUCUAUAAAUCAAUUUACUUAGGUCCAAUAGCUUUAUUCUAACAUGCAAUGCAUUCUGCUUCCACGAGAUUUUUACACUUCUGUCUAGUAUGUGUAAUUGAUCCAUCUCUGGAACUUCAGUUUAGUAAAUUCAAAUGUCAUACAUCUGUUAACUAUAGUAAAGAAAGUUGCUACAAUAAACAACAAUGUACAAAAGCGUUGGAUAGAAAAAUUAUACAAAUGGUGUUCGUAUGAGAAAUGUAUAUUCAAAACGAUAGAAAAAUAAUACACAAGCGUUUCUUAUGUGUAAUUCAUUUGAAACAAAUUAUUUUAUUUUUGGUCGGUAAUUUGAAAAAAAAAAUUAUUUGCUCGGUCACUUUAAACGGUCAUUCUUAUUCGUCAUCCCAAUAUGUCAGCAACAUAUGGAUUUUGCUGUUCUUGUCAAAGCACAGCAAACAAUCCAUUCUCCAUUCACACGAUAUCGAUCUAAUCAGGAAGAAAGCACAUUGUUUUGUUGACAUUUUAUCCUUAUCUGAAACCAUUUUUUUGAAUUUAAGAAAGAUAUUAAAUUUUUGAAAUAAUUUAGGAACCUCAUUAAUAUAAAGCCUACGAAAUGUUCAAGAUAUACGAUACUCAUUGGACAAAGUUAAGGACUUACUUUAACAAAUCGAAAGGUCGGGAAGAUCAUAAAACGUAAAGAACAAUGAUAAAUUUUCUAAGAUUGAUAGCAUCCUUAGACUUGUUUAACAUCUAUAUCGAGUGAGGAGAAGAGGGCUUGAGAGAGAUGACGACUACUGAGAAUUAAUAUCAAUUUCUUGCCAAGUUGGAGAUUUGUUGAUUAUGGCUCGAAAUUAAUCUUGUUCGAAUCGGAAUUGACAUGAGUUGGGAAAAUUACCAAAAAUGUCCUAAACUUAUUGUAAUUGUGCCAAUUCAAUCCUAAACCUAUUUUUUUGUCAAUUGAGUCAUAAAUGUUUUAUAAUUGUGCCAAAUCAAUCCUUCCAGCCAAAAGUGGCCAGGCAGCGUUGACGUGGCUGUUGGCCGAUGCCAAUGACCUUUCUUUAAUAAUAUUUUAUUUUUUUGAAUUAUUUUAUUAACUUUUUCUCUUUUUUUUCUUUCUUUUUUUUCCUUCUCCCUCCUCCUCCCUCCUUCUUCCUUUGGCUUCAGCGAUCGAUCAGAAGGGAAGGCUGGCCAAUCGCCAAAUUGAGGGGGCCAAGUGAGCUCGCCUCACUGUUGAUGGGAGAGGGAGAGCUCGCGCCCAGCAAUGGCGGUGAGAACACCCAUUAGAUCUGGUGAGAGCUUGCCUCGUGGUCGUUGGGCAAGGCAAGCCCUCGCCAAGGCGAGCUCUCGCCAGAUCCGGUGAGGGCUCGCCUCCCCAGCCUCACCAUCACUAGGCGUGAGCUUGCCGAUUGGUGAGGCAAGCUUGCUCAGAUGCCUAAGUCCGGCGACGGCUAGCCCUCCCUCUUUGGCCGAUCAGCGAAACCAAAGAAAAAAGGAGGGAGAAGGAGGGAGGAGGAAGGAGGAGGGAGAGGGCGAAAAAGAGAGAAAGAGAAAAAAAAGAAGAUAAAAUAAUUCAAAAAAUAAAAUAUUAUUAAAAAAAAAAAGGCCGUUGAUGCACAUUAGCGUCGGCCAACCAAUUUUGGCUGGAUGGACUAAUGUGGUAUAAUUAUAAAAGAUUUAGAACUCAAUGGGCCAAAAAAAAUAAGCUUAAGACUGAAUUGGCACAAUUGUAAUAGGUUUAAGAUUUUUUUGGUAAAUUCCCCCACAUGUGUUUGAUGUUUCCGAACAUUCUCAAAGUGCUUGUAGGGGCUCGGCAAUGGAGACGGACAACUGAAGGAUGCUAGAAGCCGAUUAUGCCUAGACAAACCAUGCAACUAGGCGAGUACUCGGCCAAGAGGUGGCAGGGUUGCCAAACACUCGGCAAACCUCUAGAGUCGAAACCGUGUUCCUACGGAUUGCCUGUAUGUCCAUGCCUAUUUUGGUUAGACACCCAAACCCCUAUUUUUCUGUAUAUCUAACAAAUAACUUGUGAGAAAUCUACCGAGCUUUUACGUGGCUUGCAAAUUUACCUUUCAUACACCUUUAAAUUUUAGUGCUCUUUAUCUUCCUCACCACCUUUAAUUUUCAUAUCUACAUUUCAAUUCCUUUACUUUUAUGGUCAAUUACACUUUUGUCCAAAAUCAACAAAAUAAAUCCAUUUUUUCCUUAAAAUUCAUCAAUUUCAUCCUUUUCUCGAGAACUUUCACUUUUUGGUGAGUGGUUCCAAGUGCUCUCAUCUUUUAGAUAAGAUUCGAUCACUGAUUGUAUUUAAGGAAAAAUUACUUUAUGUAUUGAUUGCAUGAUUGAAGUAAGUCCAAUUGACGGGGAGCGAAUUGCCACGUCCUUAAUCGUAAAAACUAAGUUGGAAUUCCAUUUUUAAGGGAUGGCAAAACAAAGCUUACUUUCAAGUGCACAAACGACUGCCCUUAUAUAGUUAAUAGUCAUAAAUUGCAUUAAUCUUUUUUUGGGGAAAAGUGUCAAAAAAAAAGUCUUAAAUCUUUUGUAUUUGUGCCAAUUUAGUCCUAAACAUUUUUACUUAAUGUCAAUUUUGUCAUUUCCUACUAAUUUUGGCUAGAUUUUGUUAAAUGGACGCCGACCGACUGAUAUGGCACGGUCGGCGCUGAUUUGUACAACUUUUGAUAAUAUUUUUGUAUUUUUUAUUUUCCUUUUUUAUUUUCUUUUUUCCUUCCCCUCCUUCUUCAUAUAGUUGAUCGCCAGCUUGGGCGACCGGCUAGAGGCUCGACCUCACUGGCCUCUGUGACAGCUUAAAUUUUCAAUUCUAUUUUCCAUUGAAUAAAUUAGGCCUUUCAUCAACGUUCCUGUAGUGCUAUUCUCAUAACUGAUCACUCUCGAGAUAACUAGAUUAUUUGGGAAAGCCAUUAAGGAAUUUUAAUGCAAUAGACUUGAGAAUUCGACUAGGAAUCGGCUACUCGACUGUGAUCAUCUGCAAAAGUCAUUACGGUACAUUUAAAAAUCGAUUAGGGAUUAGAGAUAUGUUAGUUUGACUGAGAUGUGUAGCUAGACGUGAGUGAUUUUACUAAAUUACAAAAUUCCCGUUGACCGGCACUAGACUGAUUUUUCUAUCAUUUUGGUACCCUGUGUCCGUAUUUGAAAUCUCGAGAUUUUAACAACCACCGAGAGUCACCAAUGUGUCAAAGAGGUUCAUUGUGGCUCGAAGAAAAUCAACUACGGGUCAUUUGCACUAGAAAUUUCUGAAAGCUACCCGGUAGACUAGAUCACGCUAAAAUCACGCUAGAUUGAAAUUAACCGCAAAUUUGAAUCCGAUUUCAAAAAUUGAAAGUUCAUCAUGUCACAAGUCAUUUUAAGAAUGUUGACUCAAUCUCCGAAAAUUUUUCUGCAAACCGGGAUUUUGGCGGAAAAAGUCGAGAUAGGACCGUUUUGGAUCGGAAAAUUCAGAGGACCAUCUUUUAUCGUGAAAUUGGGAUGCAAGUGGGAUAUAUUGGCGAGGAAAAAUGUCAAUUGGAUCGUGGACUUGAUAAUGGAAUUUAUGGGAGCCGAUUUGAGUUGAUUCAAAGAGGAAUUGAAGUCCAAAUUGAGGGAAAACCUUCAAAAUUCGUAGCUCCCCCAUGGACACCACCUUUGAACCAUUUCAUUUGCUUCCAGAGGAAGUCUUGUGGCUGCAAAUGGCUAAGGAAACCAACUGGAAAGGUGGGGCCAAGUCAAGGGAACAUUGAGAUGAGGUUGAAGACCAAGGUGGCCCCCUCAACCUUGCUUGUCUCCCUUCUCCUCCCAUCCGGUUGACCAGCACCCCCAUUCCAGCCCCUUGAUGCUCUAAAAACACCAAAAAAGCAUGUCAAGCCCUCCCCCCUACCAUUGACACCCACUGGAGCCAUCGCAAGCAGCCGCGUUGCCACCGUCGUGCCUUGGUUGCCAUUUGCCUGCUCUCGCGCUAGACCCGUGCGUCCCUGGCUGCCAUUCCGCCUUCAUCGUAACCCUAGGCCAUCCCCAGAGCUGCUUGAGCUUGCCUUGCCGUCACCGGAGCUGACUGGUCACCCGCCGAGCUCUGUUAAGCCCCACCGAAGCCGUCCGCUUCUUCCCUAUCCGUUUCAGCCUCAAUCGACCACCAUCCGGCCUUGUUUGGCCCAAGACCAGCACCAAACAAUCUGGGUUUCCAGCCCAAUGUUUGGUCCAUUUUCAAGCCCUUCCGAACCCCGCUUGGCGGUCUCACAUUGGAGUUUGUCAAUCCUCUUCACGUCCCCGUCGUUUUGGUCCGAGCAGAUCACCAAUCAAGUGAGUUUAACUCACUAAUCCCUACUUAGUAAGUUAAUGACGUUUAAGGGUUUAUUAGUUUAAGUUAAGCAUAAAUUAGGUGGAUAGUUAGAAUAGAUUAGUAAUUUAAUUAACUAAAAUGCAUGUUAUGUGGUUAGAGUAGGGGAAUUAGCAAGUAGAUAAGCUAUAGUAUUUAAUUAACAAGUCUCGAAAUUUUUCUGGGCUCGUUUUGGUAUUUAAUCAGGCUUUUCCGGCCUAAGUGUGCAUUUUUAGCAUUUAUUAAUUAUUUUCCGUAAUUAUUUAAUUAAUUAAUUUUUUUUUAGAAAUUAGACCAAGAUAGCUGGUUAUCAGAAUUUUGUGCCGAUUGUAAUGGUGUGAUUUUUUUAUUUAAUUGACUGCUAAUUUGUGCAAAUUGAGCAUGAUUUGUGAUUUUGGGUAUUUAUCCUAAAAUUUAUUUAAUUUAAGUAAUUAAUUAGAAAAUAUUGGACGUAGGUUUAUAGCCUAAAAAAUGUGUUUUUGGACUAUUAGAAUUGGAGGGAUUUUCAAAAGAGAAAAUGUGGUAUUUUGGCUAAGGCUGACCGUGUACCCACACACAAUUAUUUUAUCGGGUAUGAUAAAAUUGGUGAGAUUCUCAAUUGGUGAGAAUAGUGUAUUAUAUUAGCCUGAGGGCUUCGAUAUGUCAGCUUAGCGCGAGCAGUACACUUUAUCAGCUUAGAGUGAGCAUCAGGGGUACACUAUAUCAGCCUGCGGGUCGAUAUGUCAGCUUAGUGUAAGCAGUAUACCGGUAUAUUAUAUUAGCUUGAGGGCUUUGAUAUAUUAGUUUAGCACGAGCAGUAUACUUUAUCAGCUUAGUGAGAGAUAUAUUAUUUAUCAACUUAGUGCGAACUAUACCAUCUAUCUUCAGCUUAUAGUGAGUAGUUCUUGACGUGGUUGAACUUGAUAGAUAGUAUCGAAUGGAAUGACCAUGAGAGGGUCUUGAUGACAUGGAAUCGAUUGAGUCGAUUGAUCGAUGACUCGAACUAAUUUGAUGAUUUGAUUGGUUGAUGUGAUGCGAUGAAUUUGUGAAUUGUAUUGACUUGCAGGAAUGAAUCGAGAUAAAGGUAUGUCCUUUGGCUUGUGCUUGUGCUUAGACAACCCUUAUGAUGUAUUUUCUUCCUAGUCAGGUCUUAGGGGGUGAACUCGCUGAGACGUCAUCUUACCUAGUUGUGGAAUAAUAUUUCAGGUUCAUAGAUAGCAGCUCCUCCCGAGCAUUUUGGUUAGCCAAAGAAGAUCACGGAGCAGAGGUGCUAUAUUCCGCACCAUGGGGACCCUAGGGGAUGGGAGUAUGAACUUGUGAGGUCCGUGGUCUGGGUUGAUGCAAGCCUACCCAAAAAGGUAACCCAUCAAUAUCGAUCAUGGUACCGUCAAGAUCGGAAUGGCCAGAGAGAGGGCCCCAUACAGGAAUCUGAGAUACCUCUGUAUGUGCUGGAGGUUGCUUUUGGAAAUGGCAUAGCAGAUCCUCUUGGUGGCUUCGUGGUGGACCCCAACCUGUCGGAAUCGGAGUCCCUUGGAGUCCCCUGUUUAUUAAGCUGGAGGCUCCAAUGAGGAUGAGGAUGAGGAUGAGGAGGAAGAUCUAUAGUUUUAUAAAACCCCCCUUGUUUUGUAGACCUGAUAUAUAUAUAUAUAUAUAUAUAUAUAUAUAUAUAUAUAUAUAUAUAUAUAUAUAUCGGCUUGGUUUGUGUACGACUUGUUAUGAUAUGUAUAUAUAAGCAUGUUGUUGGUUUUAAAAAAUAUGGCCCUACUUUCCUAUCACAUCUUGUUGUUGUCUGUGGAUUAUUUAUUCGCUUCCACAUGUGCAUUAAAAACGAAUGGGUCGGCGAUGAGAUGUCGAUAUUUAAUUGACCGUAGAGGGAUGGGCACGCGUUCGAAGGAUCGGGGCGUGACAGCCUCUGAGAAGCCUCACUAGCUACUAGGGAGGCUCUCACUUGUUAGAUCUGGAGAGGGUCGAGCCUCACCGACCAUGGGCGAGGCCGCCCUCACGGCCAAGGCCUCAUCGGAUUUGGCAAGGUCAAGCCUCACCCAUGGCCAGCAAGGUUGAUCCUCGCCAGAUCCGGCGAGGGUGAGCCUCGUUGCCCCCCACAAGGGCGGCCUCACGGCCACUAGCAAGGCUUCCUAGAGGCUAGCAAGGUCGACCUCGACCUCAUCAGCCGUCGCCUCUAGCCAAUUACUGAGGUCCAGUGAUCGGUUAGAGAAAGGAGGAGGAGAAGGAAAAAAGGAAAAAAAAAAAGCAAAAAAGAAAAAAAAUAUUAUUAAAAGUUAUAUACGUCAGCACCGAUCGUACCACGUCAGCCAACCGACACCCAGUUAGCAAAAUCUGGCCAAAAUUAGCCGGAAAUGACCAAAUUGACACUAAAUGAAAAUGUUUAAAACUAAAUUGGCACAAAUAUAAAAGGUUUAGGACUUUUUUUUUAACACCUUUCCCUCUUUUUUUUUUUUUUUUCUUCAAAUCCAAAAUAAAAUCAAAAGAGGUUACAAAUACUAGAUAAUCACCCAGCCAGUAUCUUUCAAUAAGGAAAAUUUAAACACUAAAAACUUAAUUUAGGAAUAAAGAACCUCUAUUUCUGCAAGUUGAAUUCAUUGGCGCCUCAGCCAAUUCUCAAUUGACCUGUGGAUGUAUUUGAAUGAGAUGCCCAUAGGAGCACCCUCUGAGAUAGAGGAUCAACGUUCCUGAUUUGCUUUUGGAAAUUUUAUGUUAACAUGUACUUGGUCCAUAAAGAUUAAAGUCCAUCCUAAAGUUGGCAAAAAAAGGCCCUUAAGGCGGGUUUUUGGCAGAAGUAUUGCUUGAUCAAAACUGCAGUAAAAAAUCCUUCUCGUCUAACUUGUAUUUAUAGUUUUUGCAAAACUACAUAUAAAAAAAAUUGUUGGCUUGACAUGUCUCUAGUUUUUUGCCGAUUUUGCAUUGUAGUCUUGUUUGGCGCCUAUCACACACACACACACACACACACACACACGCAUAUAUAUAUAUAUUAUUGCAUUCCCGUUCUAGGACAGCUUGCCCAUAGCAGAAACUAAUAUUAGGUGAGAUCGAGAACCUUUAAUGGUCCGGCCAAAUGCGCCAUUCUAACUCUUGGUUACAAGUCAAGCCAAAGGAAAAUGACAGAAUCCUCUUGUCAGCCACCUGCCCCCCAGUAUUAUUUUUGCUCCUUCACAACCAAAGGAAAAGAUCUUUCUUUGGGUUCAGUUCCUUCUAUAUUUUUCUUGGAUCUGGGAAAUUCCCCAAAAGCAAAUGAAACCCGUGUGCCCGUGCCUCUUUUGGGGACGCGUGUGAUCCUUUCUUUCGUCCCCUGCUUUGUUCAUCUCUCUUUGACUUUUUUGUCAGCAUAACCGAAGAGAUAUAAAGUUUAGAAAAAAAAAAGAGGGAAAGAAGAGGAUUCGGCGGAUAAGAAAAAGAUAAGCGGAAGAGGAUGCAGUAAGGGCAAGUGGAAAGGAAAAGAAAAAGGUAACCAAAGGAGAGAAAACAAAGAGGACGGGGGAAAGAGAGAAGAGGAGAGCGUUAGGUGCAUGUGAUGUCUAGGAGGAAGGCUCCCGAAAGGAAAACAGAAAACAAAAGAACGGAGAGGGAGAGAGAGACGGUUGGAUUUUUCUCCUUCUUGAUCUAUCCCUGGUUCAGGGAGUCCGAGAGAAAACAGACAGGAAACAAUAGAGAGUGGCAGGGAGAGUAAUCGGUGAGCUCUCAUUGCCGUGUGUGUCGCUAGUCAGAGUUCUUCAAGUAGCUCGACAAAGCCGGCUGCUAUUUGAUCAAUUCAUUUGCAUAAGGCGUGGCGUUACUUGUGAUUUGGUCCAAGAACUUACCCCUAAAUGCAUUUGCAACCUAAAUUGAGGACAUGGAAUGACUUGUUGUGUGAUUUAAAGCGAAUUAGAAUUCUUUGUGUUUGGUUCAACUCUUCAUUUCUCGUAUGUUUUGGAUGUCCUUAUAACUUGUCCCUUUUGAAUGAUAAUGAUUUGAUUGCAGCAACCCUUGCCUAUCGGGAAAUGACGUGAAAUAUCAACAAGGACUUGGCGCAAGUUGCACCUCGUUUACUGUGUUAUUUGUGCCUCUAUCCAGAUCGGUUUUCAGCUUGCACAGUGGGCAAGCCUUCAUUUCACCACAAUUUGAUUCAAACAGAUCAUCGAAAAUUCCCUCGUUCGUGUCUAAUUUACCGUUUUGUUUUUGAAGGUUUAUGCUAGUGAUAUUAGAAUUGGGAAAAUGUGGUGUAUGGUGGAAUAAUUAGUUUGUGGUCUUAAUUAGUUCAUAAUAUAUGAUGGUUUGAUCUGUAUAUGCAAAGAAGUGCAUUAAGCCGCAUUUGAUUCAUUUACCGUCUUUGAAGCGGGAACUGAUAGCAUCAUGGUGUGUUCAAAUCCUUCUUAAUUUGUCACGCCUCCUUUUUCUAGAGAGCCAUCAUUUUUCGCAGUGUUUUCUCGGAACCUACUUGAGUUGAUUUGCAGAAGUCCCCAAAUGUGUUAGAAAUCGAGUUUUCCCGAAAAAGCAUCGAUCCUUAGUGGAGCAACAAACCAUUAGAGGCAUUCUUCUAUACACAAUGAUGUAGCCCACCAGGGCCAAACAACCACCUUUGUGCAAGGUAAUAAUGCCCUCCUGCUUUUUCUAAAGCCAUUUUCCUCCCUCAUUAGGUUGUCAUAUGAUAGAAUAAAGUGCACUAGGCAUGGGAAAAUGGAUUUUCUGAUGUGGAAUAACAUAGUGUGGGUAAUCAAAAGUCAGUUCAUAUUGGAAAUGUAAUGAUGAUCCGAUUCUUUUCUUUUCAUAUUCCACUAAGUCCAAACCAAUUGAAUUCACAAUACAAUCAUUAUUAGGGUAAAAAAGAAAUUAGGAUCGAGUCUCUCAUAUGCUAUGCUGUUAAUAAGUGCCUCGUGAGAAAAAUGUAGAAGUCAAUAAUUCAAAAUGCAUGAUUUUGAGGUAUUUUACCUUGAAACUUGAUCUGAUUUGGCAUAUUCAAAACUGAAUUAUACACUGCUAAAAUAUUACAAUUUCAAAUCAGAAGUAAUUUGAUAUAAAAUAAUUUAAGAAUCUCAUUAAUUUAACACCAUUGAAAAAAGUUCAUGAGUGGCUAUGUUCCUUGGAGGACUUACUUAAACAAAUUAAAAGAUUAGGGACAUCAUCACAUGUAAACAAACAAUAGUGAAUUUUUUAAGACACUAGUUUAGCAUCGACAGUGAGUGAGGAGAACAAGGGGGCUUGAGAUAGACAACAAUCAAUGAAGAUAAAUUUGGACUUCUCACCAAGGUGGAAAUUUGUUGAUCAUGGCUCGAAAUUAAUUUCGUUUGAAUUGGAAUCAACAUGAGUUUGAUGUUUUCGGACGGUCGACGUGUUCGUGGGGGCUUGGAAACGGAGGUAGACGACUGGAGGAUGCAAGAAACCAGCCCCCCUAGCGCUUGGACAAACCAGACAACUAGGUGACCACUCGGCCAAUAAGUGGCGGGGUUGCUGGACACCCGACAAACCUCCCGAAAGUGUUUUCCAACAUAGUGCUUGGGUGACGGGGCCUAUUUUUGUCAGACACCCGACCCCCUCUUUUUAUGUAUAUUUAAUAAACAACUUGUUAAGAAUAGAGAAUGAGAAUAUUCCUUUCUUGCUGGAAUCGUUUCAUUUAUUUACCCGCGUUAAUUGUGGCAGUAGUUGAUGCAAGAUUCAAACUAUGUCAGCCGAAAAUAAUCUCUCGAGAAUAGCAAGGUCGGUUAAACUAGGAGUGAAAUCUCAUUCUAAUUUUUUGGACCUAGCGAACACAUUAGAUGGUGGGCGUAUUUUGUAUUUACACUGAAAUCGUUUGAGCAAUUUGGUGAAGCUGAUAAAAAAGACAGAGAUAUUAGUCUGAUACUGUUCUACAUGUAAUUGAUUAUUGUACUUGGACUCAAAGAAAAUCGGAAGAAGAGAUGGACUCCCCGAGUCUUCGUCUCCUCCUUUUUUAUCACAGAAACUUCUGUAGAGUAUGAAAUGAACCCAAGUGAUGCAGGUUUGAUAUGAAGGGAACACGAGAACGCGGAGACAAAAGAGAGGAUUCAGCCAAUUGGAACAUGACCCGUCAUAUGCUUAACAAAAUUAAACAUCAGCAAAUGCAUUCCAAGUCUAAGUGAGAUGAUGAUGCGAGUCGCUUAAAGUUAAGUGAAGAACUAAUAUAAAACGACCACGACUUCUUUUGAGCCUAAUAAGUGUUUUUUCCCUCAAUUUUUUUGCAUCGUAGAUAGAGGCUUUCCAAGUUCGAAUUUCUCUCUGUUCACACUCUCAAAUCUGCUACCUUUACACGAAAGCCAUUUGCAGGCGCCCAGAGAAAUUGAUGUUGAUUACUAUUCGCGAGAAAAUUAUAGUGCUUGCCAAUCCUUUGCACUGAAGCUUUGAUCUACUGUAGUUGAAUGAACAUGUAAUGACCGUGCAGGAACACCGACCAGCUGCUCCAUCAUUUGCAACUGAUCAUAUGCUGCAAUCUGCACCCACUAUAGAAGUUAAGUACAGAAAAAAAUGGCAAUGGUUGAUUGAUGAACAUGUCAUCCGAGUAAAUUCCUUAUUUACAAACUUUUCUGAACCGAUUCCAAUUAUUAGUCAACCAUGACAAUGAGGGACGUAAUCCAUUUGAAUGCGACGUAGUGGAAAAGCAUUAAUCACCUGUUUAAACCAUCAGAAUACGGCAGUUUUUGCUCCCCCGUCCAACCACCCUAAUGUGCAUAAGUAGAAACGUCAAAAGCAUUUUUCCAGCUGAAUUCAACUACGAAAGGAGCUCAUUGAUCCCCAUCGAUUUUGAGGAUUAGACGAGAGAACAACUGCAGAUAUACUCUGAAUCCCUACGCUGUUAGACGUUUAUCAGCAUGACAAAGGAUGCCGGAUGAGGGGGAAAUCAGAGUAAAAAGUUGUAAAAAACAACGAAUUUUUUUUAGUUGACCGAAUGGAUUUGGAUGAAGAAAUUCAAUGCUCCACUAAAAUCUACCACUGAUUCUCAAGAUUCAGGUAACAAGACACUUGGAUUAUCUGAAUCCAGACGAGUCAAUAUUAACCUUCAUGAGAAAAUAAGAGGUGAGAUUGAAGGGAAAAAAUGCUUGUCCUGCAUGUAUGUGUAUUUAGACAUGCCAUGAAGUGACCUCUCCUGAUAAUCAAGUCACUGAAUAUGACAUCAAGUAAUCCGGUCAUUCUUGGAGUGGGAAAGUAGUUCGCUCCAUGUAUUGCAGUAAAACUAAGAUACUGCAUGACUCAGAGCUACUAUUAUUCGCCAGCAAAUUUCACAGCCAUAAGGUUUACCUGGAUGGUAAAGCAAACACAUAAUUGAAGUUCCCAACACUUGAAAAAAAUUUCGGAACAGAUGGGCCUUACUGAUUACAAAAGUUCGCUGAACUCGACCUGCUUAUACGUUUUACUCCUUAUCAAGUAUUGCGAAACACAAAGGCAUUUCUGACUUUUUACAUAGGGUCGGGUCUUCUGUGCAUUUAUGCCAGUUUGUGCCCCAAGAUCACACCACAUGCAUUUGCCUCUUAUGGAUUGAUUCUUGUUGCUUUUAUAUCUGAAACAGAUAAAAAGUCUGUUUUACUCGCUCAUCCCUAUCCAACAGAGUUUCAAAGGAACUAUUAUCAGCCGUCGGCAAACUGAGCAGCUUUGUUCAUAAGAUUUUUGAAUAAAAUCGCAAACAAUCUGCCAUAUACAUUAAAAGACGAAAAUGCAAAUAGCUGAAUUGCAUGAAGAGAUAAUGAAGAAAAAACACGGAAGAGUCCCUGCAGUGCAAUGUUGCUUUCCAAAACUAGGGCCGUCGAUGAAUCGAAUAGAAGAAGAUGAUAUUUGUAGAGUAGAGCUAAAUGCGCAAGAAACGUAGUUCAGAUUUCUCCACAACCAAGGCAUAGCGGUUUAAACUGUAACACCCAGCAGACUGAUGGAAGCAACCAAUCCCUCAGUUGUUCCAAAAUUUAUGCUAAGCAUUGGUGUGAAAGGGUAUUGGAAGAGGACCUAUGCGACCGUAUCUAGCAAUACUUCUCUAUCCUUUUAAAGUUAAUAUGUACGCUGUAAGAUUGUAUAUCAGGCAUUCCUGACAGGAAGACAGAACUUUCCAAGCAUUAUAAGAGUUGGGGGUCAAAAGAGGUGGCAAGCAAAAUGAAAUUCACAGAGAGCACAUUGAACUUUUAGAUCCGUCAGUGACUAAAUUUGAUUAAAGCACAAUAAACCAAAAAUAAAAUGGUUAUUCUACUGUAGUGAGCAUUUAGAUAUAUAAGAGUAUAAUGCGGGUUGCUUCUGGAAAUGAAUUGUCUGGAAUUACACGCCAUUCUCCUCCGGGUGGUUGUCGUUUUCUUCUGAGGAAAAAACAAAGAUCACUAUGAAGUUCAUUUUCAUAUCCUCCUUUCAUCUUUAGCAAAAUCUACUUCAAUAGCCAAGUGAAUCUUACUCAGAACAGAACACUUUUGCUUUCUAAAGGUGUGGGAAUUUCGAGUUAAUAUAUAUUCCCAAAGGCUAAGAAAAAAAGUACAAAACCAUUAUAUAAGAAUGUCUUUAAAAUUUUCAUUUUUUUCUGUGUUUUGGGCCACACAAACAGAGAAUCGAAUGUAGAAUAUAGAGCAUAUAGGGGAAGAAGCCUGAAGUUGGUGAUUUCAUCUCAAUUGACCGUAGCUCACCGGUGUCUCAAAUCCCAGCGUUUUACUUGUUCACAGCUACCAUGUCCAGCUGCUGCCUUCUCGACCUCCAAUGCGGCAUCACAACCUCGGGCGACCCCUCCACGACGGCUGACAGUCAUCGGAAUAGUCUCGAGUGUGCUUGGCCGAGACACCUGGCUGAUCGCUCCUCCGUGCACUAAUCUUCUCAGCUCGAUCAUGUGAGUUCGGCAGGCAGGGCUGGACUGGGGUGAAGGAGCUCGGGAAGUAGGCACCGAAGGGAAGGAGCGGCCGAAUGCCACCUUCUGGUAGGAGCUCUUGGCUAAGCUCGGCAACGGCCAUGGCAGCUUUGGCGGCAACAGAGUGUUGGGCUUCUGGAGGCCCUCCUCGAGGACUUCCUACUACAACAACACGCAAGUAAUCACCAAUCCAUAACUGUACUAACUUGGAGAACCAAUUUGAACGCAAGACCAGAAUUAACACAAGCAAAUAUGCCAAAGAAAUAAUUUUGACCACUCAGCAGCUUCAGGGAGGGGCUCUAUACUUGCAGGAACGGCGUUUCCACUCAAAUCUGGUCUUCACAUCGUGAUCGAGCGCAAACUCCAGUCAUCUCUGAGUACGGCCGGAACUUCCCUCCGGCUUCCUAAAUUGCAACCAGAACUCAAUCCCGAGUCUCGCCUCCUUCGACUCAAUUUAUCCAGGGAUUCGAAUGAUGCGAAUCAAUCAUCGAACGAACUAGGGUUUUCGAUUUUGGGGGCUCACCGUCUCGUUGAUUUUAACGCCGGCGUUGGGGCUUCCAGGCGUAGCGGUUCCGGUGCUUGGACCGCCGGCGAGCCGGCAGUAUAAUUGAGACAAAGUCGGCAACUUCACGAGUCCUUCGAGAUAAUCAUCUCUCGGGUUAUUUUACGAAAAUGGGCCCGCCACCAGACCUUUCCUCCUCAAAAACUUCCCUGGGAUAAAUUCAACUUCACAUGCAUUCGGUAUAUCAGGCAACUUUUGCACUGAUUUACAAUAGUAUACUCUCAACGAUUGUAGCUUCUCCAGCUUCGGUGAAGAUGGUUCUGAUUCGAUCUCAAGUAGUUGCGGGCAGUACUCCACGCUCAGCACUCGGAGCUCCUUUAAGCUCGCUAGAUUGGAUAGCCUCACAAGCCGCUCGCACUUGCGCACUUGCAGCCGCUGGAGAUUCUCUAGCUGUCCAAGCAAGUUGUCGAACUCGAUCUCUCUUAACUGACAACCGCAGAGCUUUAAUUCACACAAAUUGCCCAAGUUAGAGAACAGUGGCCACUCUAUCGGUGCCUUGACAUCUUCUAAACACAAGUCUUCUAAACUGGACGGAAGCCCAGUCAGCGACCGUGGGUCUCGACAAGUUAUUUCCAGUGACCGCAGUUGAGAAAGGGAGCUCAAGUCAGUCGGAGGCAAGUUGAAAUCGGAAAAAACCAGUCUCAACGUCUGCAAUUCAUGAAGCUUUCCAAGCCACUCUAGUUUCGGAUACUGCCUGCAAUAGAAAGAGUAUGCUCGAGAAAGUAGGAGAAAAAAAGAGGAGAGAGAGAGUCUGCAUCGGAGAUUGGGUACUGCCAUCAGCGGCAAUGGCUCUUGGAGUCCUAAACUUCUUGUAAUAUCUGAUAUAGACGGAAUCCCAGGCGAAGAUAAUAGCUCUAGCUUUGUUAAACUUGUCGGAAGAUCUGGUAGCGACUGAAGCCCGUCACAAUUCGUUAAAACAAGUUCUCGAAGAUUAGAAAGCCGAUUGAUUGUCAUCGGCACUCCACUAACCUUGCUCUCGGACAAGUUCAGAAUCGUCAAUUGGGAUAAUCCCGUGAUUUCACUUGGAAUUUUGCCCUCGAGAUAAUAACAACCUCUAGCAGUCAACUCCUCAAGAUUCUCCAGAGUCCAUAUGCUAUUCGGUAGCUCUUUUAUCUUUGUCCAAUUCAAACGCAUGAACUUCAACUGUCUAAGAUUGCCAAUAGAAUUAGGUAAUUCUGCAAUAUUUGUAUGAGAUAGAUCUAUUUUGAGUAGUGAUUCCAAUCUUCCGAUGGAAUCUGGUAAUGCACUUAUCUUAGUGCGAGACAAAUCCAAACAAAGGAGCAAUCUCAACUCUCCAAUGGAAUCUGGAAGCUUUUCAAGGUUAUGACAACCACAUAGAGACAUAUGCUUUAAAUCCAGUAACUCUCCUAUUGAGUGCGGAAGUGCUCUAACAUUAUUUAGAUAUUCCACCUUCAACAUUGACAAGGAUUUCAAAUCACCAAUUGAGUCUGGUAAUAGAGAAGGACGAAUGGUAAAAUUGUUGAAAUAAGGAGAAUUUGGAGGAUAAUUUAUUGAAUCACGAAUCUCCGAUAUCAUCCUAGGCUCCUCACUGAUUUCCAAGUACUUCAGGCGCCCCAGUUGACCGAUAGAGCUAUUGAUUUCCUCCAAUAAUUCACAAUCUUUGAUAACCAAUCUCUUCAAUUUCAUGCACUUGGAGAAGUCAGGUGUCCUCAUUAAGCGUUUGCAGCUUGUCAAAUAUAUGACUUUUAGGUUAUCAUUCACCUAUGAAACAGACGGUUAUUGAGAAAAACGAUGGCAUAGGUGAAGGUCUACUCAAUGUGACAAAAGUGCACACACAAAGGAAAAAGAAUGUAUUAUAUGAAAUUAUACCAUGCAUGGUCCCCAUCCAUUCCAAUCUUCAGUAACGUCGCUCUCUGAAACCUUGAGAACGGCCAAGUUUUUUAGACAUAAACCAUUGGCAUGUAGGUUUGAAGGGCAAUGACGCCAAGAGAGCCAUUUUAGCUUUGAGAGAAGAUUUUUAAAGUCUCCUACAAAAUUCCCCCCCUCUAAUUCGAGGAACCUUAAACUAGGCAGCCUUGAUAAUUCGCCACUUGUAAAAUUGUGAGCAUUGGCAGGUUUUGGGAGUUUGAGUGCUACAAUGUUGUAUGUUCCCUGAUAAUUUGAAGCAACAAUACCAAUAUGAAUGAAUGAUUUAGAGUAAAUUCUAACUAUCAUAAUCCUACUAUUCUUACCCCACCAAUUGAUGACAUAAGUGAACCAGCAAAAACGAGGCACAUAUAUCUUAUCUUAUACCAAAAAGGGCAAAUUCCUUGAAUCCUUAUCUCUCCAGCUUAGAUGGGAGUUGUAAUGGUAAGAAUUAUCUAUUUUGGAAUGCUGUUUAUUUCUCUCAAAUUAAGCAAAAUCAUCAAUGUCUUUCCCAGGAACAAAACUGAGCGGAUAUUUGGGUGAAAAUGAACUAUAGUACACAUAACUGCAUGUUUAGUUUUUACGAAAGCAAAUAACUUUUAGUAAGACAUACCAGGUUAUUCUGAACUACAUUUAAGGCAAUCGUAGGACACCACAGCCUACUACGCCUUCCAGGAACUUGAACGCAUUCUUGCCGAACAAUCUCUCUUCCAAGAUCUCUGAGUUGGUCGUGCAUCCAUAAUCUAUCACCCUCGACGAGCUUUAUCAAAGAUAAAUGAACAAGGACACGAAGUCCAGUUUCUGGAAAAAAAUCACUUGCUUUCCACAUGUAGUAUGCCGGGAUUUUUUCUUCACCAAUGCAAUGACAUGCGAUAUCCAGAAAAAUUUGUUGUUGCUCAUACUCUAAUUCUUUGUAACUUAUCAACAAUUUUUUUUGCACAUCCUGAUUGGGCACUUUCUUCAACUUCUUCGAUGUGUCUUUCCAUGUUCUCUUGCUUUUUGAAUGAAGUAAUGCACCUAUAACCUCAAGAGCUAAAGGUAGUCCUCCAAUAAAUUUGACAAUUUCACACGAAAUAUUGUUGUAAUCAUGUGGAGUCGAGUCUCUUUCGAAGGAGUGCUUGCUAAAAAGUUGAAGAGCAUGGUCAAACUGCAUUUCCUUCAUUUCAUAAAAAAAGAAAUCUCCGUAACGCACUGGGAUGAUUUUUUUAUCUAGGGCGUCCGUUUCAGGAGCCAAAAAAUGGGUGUUCCUAGUUGUAAUAAUAAUUCUGCUUCCUGAACCAAACCAACUAGACUUACCAGCUAGUUUCAUGAGCUUGCACCUCUUGUCCAAAUCAUCAAGAACGAUGAUGACUUUCUUAUUAUUGAGUCUUUCAUUAAUCAUGUGCAUCCCCUCAUCAGCAUCAAUAACAUAAGGAUAUCUAAAAUCGAGAAGGUCACAUAAUAAUUUAUUUUGCAGACUUAAAAUACUGUCUGCACGGAUAUCUGAAAGAAAGCAAGAACAUUGAAACUGAGAAGAGAUAUACUUGAAGAUAGCCUUAGAAAGAGUUGUUUUCCCAAUACCACCCAUACCAUGAAUCACCACAAAUCGUACACCGGGAGUGCCUAGGCCUAACAACUCCAUAACGGCCUCCAUCUGAUAGUGAAUUCCCACCAAGUCAUCAUGCCAAUUUCUCUUUGAAUAUCUCAGCUUAUUAAAAACUUCUUCCAGAACAAGUGCUAUAAGUUUAUCCUGGCUGCCAUAUACACAAUGCAACCAACUCAAUUUGAGGAAUCACAAACAGAAUAUGUCCCACAGAAGUAUAAAUAUGUAAAACCAAAAACUUAGAUUGUUAACAUCGAGCAUGAAUUAUCGGUCUAUUUCAUAUUCGGUCUACCCCAAGCCGAGAAGAUUGAUCUCAGUUACUGAGGACAAUGGUUGGAUUUUGGGGUGGAAGGGCCAGUUCUGAAGAGUAUUUAGAUGGUCAAUCAGCAAGGUUCUAACGGGCCAUGUGGCCAUCAAAAGUAGCUCACUAGCCCGAGAGCCCAAACCGCCCCAAUUUUUUUUCGAUUCGUGCCAGGCUUUAGCAAACGGUGAAGUUUGAUCAAAUCACAAGUCGUAUAGGAAGAGUAUCCUUCCGCGGGCCAACUUUGAAGAGGAAGUUAAUGCUCUAGUGGGGGAGUUUGUGAAACCAAAGUCAUGGGUAAAAUUCAUCAAAUGAUUUCUGAGAUUCAAUUGUAAUAGGAAUUACAACUAAGAGGAACGAUGUAAUAAACCGCAUGCAAAAGUGCAGUUAAUGGAUUGGUUAAGAGUUCUAAACAUUUAUAUGCGGAUGCGAUGAAGGACUUUUGAAAACCGACAAGGUAAUUUGCACUGGUGUAAUCUAACACGGAAGCUAAACGGAUCUUUCUAUUAAAUCAAUAUCAAAUUACUAUAGAUAUAAAUGAGGAAUCAUAAAGAACACCAAAAAUUUAUUUGGUUCGAUAACGGUAUCUACUUCAUGGGGAGAGCCAGCAAUAAUUAAUCCGUCCUAAUCAAAUUAGAAAACUUGUUGAAACUAGAGACAUAUUCUUAACAUGCACAACUAUUUGAGAGAGAGAGAGAGAGAGAGAGAGAGAGAGAGAGAGAGAGAGAGAGAGAGAGAGAGAGAGAGAGAGAGAGAGAGAGGUUGAUCUAUAUAUUGAGUUUUCAUGGUUAUGAAACCUCAAUCUAAUUUUAAAAAUGAAAGUGUAAGAGUUGUCAUUAAUUACCCGUAAUCUUUUAAGUUCCAUCCCUUGAUUCCAGCGACCUCUUUGAGGGCCUCCUCCCACUGCUUCGAUGCAUCUUCACCGGAAUCUCUCUCAUGCUUUUGUAGGGCCUUACCAUACAAUCCAGUUUUGAGUUUAACAUCGGAUGCAUCCACCUCGUAGAAGAUGGGCAAGACCGCUUUCUCCUCUCUCUUCCUACACUCCAUCAUGUACGCAAGCUCACGGAGGCACCAUUUACUGGAAGCAUAGUCUUUAGAGAAGAUCGGUACGUAGAUUUUCGAAUUGGAGAUUGCUCCCAAAAGCUCACCUCCGAUCUCUUCCCCAACACGGAGCUCUUCGUCGUCUUUGAAGACACGUAUCCCGGCCCGGAUCAUGGCUGCAUAGAGAGAGUCUGUUAUGGUUAAACGAGUGUCGGGCCCUCUGAAGCUCAAGAACACCUCGUAGUCCCUCGACAACGAUGAGGAUUCACCAUUAAUGGGGAGAGACUUUCUUCCAAGACAUUCCAUUCCUGCAGAUCUUUGGCUACGGAAGCGAUCUCGAGCUUUUUGCUUGUUCAAAAUGGCAACUUUCCAGUUACCUCGCGUUGUUGGCAAUUUCUAAGAGAAACCGUGGACUGACUUAAUUUGUCCUAAAAGAACUGUUCACUGGGUCGGGCUCCUUGGGAUAGACAGGAGAUGGAAAGAAANNNNNNNNNNNNNNNNNNNNNNNNNNNNNNNNNNNNNNNNNNNNNNNNNNNNNNNNNNNNNNNNNNNNNNNNNNNNNNNNNNNNNNNNNNNNNNNNNNNNNNNNNNNNNNNNNNNNNNNNNNUGGAAGUCUUCGUCUCGAUGCAUAGAAAUGAGCUAUCUUGUGGAGAAUCAAAGCAUAGAGGCAUUAUCUAUAAGCUAGUGAUGGAGCCCAGUAGGAAUUGAAAUAAAAAGCUGAACAAACCCUUGAGUGCAAGAAAUAAUGCCCUUUCACUUUUUCUAAAGCCACUUUACUUUUUCACAUUAUUAGGUUGUCGUGCCAUGGAAUAAAGCGCGUUGGACAAACAAGGAGUCGAGAAAAUAGGAAAAAGAGACAGACUCCCUGAGUCCUCGUCUUCUCUUUAUUUAUCAAGGAAACUUCUGAAAAAUAUGAAAUGAACCCAAGUGAUGUAGGUUUUGUAUGAAGUGAGCAUGAAACGCGGAGACAGACAGUAGAUUCACUAUUGUUUAAUCUAAUAAACAAAAGCUCUAGAGAAGAUUGAGCCAAUUGGAACAAUACCUGUCAUAUGUUUAACAAAAUUAAAAAUCAGCAAAUGCAUUCCUAGUCUUUGCUCAAGUCCACGAUGUUGGUAAGAUGAGAUGGUGAUGGGAGUCUUUUAAAGUUAAGUGAAGAACUAACAUAAAAAGACCAAGACUUCUUUUUAGCCUACUAAAGUUUUUUACGCUCAAUCUUUUUUUGCAGCUUAGUUAGUCAUAUCAUCAUCGUGAUGACCUACUCUCAUCUAUAUUUAACCCUACCCGAAAUGCUUUAAAAACGACUCUCAUUAUUGUUGAAAAAGAGAUGAAAAACUCUUUGAGCAGAUGGUCUUGCGGCCAAAAUAAUUGGAAAACACUGGUAGUUGCAAAAGUUGUUUAGUUGGAUCCACAUAUCCCAUGGCAUUAGUUCAAAUUCCUGCUACAUAUCAAAUUUUCACAUGAAUGAUUAUGUUGUCUCUGGAUAUCAUGUAAAAGAGUGGCGAUUCAUUACAAUGACCUGUUUUGAAUGCGCAUGUCGAAUCCAGAGCGUGUUCAACGCUUUAGACCAAGUGAAAGACCUCAUAAGGGCUUGUGGAACAACUUUAUAAAAGAAUUACAGAAUAAGAAUGGCCUAGAAACCAAAUUAAUUGAGGUACUUAUAAGAUUGGUAUACCAUGCUGGACAUUAAUCUUGUCUUCAUUAAUUAUAUAAAACGUAAAUAGUUAUUCAGUGAUCUGCCUAGGUGAAUCGGCAAUUGUAAACCUCACCUUCAUAAUGAUAACCAAAGCUAAUAUUCUCAAAAUAGACCUUUUUAUAACAUGAGAAACCCAAGUUGAAUUGCUUUUUCUCAAUAAUUAUCCUUGUAAAGAAUCAAAACGCACGAACUCUGUUACAUUUCGGGAAUCCAUCCGUUUAAGUGAGGUUCUCUUGAUUUCUUAUGCAAGGCCGGCUUCGCAGAUAUAGAAGAGUAAUCCUGUUUCAUGCUCAUGCGGGUAUCAUAGCAGUCAGUAUAAAGCAUGAUCCCACAUGACAUAAACAGUUACUGAAAUGAAAUGACAAAGAAAUGAAAUGAAAAGGCGAUUCCUCUCUCCUCUCUUCUCAGAAUAAAAUGAAAAAGAAGAGAGGAGAGAGGAAGCACAUAUAGAAGCCCUCCGUGUUAGAAUGUGUCUCUGUGUUCACUGUUCGAACUCCUAGCACUCUCCAAUCUGCUACAUUUACUUGAAAGCCAUUGGCAGGGUGGAGAGAAAUGGAUGUUGAUUACUAAGAAACAGAAAACCAUAAGCUAUAAACAGGUGCUCUUCAUCAACUUCAUUUACUGCCACUUGUGCUUCUCCUGCUUGCUGAUAAGUUUUCCCUUUGCAAAUAGCUUCCAUGUGACCCAACUUGUGGCAUCUUCUGCACCUAGCAUUUGGCUUUCUCCAGCAAAUUUCUCCCUUACAAACUUCUCUGAACCAAUUCCAAUUACUCGUCAACCACGACAAAGAGGGACGUAAUUCAUUCUAAUGCAACAUAGCAGAAAAGCAUCACCUGAUUAAAUCCAUCACAAGGCAUAGUUUCCCAUUGGUCGAAUUUCUUCUGGUUUGCUGUCUUCCGGUACAUCAGAAUACUGCAGUUUACGCUCCCCUGUCCAACCACCCUGAUGCGCACAAGCAGAAACGUCAAAAGGAUUUUUUCAGCUAAAUUCAAACACUUAAAGGAGUUCAUUUAUCUUCAUCAAUUUUGAGGGAUUUAACGAGAGAAUAACAGAGGUUAUACACUGAAUCGCUAUGCUGUCAGACAUUCAUCAGCAUGACAAAGGAUGUUUGAAGGAGGGGGAAAUCAGGUUGAAAGCUUUUGAAACAACAAAGUUUUUUUAGUUGACUGAAUGGAUUUUGAUGAAGAAAUUCAACGCUCCACUAAAAUUUAUCAAGCCAGAUUAUUAAUACUCAUGUUGCAGUUGAUAAGACAUUUGAUUGAGGAGCAGUCCAGUCAAUUUUAACCAUCACGUGAAGACAGAAGGUAAGAUCGAAGUCAAAAAAUGCUUGAACUUCAUGUAUGAAUACUUGGAUCAUGUAUGAUGGCAUGAAAGCUACUCAAAUCCAUUUAUCUAAUUUUUCAUAAUGUGCCCUUCGACCUAAGAUUCAAUUUAAAGUGUCAGAAAAGGUAAAGGCUUAGCCAAGGGGUCCAUUGUAGCUUUAAACUUAUGCUUAUCUCAAAAGGAAGACUUAACAAGCUACAUUAAACGCAGUAACCAGCCAGAGCAUGUUAAAUGUAGGAUUAGCUUCUAUUUAUUUCCCCAGGCUAUGCAUUAUUGUAUUGAAGUCGCAGCAAUAAAAACCUACAUAUCCUACUUUCCAUUUGCAAAACGAAAAAUAACAGAGGAGUUUCCUAGGCCAAAGGAAAGUCCUUAUACUGCACUUUGAGCAUCGGUCGUUCCUUCUCACGGUCGCAGGGUGUAGAAAGAACUCCUCUGACCCCUGAACCUUCACUUUGAUUGCCUUGAUGACUUUAUCAUAAUGACAGCUGUUGAUAGUGGAAAGGAAGAUGAAACUUUAAAUCAUUUGAAUAUGAAAACCAAGAAUUGAAAAGAUAUGCAGUUUCUGAAAAUUAUUCCUUUAGUUUGAUCGUGGGAGGGAAGAUAAGCCUAAAAUUUCAGUGGCCAACCAGGAAAGUUCUGAUCUCACGAAUCUAAUUAAACACUCACUCUGGAGUCUCGAAACACAGAGUAUAUGCAGGAUUUACCGCUACAGUUGAUUUUGCCACUUGUCCCAGAACAGUGCUAACAGACAGUAGUCAUGAUAGAAGAAAUUAAAGAAUGGUACUUUCUAAUGAGAUAUUUCUUCUCCGAUAAAGAUCCCACAUCUAACUGCUCCAGCAACCAAAUGACAUGUAAAAAGAUGAUUUGGAAAUACCCAAAGAAAAAUCUUUUCCCUUAUGAAAUUCACUACUCAGGGAAAUUACCACAAUGGAAUGAAACUGCAGGCCAUCCGUAUGUCAUAGUCAGCCUUCUCAAAGCAACCCAAAAAUUUUGUAGUCAAAUGUCACGCACUGAAAUACCUGCAUAGUCACAACCUGGAAAAUGAAGUGCAACAGAAGGUUAUGUAGCCCUACCUUGCGACUUGAAACUGCUAUAAUGUUCAAGAUCAUCUGUAACCCUGGAGUAAGUUGACCUGUGAAAAUAGGUAUUGCUGGUUCUGCUAACAUGGUUACUUUAACAUUCUUGACCCAAGGAAGAUUAGCCACCACCUCAUUCACCCGCUGCUCAAACUGUCAAGCAACAAUAUCGCUGUCGAACUAUUUAAGGUUCAGAAAGCUGAUAUAUCGGGCAAAGACUCUUAUGAAACCAUAAUGAAGCAGAAAAUUUUUGCCUACAUUGGCUCCAUGGGUAUUUGGAAAUUGUACAUUCACAGAGAGAUUUAUGGAAGGAUGUCAAAACGAGGUGACAAUGGUAAAGUAAUUAAUGCAUGACACAGAACAUGUGGUGCACUGAGCAUGUAUUUGGUGAUUGAUCAAGCAACAAAGGUAAUUUACCAUGUCCUUGAUUGGACAUGCAUGUGCAGUGAGCUCUAACCAGAACAAAACUUGAGAAUCAAUGCCAAGACAUUGUAUGGUAAGGGUUUCAUUCCUUACAGAUAUAUAAAGACUAAGAUCCCAUAUUGAUUCUUUAAUAGCCUCUCCAAGAGCUUCAUCUGUCAUGAGGUCCAUAACAAAACCACAUGAAAAGGUCGGAUCAAUAAUUUGAGACAAGGCUUUAAGCAAAUCAACUCCAGCUGUCUGAGCCGAAACUGCAGAAGUACUCUACAACUACAAGAGCAGAUUCGCAGAAUGAUGUCAAGCUUAUAAGAUGAACAACUAUAAUUAUAAAAAGAGAAAAAAAUCAGAGGAGAAAAACGGUGAAAACUUACCAACAACUAACCAUUAAUUGGCGGCACACCCAGGACAGGCAAUCAUAUUUGGCUCUUCAUCGAUUAAGAUUUUUAGCACUAAUAUCCUUCUGUCUCUCACUCACGGCCAUUCAAAUUCUGUCUUGACAAGGGGUAGCCAAGAGUUGUUCAUUUGGGUGGGCUUCUCAAUAGUACAACGCAAGUGCGCAAAAGCAUGUGCGCACACACACGAUCGCUCUAACUUUUUCUGUUCAUGUAUUAGUUUCUUGGCAAUUCCAAAUAGUUUGACAGAGCAAGUCCCUUUUAUUUGGCCUACCAAAUAAACCUCCAAAAUUAUCUUCAUGGCAGAAAUGUUGGUCAUCUUCGCAGGGAGGCAGAUAUCUAUUAGUUGAAGCAGAGUGAUAUGAUGGCACGAGCCAACGAUUUUACCAUAAAACCUGACCCAUUUUUAGGAACUCACAACUCAAUAAGUAGCAGAUUAUUAUCUCCAAACAACAAUAAGUAGAGAAAUACUAAGGAUCGAACACGGACAGCUUUGCAAAAAAAGAAAAAAGAAAACUUAAUGUGAUUCAUUUAAUUGAAAAAAAUUCAAGAUAUUUGGCUUAAUAGAAAUCUCUUGACCGUACCAAUUGCACUCACUCCACAGAUCACUCUGUCAAAUUCUCGACAUUUCAUUGUAUGUUCUUGAAAAUAUUUAUGAGUUACUGGGUUCUCAUAUCUCAGAUAGAUAAGUAUCCAAACAUAAAAUAAAAGAGUGCCAUACGGGGUUUAUCCCAAAUAAAACAGGCACCUAAUAAUCAAUUGAUUGGAAUUAUUCUAUUUGCUAAUCCUCUCACAUUGCUUAUACUCUAGAUAGAGUAACGAGAUGAAUGGUGGAUUGAAUAGGGGGCACUAAUUCACCAACUUCCAUGGCCGACGGUGUGUGAUUGCGAGAGAAUGUCCACAGUUGGUGCACUUGGGAGUUCGACCAGACCGUCAAAGCGGCAUCGUUGAGGAAAUUUUGUGGAACUUGACAACUGAGGCAACUUUCAAGUGUGAGUAGACAUUUGAUGCCACAAAUGGGUAGACAGUCACUCGCACACCUUGCAAGCAUGUCGAUCUCCCACAAAGAUUUGCAUCGUCCAGUUUUGCGAUGCCUUAGAAUCACAACAUUCAUAUAGCAGUCGUUCCAUAGGAAAGAGCAGUUCCAAGGACUUACAAUCUAAAAAUUGCCGAAGCACAGAUUCUUUCACUAACUGCUUGGGAAAUAUAUCGGAUGGAUUAGAUAUAAGGAGAGUGAGCGAAAUACUGCUCUCCAGAGAUGUUUCAUCAUGCCCUGAACGAAAUCACGUGUAAGACCACUGUAGAUAUCAAAGAGGUCGAGCAAGGAUGAGUUGCAAAAAAAAAUAUUCAGGGCCAUACCUCCGAAUGAUCCUUUCACUGAAUGUGGCCGUUGGAUGUCGACCUGAUGUCGCUAAAGCUUUCCUGAACAAAAUUUACAGUUUCCCCAACAGUAUCAUUUAGACAUGCCAAGAAGUGACCUCUCCUGAUGAUCAGGUCACUGAAUUUGACUCCAGGUAACCCGGUCAUUCUUAGAGUGAGAAAGUAUUUCGCUCCAGAUAUUGCAGUAAAACUAAUACACUGCAUGACACAGGAGCUACCAUUUUUCGCCAGAAAACUUCGCAGCCAUAAGAACCAUCUUGAUGGCAAGCAAACACAUCAUUGAAGUUUCCAACACUUGAAAAGAAUAUCGGAACAGGAGGGCCUUGCUAAUUACAAAAGUUUGCCAAACUCGACCUCCUUACACCUUUACUCUGUAUCAAGUAUCGUGACACACUAAGAUGUUUCUGACUUUUUACAUAGGGUCAACCCUUCUGUACACUCAUGCCAGUUUGUGCCCACAAGCAUUUGCAUUUUAUGGAUUGAAUCUUGUUGCUUUUAUAUCUGAAACAGAUUAAGUCUGUUUUCCUCGCUAUAUCCCCACCCGACAGAGUUUCAAAGGAACUAUCAGCUGUCGGAAACUGAGUAGCUUUGUGCAUAAGAUUUUUGAAUAAAAUCGCGAACAAUCUGCCGUAUACAUUAAAAGGCGAAAAUGCAAAUAGAUGAAUUGCAUGAAGAGAUAAUGAAGAAAAAGCAAGCAAGAGUCCUAGCAGCGCAAUGUCGCUUUCCUAAAAUAGAGCCGUCGACGAAUCAUCAGAAGCAGCCAAUACUCGUUGAGCAGAGUUAAUUGUGCAAGAAUCGUAGUUCAGAUUUCUCAACAACCAAAUAAUAGCAGUUUAAACUUUAACAACCAGGAGAUUGAUGGAAGCAACCAAUCCCUCAGUUGUUCCAAAAUUAAUGCUAAGCAUUGGUGUGAAAGGGCAUCGGAAGAGAAUCUAUGCGACCACAUGUAGCAAUAGUUCUCUAUCCUUUUAGAAUGAAUAUGUACGCAGUAAGAUUGAAUAUCAGGCAUUCCUGACAAGAAGACAGAACUUUCCAAGAGGAUAAAAGUCGGGGGUCUAAAGAGGUGGCAAGCAAAACAAAAUUCACAGAGAGCACAUUGAACGUCUAGAUCUGUCAAUGCCUAUAUUUGACUAAAGCACAAUAAACCUAAAACAAAAUGGUUAUUCAACUAAAGGGAGCAUUUAGACAUAUAGGAGUAUGAUGCGGGUGUUGCUUCUGGAAAUGAAUUGUCUGGAAUUACACGCCAUGCUCCUCCGGUGGUUGUAGAUUUCCAGUGAGGAAAAAAUAAAGAUCCCUCUGAAGUUCAUUUUUCAUAUCCUCCUUUGAUCAUUAGCAAAUCUACUUCAAUAGCUAAGCGAAUCUUACUCAGAACACAACACUUUUUGCUUUCUGCAGGGCUGGGAAUUUCAGAGUUACGCCCCCACAUAAUAAGAACGUCUUUGAAAUUUUCAUUCAUUUUUGUGUUUUGCGCGUGUUCAAAGUACACAAACAGAGAACCGAAUGUAAAGUAUAGAGCAUAUAGGCGAAGAAGCCUCGAAGUCGGUGAUUUCAUCUCAAUUGACCGUAGCUCACCGGUGUCUCAAAUCCCAGCGUUUUACUUGUUCACGGCUACCAUGUCCAGCUGCUGCCGUCUCGACCUCCAGUGCAGCAUCACAACCUCUGGCGACCCCUCGACGACAGCUGACAGUCAUUGGAAUAGUCUCUAGUGUGCUUGGCCGAGACAAAUGGCUGAUCGCUCUUUUGUGUAUUAAUCUUCUCAGCUCGAUCAUGUGAGUUCGGCAGGCAGGGCUUCUGGAGGCCCUCCUCGAGCACUUCUGACCACAACACCACGCAAGUAAUCACUAAUCCAUAACUGUACUAACUUGGAGAACCAAUUUGAACGCAAGACCAGAAUUAACACAAGUAAAUAUGCCAAAGAAAUAAUUUUGACCACUCAGCAGCUUCAGGGAGGGGCUCUAUACUUGCAGGAACGGCGUUUCCACUCAAAUCUGGUCUUCACAUCGUGAUCGAGCGCAAAUUCCAGUCAUCUCGGAGUACGGCCGGAACUUCCCACCGGCUUCCUAAAUCGCAACCAGAACUCAAUCCCGAGUCUCGCCUCUUUCGAUUCAAUUCAUCACAGGGAUUCGAAUGAUGCGAAUCAAUCAUCGAACGAACUAGGGUUCUCGAUUUUGGGGGCUCACCGUUCCGUUGAUUUUAGCGCCGGCGUUGGGGCUUCAAGGCGUAGUCGUUCUGGUACGGGCCACGCCGAUUGCUCAUCUUCAAUAUGUCAUCGACUCUUCUUCUUCCUCUUCUUCAGUGAACUCUUUUUGGGAAAUCUGGGGUGACACUUGCAUGCCGGUCGGCCAUCGAAGAAUUGGACCGUCGGCGUGCUGGCAGUAUAAUUGAGACAAAGUCGGCAACUUCACAGAGCCCUUCGAGAAAAUCAUCUCUGGGGAUAAAAUUCAACUUCACAUGCAUUUGGUAUAUCAGGCAACUUUUGCACUGAUUCACAAUAGUAUACUCUCAACGACCGUAGCUUCUCCAGCUUCGGUGAAGAUGGUUCUGAUUCCAUCUCAAGUAGUUGCGGGCAGUACUCCACGCUCAGCACUCGGAGCUCCUUUAAGCUCGCUAGAUUGGAUAGCCUCACGAGCCACUCGCACUUGCGCACUUGCAGCCGCCGGAGAUUCUCUAGCUGUCCAAGCAAGUUGUCGAACUCGAUCUCUCUUAACUGACAACCGAAGAGCUUUAAUUCACACAAAUUGCCCAAGUUAGAGAACAAAGGCCACUCUAUUGGUGUUUUGACAUCUUCUAAACACAACUCUUCCAAACAGGACGGAAGCCCAGUCAGCGACCGUGGGUCUCGACAAGUUAUUUCCAGUGACCGCAGCUGAGAAAAGGAGCUCAAAUCUGUCGGAGGCAAGUUGAAAUCGGAAAGAACCAGUCUCAACGUCUGCAAUUCAUGAAGCCUUCCAAGCCACUCUAGUUUCGGAUACUGCCUGCAAUAGAAAGAGUAUGCAAGAGAAAGAAGAGGAAAAGAAGAGCGGAGUCCGACUGAAAGAAACAAAAAAAAUAAAGAGGGGAGAGAGAGUCUGCAUGGGAGGUCAGGUACUGCCUGCAACGGCAAAGACGAUAGCUCUAGCUUUGUUAAACUUGUCGGGAGAUCUGGUAGCGACUGAAGCCCGCUACAAUUCGUUAAAACAAGUUCUCGGAGAUCAGAAAGCCCAUUGAUUGUCGUUGGCACUCCACUAACCUUGCUAUGGGACAAGUUCAGAACAAUCAAUUGGGAUAGUCCUGCGAUUUCACUUGGAAUUUCACCCUCGAGAUAAUAACAGCCUCUAGCAGUCAACUCCUCAAGAUUCUCCAGGGUCCAUAUGCUCUUUGGUAGCUCUCUUAUCUUCGUUCGAUCCAAACACAUGAACUUCAACUGUCUAAGGUUGCCAAUAGAAGUAGGUAAUUCUGCAAUAUUUGUAUGAGAUAGAUCUAUUUUGAUUAGUGAUUCUAGUCUUCCAAUGGAAUCUGGUAGUGCACUUAUAUUGGUGCUAGACAAAUUCAAAUAGAGGAGCGAUUUCAACUCUCCAAUGGAAUCCGGAAGCUUUCCAAGGUUGGAACAACCACGUAGAGACAUAUGCUUUAAACCCAAUAACUCUCCUAUUGAGUGCGGAAGUGCUUUAACCUCAUUAAGACAUUCCACUGUCAGCAUCGACAAGGAUUUCAGACAACCAAUUGAGUCUGGUAAGAGAGGAGGAGGAACGGUAAUUGAAAGAUCACACUUAGAGUGCAUUGUGUGAUGGGACUCCUCCUCACUGAUUUCCCAAGUACUUCAAGCACCCCAGCUGACCAAUAGAGUUGUUGAUUUCAUUCAAUAAUAUACAACCUUUGAUAACCAAUCUUUUCAAAUUCAUGCAUUUGGAGAAGUCAGGUGUCCUCUUUAAGUGGUUGCAGCUUGUCAGAUAUAUCACUUUUAGGUUAUCAUUCACCUGUGAAACAAACAGUUAUUGAGGAAAACGAUGGCAUAGGUGAAGGUCUACUCAAUGUGACAAAUGUGUACACACAAAGGAAAAAGAAUGUGUUAUACGGAAUUAUACCAUGCAUGGUCCCCAUCCAUUCCAAUCUUCAGUAACGUCGCUCUCUGAAAGCUUGAGAAUGGCCAAGUUCUUUAGACAUAAACCGUUGGCAUGUAGGUUUGAAGGGCAAUGAUGCCAAGAGAGCCAUCUUAGAUUUGAGAGAAGAUUUUUAAAGUCUCCUACAAAAUUCCCCCCCUCUAAUUCGAGGAACCUUAAACUAGGCAGCCUUGAAAAUUCGUCACUUGUAAAAUUGUGCGCAUAGGCAAGUCUUGAGAAUCUAAGCGCUACAAUGUUGUCUGUUCCCUGAUAAUUGAAGCAACAUAUACCAAUAUGAGUGAACAAGUCAGAGUAAAUUCUAAAUAUCAUAAUAGGGAGUGUAUAUCUUAUUUCAACUAAUAGAGGUAGAAGAACAACAAGAGUAUCACAACUUUUAUACGGCGUUCACUUAAUCGACCACUUGAGUGUCAAUUUCGACAAAUCAUCCUAUGUGCAUUUUUAAUUUUUUUUUAAAGGGUUUACAAGGGUCACCGAUGACCCUCGCCAGCCGCUAAAUCCUUGCCUUUAGUCGCAAAGGCCUUGGGCGAGGUCGUAGCAACCUUGCCGAUCAUAGGUGAGGCCACAAAAGCCCUCACCAGAUUUGGGUGCCGCCUCACCCAAAUUUGGCGUUUUGUGGCCCAAGGCCUUCGCAACUAAAGCCGAGCAUUUCGCGGCUGGUGAUGGUCACUGACCCUAAAAUAAUAAUAAUAAUAAUAAUAAUAAUAAUAAUAAUAAUAUUAAUAUUAAUAAUAAUAUUAAUAUUAAUAUUAAUAUUAAUAUUAAUAUUAAUAUUAAUAUUAAUAUUAAUAUUAAUAUUAAUAUUAAUAUUAAUAUUAAUAUUAAUAUUAAUAUUAUGAUCACUAUUAUGAUUAUUAAAUCUAUUUGAAUUACUAUCUGCAUUGUUGGAAUUUCCAUCUGGGCAAUUUCUCGAUGGCGCUCAAGUGAUCGAUUUUUCAAAUUUAUAGUACUCUUCAAAUUUAUAGUACUCAGGUAAGCAUCGUACGAAAGUUAGGUGCCCCUAUUAUUCUACCUCACCAAUAGAUGACAUAAGUGAUCCAGCAAAACGAGGCACAUUAGAUCUUAUCUUAUACCAAAAAAGGCAAAUUCCAUGAUUCCUUAUCUCUUCCAGCUUAGAUGGGAGUUUGUAAAGGUAAAGAAUUACCUAUUUUGGAAUGUUGUUUUAUUUCUCUCAAAUUAAGCAAAAUCGUCAAUGUCCUUCCUAGGAACAAAACUGAGCAAAUAUUUUUGGUGAAAAAAUGAACUCUAAUACACAUAACUGCAUGUUUAGUUUUUCCAUAAGCAAAUAACAUUUAGUAAGACAUACCCGAGUUAUUCUCAACCGCAUUUAAAGUGACCCGUAGGAUACUCUACGCAUAACUGCAUGUUUAGUUUUUCCAUAAGCAAGUAACUCUCAGUAAGACAUACCAGGUUAUUCUGAACCACAUCUAAGGCGACUGUAGGACACCACAACCUACUACGCCUUCCAGGAACUCGAACGCAUUCUUGCCGAACAAUCUCUCUUCCAAGAUCUCUGAGUUGGUCGUGCAUCCAUAAUCUAUCACCCUCGGUGAGCUUUAUCAAAGAUAAAUGAAUAAGGACACGAAGUCCAGUUUCUGGAAAAAAAUCACAAGCUUUCCACAUGUAAUAUGCAGGGAUUUUUUCUUCACCAACACAGUGACAUGCGAUAUCAAGAAAAAUUUGUUGUUGCUCAUACUCUAAUUCUUUGUAACUUAUCAACAACUUGUUUUGCACAUCCUGAUUGGGCACUUUCUUCAACUUCUUUGAUGUGUCUUUCCAUGUUCUCUUACUUUUUGAAUGAAGAAACACACCUAUAACCUCAAGAGCCAAAGGUAGUCCUCCAAUAAAUUUGACAAUUUCACUUGAAAUACUGCUGUAAUCAUGUGGAGGUGAGUCUCUUUCGAAGGAGUGCUUGCUAAAAAGUUGAAGAGCAUGGUCAAACUGCAUUUCCUUCAUUUCAUAAAAAAAGAAAUCUCGGUAACGCACUGGGAUGAUCUUGUUAUCUAGGGUGUCUAUUUCAGGAGCCAAAAAAUGGGUGUUCCUAGUUGUGAUAAUAAUUCUGCUUCCUGAACCAAACCAACUGGACUUACCAGCUAGUUUCAUGAGCUUGCUUCUCUUGUCCAAAUCGUCAAGAACGAUGAUGACUUUCUUAUAAUUGAGUCUUUCAUUAAUGACAUGCAUCCCCGCAUCGGCAUUAGCAACAUAAGGAUAUGAAAAAUCGGCACCAGUAGCAUAAGGAUAUGUAAAAUGGAGAAGGUCGCAUAAUAAUUUAUUUUGCAGACUUAAAAUAUUGUCUGCACGGAUAUCAGAAAGAAAGCAGGAACAUUGAAACUGAGAAGAGAUAUGCUUGAAGAUAGCCUUAGCAAGAGUUGUUUUCCCGAUACCACCCAUACCAUGAAUCACGACAAAUCGUACAUCGGGAGUGCCUAGGCCUAACAACUCCAUAACAACGUCCAUCUGAUAGUGAAUUCCCACCAAGUCAUCAUGCCAAUUUGUCUGUAAAUAUCUUAGCUUAUUGAAAACUUCUUCCAGAACAAGUGCUAUAAGUUUAUCCAGGCUGCCAUAUACACAACGCAACCAUCUCAAUUUGAGGAACCACAAAUAGAAUAUGUCGCACAGAAGUAUAAAUAUGUAAAACCAAAAACUUAGAUUCUUAAAAUCAAGCAUGAAUUAUCGGUCUAUUUCAUAUUCGGUCUACCCCAAGCCGAGAAGAUUGAUCUCAGUUACUGAGAACAAUGGUUGGAUUUUGGGGUGGAAGGGCCAGUUCUAAAGAGUAUUUAGAUGGUCAAUCAGCAAGGUUCUAAUGGGCCAUGUGGCCAUCGAAAGUAGUUCAGUAGCCCAAGAGCCCAAACGGCCCCAAAAUUUUUUUUUUUUUUUUUUGAUUCGUACCAGGCUUUAGCAAACGGUGAAGUUUGAUCGAAUCACAAGUCAUAUAGGAAGAGUAUUCUUCCGCGGGCCAACUUUGAAGAGGAAGUUAAUGCUCUAGUGGGGGAGUUUGUGAAACCAAAGUCAUGGGUAAAAUUCAUCAAAUGAUUUCAGAGAUUCAAUUGUAAUAGGAAUUAUAACUAAAAGGAGCGAUGUAAUAAACCGCAUGCAAAAUUGCAGUCAAUGGAUUGGUUAAGAGUUCUAAACAUUUAUAUGCGGAUGCAAUGAAGGACUUUUGAAAACCAACAAGGUAAUUUGCACUGUUGUAAUCUAACGCGGAAGCUAAAUGGAUCUUUCUAUUAAAUCAAUACGAAAUUACUAUAGAAAUAAAUGAGGAGUAAUAAAGAACACCAAAAAAUUAUUUGAUUCGAUAUGAGUAUCGGUAUCUAAUUCAUAGGGAGAGCCAGCAAUAAUUAACACUACUAAUUGGAGAAUCAAAGUUACAAUUGUUCACACGCUCGAAUAUUUCUCAUACCUAAAUUAAGCCCAAAGCAAACCCACUAGUAUUAUCCAAAAUAGGAAACCUUUAUAUAUAUAGGAAACAUAAUCAAAUUAGAAAACUUGUUCAAACUAGAGACAUAUUCUUAACAUGCACAACUAUUUUCCAUUGAUUUGAGAGAGAGAGAGAGAGAGAGAGAGGUUGAUGCAUAUAUUGAGUUUUCAUGGUUAUGAAACCGCAAUCUAAUUUUAAAAAUGAAAGUGUAUAAGUUGUUAUUAAUUACCCAUGAUCUUUUAAGUUCCAUCCCUUGAUUCCGGCAACCUCUUUGAGGGCCUCCUCCCAUUUCUUCAACGUAUCUUCACCAGAUUCUCUCUCAUGCUUUUGUAGGGCCUUACCGUACAAUCCAGUUUUGAGUUUAACAUCUGAUGCAUCCACCUCGUAGAAGAUGGGCAAGACCGCUUUCUCCUCUCUCUUCCUACACUCCAUCAUGUACGCAAGCUCACGGAGACACCAUUUACUGGAAGCAUAAUCUUUGGAGAAGAUCGGUACGUAGAUUUUCGAAUUGGAGAUUGCUCUCAAAAGCUCACCUCCAAUCUCUUCCCCAACACGGAGCUCUUCGUCAUCUUUGAAGACGCGUAUCCCAGCCCGGAUCAUGGCCGCGUAGAGAGAGUCUGUGAUGGUUAAGCGAGUGUCGGGCCCUCUGAAGCUCAAGAACACCUCGUAGUCCCUCCUCGACAAUGACGAGGAUUCACCAUUAAUGGGGGGAGACUUUCCUCUGAGACAUUCCAUUCCUGCGGAUCUUUGGCUAUCGAAGCGAUCUCAAGCUUUUUGCUUGUUCGAAAUUGCGACUUUCCAGUUACCUUGCGUUGUUGGCAAUUUCUAAGAGAAACGGUCGACUGACUUAAUUUGUCCUAAAAGAACUGUUCACUGAUUCAGGCUCCUCGGGAUAGACAGGAGAUGCAAAGAAAGAUCACUUUUGCACGCUUCCACGAAAUCACGACUCCUUUUUCCAGAGGGCCAUCGCUCUUCGCAGUGUUUUCCUGGAACCUACCGGAGUUGAUUUGUGGAAGUCUUCGAAUGUAUUAGAAAAUUGAGCCUAAUUUCCUGAAAAACCAUCGAUUUUCAGUGGAGCAUCAAAGCAUGAGAGGCAUUUUUCUAUAAGCAAGUGAUGGAGCCCAGUAGGAAUUGAAAUAAAAACUGAAUGAACCCGUGAGUGCAAAUAAUAAUGCCCUUUCACUUUUUCUAAAGCCACUUUAUUUUUUCCCAUUUUUAGGUUGUCAUGCCAUGGAAUAAAGUGCGUUGGACAAACAGGGAGUCAGAGAAAAUAGGAAAAAGAGAUAGACUCCCUGAGUCUUCGUCUUCUCUUUAUUUAUCAAGGAAACUUCUGAAAAAUAUGAAAUGAACCCAAGUGAUGUAGGUUUUGUAUGAAGUGAGCAUGAAACGCGGAGACAGACAGUAGAUUCAUUAUUUUUUAAUCUGACAAACAAAAGCUCUAGAGAAACCACCGCCUGCGGUGGCUCAGUUGGAUAAGGUUCUGCUGAUCCUUUGCGAGGAGGUGAGAAGUUCGAAUCCCGCUGGACGCACGGGAUCUUAAGCGCGACGUCGGGGUGGUGGGUCCUCCGCUAGAGUCGCUCCAGGGUUUACCCGCCGGCCGCCAGCUGUACGGGGUUCCCUGGGUACCAUAAAAAAAUAAAAGCUCUAGAGAAGAUUGAGUCAAUUGUAGAGGUGUCAAAUGGGUGGGUCGGGUCGGGUUUGGGUCAGAUCGUUAAUGGGUCGACCUAAAUUGAUCCAUUAACCCAUUUAUGACCCAUUUAUAUCUAAUGUAAAUUUUUCGACCCAUACUCGACCCGACCCAUACCCGACUCAUACCCGACCCGACCCAUAUUAAUAAAAUAUUUUCAUAUUUAACUAAAUUUAGGAAAACUUAUUCUUAUGUUUUUUUUUAAAGAUUAUAUUACUAAAAAACUUUCAAGUAAUACAAAUCCAAUCAAUAAUUUUUCAAAUUUUUAUAAUUUUCAAAAAAAUUAUUUCUUAUAUAUAUAUUCAAAAAAAUAGUAUUGCUAAAAUAGUUUUAUACAACACAAAUUUAAUGGACAAUUUUUAUAAUUUUUAAAAUAAUUAUUUUAAAAAAUCGAAUUUUAAUUAUUUUUAUUUUUUAAAAAUUAAAUUUAUUAUUAUUAUUAUUUAAAUAUAAUUUUUAAUUUUUAAUUUUAAUUUUCUUUUUUCUUUUUUGUUCUUCUUCUUCUUUGGCCGGCCGCCGGCCAUGACGACAGGCGGCAGCCGGCCAUAGGCGAGUCUCGAGCUCGCCCGUCUCGUCGACGCCGGCGAGCUCGUGGCUCGCCAGAUCCGGCGAGCUCGAGCUCACCCCUCGCCGGACGUCGGCGAGGCCUCCACCUCACCAAAUCUGGCGAGCUCGAGGCUCGCUCCUCGCCGGAUCUGGCGAGGCUCAAGUCUCGCCAGAUCGGCGAGGCUCGAGCCUCACCGGGUGUCGGCGAGGCCUUCGUCGGGCAUCGGUGAGGCCUCCACCUCGCUAGAUCCGGCGAGCUCGAGGCUCGCCUGGCCGGUCGUCGUGCCGGCGACCGGAGGAAGAAGAAAGAAAAAAAAAAGGAAAGAAAAAGGAAAAAAUAAAAAAAUAUUUAUAACUUCGGUUUUUAUAAAUAAAAAAAAAAUUGUAAAGUUAAAGAGAGAAAAGAGAGAUUGUGAGGUUUUGAGUGAAAAUAAAUGGGUUCAUUUUUAAUGGGUUGAUAAAUGGGUUUUAAAUAGGUUAGAGAGCUUACUCAUUUAAGAUCCAUAUAUCUCAGUCUUAACCCAUUAAAACCCAUUAUAGGUGUUUUAGGAAAUAAAGCUUGACCCAUUAACGACCCAUUUAACCAUAAAUGGGUUAAUGACCCAUUUUGACACCUCUAGUCAAUUGGAACAAUACCUGUCAUGUGUUUAACAAAAUUAAACAUCAGCAAAUGCAUUCCUAGUCUUUGCUCAAGUCCACGUUGUUGGUAAGAUGAGAUGGUGAUGGGAGUCCUUUAAAAUUAAGUGAAGAACUAACAUAGAAAGACCAAGACUUCUUUUAAGCCUAAUAAAAAAAAAAUCCCUCAAUAUUUUUUUGCAUCUUAUUUAGUCAUAUCAUCAUCGUGAUGACCUGCUCUCAUCUAAUAUCCAGCCCUACCAGAAAUGCUUUAAAAAGGACUCUCAUCAUUGCUGAAAAAAGAUGAAAAACUCUAUGAGCAGAUGGUCUUGCAGCCAAAAUAAUUGGAAAACACCGGUAGUUGCAAAAGUUGUUCAGUUGGAUCCACAUAUUCCAUGGCAUUAGUUCAAAUUCCUGCUACAUAUCAAACCUUCACAUGAACGAUUCUAUAGUCUUUGGAUAUCGUGUAAAAGGAACUAGGACAAAUGGUGAUUCAUUCCAAUGACCUGUUUUGAAUGCGGAUGUCGAAUUCGGAGCAUGUUCAACUCAUUAGACCAAGUGAAAGACCUCAUAAGAGCUUGUGGAACAACUUUAUACAAGAAUUACAGACUAGGAAUGGCCUAGAAACCAAAUUAAUUGAUGUACUUAUAAGAUUGGUAUACCAUCCUAGACAUUAAUUAAUAGAGGAAGUUUGCUCGAUCAAAACUGCAGUUAAAAAUCCUUCUCGUCAAACUCAUAUCUAUAGCUUUUGCGAAACUACAUAUACAAAAUUUGUUGGCUUCACAUCUAUCUAGUAUUUUGCCAAUUUUGCAUAAUAGAAUGUUUGUUUAGCAUGUAGUCUUGUUUGGCACCUGUCCAUUUUUUUAAUUGCAUUCGUGUUCGAGGACAGCAUGCCCACAUCAAAUAGUAAUUUAGGUGAGAUCAAGAAUCUUUAACGAUCCGGCCAAAUGCGCGAGCUGCCCCGAAACUUCCCCUUCUCCCUCUCUCAUUCGAACUCUCUUGGUCUUGGUUACAGGGCAGCGAAAGGAAAAUGACUGAAUCCUCUCGUCGGCCGCUUGCCCCGGUGUUUUUCUUUGCUCCUUCACAGAUAGCGCGAGAGGCACGCCCACUUUGUCUUGAUUGCAAUGUGUACUCCGGGGGAAAAGACCUUUCUUUGGGUUCAGUUCCUUCUACGUUUUUCCGGGAUCUGAGAAAUUCCCAAAAGCAAAUGAAACCCGUGUGUCCGCACCUUUUUUGGGGACGCGUGUGAUUCUUUCUUUCGCCCCCUGCUCUGUCCAUCUUUCUUUGACUUUUUUGUCGGAAAAACCGAAGAGAUAUAUAUAGUCAAAAAGGGGGAAAAAGAGAGAGAGAGAAAGCAGAGGAUUCGGCGGAUAAGAAUAACAUAAGCGGGAAGAGGACGCAAUAAGGGCAAGUGGAAAGGAAAAGAAAAAGGUAACCAAAGGAGAGAAAACAGAGAGGACGGGGGAAAGAGAGAAAAGAGGAGAGCGUUAGGCGCAUGUGAUGUCUAGAAGGAGCGCUCACAAAGGGAAAACAGAAAACGAAAGAACAGAGAGGGAGAGAGAGAGACGAUUGGAUUUUUCUUUUUCUUGGUCUAUCCCUGGUUCGGGGAGUCCGAGAGAAAACAGAGACCAAAAAAUAGAGUGGCAGGGAGAGUAAUCGGUGAGCAUUCAUUGCCGUGAGUGUCGCUAGUCAGAGUUCUUCAAGUUGCUUGACAAAGCCAGCUGCUCUUUGUUCAAUUCAUUUGCAUAUGGCGUUUGUUGUGAUUUGGUCCGAGAACUUAUCCCUAAAUGCAUUUGCAAACUAAAUCGAGGACAUGGAAUGACUUGUGUGAUUUAAACCAAAUUUGAAUUUUUUGUGUUUGGUUCGAUUCUUCGUUUCUCGUAAGUAUUUUUGAAUGUCGUUUUUACUUAUCCCUAUAGAAUGAUAAUGAUUUGAUUGCAAUCCUAGCCUGUCAGGAAAAGAUGUGAAAUAUCAACACGGACUUGGCGCAAGUCGCACCUCGUUCACUGUGCUGCUUGUGCCUCUGUCCAAACCAGUUCUCAGCUUGCACAGUGGGCGAGCCUUCAGUUCACUGCAAUUUGAUUCGAAUCAAUCAUCGAAAAUUCCCUCAUUCAUGUCUAAUCUACCGUUUUGUUUGUGAAGGUUUAUGCUAGUAAUAUUAGAAUUUAGAGAAUGUGGUGUAUGAUGGAUUAAUUAGUUUGUGGUCUUAAUUAGUUCAUAAUAUAUGAUGGUUUGAUAUGUAUAUGCAAAGAGGUGCAAUAAGUCGUAUUUGAUUCAUUUACCAUCUCUGAAGCGGGAACCUAUGGCGUCAUGACGACCUAAUGUUCAAAUCCUUCUUAAUUUGUUGUUCAUCAAGCCUCCUUUUUUCUUUAGGGCCAUCGUUUUUCGCGGUAUUUUCUCGAAAUCUAUUUGAGUUGAAUUGCGGAAGUCUUCAAAUGUGUCAGAACUCGAGCCUUCCUCGAAAAAGCAUCGAUUUUAGUGGAGCAUCAAAGCAUGAGAGGCAUUCUUCUAAAUGCAAUGAUGGUGCCCAGUAGGGCUAAACGGCCAGCUUUGUGCAAGUAAGAAUGCCCUCUUGCUUUUUCUAAAGCCACUUUUCCCCCUUAUUAGGUUGUUUUACGAUAGAAUAAGGUGCAUUGAAUAAUAUUUUUACCUUGAGAAAACAGAUUCUCUGAUGUGGAAUAUCAUAGCAUGGGUCAUCAAAAGCCAAUUCAUGUUGGGAAUGUGAUGAUGAUAUGAUUCUAGUUGUUCAUAUUCCACUAAGUCCAGACCAAUUGAGUUCACAAGACGAUCAUAAUUAGGGUCACGAAGAAAUCAGGAUCAAAUCUCUCCUAUACUAUUAAUGAGUGCCUCUUAAGAAAAAUGUAGAAGUCAAUCAUUCAAAACCCAUGAUUUUGAGGUAUGUUACCUCGAAACUCAAUUUGAUUUGGCAUCUUCAAAACUAAAUUAUACAUUGUUGAUAUCUAAUUUUUGACUAAAUACUUAAAAUUAAUUUGCAUAAGAAAAUUAUGGAUCAAUUUGACCCUAACAAAAAUAUUUUUUGCAUCAAUUAGGUUUUAGUUUUUAUUUGCAUCCAUUAAGUUUGUUUUCUUUUUUUACCAUAUUUUCGAAUUAUAAAAAAAAAGGGGAGAGGGCCACGCGGGUUGGGCCUCCACGCCCAGCCCUCCUUCUUCUUCCGCGUGGGCCAUCCAGCCUCUUCGCAACUCGGCCCAGCCCCCGCCUCCUGUCUUCUUCUUUCCUUCGUUUCUUCCCUCCUUCGCCUCUGUGCCUCACGCGCAGAGGCCGGUGACGCGCGCAAGGACGGCCUACGGCGGAGAGAGAAGGGGUAGGCUGGCAGCGGACGGGACGCGCCUUCAAAGCGGAGCAAGUGGGCGGCUGAGGAGACGCCGGUUCGGCCGCACCAAGGCCGGUCAGCGUGCGAGGACCGGUGGCCAAAGCCUCGUCGACCGGCCUCCCUCUCGCCUAUAAAUAGGGCCUCCGACGAAGGCCAAAGAGGACAGGACACCGAGGAAGAUCGAAGGCACUCAAGCUCCGAAAGCUUCCCCCGAGAGACUUCAGGGGAGCCCCGAGAGCGAGCGAGCCUAGAUCUGAACAGAGGCGGCUUAAACCAGGGGAGAGAGGAGGCAGAUCGGAGGACCUCAUGGGCGGAGCAGGGGCUGAGCGAGCAAGCCCGAGAAGGAGAGGAGGUCCUGGUGGGAGAUCUGAGGAAGGCCGAUCGCCGCCCCUCUCACGGAUCAGAGUCGAAUUAACAACCGCGAGCUGAGCGUCGCAUCGCCUGUCGAUCUUGCCGCUGUUGUCCACCGCUCGCACGUCGAGCCCCAGUAAGAGGGCUCUGUUUCUGCCCUGCUUCGAACGGACCGUGCCGGAGCUCGUGUGAGCUUCGGACCGGGCCGUUCUUCUCGAUUCUGAGCCUCGCCAGGGUCGCCGUCAUCCCUACCACUGCCCAUCUCCGUUGGCGUACCCCCCCUCGAAACCCUAUCCGCCGCCGCGCCUCCUGCAUCUCGGUCCCGACUGGCCGAGCAACUCCGUGUUUGCUGUUGUCGUGUUGCGUCCCCCGACGCCGAUCCCGUUGAACAGCCGGCCACUACCGUCCGUUGCAUUGCCGCCGCCGUCGUCAACGCCGAGCUGCCACCCGGUGACGCCCCAGCCCCUCCAUCGGUGCCGCAGAUAGAUGGAGAAGGAGGAGACAUCGUGUCGGGUCAAGGCCGGGUCGGACGCGGGCAUCUCACCUGGGUAGGGUUCUAGCUGAUCUGGGCCAGCGUGCGUGAGCUGGCUGACUCUUGGGCCGGGCAUACCUUUUAAUAGAAAGUGGGCUUGGUUGGUUCGGGCUUGGAUUGUUCCGGGUCGGGCAACAGAAAAUACCUUCCACUGAAGCAGCCUUAGCUGCCGGGAAUUUCGAAACGGGCGGCUUGCGAAAUACCCCAUCUGGAGCUUUGAAGCCAUUGUUGCUGGAUACAAGAGCUGGUUGUCGAUGCUGUGAGGGAAUUCGCCGAGAAACACAGUCCUACAACAGAAAGGCCUAGGCGAUGAGACAGUGGCAGUGGCAGUGGCAGUGUCGGUUCAAUUAUCAUUGCAUGAAUUAGCGCAAAAGUUACCUCUGUUCGGUUGGACUUUUGAGCAGCAUAGGUAGAGAGAUGGAGAAGAAGAUGGGCACUGCAGGAGCUGCAUUUUCUUGAGAGAGAGAGAGAGAGAGAGAGAGCGAAGAGCUGAGAGAGCUCUUGCAGGAAAAAAUUAGAGGUGGCAAAUGCUUCGGAGCCUGGCGCUUCUCUGUUAUUAGUGCAAAAAAGCGCCAGCCUCAUGUUAACAAAAGAGGAGUUCGUUAAAAUUUAAAAGAGAAAAUAGAAGACCUUUUUUUCCAUCUAAAGAAACUAUGUUCCUUUGGACUUAAAUAAGAGCAAAAAAAAGUGCGCAUAUCUUUUACUUUUCCGUUCAAAAUUAAGAAUAUCAUUUAAAUUUUAAAAAAAUCUGAAAAAAAUGUAUGUGAAUCUAAGCUAUUUGAGUACAGAAUAAAUUUCAAGAAUAUCGAAGUUAAUUAAAGUCCAAAUUCAUAAGCCCUUAGAUUUAGAUUAAAUAAAAAGUAAAAGGUAAAAAUAAAUCUAGACAAAUCUUUUGGGUAUUGAACGAUUAUAUCUACAUUUAUAUGUUAUCUAUAUAAUAAUAGCAAUUGCAGACAUAAUUCUUCUAAUAACUUAUGUUAGUUACGACCAUCACUUCAACAUUUAAAUACAAAAAAGGACUCGCUUAAUUUUUUUUUAUAAAAUUGAAUAAGGAAAAAGUGAUAUAUGAUUCAACCGAUGCUAUUAUUCCACACUAAAUUUUUUUUUUUGACGGAAUAUUCCGCAUUAAAUUUAUAUGGACCUUUUUAUUGCCAUACUUUGUACAUGUGUAUUAUCAUAUAGGUAAAUCCUAAAUCAAAUUGAAGGUAAGUAGGAUUCAAUUAAAAAAUAAAGUCAAAUUAAUUACGUAAAAUAGUCAUUUGUAUGGCUCAUUAUAAAGUUUUUCAUGUACAACUCCUCACCAUCAUCUAUUAUUUUUCUUUUUUGUCUAUAUCAUCAUCUAUCAGUUUAAUUGCCAUUUAUCUCGAUCAGGUUUAUCCUCUUAGAUUCCUUGUCUCGACCAGCCUAAUCCUCUUAGAUUGCUUUAUGCUCUAGGCAUACUAAUGAGACGAAUGGUGUAUCGAAGAGGUACUAAUUCCCCAACGCGGAUCUUGAACGCACUAGACCUUGGCCCAAAUCCAUGGCCAAUGGUGUGCAAUCGCGAGAGCCGUAUAUUCAUAGUUGGUCGGAGCUCCACCCAGACCUUCAAAGCGAGAUCUUUGAGGAAAUCGCAUCAAACUUGACAACCGAGGCAACUUUCGAGUCCGACUCGACAUGGACGAUUGGGUCAUUGAAGAGGACUACAAGUAGCCCAGUCAAUUUUAUACUUGGAAAGUAGUUCGCUCUAGAUACAGCGCUAAACUAAGAUACCACAUAACACAGAACCUAUAUUUAUCAUCGAAAUUCAUGACCCUAAAAACUAUCCUGAUGGUAAAGAAAACACAUCGUUGGAGUUCCCAACGCUUGAAAAGAAUUUCGGAAUAGAAGGGUCUCAGUCAUCACAUAAGUUCCGCCAAACUUAAUCUGCCGAAAUAGAAUGGUUAUACUAAAGUGAGCAUACAUGCAUCCGAUUGUAUUGCGGGUUACUUCUGGAAAUUAAUUGGCUGAAAUUACAUAGCGUAUUUCUUAAGGUGGUGUAGUUUUCAUGUGAGAAAGAAAAAUCACUAUGAAGUUCAUUUUCAUUUCCUCCUCUUUUCUUUAGCAACUCUACUUCGAUAGCUAAGUGAAUCAUACAUAAGAAUGGAAUAUUUUUGCUUUCUACGAUGAAGGUUAUGCCACAAUUUGAAUUCCCAAAGGUAAGGACAUUUCGAGUUACCCUCCAUAUCACAUAUAUAUCCCCUAAAACCUUAAGAACAAAGAAAUAAAACUGGUUAGAUGAAUUGCCUUUCAAGUUUUCACCCAUUAGUUUUGGGAGUUCAAAAUAAAAUAAUAGAAAAUCGAAUAUAAAAAUAGAGCAUAUAAAGUAAGAACAAGAGCUGUAGCAAAUUACACCAAGAGAAAGAAAUAUUAUCCUCUCACACAACCUCUUGACUUGCAUCGUACACAGUAUCAUAGUCUAAAGAAUGACUACUCGCAUGACUUGAUGUUUCUUAACAAAGCUUAAAAGGACAAAACCAUCACACCCCAACUCUACAAAUAUAGGGAAAAUGGUAGGAUUGUCACCCUAUCCAAAGGACGAGUCUCAUACGCAUUACCAACAUUGACCUAUUAUCAAAAUAUAUAUUCAUUAAUAUCUCAUGAGAAUAAUAAACUGGUUACAUGACUAGAGUUUUAAAAUUCACAAAUAUAUAUUUCCAGUUACUAACAAACUAAACCCAAAAAGUACCAUUAUAGAUUAUAUGUAUAACUAUCUCAAGUCAUACCCAAAAUCCAAAUUCCUAAGAUUCCUCCGCUGAUGUAGCUUUGCUCCUAUUUGUUGACAGCAAAAAAAGAAUUGAGAUGAAUGGUAUAAGCAAACACCUCUCAAUAAAUAGUACAUAUCUCUUCUUGAUAAAUAGAGCAUCAAUUAUUCACAGUAUAAACAAUAACAGAAACACAACCAAAAUCAGUAUAUAAUAUAUGUAAAAGUCUAAAUAUGAGUUAAAUCACUUCAACAAUGUUUUCAAUAUACUAGAAUGUCACUUCAACAACGUUUUCAACAUAUUAGAAAAACACUCAUUCGAUCAAUAUUUAAGCAAAUAUUUGCAGUCUAGUCUAUUGAUCACUCUAGUACUUCAUAUCAAACUAUAGCCACGUUUAACGCCCCAUGACAAGACUUACCAAGAUAUCCUCCUAGGCGUAGAUCUCCACUAAUGUCAAUCGGUGGCUUUGGCCAUACAAGACAUCCUGAGAACAUGUACGCUUACUCAUAGCUCUUCAAUGAUUUGAGAUCAUAGCCACAAUAGGUUAAAACCAUUAACAUAAUCCUGUCAACAGCAAACCCAUUUCAGAACUCUUUAAUAAACCAGAGUAAAAAAUCGAUACAAUCCUUCACAAUUCCAUCCACAAGAAGAAUACAUUCAUGAAAAAUUUCUCAAACCAUUUCAUAAAUAAUAAAUUCUCUAACUGUUUUGGGAGAUAUCUUACUAUGCUAAUUCAAAUAACCAAAUGAGGCAGUAAAUGCAAGAUCCAGCUUCAUACAUAAAAGAUGUUCUAAACAUCAUUUUUAAAAAAUAAAUAAAUAUCAUAACAUGCAAUGUCUCAUUCAUAACUUAUAUAGCAUAUCUAAUUCCUGUGAUUUUCAAGCCGUGAGUUUACAAAUUAGAGGAGAUAAGCACCACUCCUCACUAACGAAAAGCUAAAUUAAAAGCUUGACUACCUAAAAAGCUUAAAAAAUCAUAUCAACGAAAGCAUUAAUCAAAUGUCAAACUUACAUAUCACUCACCUCAACUAAGAUUCUACUAGGCGAUGCUAAUUUCUAGAGUCAAAAUGUCCAGUAUGAGUCGAUGAAAAGGCCACACAAGCAUCAAACUUGCUACAGCAAAUAGAGCAGCAAUCUCGUCUUACCUUACAAAUUUUGGCAGGUCAUACAUCUCUAUUGAACUCCAUUGUAAGUGAAUUUACAGUCAAAAGAGAGCUCAUUCAAACUACUAAAAGAUCUAAAACUCAUUUGAACCAAAAUUGGCCGACAACUGAUGAAAUUCGGGACGAAACACUGCUAACGAUUCCUAAAACAGAGCAAAUAUCUUUGAUUUGAUUAGAUGUAUCAAUGUUUGGAAUUUCUUACCGAGUGGUUCAAAAUGGUAUCAAUCUAGCUCGUCGUGGCGUCCGAACCGAAUCGUACUAAAAGCCCCCUUCUGCUCACUCUCGGAUUCUCCUCUUCUUUGUUUUCUCGUUCUUUUGUUGACUCGACUCCCUCCUCUCUCUCUUUUCUCUGCUCUUGAUUUUUCUUACAAAUCAGCUCCGGAAGGGAACAAGAAAAUGGGCUAAGGGCUCUUGGGCCUAAAUUUUCUAUUUCAGGAGAGGCCAUCGUUGAGGAGGUGCGAUUCUGGCCAAGGAUCCCAAGAACCGUCUAACCUCGGACAUUUCGAAACAUUCGUAUGAAGUACAUUUGGGAUCUUUUGCAAUGAUUCACAAUCUCUAACCAUCAGCCACCCUAGCUUCUCUAGCUUCAGAGUAUCAAGGAUGGGCCUUUCUAUGGAUUCGCAAUUUCCAGUUGAAGACGGUUGGCAUUCGAUCUCAAUUAGUUGAGGGCAGUGCUCCACCAUCAGCAUUUGGUGCUCCUUUAAGCUCGAUACAUUGGAUAUCCUCACAAGCGACUUGCACUCACCCACAUCCAGAUGCCGGAGAUUCUUUAGCUGUCCGAGCACAUUGUCAAACUCGAUCUCUCUUAACGGACAGUCGAAUAGCCAUAAUUUAGACAAAUUGCCCAGGUUGGAGAACGGUGACCAUUCCCAUUGAGGUCUUCACAUCUCUUAAGGCCAAUUCGUCUAAACUGGAUGGAAGCCCAAUCAGAGACUGUGGGUCAGCACAAGUUAUUAUAAGACACCGAAGCUGAGAAAGCGCGCUCAAGUCAGUCGGGUGCAUGUUGGAAUCGGAAAAAACCACGCUCAAUGCCUGCAAUUUAUGAAGCCUUCCAAGCCACUCUAGGUUCGGAUGUAGAAUUCGUCCUCGUUUAAUUAUAGGCGCACUAUAAUUACAAUCACUUAUUGUUAGAUAAUCUAAAUUAGUGAGGUUUGAGAGGUCAGAUAUUGCCUGCAAUGAUGAAGACGUUAUAUCUAGGUAUGUUAAACUUGUGGGGAGAUUUGGUAGUAACUGAAGCUCCAUACAAUCUCUUAAAUCAAGUCGUUUGAGGUUAAAGAGCUGAUUGAUUGUCAUUGGUAGUCUACUAACCUUUGUCCAGGAUAAGUCUAAAAUCACCAAUUGGGAUAGUCUUGCGAUUUCACUUGGAAUUUCGCCCUCGAGAUCUUCACAGUGUUUGGCAAUUAGUGUCUCAAGAUUCUCCAGAGUCCCUAUGCUCUUCGGUAGCUCUCGUAUCUUAGUAUAAGACAAAUCCAUGAACUUCAACGGUCUAAGGUUGCCUAUAGAAUAGGGUAAUUCUACAAUUUUUUUACAAGAGAGAACCAAUCGGAGUAGUGAUACUAGUCUUCCGAUGGAAUCUGGUAAUGCACUUACACCGGUGUAUCCUAAAUCCAAAUGGAGGAGUGAUCUCAACUUUCCAAUGGAAUCUGGAAGCUCUCUAAUGUUGGGACACCAACGUAAAGACAGAUGCUUCAAACCUAAUAGCUCUCCUAUUGAAUGUGGAAGUUUUCUAACCCCGCCGUGAUAUUCCACCUUCAUCACUGACAAGGAUUUUAGACCACCAAUUGAGUCUAGUGAUAGAGGAACAGUUAGAAAAAUAUUUCUCAGUAGCAUAUGAUUUUUCCCAUCGAUAUCCAAAUACUUCAGGCGACCUAACUAAUUAGUAGAGCUAUUGAUUUCUUCCAAUCUUGUACAAUCUUUGAGAACCAGUUUUUUCAAUUUCAGGCACUUGGAGUAGUCAAGUAGCCUCUUUAAAUAAUUGCAGCUUGCCAGAUGUAUGACUUUCAAGUUAUUAUUUACCUAUAAAAAAAAAUUAUUGAGGAAAAUAAUGGCAUAGGUGAAGUCAACUCAAUCUAACAAAUGCAAACAAACAUAAAGGAAAAAGAAUGCAUUAUAUUGUACCAUGCAUGCUCUCCAUCCAUUCCAAUCUUCAGUAAUAUCGCUCUCUAAAAGCUUGAGAAUGGCCAAGUUUCGUAGACAUAAAUCGGUGGUAUGUAGGUUUGCAGGGCAAUGCCGCCAAGAGAGCCAUGUUAGCUUAGAGAGAAGAUUUUUGAAGUCUCCUACAAAGUUUCCCCCAUCCAAUUCAAGGAACCUUAAACUUGGUAGCCUUGAAAAUUCGCCACUCGUAAAAUUAUGCCCAUCAACAAGUCCUGUGAGUUUGAGUGCUUCGAUAUUUUCUGUUCCCUGAUAUUUCCAAAGCAACAAGUUAACAACAUGAUCGAACCAUUCAAAGUAAGUACUAAAUAUCAAAAUAGGGAGCAUAUAUCUAAAUUCAACUAAUAGUAAACAUGAGUGAACCAACAAAAAAAUGAGGCACAUAGAUAUUAUCAUAUGCAAAAAGGGGCAAAUUCCAUGAAUCCUUAUCUCUCCCAUUUUUAUGGGAGUCGUAAUGGUAAAAGUUAGUUCAUUUGGAAUGUUGGUCAUUUCUCUCAAAUUAUGCAAAAUCAUCAAUGUCCUAUAUACAAAAAUGAGUAAACAUUUUACGUGAAAAUGAAUUCUAAAUACACACAACUACAUGUUCAGUUUUUUCAUAAGCAAUUUACUUCUGAUUAAGACAUACCAGAUUAUUCUGAACCACUUCUAAGGCGACCGUUGGACACCACAACCUACUGCGCUUUCCAGGAAUUUUAAAGCAUUCUUGCCGGACAAUCUCUCUUCCAAGAUCUCUGAGUUGGUCGUGCAUCCACAGUCUAUCAUUUUUGAGUUUUAUCAAAGAUAAAUUAAUAAGAGCAUGGAGUCCAGUAUGUGGAAAAAAAUGGCAAGCUUUCCACAUGUAAUAUGUGGGGAUUCUUUCUUCACCAAUGCAAUGACAUGCGAUAUCAAGAAAAAUUUGUUGUUGAUUGUCAUCUAAUUUUUCAUAACUUAUCAACAACUUUUUCUGGACAUCUUGAUUGGGAACUUCCUUCAACUUUUUCAAUGUGUCUUUCCAUAUUUUCUUGCCUUUUGAAUGGAGUAAAGAACCUAUGACCUCAAGAGCCAAUGGUAGUCCUCCAGUAGUUUUGACAAUUUCAUGUGAAAUUUUGAUGGAGUCAUGUGGAGGUGAGUCACUUCCAAAGGAGUGCCUACUGAAUAGUUGAAGAGCAUGGUAAAACUCCAAUACCUUCAUUUCAUAAAAAGAGAAAUCCUGGUGAUAAAUAGGGACGAUAUUUUCAUCUAGGGCAUCCGUUUUGGUAGCCAAAAGAUCGGUGUUUCUAGUUGUGAUAAUAAUUCUGCUUCCUGAACCAAACCAACUUGACUCGCCAGCGAGCUUCAUGAGCUGGUCUCUCUCGUCCACAUCAUCAAGAACAAGGAUGACUUUCUUAUCAUUGAGCCUUUGUUUUAUCACGUCCCUCCCCUCAUUAGCAUCGAUAACUUUAAAAUGUUGAAUACCAAGAAUGUCACGUGAUAAUUUCUUUUGCAGACUUAAAAUAUUAUUUUCAUGGAUAUCUGAAAGAAAGCUGCAACUUGGGAACUGGGAAGAAAUAUGUUUGAAGAUAGCCUUAGCAAGAGUUGUUUUUCCAAUACCACCCAUACCGUAAAUCACCACAAAUCGUACAUCAGGAGUGCCUAGGCUUAAUAACUUCAUAACAGCUUCCAUUUGAUUGUGAAUUCCCACCAAGCCAUCACACCAGCUUCUUUGCUUUGGCAUCAGCUUACCAAAAACAUCUUCCAGAAUAAGGGCUAUAAGUUUAUCUUGGCUGCCAUAUACAUAAUGCAACCGUCUCAGUUUGAGAAACCACAAACACAAGCAGAAGCAUAAAUAUGUAAAACCAGAAACUUUAAUUGUUAAACCAAGCAUGGAUUAUUAGCUUAUUUCAUAUUCAGUCCUACCCAAACUGAGAAGAUUGAUCUCAAUCACAGAUAACAAUGGUUGGAAUUUGAUGUAGGGGCAAUUCUAAAGAGUUUUUAGAUGGUCAAAUUAGCGAAGUUCUAACAGGCGAUGUUGCCAUCAAAACUAGCUCCAUAGCCUAGCGGGCGAACCAGACCAAUUGUUUUGGUUCGUGCCACGCAUCUAGUAUGACAAAGGGUGAAAGUGGACCAAAUCGCACAUUAAGCAGGGAGAGCAUUCUUGAAUGGGGCCAACACUGUGGAGAAUGUCAAUACUUUUAAGUGCAGAGUUUGUGGCACCACAAUCUCACAUCGAAUGGGACACACCUUUUUGAACUAUUUAUGGGUAAGGUUCAUUGUUAAAUGAUUACUCUAAAAUUCAAUUGUAAUAGGAAUUACAACAAAGAAGAAUGGCAUAAGAUGAGAUAAAAACUGCAUGCAAAAGUACAGUCAAUAGAUCGGUUAAGAGUUAUGAAAAAAUCAUAUGCCUGAUGAAAUGGACUUUAUAAAAACGAACAUGGUAAUUUGCACAGCCAUUUCAACUUCCGUUUGACUUUAGAAUAUUUGUUCCCCCGCUAAGGGGUGGGGGGAGUUUAGAAAUGAAAGUAGAAAAGUUGUCAUUAACCUUAAUUCUAGCGACUUCUCUAAGGGCCUCCUCCCACUAAAUUUAGAAAUGAAAGUAAAAAAGUUGUCAUUAAUUACCCGUGAUCUUUUAAGUUCCAUCCCUUAAUUCUGGCGACUUCUUUAAGGGCCUCCUCCCACUGCUUUGCAGUAUCUUCACCAGACUGUCUCUCAUGCUUUCGUAGGGCUGCGCCGUAUGAUCCAGUUUUGAGCUUAAGAUCGGAUGCAUCCACCCCAUAGAAGAUGGGCAAGAUUGCUUUCUCAUCUCUCUUCCUAUGCUCUACCAUGUAUGUGAGCUCACGAAGACACCAUUUACUGGAAGCAUAGUCUUUAGAGAAGAUUGGUAUGUAGAUUUUUGAAUUGGAGAUUGCUCUCAAAAGCUCACCUUCGAUCUCUUCCCCAACACGGAGCUCUUCGUCAUCUUUGAAGACACAAAUCCCAGCUCGGAACAUGGCUGCAUAUAGAGAGUCUGUGAUGGUUAAGCGAGUGUCGGGCCCUCUGAAGCUCAAGAACACCUCAUAGUCCCUCUUUGACGAUGAUGAAGAUUCACCACCAUGGGGGAGAGACUUCCCUACGGGACAUUCCAUUCCUGAUCUUUGGCUGCAGAAGCGAUAUCAAACUAUUGUGCUCGUUUGAAAUUGCAACUUUUCAGUUACCUUACGCCCAUUGGCAAUUUAUAAGAGAAAUGGUUGACUGACUUUUUUUGUCCCAAAACAACUAUUGACUGAUUCGGGCUCACCGUGAGCGACAGAAGAUGCAAAGAAAGAUCACUACUGCAUGCUUCCACGAAAUCCCCUACCUCGGACAACUGUUCUUCACUUGUAGUUUUAACGCACCUCCUACUCCAGAGAACCAAGAAGAGCCCGUCUUUUGUAGUGUUUUCUCGGAACGUACCUGAGUUGAUUUGGGGAAGUCUUAGAAUUUUUUAGUACUAGAGCCUAAUUCCUUGAAAAAGCAUCGAUUUUUAGUGAAGGAUGGAGCCCGGCAGGAAUUGAAAUAAAAAGCUGAAUAACCAAAACGGAGUGCAUGUAAUAAUGCCCUCUCACUUUUCCUAAGGCCACUUUUUUUUCUCUUUAUCAUGUCGUCGCGCCAUAGAAUAAAAUGCCUUGGACAAAACUUUUGCCAUGGAAAAACAGACUUUCUGACGUGGAAUAUGAGAAGGUGUGUCAUCAAUAGUCAGUUCAUGUUUGGAAUGUGAUGAUUAUCUGAUUUUUUAUUUUCAUAUCCCACUAAGUCCAGCUUAAUCAAGUCUUCAAGACGAUCAUUGUUAGGGUUCAAAAAAAAAAAAAAAAAAACACAAGAUCAAGUCUUUCCUAUACUUUUAAUAAGUGUGUCGUCACUCAAAAUGGAAUGUUUUAAAGAUGUUUCACCUUAAAACUUAAUUUGGUUUGACAUCUUCAAAACUAAAUUGUACAUUGUUUAAGCAUAACAGUUUUGAUACAGUAGUAAUCGGAUAUAAAGCAUGCCUUGUUGUGAAAAGUUUUGAUAGCCUUGUCAAGUGAAAGCACUUAUAACUCGAAAAAGCAUUACCUAUCCAAGUCAAAGCGUUAAAAUAAGAGAUAAGUAUAUUAGAAGUUCUAAAACUUGUUACGAAAGUACAAUGAAAUCCGAAAACUUAAAAAAAAAAAAAAAACAAUUAGGUCCUAAAAUUUUUCAUGAAGUGCAAUCAAUGUCAUGAAAGUGAUUUGACUAGGGUUGUUAUUGUUUUAGUAUGUUUCAUAUGUCAUACGCACGUUGAUUAUCAUAAAGGUAACUGCUAUAAUGGACAACAAUCUACUAAAGCUGUUGGAUAAAAAAAUUAUACAAAUGGAUAUUGUAUGUGUAAUAUUGAUUCAAAACUGUAGAAAAGUAAUACACAUCCUAUUGUUGUGUGUAAUUCAUUUGAAACAGAUAAUUUGUCUGGGUCACUUUAAACGGUCAUUCUUAUUCAUUAUCGCAAAAUGUCUGCUAAGUAAGGAUUUUGCUGUUCUUGUCUAAACAUAGCAAACAAUCCAUUCUCCAUUCACAGGAUAUAGAUUGAAUCAGGAAAAAAGCACAUUAUUUUGUCAAGUGAGAGCUUUUAUCCUUAUCUGAAACCUUUUUUUGAACUUAAGAAUGAUAUUUAAUAGUUUAAAAUAAUUUAGGAACCUCAUUAAUUUAAAACCGAUGAAAAGUUCAAGAGCAACAUUGUUUCUUUGGCAAAGUUAAGGUCUUAUUAAACAAAUCAAAGGUUAAGGACAUCACAACACGAAAACAAACAAUGGUGAAUCCUUUAAGACUUCUAGCGUCCUUGGACAUGGUUGGCAUCUACAGCGAGUGAGGAGACCAAGGGGGCUCCAGAGAGAUGACCACUAAUGAGGAUAAAUUUGGACUUCUAGUUAAGGUGGAGAUUUGUUGAUUAUGGCUCGAAAUUAAUCAUGUUUGAAUUGGAAUCGGCAUGACUUUGAUGUUUUCGGACACUCAAAAUAGUUUGUAGGGGCUCGGUAAUGGAGAUGGACAACUGAAGGAUGCGAGAAGCCGGCUGCGCCUAGACAAACUAGGCAACUAGGCAAAGCACUCGACCAAGAAGUGGCUUGGUUGCCGAGCAUUCGGCAAACCUCUAGAGCCGACACUAUUUUCCAACAGAGUGCCCGUGUUGUCCAAGCCUAUUUUGGUCAGACACCCAAUCCCCAUUUUUAUGUAUAUUUAACAAAUAACUUGUGAGAAAUCUAAGGAGAUUUUAAGUACCUUGCAAAUGUACCAUUCAUGUACCUUUAAAUUCCAGUACCCUUUUGUCUUCCUCGCAAGUCGCAACCUUUAAUUUUCGUACCUACAUUUCAAUUCCUUUACUUUUAUAAUCAAUUACACUCUUGUCCAAUUUUUUUUUAAAAGCAAUUUUUUCCUUAUAAUCCAUCAAUUUCAUUCCUUUCUCGAGGCUUUCACUUUUUGAUGAGUGGUCCCGGUGCUCUCAUCUUUUAAAUAGGAUUAGACCACUGAUUCUAUUUAUGGAAAAAUAGUUUACAUAGUGAUUGCAAGAUUGAAGUAAGUCCAAUCAACGGCGCGCACAUUGCCACAUCCUUAACUGUAAAAACUAAGUCGGAAUUUCUUUUUUAAGGGAUGGCAAAACAAAGCUUCCUUUCAAGUGCAAAAACGACCGUCUGUGUAUAGUCAGUAGUCGUACAUGGCAUUCAUCUUUUUUUGUCUUCAAAUCCAAAUAAACUCAAAAGAAGGUUACAAACACUAGAUCCAAUCACUCAUUUUGAAUAAGGAAAACCAAACACUAGACUUGAUUUAGGAAUAAAGAACCUCUAUUUCUACAAGGCGAAUUCAUUCACGCCUCAAUCAAUUCUCAAUUGCCGUGUGGAUGCAUUUAAAUGAGAUGCCCAUAGGAGCACCCUCUGAGGUAGAGGAUCAACGUCCCUGAUUUGCUCUGGAAAUUAUAUUUUAACAAGUAUUUGGUCCAUAAAGAUUAAAGUCCAUCCUAAAGUUGGCCAAGAAAAAAGGAACAGAAAAAAAAAAAAAAAGGCCAAUUGAGGUGGGUCUUCGGCAGAGGUAUUGCUCAAUCAAAACUGCACUAAAAAAUCCUUCUCGUCGAACUCGUUUCUAUAAUUCCCGCGAAACUACAUAUAAAAAAUUUGUUGGCUUGACAUGUCUCUAGUUUUUUUGCCAAUUUUCCAUGAUAGAAGGUUUGUUUAGCAUGUAGUCUUGUUGGUACCUAUCCAUUUUUCUGUGGGUUAAUACUAUGAAAAAUUAUAUAUUGAUACACAUAUAAUAAAUUUAUCUAAAGCUAAUUUUUCUACCGCGAAAAGUUUUAAAUUUGUACACUUAUGAUAAAUUUAUCUCAAACUAAUUUUUUGACUACUAAAAACCCUAGACUGGUAUACAUAUGACAAACUUACUCCAAACUAAUAUUCAGAACUGGUAUACUUAUGAUAAAUUCACCAUCUAUUAGUUUUUAUUAAAUUUUACUGUAAAAUUACUAAGUUAAAACCACUGCAUUGAGUGAUGCUGCUGGCUUCGGGCUUUCUCCCCCUCACGAAGGGGGGAAGUUCGAAUCCCCAGCACGUCACAAGUGGACUUACCCACUUCACGGGAGUGGUGGGUUCUUCCGUGGGCCUCAGAGUUUGCCCGUCGGUUGUCAGCUUACGGAUUUGUCUGGGUCAUCAAAAAAAAAAUUUACUGAGUUAAAUGACAUGUGACCAUUGACGAGUGUACUAAUUUAGGGUUUUAUCAUUUGUUUGUCAUAUGUAUGUAAAUUUGUCACAUGUAUGCUAGUUUGGAAUUUUGUUAUAUAUGUAUUAAUUUGGGCUUUUGUGAUAUUACCUUCUUCUUUUUUAAUAUUGCAUUCCCGUUUAAGGGCAGCAUGCCCACAUCAAAUGGUAAUUUAGGUGAGAUCGAGAAUCUUUUAUGGUCUGGCCAAAUGCGAGAGUUGCCCCGAGACUUCCCCUGUUCCUCCCUCUCUUAUUCGAACUCUCUUGGUCUUGGUUACAGAUCACCCGAAGGAAAAUGACUGAAUCCUCUUGUCGGCCAUUUGCCCCCCGGUAUUUUCAUUGCUCCUUCCCAGCCAAAAGAAAAGACCUUUCUUUGGGUUCAGUUCCUUCUACGUUUUUCUUGGAUCUGAGAAAUUCCCCAAAAGCAAAAGAAACCCGUGUGUCUGCACUUUUUAUGGGGACGCGCGUGAUUCUUUCUUUCGCCCCCUGCUUUGUCAAUCUUUCUUUGACAUUUUUGUCAGCAAAACCGAAGAGAUAUAAAGUUAAAAAAAAAAGAAAAAGAGGGAAAGCAGAGGAUUCGGCGGAAAAUAAAAAAGAUAAGCGGGAAGAGGACGCAAUAAGGGCAAGUGGAAAGGAAAAGAAAAAGGUAACCAGAGGAGAGAAAACAGAGAGGACAGGGGGAAAGGAGAGAAGAGUAGAACGUUAGGGGCAUGCGAUGUCUAGAAGGAGGGCUAAGCGAAAAAACCAGAAGAAAGGAUAACAGAAAACAAAAGAACGGAGAGGGAGAGGGAGAGACGGUUGGAUUUUUCUCCUUAUUGAUCUAUCCCUGGUUCAGGGAGUCCAAGACAAAACAGAGAGCAAAAAAUAAUGAGCGGCAGAGAGAGUAACCGGUGAGCUUUCAUUGCCGUGUGUGUCGCUAGUCGGAGUUCUUCAAGUUGCUCGACAAAGCCGGCUGCUCUUUGAUCAACUCAUUUGCAUAAGGCGUUUGUUGUAAUUUGGUCGGAGAACUUACCCCUAAAUGCAUUUGCAACCUAAAUUGAGGACAUUGAAUGACUUGUGUGAUUUCAACCGAAUUAGAAUUCUUUGUGUUUGGUUCGAUUCUUGGUUUAUUGUAAGUAUGUUUUGGAUGUCUUUAGAACUUGUCCCUUUUGAAUGAUAAUGAUUUGAUUGCAACCCCUGCCUGUCAGGAAAUGAUGUGAAAUAUCAACAAGGACGUGAUGCAAGUGGCACCACAUUCGUUGUGCUGUUUGUGCCUGUAUCUAGACCAGUUCUCAGCUUGCACAGCGGACAAGCCUUUAGUUCACCACAAUCUGAUUUGAAUCGAUCGUUGAAAGUUCCCCCAUUCGUGUCUAAUCUACCGUUUUGUUUGUGAAGGUUUAUGCUAGUGAUAUUAGAAUUUGGAGAAUGUGGUGUAUGGUGGAAUAAUUAGUUUGUGGUCUUAAUUAGUUCAUAAUUUUUGAUGGUUUGAUCUAUAUAUGCAAACAAGUGCAAUAAGCUGCGUGGAUUCAUUUUCCGUCUAAGCAAGAACUGAUCGCAUUAUGACGACCUGACGUUCAAAUCCUUCUUAAUUUGUAAUUCAUCACGUCAUAGAGCAAUCAUCUUUCGCAGUGUUUUCUUGGAACCUACUUGAGUUGAUUUGCGGAAGUCUCCAAAUGUGUCAGAACUCAAAGCCUUCCCGAAAAAGCAUCGAUCUUUAGUGGAGCAUCAAAGCACGAAAGACAUUCUUCUAUACACAAUGAUGGAGCCCACCAGGGCCAAACCACCACAUUUGUGUAAAGUAAUAAUGCCCUCCUGCUUUUUCUAAAGCCACAUUUCCCCAUUAUUAGGUUGUCAUAUGAUAGAAUAGAGUACGUUGGACCAUAUUUUUGUCAUGGGAAAACAAAUUUUCUGACAUGGAAUAUCAUAGGGUGGGUCAUCAAAAGUCAGUUCAUAUUGGGAAUGUGAUGAUGAUCCGAUUCUUGCUUUUCAUAUUCCAUUAAGUCCGGAUCAAUUGAGUUCACAAGACAAUCAUUAUUAGGGUAAAAAGAAAUUAGGAUCGAGUCUUUUCUAUGCUAUGCUGUUAAUAAGUGCCUCUUGAGAAAAAUGUAGAAGUCAAUCAUUCAAAAUGCAUGAUUUUGAGGUAUUUUACCUUGAAACUUGAUUUGAUUGUGAUCUUCAAAAUUGAAUUAUACAUUACUCAAACAUUACAGUUCCAAAUCAGAAGUAACUUGAUAAAAAAUAAUUUAAGAAUCUCAUUAAUUUAACACCAAUGAAAAAAGUUUGUGAGCAGCUAUGCUCCUGGGACAAAGUCAAUGACUUACUUAAACAAAUUGAAAUAUUAGGGACAUCAUAACUUGUAAGCAAAUAAUGGUGAAUUUUUUAAGACUACUAUUUAGCAUUUGCAGCAAGUGAGGAGACCAAGGGGGCUUGAGAUAGACAAUGACCAACGAAGAUAAAUUUGGUCUUCUUGCAAAGGUGGAGAUUUGUUGAUUAUGGCUCAAAAUUAAUCUCAUUUAAAUUGGAAUCAACAUAAGUUUGAUGUUUCCGGACACUCGAUGUGUUUGUGGGGAUUUGGAAACGGAGAUAGACGACUGGAGGAUGCAAGAAGCUGACCCCCCCCCUGGUGCUUCGACAAACCAGGCAACUAGGCAAGCACUUGGCCAAGAGGUGGAUGGGUUGCCGGACACCCGACAAACCUCCCAAGCCAAAAGUCUUUUCCAACAUAGUGCUCGAGUGAUGGGCCUAUUUUUCUCAGACACCUAACCCCCGAUUUUUAUGUAUAUCUAAUGAACAACUUGUAAGAAAUCUAAAGAUAAAGAAUUUUUAAGAAGAGAUAAUGAGAAUACUCCUUUCUUGCUCGAAUCGUUUCUUUUAUUUACUCGCGUUAGUAGUGACAAUAAUUGAUGCAAGAUUCAAACUAUGCAAUUCAGCUGAAAAAAAUCUCCCAACAAUAGUAAGGUAGGUUAAACUAGGAGCGAAAUCUCAUUCUACGAUUCUAAACUUAACGGGUGCAUCAGAUGUUAGGUUUAUUUUGUAUUUACAUUGAAAUCAUGCGAGCAAUUCAGUGAAGCUGAUGGAAAAGACCAAGCAAUAUUAGUCUGGUACCGUUCCACACGUAAUUGAUCACUGUACCUGGAAAAUGCAGAUAAUGCCAAACAAGGACUCAAAGAAAAAAGGAAGAAGGACAGACUCCCUAAGUCUUGGUCUUCUCUUUAUUAUUAAGGAAACUUCUGUAAAAUAUGAAAUGAACCCAAGUGAUCCGGGUGUUGAAUGAAGUGAGCAUGAAAACGCGGAGAGAAACAGUAGAUUCACCAUUAUUUAAUCUGCUAAACAAUGAUGGGGCUGGGAGUCGCUUAAAGUUAAGUGAAGAACUAAUAUGAAAAGACCAAGACUUCUUUUGAGCCUAAUAAUUUUUUUUUUCCUAAUUUCAGUUGCAUCUUAGUUAGAGGCUUUCCGAGUUCGAAUGUCUCUCUGUUCACACUCGCCAAUCUGCAACAUUUACUCGAAAGCCAUUGGCAGGCGCGCAGCAAAAUUGAUGUUGAUUACCAUUCUCGAGAAAAUUAUAGUGCUUGCCAAUUUUUUUCACUGAAGCUUUGAUCUACUGUAGUUGAACGAACGUGUAAUAACCGUGCAGCCGCUCCAUCAUUAGCAACUGAUUGUAUGUAGCAAUCUGCGCUGACUAUAGAAGUUAUAUAUAGAAAAAAUUGCAAUGGUUGAUUGAUGAACUUGUCAUCCCAGUAAAUUCCUUCUUUACAAACUUUUCUGAACCAAUUCCAAUUACUGGUGAACCAUGACAAUGAGGGACGUAAUUCAUUUGAAUGCGACAUGGUAGAAAAGCAUUAAUCCCCUGAUUAAAACAUCAGAGCACAGCAGUUUUUCUCCCGUCCAACCACCCUGAUGUGCAUAAGUAGAAACGCCAAAAGGAUUUUUCCAGCUGAAUUCGACUACUAAAGGAGCUCAUUUAUCUUCAUCGAUUUUGAGGGAUUAGACGAGAGAACAGCCGCGGAGACACACUGAAUCCCCAUGCUGUUAGACGUUUACUCAGGGUGUCGACUGACUUUGUUUUGUCCCAAAACAACUGUUUGACUGAUUCUGGAUGCUUCCACAAAAAUACCUCCCCCGCAGAAACGUUCUUCAUUUGUAGUUCAGUACGCCUCCAUCUUCUUUCGCAGGGUUUUCUACGAACCUACCUGAAUUCGAGCCUAAAGCAGGAGAGGUGUUCUUCCAUAUGCCAUGAUGGACCCCAGCAGGAAUUGAAUAAAAAGCUGAACGGCAACCUGAGUAAAUGUAAUAAUGCCCUCGUCCUAAAGCCAUUUUUUUUUUUUUUUUUACCUGGUACGACGGAAUAGUGUGUUGGACGAUAUUUUGCCAUGGAAAAACAGAUUCUCUGACGUAGAAUAUGAGAGAGGUGGUCAUGAAAAGUCGGUUCAUGGUGGGAUUGUGAUGAUGAUCUGAUUCUUGAUUUUCCACUUUUCAUUAAGUCAAUUAACUUCACAAGACAAUCGUUAUUAGGACCAAUCAAUCCUGAUAAUAAUUGAAAAAAUUAGGAUCAAAUCUCUCCUAUGCAUUUGAUAAGUGCAUCUUGAGAAAAAAAAGGUCGAAUUCAAUCAUGCAAAAUGCAUUGUUUUAAUGUAUUUUACCUUGAAAGUCAAUAUGGUUUGGUAUCUUUAGAACUAAAUUGUACAUUACUAAAGCAUAACAGCUCCGAUUAAGUGGCGAUCACAUAUAAAACAUGCCUUAUAGCAAAAGGAUUCAAUAAUCUUAACAAGUGAAUGCACUUCCCCUAACUCGGGAAGAACAGCGGCCACCCAAGUCAAAGCAUUAAAAGAAGUAAUGCCGUUUCACAAUCUUCAGAGGUUUGUGGCGGUACCUGGAUUCAAGUGCAACCAUUUUUGGAGCAGUGUCCAAGACUAAUGCUCUAUAAAUAGCUUCGUCGAUUGAAACUGGAGAUUAAGCCUCAGCUGGCACCAAUUGAGAGAGAGAGAGAGAGAGAGAGAGUCUGUGCGUGUGUAAUAUAAUUGCUUAUUUGAGAGUAAUGAUUCAAUUUGACAGAUAACGGCAUCUGUCAAUGUUCUACAUACAUAAAUUUUAGCAAUUACAUCGUUUCUGCAACUUCACUCGACGUUGAAUUAUAUUUUGGGAGAUGUGGCCGCUCAUUCCAUCCUCCAAGACCUUCGAGUUUAUCGAGCUCUGUAGCAGAGAAAUAGUUGCGAUUUUUCUCUUAAUUACCUUCAAAUUCACAGACCAUCUUGCCUUGUGGAUUAAGAUGUCAAGAUAUAUCGGUGGGCAAUCGAUGAAUGAGUCAAAAGGACCCAGAUGGGGUUUCCAUGGGCACUAAUUUCGUGCAAACAUGCUCCUUUUGACAGGAGUUUCCCUCUUCUAUUCAUCUCUCUUUCAUACUGCUUUUUACCCUUACUUGGACGGCUUCCUGUGCCCGGUCUUUUCGAUUCGCAUCUUAGCACAGGAAUACGUGGGAAAUUUCUGCGAAGCAUAAAUCUAUUCUUCUCUCGUUCACACUGCUUUUACCAUUGCUUGUACAGCUGCCUAUGCUCGCUCUUUUCGAUUCGCAUCUUAGCGCGACAAUACAUGGGAAAUUUCUGCGAAGCAUAAUUCUAUUCUUCUCUCUUUCAUGCUGCUUUUACCCUUCUUAGCACAGCAAUAUAUGAGAAAUUUCUACGAAGCACAAUUCCAUCCUUCUCUCUUUCAUAUUGCUUUUGCCCUUCCUUGUACGGCUGCCUAUGCCCGCUCUUUUUGACUCGCAUCUUAGCACGGCAAUGCAUGGGAAAUUUCUACGAAGCAUAAUAUUAUCGUCUCUCUUUCGUAUUGCUUUUACCCUUACUUGUACGGCUGCCUACGCCCGCUCAUUUUUACUCGCAUCUUAGUACGGCAAUGCAUGGGAAAUUUCUGGGAAGCCCAAGGAGGACAAUGCUAUCAACUCUAGCCAAAAUUGAAGCAAUUCUAGCAUUUUAUUUUUACUCAUGUCGGAGAUAAUUGAGGAGGUCCAGAAUAUUCAAAUGAAAAUUCUCUUCUAUGAAAUUGAGGGCGCAUUCAUAUUUUUCACUAUUUUUGUCACGCCCCGACCCUCAGGCACGCACACAUCCCUUACUCUUGGUCGAUUUUAAAAUGCGAUAUCCCAGGACUAUGUAUCGCCGACCCUUUCAUUCUUUAUAGCACAUGCGGAAGCAGUUAUAAAUCCCCAGACAAUAAAGCAAUGGGAAAGAAAAGCAGGCCAUACAUUUUUCUCACUGAAAUUCACAACUACAACUUUUUACAUGCAAACAAGGUCUGACAAGACAGGAUAGGAUUUCGGUCCUCAUCCGGGUCGUACUCGAUGUCAUACUCGGGGUCCUCCUCCACGUACUCCUCUUCGGGUUCCUCAACAAGGAUCUCCUCGUCAGAUUCAUGCUCCUUAGGCUCCUCAUCCAGGUCCUGAAAUGGUUAUUCAAUAACCACUGAGACCACGUCUCAGCAAGUUCUACCUCCUAAGACCCGAUUAGUAAACUAAUACACCUUAGGGCUGCCUAUGCACAACAUGAGUCAAAGGACUUACCUUAGCCUCAGAUUCCACCUGCAUAUUAGUACAGAUCAAAUAGGCACACAAGCGAUCACAUCACAGAUCGAAGCAUCGAUCUAAUCGACUUAGUCGAUUACAUGUCAACAAGACCACUCACGGUCACUUUCAUUCAAUCGAUCAUUUCACAACAUCAAAUCAAGGCAAUGAAUCACAUCAAAUCACACUCAGAUCGAAUCAUCGAUCAAUCGACUUAGUCGAUUACACGCCAACAAGACCACUCACGGUCAUUCCCAUUCAAUCAACCAAUUCACAACAUUAGAUCAAAACAAUGAUCAAUCGACAUAGUCGAUUACAUGUCAUACCAAUCAUUCUCCACGGAGGAGUAUCUAAAAGCUAGGCCACGUGCAUUCUCUAGGACGACAUUCCAAGUCUCCAAGUCCACGUGCCUCGAACCCCGGGCCCACGUGCAUUCUCUCAUGCGACCUCUUCGCCAAAGUGAUACAUCAAGUCACCGAGCCCACGUGCCCUUUUAGAUGCCUGCACUUAGUCACAGAGCUCCAUCAAUGCUCUCGGGCGUCGAUUCGCCAAGGUGACGUACAGUGAACACUUUACUAUGCUCUCGGGCGUCUUUUUCGCCAAGGUGAUACACUGAUCACAGAGCCAACGUAAACAAUUCAAUAUGCUCUCGGGCGUCUUUUUCGCCAUGGUGAUACACUGAUCACAGAGCCAACAUAAACAAUUCAAUAUGCUCUCGGGCGUCUUUUUCGCCAAGGUGAUACACUGAUCACAGAGCCAACGAUUUCUCAAUCAAAUAAUUAAAUCAACUCAACAAAGCAUUAUAAAUGCUGAAUAACAUACUUGGCCAAUUCAAUCUCAAUCAAAUCCAAUCAGAUUAGGGUAAAUCCCUAAAAUAUCACAAUUUAUUCAAUUCCAUACAACGUAGAGCUCAAAUAAAUAAACGGACUGCGCCACGACAAUCAGCACGAGAUUUCGGUCGUCGGCCAUCAAAAUCUUAAUUUCCGAAAAAUAAUUAAUUAAUUUAUUAAUUUCGAAAAUUAAAUAAAUAAAUACAAUAAAUUCAAUUUAGCACAAUAUAAAGCUCAAUUAAAUAAACAGUCUGCACCACGAUCAUCAGCAUAAAAUCCCGGUCACUAGCCAUUCCAGUUGAAUUUCCGGGAAAUAAAUAAUUAAAUAAUUAAUUUCGAAAAUUAAUAUUUAAUUCCUAAAAAUACCACCUAGGCCCGAAUCGUUUAAUAAACACCCCAUAAGGGACGGGAAAAAUCCCAAGAAGGAUCCAAUAAAUACUACAUGCAAUUCUCUAUCUAAUUACACUAAUUACAUCACUAAUAUACAAAGCAAUUAACUAAUAAUUACUAAUCAAUUCUAAUCUAACAACCUAAUUACACUUAAUUAACACUAAUCAACCUUUAAGUAUAAUUAGCGCACUAAGAAGGCAUUAGUGAGUAAAACUCACUCGAAACGACGGGCUCCACGCGAGGAUCGACUUUCCCCAAAGCGGGCCGAGCAUCCGGGCUCGGGAAGACGGCCAAAACGGGCCAAAACCCACUGCGAUACCCAUUUUCUGACUUCUCUGAUCGCUGCUGGAAGGGGCGGAUUCGGGGCUGGUUGAGGCGGCCAAGGGCGGCGAAGGGCGAGGCGGAGCUCCGGCAAGGCUGACAGUGGUCGGAGGUGGCCGAACCAUGGCAUGUGAUGGCCAAAACGAAGCUGAACAGAGGCGGAACAGGGGCUGGGUCGCACAGCGGGGACGGCAGGCGCGAGCGUGAGGCGGCGGAGCGCGCGGCGUCGCGCGGGCGGCGGUGCGGCAACUCCGGUGCGGCGGCGUCCAAGCAGCUGGUCGCGGCUCCUUCCGGCGACGCUGGACGCUGCUUCUGCUUCUGCUAUUCAGUUCUGUUCGAACCAGAGGAGGGAAAGGGGCGGACGCGCAUGGACGGCAGUUCGGCGGUGAGCUUGGGUGCGCGCGAGCAGCUCCGUGGCUUGCGGGCGUGCGACGACGGCGGCGAGAAGCGGCGACGACAGCUCGGUCUUCGGUGGUCUUCGGCUCCCAUGGAGUUUUGAAGAAAAAGGAGAAGAUGGGGGAGGAUCCGUCGACGGAGGAGAGAGGGGAGGAAGAAAAACCUAAUUUCUCUUUCUUUUCUCUCACUCUCUCUCUCUCUCUCUUAGGUCAGCCACACAUGGGCACCACCAGCUGCCCUCCACUCACAAUUCCAAGACAACUUUGCCCCUUCUAGAAGCCUUUAAAUAGGCCAAAAUGUGGGGGGUAAGUGUGGCAUACGAAUUUUGCUAGGUUUUCUUUCCAAUUGAGCCUUAAUUCCUCUUGAAUAAAUCAAAUUGACCCCCAUUAAUUUAUUCAACACCUCAUCAUUCCAAUUGGUAUUUUUCCUUACCAAUGUAGCCCCACUUGCAUCCCAAUUUCACAAUCCUUGGCUUCAACCGAACAAAAGCGGCCCUAUUAUCCAGUCGAAAUUAGGACCCGAAAAUCUGGAUGUCACAAUUUUUGCCCCAACGCACCGAAAAUAUCUUCAGAAACAUGGAAAAUGUCCUUUCAGGAGUCGUAAUGGGAGGCGUCCUCCAUUUUUUUGCGGGUCAUUAUUGAGUGGUUGAAGAAGGAAUUUCGAUCUUAUGACUUGCAAUUAAUAUGGCAGCAACUUGAUCUAAAUGUGUAAUGUGCAUUGCAUUAUGUCCUACACUUUUUGACAUGGCCAUUCAAUAAAUGAUGGAAUUCGUCACCACAUCAUUGACUAGUGCUCUAAAUGCCCGUAAUUGUUAGUAAAACUGCUUGAAAUACUCAAUAAUUAAUAGCAAUGUGAUAGUGAUAUCUAAAUUCUUGCUUAAGGUGCAUUAUCGUAAUUGACAUUUAAAUAGAUUUAAUUAGGUCCAACAACUUUGUUACGACCUGCAAUGCUUUUCUGAAUUUUGAAUCGAUUUAGUAGAAUGCUAAACUUUUGUUUAUAGUGUGUGUAAUUGAUUCAUCCCUGGAACUUCUGCUUGUUCUUGUGAAAUUAUUUUAAUAUGUUUCAUAUGGCAUACGCCCAUUGGUUAUCCUAAAGGAAGUUUCUAAAAUGGACAACAAUCUACAAAAGCCAAUAAAUUGAAAAAAAAAAAAUUAUACAAAUAGAUUUCCCAUGUGUAACAAUUAUAUGAAAUUAUAGAUAAAUGACAAACAUUCGGUUUUUAUGUGUGAUUCAUUUUAAACAAACAAAUUUGCUUAGUCCCUUUAAUCAUGCUCAUUCAUCAUAUCAGCUAGUGAGAAGUACAGAGGAUUUUGCUGUUCUUUUCAAAGCAUAGCAAACAAAUCCAUUCUCCAUUUCACAUGAUUUCCAUUGAAUCACGAAGAAGGCACAAAAGGUUUAUCCUAAUCCCAAACCCUUCUCAAACUUAAGACGAUACUGAAUAUUUGAAAAUGAUUUAGGAACCUCGUUAAUUUAUAACCAAUCAAAAGUUUUGUAGUAACAAUGCUCCUCAGCCAAAGCGUAGGACCUACUUGAUAAAUUGAAAGGCCGGGCAUAUCAUUAGACGUUAACUGACAAUGUUGAAUUUUAGGACCAAAAUUCGAAAACUAGUGGUCACCGCCCCUCUAUUUGAUGGUACAUUCAUUGAUGAAAUCAAUUGGAUUUGCAAUUUUCAAAGAGACUCAAUAAUUAAAUUGAAAUUCGUAUUGGAUGAUAAGAUUAAAAGCAUAUGACCAUUCCGUUUGCACAGCCACAAGCAUUUGCCUUUUAUUGAUCGAACCUUGUUGCUUCGACGUUGGAAACAGACUAGGUUUUUUUCUCCUUGUACAUCCCUAUGCAACAGAAGUUUGAAGGAACUAUCAGCUGUCGGCAGACUGAGUAGCUUCAUUCGGGGUGCAUGAAAUUUUUUAUUGAAAUGGCGGACAAUCUGUCGAAUACGUCAGAAGACGGAUUUGCAAAUAGAUGAAUCGCACAAAGAGAUAUCACUUGCUUACUUCAAGCCAACUGAAAAAAGGGUGAAAAGAGUCCUGGCAGCUCUAUAUCACUUUCCUUAAUUGGGUCGUCUAUUAAAAUAUAUCUAGAAUUUAAGCCCAUUGAACAAAGCCCGACUAAUGAGAAUGCGUGAACUCGACCAUGUGCAAGUCAAAAAUUGGCAUACGAGAAUUGGCUGGCCGAGAUUGCAAAAAGCGUGAGGAAAAAUCAAUAACACGUGACUUUUUUGCCUUCUCCAAGUCCAAUUUAUCGUGCAUGUUAGAUUCUUUGGCAUGCUGAAUUUGUUGCCUAGAAGACAGGGCACACACACACAUAUAUAUACACGUGAUCAUAUUUUACUUUAAAUUGAUUUACUUAGGUUCAAGAACUUUAUUCUAAUAGGCAAUGCAUUCAUGCUUUCACAUUAUUUGUUUAGAUGUCCUACACUUUUGUUUAGCAUGUGAAAUUGGUCCAUCUCUAGAACUUUAGUUUGUUCAAUUCUGUCUCUUGAAAUUAUUUUAGUAUGUUCGUGUGUCUUAUGCUUGUUGAUUAUCGAAAGGAAAUGGCCACAAUGGACAACAAUCAACUGAAGUCGCUCGAUAGAAAAAUUAUACAAAUGGAUUUCGUGUGUGUAAUAUGUAUCCUAAACGAUAAAAAAAAAUAAAAAAUAAUACUCAUUCAUUUCUUAUGUGUAAUCAUUUGAAACAAAAGAUUUGCUCGGUCACUUUAAAUGGUGAUUCUUAUUCAUUAUCCCAAAAUGUCAGCUAAGUAUGGAUUUUACUAUUCUUGUCAAAGCAUCGCCAACAUUCCGUUCUCCUUUAACAUAUUACGCUCGGAUCCUGGAGAAAGCACAUGGUUUUGUUAAGUGAGAGGUUUCAUCCUUAUCUGGAAACUUUUUUUGAACUUAAAGAAUGAUAUUUGAAUAUUUGCAAAUAAAUUAGAAACCUCAUUAAUUUAAAACUGAUAACAAGUUCAAGAGGGACAAUGCUCCUUCUGUCACACCCCGAAACCAUCAUAAAUGGGGGUGACACGGCCGUCCUUCCACUCGAAGGACACAGCCUCAGAGCUCCCAAAAUCUAAUUCCUAAAAGUCCGCUCAUUAAUAUCACUCUUAUACUACUUAUCAUUAGCUGGGGAUCUUAAAAAAAAUUGGCAAAUAGAAAGGUGAGUAACCACAGCUCAGUGAAUAAUGCAUCUCUUCUGAGCGGAUCGAGCACCCACUAUAUAUAUAUUUACAAAACCAAACUACAACUUUUUUUUAACAUAAAUCUAGAAUAUAACAAAUAAAUAAUAAGAGAAUAAGUUACGUACACUUACGAAUAGCUACAUUCAUUUUAUAAAAACAUCAAAACAAAUGUCAAUGGUCAAAUACAUUGAUUAAUCUCAUUAAGUCACAUGCCAAUGGUUCAUUCCAUUGGUUAGUCUCAUGCCACAUAUCAAUAGUCUAUUCCAUUGAUCCAUCUCAUAGGAAACCACAUGUUGAUGGUCCAUUCCAACGGCUAAACUCAAAUCACAUGUCAAUGGAAUGUUAAUGGUCCAUUCCAUUGACCAAUCCAUUGCUCAAUAUUAUUAGCUGUGGCUCGACACACAAGGAUACAUUAGACUAGUAUGCACAUAUCCACAAGCCUCUCAUUGGGCUCACAACGAUAUUGAGCAUCAAUAUCAAUCCAAAACAACAACAUCCAUAAUUCACAAACAAAAUCCAUAAAUCAUUUCGUAUAUCACCAAAAUAUUUCACAAUUGUUUUUAUGCCAGGUUAGGCCAACAGUGAUGGAGCUCACCAAAAUAUUUCACAAUUGUUUUUAUGCCAGGUUAGGCCAACAGUGAUGGAGCGGGGGGACACUGGUUUUGCAAGAACACCGGAUGGAUACUAAAAAUGAAGCAAGUGCAUCAUGUACUGGAAUUCCUUAUGUUCUGAGAUUCUUACAUGAAGUGCCAAAGAGAAAAUGAAACAAGAAGAGAGGAGAGAGCAAGCACAUAUAUAGGUUCGAAUGAUUCUCUCUGGGUUCAUCUGUUUGAGCUACUCUGCACCCUCCAAUCUGCUGCCUUUAGUCAACUAGCCCAUCGGGGCGGGCAGAGGGAAGACGAUGCCGAUUACAUUCUCAAGAGAAUUCUAGUGUUUGCCAAUUCUUCUCACCUAAGCCUCAAUCUACGACUGUAGUUGGACGAAUGUGUCACGACUGAGCAGGAACACUGAUCAGACGCUCAAUCAUUUGCAACUGAUCAUAUGGAGCAAUCUGCACAAAGGAGAGGAGUUAAAACAGAGAAAAAGAUAACGGUUGAUUGAUGAAGGUAUCAUCUGAGUAAAGUGCUUCACAAACUGUUCGGAACUAACUCCAAUUACUGGUCAACCAUGACGAAGAGUGACAUUAUUCGUUCGAAUGAGACACGGUAGAAAAGCAUUGGUCACCUGAUUAAAUCUGUCUGGCCAAACUAUGGACACGGCAUAGUUUCCCAUUGGCUGAAUCUCUUCUGGUUCGAUGUCUUCCAGAACAUCAGAAUACUGCAGUUUUUGCUCCCCUGUCCACUCAUCCUGAUGUGCAGAUAAGUGGCAUAAGAAAGAAUCUCUUCACUAGUCCAAGUCACAAUAUCUAAGACAAGCACGGGACAAGUAGAAACUUCGGAAGGAAUAAUUUAAGCGAAAUUCCACCCCUAAUCUUCAUCGAUUUUGAGGGAUUAGACUGGAGAAUAACCACUGUUAUACUCUGAAUCCCUAUGCUGUUCGGCAUUUAUCAGCACGACAAAGGAUGCCAAAGGAGGGGAAAUCAGAGUAAAAACUUUUGAGGCAAGAAGUAUUUUUAGUUGACUGAAUAGAUUUAAAUGAAGAAGUUCAAUGCUCUAAAAUCUACCAUGCCAAAUCACUAAUACUCAAGAAUUCAGUUGAUAGAACACUCAGAUUACUGAGAUCCGGUAUGGUUAGUUUGAACCAUCACGUGAAGAUAAGAGGUAAGGUUCGAGUGAAAACAUGCUUGGCCUUCAUGUACGGGUGCUUGGAUUAUGGGUAAUGGCGUGAAAGCUGCUCAAAUCCACUUAUCUACAUUUUCAAAAUGCGACCUUAGACCUCUAAUUUAAUUUAAAAGAAGGGUCAUAAAUUAGCUUGGAGGUCCAUUUGUAGAAUUAAACUAAGCUUGUCUGGUGAAAUGCAGCAACCGGCCUGAACAUUCUAACUAUAGGAUUAGCAUCUAUCUAUUUCCCAAGGUUAUGCAUGAUUGUGUUGACACCGCUGCAAUAAAAACCUACAUAUCAACUUUCCAUUUGCAAAGACAAAAACAAUCAGAGGAUUUUUCCAGGUCAAAG
rnacentral:lncRNA from 1 species